rnacentral:lncRNA from 1 species
UCUGUUGGAUGCUCCGAGAUUGAGAUCAUAAGGUGCAUAAAUGUGGGGCUGCUUUGUACACAAGAACUUGCAAAGGAUAGGCCUACCAUUUCAACUGUUAUUUCAAUGAUUAGCAAUGAAAUUGUUGGUCUUCCUCGUCCGAACAAACCUGCAUUCCCCGAGAGGCAAACAACUACCGACACAGAUUCCUCCAGACAAAGUCAGAAAAAAUACUCUGCCAACAAUGUCACUAUUACCGCUCUUGAAGGCAGAUAAAUGAGGAUACCAAAACCAAUAAUCUCGAAAGUUCAGCUCAGAGAUGCAAACUAUAGCCAGCUCGUGUCUUGGACAUGGAGUCAAUAAUGAGUACUAGCGUGAUCCUAUUUGCAUGUACUGUUGUCAGAAGCAGUCUUUGUAUUUUUUUUUCCCCUUAAUCAUGUUCAAGCUUGCUUGGAAAUAUAUGAACAUAAAUUUGUGGAAUAGCAAAUUACUAUACGUUGGGUGGCAGUUAUUGCUUGUUUGGGUCAUUCCAAAGCUGGGUGCAAAUAUUUGGCAAUUUCUGUGUUGGUACAGCAGUUGCUCUUUAGCAAGAAGCUCUGUUCAAUCAACUAGGCUAGUUGGAAACAAGAAAUGGAAUGCCAUUAAACAAGACUUUUCGUACUAAUGUCCAUCAUAUGGUGAAUGAAACUAGAAUUCUUGUGAAAACUUUUUUCUUCCAUGUUUGUGCGUGUGGUCUUGUUGAAUUUUGCCUCUUCGUUCCAUAUAUCCAAUUGUCUGAGAUCAUAUUAGAAACUAAAGCAUCAGGCACUGUGAAAACUAUUAGACAAACUUCUUUGCCAUAUUUGGUUUUUAAGACAAAGAAGAAUCUGCUAACUUCAACUCACCACAGAAAGCGUUUUCAACAAGAAUGUCCGAUGGCAUUGUCAAAAUGACAAUCAAAGUUUCAAAGAACUGAUAGAGAAUAACGAUGUUUAGAAAUUGUUUUAGUGGAUUAGCCGAUAGAUACUUGGUAUCUGUCCAGAGAAUCUAUAACGCCCCGAACCCAGAGCUCGUGCCCAUCCCUCUUUGGUCGAUAAAAUUUUGCAAUUUCCGAGGACGAGUUGCCGACCAAUUUGUUUUAUUGCACAUGCGAAAGCGAAUAAAUAUCCCAUGAUAGUAAUAGCUUGGGAUAGAAAAGCAGGACAACGGAUUCACAAUCAAACACCCCUUCAUAUAUACACCGAAUCAUGUACAAAAGUCUAUAGCCAUAAGACUACAAAAAAACUAGCCCUCCAAAAAGUAGUGGUCCUAAUUGACCUACACUUCAAAUUACUUCAGCAUGGCUCUAGAUCCUCAACUCUACGGUCUUGAAAAUUGAGCCCACGAUGGGGUGAGAUUUAAAUCUUAGCGAGUUCACGCUCUAAACACCGAUUAAGGGGGAAAUACGCGUAGAGGCGUCCUAACCACACAAUCACGCAUUUAGCAUAGAAAACAUAUCUCGCCUCAGUUCCACCCUACAGGUCAACAUAGUUUAUACACAUUAUGUAUAGAAUCGAUACACACAACAAUUGAAUGCAUUACUCAACUCAAUAAAUCACAGGGGUCCUAAUUAUAGGGCCAAAUCAUUAUGAUAUGUCCCAUACCAUGUAACACAAUUUUGUCCCAUAAUCCAACAUAUUUAUUUCACUCAACACGCGUUCCAAUUGAUAAUUACGCCCACUCACUCUAGGGUACAGCCUACUUGAAAUUUGGCGGUGUAUUGGCGUAGCCAGGGUGAGACAGGUGUACUGGCGUAGCCAAGCAUUGUCUCACUCCAUUGAGCACGGUUACAUCUCUCAAAGACGACUUUCCUGAAGGAGUAUAGGUCCAACCUCUACUGCAACCCAAAUCCCAUUAAAUGGGUAUCCCAUAUAGGGUAAUGUCCAUCCGACACAGUUCGGGGACGGGUUUUCUUAACCAACACACAACCACUCACUAUUGCACUCAAAUACCUGAAUUAAAAUAGUAAUCAUGGCAUAUUUUUUUUGUAUUAAAAACACCUGGUGAAAAUAGUCAUGUGUGGGUACAUGGACAGAUUGGACCCGAAAAAUUCAUAACCUUAUUUUCAAAAUCCCACUACUUUAUAUAUUAUAUAAAACCAUUUUCAGUAUUUAAACCCGACACUCGAGAUUUUCUGAAUAAAUAUCAAAAUUUACAAUUUUUGGAAUAAUUGACCCAAUUUUCAAUUAGCACUCAAUUUUCACAAUUUAACACUCGAUUGUAGAAAUUAACCACAUCAUUGCAAUUAGCACGAAAUUCCGAACACUGGCUAUCCCGGUCUAAUUCUGGAAAAUAUUUAAUAAUUAAAUAAUUACUAAAAUUAAAUAAAUAAAUACAUUAAAUACUAAAAAUGGUAAUUUAGGCUAAAUACUUCUAAACUGAUCAGCUAUUGAGCUAAAUAAAUUAUUCUAAGCACCCUAGCAAUAAAACAACACACUAAUCUAAUACAACACACUAAUCUAAUUAACUAUAAUUUCUAACUACCUACUUAAUUAAUCUAACUACCCUAAUUUAACUAAACAAACUAAUAAUUAAACUAAUUACACUUAAAUAAAUCUAAACACCCCUUAAACGUCAUUAGUCUGCUAAGAAGAGUUUAGUGCAUAAACUCAUCGGUUUAAUGCGGAAACCAAUUCACUGCGAUGGCGGCAGAACGGCGGCUGAAAUCCGAAUUUUUGGCGGCGUCGACGGAUAUUCGAACUGGGCCUAAAAGGCCUUGCAAGCCCACAGCAAUUGCUGUGGUUGGUCUCGGGCUUGGGCUUGCUUCGCGGGCUUCAAGACUGGGCCAAAAUGUUGGCUGGACUGGUGGACCUCGAAUGGGCUAGAAUUGUGAGUUGUUGGGCUGAUGAAAAAUUAUGUGGGCUGCUUGCUCACGGGCUAGACUUGGCCGAACAUAUUGCGUAGACUAUUGCUGGGAUUUUGGGCCGAAGACAUUGGUUGAGGCGAGAGGGAGACGGACUGGCAGCUUCGGUGGGGAAUGAUGAUGAUGGUGCUGGCAGGGAGAUGGACGAAGGCUUGGUGGGUUGAGCUGGCGGUCGAAGGAAAGGAGCUGCUGCGGAUGGUCGUUGACGCUGGACGAGUGGCAGAGAGAAAACUUGGUGGAGCAACUUCUGCCGUGAGCUGCUUCGAUCGGUUGGUGCUUUACAAGUGGAAAAUUUGCGAUCAAUGUUUGGGGGCUUCGGCAGAUGAAGGUUAACCCUGACUCGGCAGCUGCUGGACAAAUGGCACGGCUGCUGGAUUAGUGGCCUCGGGAGAUGAAGAAAAGACAGAAGAUGGUGGACGAAUUGGAGGUGCAGGCGUGAGGCAGAGGGAAAUGGAGGCAAACGCUUGCGGAGAGAGAGAGAUAAGAUCGACUGUAGGGAAGGAAAAAUUGAAAAGGGAGCCGCGGAGAGGGAGGUCGGCGAGACUUGCUGGAGAAGCCGAAGAAAGGGAUAAAAAGUCAUCACACUUAUCCACUUAAUUGAAAGCUUUGUCCCCCAUUUCUUUAUUGAAGAUAAUUCCCAAUUAAUCCAAUUUUGAAGCCAAUUUUUCUGCCCUAAAAUCCAGCUCCGAAUUUCACUCAAAGAUAAGCUUCAAUUUCCUCACUCAAUCCCCAAAUUGAGGUCCAAUUUCGUUGAAAAAAAAUCUCAUACAAUUUUCUGCAAGUCCCCAACACCCAAAGGUUCGGCUUGGAAGUCAAAGUCUUCCUUCAAAUCAGCCCGAUUGAAUUUUCUUUAAUUUCCAAAAUGAUUUUCCGUAAAAAUUUUGGGGUUUCCAAAAAUUCUUUAAAUGAUGAGUUGACAUUUCUAAAAUAGAUCGUGACGUAACAGAACUUUCAAUUUUUGAAAUCAGGUUCAAAUUUGCGGUUAAUUUCAAUCUGAUGCGAUUUUAGCGUGGCCUAACUUAUUCGGUAGCUUUUAGGAAUUUUUAGUGCAAUUGACACGUGAUCAAUUGAUCUCGAGUCACAAUGUACAUCUUCGACACAUUUAGGACCUUCAGUUGUCGUGAAAAUCUCGAGGUUUCAAAUACGGACACCGAGUAUAGAAAUGACAGAAAAAUUGGUCUAGUGUCGUUCAACGAGAAUUUUGUAAUUAGGUGGAAUCACCCACAUACUAAUCACAUAUCUCCAUCGAAUCGAUCUAUCUCCGGUCUCUGAUCGAUUUUUGGCGGUGCCGUGAUCCUCGCAGAUCGACACGGUCGAGCAGUCGAUUCCUAGUCGAAUUCUCCAGUCCAUUUCGUUUAGAUUCCUUAAUUGCUUCCCCAUAUAGUCCAGUUAUCUUGUGAGUAAUCAGCUCAGAGAAUAACACUAUAGGCGCGUUGACGAAAGGCCCGAUUUAUGAAAAUUUAGGCUGUCACAGAAUCACUCUUUGAAAUAAUCUGAAAACAAAGUUAAUUCAACCUACAGGGGCUUGCCGUGAAAGAGAAAAGGAGAGUUGACACCAAGUCAUUAAAACAGAAAUGGAAAAUUAGGUGUUGUUGGUAAAAGAGAGAGUACUUUACUUUUGAGAUCAAAAGAAGUAUUUAUAGGCUUAGGUUAAGCCUUGUACAACUACAUAGGUCAAAUACAUAAAUAGGCCCAACUUGCUAACACCUUAGAAUAAUAAAUAAUAAACUCAACACUAGCCCUCUUGUUGGGGUGUAUAUAUCAAGGUGCAACAACAUCCUUGCCCUAAAAUUGUAGUCAUCAAUCUAAUUGUAGGUGAAAUAUAAAUGUCUACAUACGCAAAAACACUAAGUUUUGGCGAAAAUAAUUAGCCAACUCUCUCUUUUCUCUUUGACAUGCACAAGUCACUUGCCCAUUUGAAUCACCCCCAAAUUAGAAACAUUAGGGUAAAGAAGAGAGUUGUAAGCAUACUUUCCUUCAUGAAAUGCGACAAUACCAAGAAAUUUUUAUUCUUAGACAUUUUAGGGCCACAAAAAAUGAGAGUAAGUGAAAUGUUAGGUGACGAUGGCAAGUGAAAAUGAAAAUGAGUUUGUGAUUUUCUUGAUGUGAAAAUUGGAGAAAAAGGACAAUAUGAGUUGACUAUUUGGUCCUUACUAGUAGAUGGAAAGUGCACUAGCAAUACCCAUCAAAUUUAGUACACUGUCUAUAUAUAUAAAACAAACUAAUUAUCAGUGAUGUAUCUGCAACUACGAUCUAGGAUUAAUUGGCUUAAAUGGGGCAAUAAAAAUAUCAAAUAUUUUCACGUCACCACAAUUCAGAGAAGACAAGGGAACCAAAUUUCUAUGCUAAUAUCUCCUACCAGGAAAUGGGUUCAUGAUUUAGACCAACUUAAAGACUAAACAGUUCUCUUUUUCAACGAGCUUUAUACUACCUCAAGACCCAAGUAUUUUUAGCUUCUCUUGGAGAAAUGUCCUAUUGUUGUAGGGGAGGAGAUAAAUCAGUUUUUAAUAGCUAAUGUGACUUNNNNNNNNNNNNNNNNNNNNNNNNNNNNNNNNNNNNNNNNNNNNNNNNNNNNNNNNNNNNNNNNNNNNNNNNNNNNNNNNNNNNNNNNNNNNNNNNNNNNCCGCGAUUAGUGUAAUUAAUGAUGGAUUAGCGUUAAGUAGAAUUUUAUGUUCGUUUUUCUAGAUGAGAUUGUGUAUAAUUUUGGUUGUUUGCACGUGUGAAGUUAUGUUAUUGAUUUCUCAAUUGUAAAUUUUAUUUAUUAUUUUCAAAAAGGGCUUUAUAGGCAAGAAAAUAGAAAAAUAUGAGGUGUCGGGUUUUGACGCCAAAUUUUACUUGUUAAAUAAAAUAAUCGGGUUUUGAAAUAGAAGUGUGCAAAGUUUGACGGGUUGAUUUCAAAUAUGUAACCACGUACGAAUAUGUUACUGGGAUUUUUAAAUGUGAAAAAUUGCCAAAGUGAUUAUUUAAAAAACGAAAUAUUUUGUUCUUGGCUAAUUAAUAGCAACAAAAAUUGACUUGAUUGAUGGUGUGCUUAAGUGGUUAUUUAAUCGAAUCCGUCACCUAACGAGAGUUUGGAGGCGAUGCCCGAUUUUUAUUGGAUGCUUGACGGGGGUCCGAAUGGCAAGUCACAGUUGAAGCCGGAUUGAGGCUCCUUUAUGGAAUGCCAUCUAGGCGGGGGUUCUAGAUGAUGCUGUGCCCAAUGGGGCAGAACGAUGCAUGGUCAUGCCGGAAGAUCGCCGACUCUUGUGUUGACCGUGGCCCGAGAGGUCACAAUAAUUGGAACACGUGUGUUGGCAAUGCGCAUGAAAUUUUAGUAUGUAUUCUUAUCCUUAUUUAUGUAUGUCGCACUAUUAUUGCCAUGUGAGAUUGGCUAUUAUGCAGAGGUGUACCAAGGCAAUGUAAGUUUAUAUAUGGUGCGUGUUUAGGCUAUCCCCAAGGCGAAUCAACUUCCUAAUCGAGGUUUAGGCUGUUAACUCACUGAGAUUUAUAUCUUACCCCGUUGUUGUUAAAUAUUUUUAGGUCCAUAGUAUGAAGUGUUGCCUUGUCGUUUUUGGGUCCCUUGGGAUAUGGAUGUGGAGACUACUCUAUUUCCUAUCCCGGGGACCGAUCAGAACUGCAAGCUGGUGGUCACGACCGUAUGGAUAGAUGAAGGGUUUGUUCAUGUAGUGCGUCAUAAUUUCAAGGUGUGGUUUAUUAGGGAGGCAAAUGGCGAUCAAAUUGGUCCACUUCAGGGUUUUAAUGGACCACCAUCUAGGAACAUGGGAAGGCAAGUAUGGGACCCCAUGGAUAUCGACAUCUCUAAUGGUGUCAUUUUGAAUCCAUAUUCCAAUUCGGAUGAGCCUAUGGAGGCGUUCCCCUCUGACCAUGUGCCCGAAUUUGCACCUUAAUACUAAAACUAAUGCCUGGAGCUAGUGAAGCUAAAAGUUAACCUUGACCUUUUUUACCCUUUUUGCUAAUAGGUCACGUAAGAGUUAACUUUUAAUGUAUGCUUGUACAUGUUAAACUCCUUAGGUUAAUAAGUUGAUAAAUAACUCACCGCUUUUGGGAAAUUGUCUGCUCUGUUUUACUAUCCCAGUUUUGUUGAUUGACUAGGUGUUUAUUGGAGUUGCUUUUGCAUGCGUUUAAUCAAAAGAUAAAAAAAAAAAAAAGGUCGACGAUGCGUCCUGGGACGUCGCAAUUCAAUCGACUAUCGAGAGAUGUUCGCGCGCUCGGGGUUCAGGGCAUGACUUCCCCAUUUAAGUAGUAUCAGAGCCUGGUCAAAGUUUGGAGUGAUAAGGUGCAAUGGGUUUUGGGGUAGUUAGAUAGGAAAAAUAGUUUUUCCUUAUACUUAUGCUUGUGAUUGAUUGAUUGUUUGGUGCGGGUUGCUCAGGUUUCUACUUCCUUGUUAGAAUUGGAAAGUAGGUUUCCGUAAGGACCCUGUGAGAUGAGCUAUCCUAAGCAAAGAACCCCUUAGAGAAGGGCCAUAGAGGCUCUGACAAGUGCCGAAGGAAGGGCACCAAGACAGGCUAGUGCUAGAGGGAGAUGCCAACGCAGGCAGGUGCUAGAGGGAGGGCACCAAUUGAUCCUAGGGUUGACGGGAUCCUGCAAGCCCUAGAGAUCUUGGGGAACGUGGUCGGGUAGUAAGCUCAGAAUCAAGCCGUCACCACCGCCGCCUCUACUACUACAGCCAAUGCUGUUGCUGCCUCUACUACACCAGCUGAAGUCCUACCUGAAAAUGGGAAUGGUGAGCGGCCUAUGCACAAGCUAGUGGAGCAGCUUUUGAGGCUGAAGCCUCUAAAGUUUACUAGAGCAAGUGAUCCCAAGGCUGCAACCCUUUGGGUCCGAGAGUUGGCGAAGGCUUUUGUAGUACUAAGAUGCUUAGAGGAGGACAAGGUGACCCUGGUCAUAUAUCAAUUGCAGGGUAACGCAAGCACAUGGUGGGAGGCCACUGAAGAAAGAGUGUUUCCUGAGAGUAUGGUCCUGGAGUAGGAUGCCUUCAUUGAAGUGUUUUACGGGAAAUAUUACUCAAACUGUACUCAAGAAUAGAAGAUGGUUAAGUUCCAGCGUCUUUGCCAAAACCAGAUGACUGUAGAUUAGUAUGAGGCGAAGUUUAUUGAGUUGUCAAAGUAUGCACUGAGGUUAAUUAAGGACCCGGUGGACAGAAUUAGAAGGUUCAGAGAUGGCCCGAAGCCAGAGAUUAAGGACCCACUAGUGCCGCUUAAUCUCAAGGACUAUGACAAAUUGUAUGAGAGGGUCCAGCUGAUUGAGAGGAAUCUGAAUGAGUGGGUAGUUGCAUCUAGGUCGCGGUUUGUGCCCAACAGAGAUAAUAAUCAAUUUGGGAAGAGGCCAAUGAUAGGAGGAAAGUAUCCCAUCACUUCCAACCGAAAGGGUGGAAUUGGAAAGUUGGCAACCAACUUGAAUGGUGUGUGCAUAUGGAAGGAAACAUGGAUCAACCUUGUGUCCUGCUAGAACGGGAGCUUGCUAUGGAUGUGGCCAGCAUAGCCAUAAAGUGAAGAACUGCCCGCAUAGGCCCAUGGGAGCACAGGCUCCACUGUCGCAAAUAGGACAGCCAGCAAGGAGUGCGUUGCAAAACACGCAGCAAGGCAUUUUGAGUAGGCCUCCAGUGCAAGGAAGAGUGUAUGUUGUCACUCGAAGGGAGGCGAAGAACUCGUAGAACGUGGUUACAAGUAGGGGUGAGCGCGGUUCCCGAGUAGAACCGAGAACCGAGAAUCGGAGAACCAAAUCGAAGGGUCUAGUUCGCUUCUUGGUUCUAAAGGGACUGGUUUCGGUUCUUGGUUCCUUUUUUCUGGGAAUCGGGAGUUUCAAUUCCGGUCCCGGUUCCAAUCAGAACGAAACUGUUACGGAACUGGUUACGGCAGGAAAAGUUCUUGAGAAACACAAAAAUUGAAGAAAACCUACUGAGGAAAAACAAUAAAAGAAAAUGAAGGAAAAGUUCUUGAGAAAAAGGGGAGGUCAGCAAAAGAAGACAGCUGCAGGAGAGAAAGUGACAUGAGAGCAAAGGGAAAAAAAGGAAAAAGUAGAAAAGCAGAGAAGUAGAGAGACUAUUCAUCUUCGUCGCGUUCCGCCCCGCAACCACUCAAGGGCUCCGCUACGCCAGCCGUAACGCGAUGUUGCGCUCGUCUACGAGCACCACGCCGCGUCUUCGUGCCAAGCUUCACCGCGGGCAACCUAGCCGCCAGCCACCGCCGUUGCUAGUCUAUUGCUUCCUUUUGCCGGACCUCCACACGAGCACCCUUUCGCGUCACCAGAACCAAUCACCAAGCCACUGCACUCCUCCGCCUCUGCUCUGAUGCCCAGCAACCCUCACCUACGUUGCUCUCUGUCUGAAAAUCUGCCUCGUCUCCGCGUAGCACUGCCGACGCCGCUCCACCAGCAACCUGCGCUCUGCCCGAUGCCACAACAGCUCGCCUAUAUCGUCGGCGCCCCUAUUGCAACACCUUUGCACGCCGAACAUCACGUCGUUGCCACACUAGCACCACAGCUCGACAACCCGACACCCCUUCUGCCCGAGUGUCUCACCGUCUCGCCGCACCAGCCUCACCUACGUUGCCCUCCCUUUUUGUGUUUCUUUUUCCACAAGAACGAAGGAAAAAUAAGGUACCGGCUAGUUUUCAUAUUCUCUUCCUAAAUGUUUGCCAUGUGAUUUUAAUGUUAGCAACAAUAGAGAUUUCAAGACCAUUAUUUUAUGGGCAAUUUAUUUUUUUGAUGGGUCAUGACCAAUUUGCUGGUAGUGCUAUUUGUUACUCUGUAAAAUGCUUGGAUUUGCAUUUUCAUUCUACUGUACCCUUUUUUGUAUGUGGACAAUGUCAUCUAGAAUUAUAUGACGAUUUAAGCUUUAGUGCAUAUAUAUUGACAUAUGUGAGCACAAUAAUUAUAGUUAAUCAAGCAUCUCCUUUCCUCUUUUGAAACUUCUUAUUAGUUUUAAUUGUGUAUGUCCAGAUUCUUGGCACUGAUAGGUUUGCUAAGAUGUGUGAAGUUACUGUAGAAUAUGCGUACACGUAAUAGUUCAAAUCUCAAAAUGAAAAAAAUUAAAAUAAAAAGAACCUGUUGGAACCUAGAACUGACCCUAGAACUUAUAACAUGGUAGGUUCCAGGUUCUUGUUCUAACGGGUAGGUUCCAGGUUCCAAAAAAUGAGGAACUUAUACUCGAUGGUAAAUUCUAGGUUUCAAAUGGAACUGAACCAGAACCUGGAACCGCUCACCCCUAGUUACAAAUAUGGUCUUGUUGAACGACCAUGCUGCUUAUGCUUUAUUUGAUCUUGGAGCCACACAUUUAUUUAUUGCUGAGGAAUACGUUAAGUUAGUGGGAAUCAAUCAUUGAUAUAUCCACCCUAUUAAAGGAUAAAGUGUUGUCUGCGAUAAGGUGUCCUGGUUACAAGUUAGUAAUUGAUGAUCGAGAGGAAAGAAAAGAUUUGAUUGUGUUGGUGGUGUUUGAUUUCGAUGUUAUUAUUGGUAUGAAUUGGCUCACCAAGCAAGGGUUACCAUGGAUUGUUAUCAUAAAGCAAUUCAGUUUAAUUUGUUAGCAGGUAGAAGUUUCAAGUUUGUUGAAAAUCGAGGAGGACUCUCGAUUACUUUAAUUUCGUCACUUGAGGCAACCCAAUUGUUGGGUACGAGUUGCCAAGAUUAUUUGGCAAUCGUGGUUGACACAUCAGUUGAGUCAAAGAUAGAGGACAUCGCUGUAGUGCGGGAAUUUUCUAAUAUUUUGCCUAAGGAGUUGCUUGGUUUGCCUCUAGAAAGGGAGAUAGAGUUCAUGAUUGAGUUGGCCCUUAGGAUGGAGCCAAUUUCUAAGGCUCCUUACUGUAUGGCGCUAUCAGAGUUAAAUGAGCUAAAGGUUGUCGCGACCCAAUCUCACCGCCCCUCGAAAAGUCCAAGGUGGGAAAGGUUGGGUUUAGGGCAACUUUGAUCACGAGAGUUUCCUCAAGAGAUUGCGAGCUCUCCCAAGCUCGUACCCUGUGCGACAACGGAUUUAUUUAUACGAUCUAGGUAUUUAAUAACCUAAAAAAUAUACAAGAGUUGCCACUAGCCUCAUUUUGGGGGUCGGCUAGAAACCCAAUUGAGGAUUGGGAGUGUUCCCUUGAUUCCUACAUAACUAAAUAUAUGGGUUUGGGUACUAGCGCCCUUUCGGUACCUAAACAGUAUGUUAUGUUAUUCUAACAUGUCCAUGCGUCUCUUUUUACAUUUUCAGGAUCAUCAAUUUUAUACUAAGUGGUCAUACGUGAUGGAUUACUUUCAUUUCUAUGAUUACUUUCAUUCUAUUCUAUUCCCAAGAAAUGAAAGGAAAACAAUGAAUGAAAUUGAAAUUGCAAGACAUAAAGUAAACAAGCAAGAAAAUCAAUAAACCUAAUCAUGCAAUCCUAAAAAAAUAAAAGAGAAAACACAAUUAAGAAAAAUGAGGGAAAAAGGGAAAACCCACAACUUGACGGGUUUUAUACAACACAAGAAACUCGAGACAUAUGUCGGGAGAGAAAUGAAUAUUACAUAAUAAUGGUCGGAGUGGACAUCGACCUCUACUAUCUUCACACAUUCUCCAUCUUCAGAGUCCUAAUCUAAACCUAAUCUAAGAAACAUGUGAAUAGGUGCAUACAAAUGAAAGAAACAAAUUUAUAAACCAAAUGAUAUGUAAAUGAUGCAAAAUUAACAUCAUCUGAAAGAUUAAGAUGAAUCUUAAGACUUCCCAAUAGGGUUCAAGUCCAAUCAAGAUCUAAUUGAUGGUCAAAAAUUGAUAUUUGUGAAAUCGCGCAUAUCAACCAUAAACAAAACAAAAUACAAUGUACGUUUAAUGGUUCGUAAGACCACCUAGACAAUGCACAAAAAUGUUAAAUUUGCACAUGACAUAAGAUUGAAUGAGAAAAAGGUUUGGGUAAACAUUUAACCCUAAAUCAGAAUGCAAAGAAGUCACACAAGUCAUUAACAUUGCAAAGUGACUUAGAGCUAAGAAUGUCAUGCUUGACAAAUUUCAAUUGCAAUUAGCCAAAUGGAUGUAUGAUAUUCACAUGAAACGAGAUUCAAAUAUGAUAUGCCAUGCAUUAAUGCAAAACUUGUAACACGUGUUUCAAAUGUCAAGAAGACAAUGGGGCACAAGUUUCAUGCAGAAAACUUCAUCAAAAAAUCAUCAUAGAAAUCAUAGCACGAAUGAAAAUCAGUCUAAUCUAUCAUCUGAAUUUCCAGAAUCAAACAUUAAUAUGGUAACAUUCAUUAGGCAAGGGCAAACGAUAGUCAAAUCGCACAUAUAAUAUGUCUAUGGAAAGUUCAUGAAGUCUAUUACAAAUCUCUAGAAGACAUUAAGUCCUAAUAACAUCAUCUACCAUCAUCUACCAGCUCAUUCCAGUUAAAACAAAAAAUCGCAGUAAGUUAGAACAGUAAAUCAUUCUUAAAAAAAAUUACUGCUAAAUCAACAGACUUUGUAGGUGUUUUUCAAUGACCGAAUGACGUCCGUUCAGGGCGUGCAACAUAUCAAAUUGAAGCUUUAGAAGUGUAUUAUAUAUGUAUAGAAGGGCUCGAAGUAAAAAAAAAAAAAAAAAAACUUAUCUAACACCUCAUUUCAGCCAAAACAAAAAGUGACAUAUUAGGUAUACGAAUUUGCAGAUCAAGGCAAAUCAAGUUCAAAGAAGAUAAGAUAAUCAGAUUCAACAUGUAGAUUGAAGAUAAGGAGAGAAAAUAAGCAUAGGAAAUCAGCCAAAAUGGUCCAUCACUAAGCCCAUGUAUUUUCAUCAUAAUCCUUAGCUUCUAUUCUUUCUCAUAAACCAGAUCUGUCAAGACAACAGGGAAUAGUUGAAUGAUAACCCAUGUAAAAAAAAAAAUACACCUAAAAGAGAAGCGAAAUCCAGCCUCCAUUCAGUUUCAUGUUUAGGCAUUUCUUUGACAAACUCAAACAGCAUUGUUGUUGCUGGCUCUAGCAAAAGCUGAAUGUAAGCAUUAGAUACCAGAUUCACAUAUCGUCCAACAUGCACCAAAGAUAUAAAAUCAUUUCCUGAUAUAAAAUCAUUUGUUGCUGAGGAAAUGUUUCUCCACUAAGGUGAACUUCAGGCACAACUCAUACUGGUCUACCGACAGCUACAAACUCAUCAAGGGGGAAAAUGCCAAAUAGCAAUCCAGAUUGAAGUGCACCACUGAAUUCACAACUUUUUGGCAGAGAACACAUUCAAUAUUAUGAACAAGGAACUCUAAAAAAUGAACACAGCACAACAGGGAACCAAUUUUUAUUAAAACAAAUCAACUUUCUUCUUGUGCGUGUCCUGCUUGCUCAGCUUGCUUUGCACUGGAUAUGUAUCUAAUCCGAGAAUUUCAAUAACAAAUCCUAAAACGGCUAGCUACUAAAUUCUAAAAUGAAAGGAAACGAAAUACAAGUAAAGUCUAUACAACAAAACUAAUGUAUCGAUCAAGCAAAGGGAAGCUCUCAAUCAGAAUUUGAAUCGAAACACACACUGAUCUAGUUCAGGAAUUUUAUCAAACAGGUGGAGGACAUUUCCAAGUUAUGGAGUAAAUGGCACCAAACAGAACAUCACGAACAUGGCAAUUAGCAUGAACGACACACAAGCUAAAGUGACUUGGCGAAAGAAGCUAAUGAAGGCAUUCAACUUCGGAGCUACAAAGCGGAUACAAGUACAAAAUCGAAAGAGAAAGAGUGAUCGAGAGAGAGAACCUGAUCGAGCCAGAAACAAAGAGCCGCUGUCGCUGAGGGGUUUCAGAGUUUUGUCCUUGGAGAUGAACCAAAACCUCCAGACUUGGCGUGGAUCUGAACCCCGAUCCGGUGAGCCCAAUCCAGAGAGAAGAUCAGUUAAGCAUCGUCGUCAUCGCGAUUGUCGCCGAUCCUUGCCCCAAACCGAUAGAGAAAUCCGUCGAAAAAAACUCUCAGAAACACCGAAACCGAGAGCGAUUGAGAGGGAGAGACCGGUUCUCUAGUUUCUGCCGGAGAUUCGAGACCCCGUCAAGAGAGUGAUCGAGAGGGAGAAACCGUUUCUCUAGUUUCCGCCGGAAAUCCGAGAAAUCCUCUAAAGAACGCGUCAGAUCCGGCGAAAAAAUCCCUGAUCAAGAGAGUCACUGAUCAAACUCCAAAGAGAGAGCGAUUGAGAGAAAAAGAGGGAUUUGCCGAGUGAGAACCGGUAGAACGAGAACGAAACUGAACUCCUCUCGCAAUCCUCAACUGCCGGCCUUCAAUCUCCGAUCCUUGCUAAUGAGAGAAAACCCUAACCUUCGACUCGCUCGACGGAGAAACGCUGGAGACAGGGGCGGAAGCUUCCUCUGGUAGAAGGUGCGCGAGGCAGAGAUUUUCCCCCGAGGAAUGGUGGAUCUCUACUGAGAUUUCCCGAGGCUAGGGUUUCGAGAUCUGCCAUGGAAGCUCCAUUGAGCAGUUACGGAGAGAGGGAGAGAAAAUCCAGAGAGCCGAAUCCCGAGGGAGAGAGCACCCGAGAGUUUUCUUUUCUUCGAGCGAGCGCGGGAGAGAGCGAGAAUCAAUCACCAGAGAGAGAUCCCCCGCACGAAAAUUUUAGAGAGAGAGAGAGAGAGAGAGAGAGAGAGAGAGAGAAUCUUGUCAAAUGGCCCCCCAAUCGAAUGGCCCCCCUCCUUCCUUUUCUAUUUUUUUCUUUCUUUUCUCUCCUUUUUCUUUAUUUCUCUCUCUUUUUUUUCUUUUUUCCGUUUUUCUUAUUUCUAUUUUUUUUUAUCUUUUCAUUUUAAACAAAUUUUUUUUUUUUGCAAAUUAUUUGUUUAAAAUGUCGACGAAAAUUCUGGGUGUCAACAAAGGUACAGAUGCAAGAGUUGGACAAAUGACUUAUUCAUCCUAGUGCAUCGUCUUGAGGAGUGCCAGUUUUGUUUGUAAGGAAGAAAGAUGGUCCAUUGCGUCUUUGCAUUGACUAUUGACAACUCAAUCAAGUGACGAUCAAGAAUCCGUUACCAAGGAUCGAUGACUUGUUUGAUCAGCUGCAGGGAGCUUCGAUAUUUUCCAAGAUUCACCAAAGGACAGGUUACCAUCAGUUGAGGAUUAAGAAGGAGGGUAUACCAACGAGCUAGAUUUAGUUAGCAUCCAGUACACAUCAAUAAAAGUCACUCAAAUCUAGCAACAAAGCCACCAAUCAGCUAGAUUUAGUUAGCAUCUAGAACACAUCAAUAAAAGUCACUCAAAUCUAGCAACAAAGCCACCAAUCACUUGCAAGUUGCAGCAUUGUCACAACUUGAUCCACUCGGUAAAGAUCUCACUAGCAAAGGUGAAGUAGGUACUAGUUGCCAUCGGAAAUUGAUAGCUAGAACAAUUUCAUCAAGUUCAUCAGCACACACCUAACAUUAGAUGUUGGUCGCAUCCAAAGUGAUGGUUGCGAGAGUAAUGACAUCAAGGUGGUGAAGAUAUGAGGUUUUGUGUAUGUAUUUAGUGAUGUCAAGGUGCAAUGGCAACCUUGCCAUGGAAAUCUAGUAAUCAAUUUGAUUAUAGGCGUUAUAUGUACGUUGGCAUACGUAAAAACACUCAAUUUUGGUAAAAAUAGUUAGCUAACUCUCUCUCUCUCCUCUUUGCUUUGCACAAGUCACUUAGCCCUUUCAAUGAUCCCCAAAUUAAAAACAUUAGGGUAAAGAAGAUAGUUAUAAGCAUAUUCUUCCACUUUUUUUUAACGGGGAUAGUACUCUAAAUUUCCAUUUCGAAUAUACUCUAUGAAGAGAAGAACAAUGCAAGUGCCAUAACUUUCAUAGGGCACUUACUUGAGUGUUAUAACUUUAUUUUUCGCUUACUUAAAUGUCACAUUGGAGAGAAAUCGAUCAUUUAAGUGUCAUUUCCAACAAAUCAUCCUACCUGGAUUUUUUUUAUUAAUUUCCCAUUUUGACAUGGAUAUUUUUAAUUUUUUUUAUUGAUUGUUCAAGUUAGCACCCUUGAUGCCAUGUAAGGUGAUUGGUGUCCAUGUUGAAUUUCCCGGCAAAACAAAUUCCUAAUGAUAGUUAAGUGAUUGAAUUUUCAAAUUUGUGACAUUCAAGUGAUUGUUGUAUGAAAAUUAUGACACUUCUAGUGUACUUACCCCAAAAAUGCUUAUACAUGUAUCCAUUGAAUGAGUAAUUAUAUAAAUAUUUUGAAAAUUAUCAAUUUAGUCUUAAAUUUAAUGUACAAAUGUCAAAUCAGUUUUAACUUUUCAAUUUUAUCAAUAUAGUCAUUCACAUUUGUGCGAUAUUUAGAUGUAGCCUUUAUUGCCAAUUGCCGUCACAAAUGCAACAUGGAAAUUAACAAAUUGUCCACGUUAGCAUACCACUCAAGAUAGCCAGUAAUGACUAGAUGCCACAUUAACGAUUUUUAGCGGCAAUUGGUGGGAAAUACUAUAUUGACAAAAAUGAAAAGUAAGAUUGCUUAAGUGGAAUAAUUAAUUAUUGACAAGAAAAUUAUAAAAAUUGUAAUUACAUUAUAAGACAAUCCAAUCAAACCAUUGGCAAAUACAUAUUUUUUGUCAAUUCUAAAAUACUUAAGAAUUUCCAAAGAAAGAGAAGAAAUAAAAGUAAGAAAUAAUUUUAAAUCUAGGACUUGCAAGAGAUAUUGUGGUCAAUCGAAGGUAAUAGGGGUAUUGGAAAUCAAAAAACGAAUGAAAAAAACGCAAGCCUUCAUGAAUUUAUCCUUUUCACAUAAUGCUCAUUUAAAUGUUAGGCCUAAUCUAAUUAAUUAUUGUCGCGACCUACCCUUCGAGAGAUGGAAUAGAUUUAGAGGUAUUGCUUAAAGGACGAACCUAAGACUCAUGGUUAGGCAUGGGCUCUCCCAAACCUAUACCUCGCGCGACAUUAGGGUGUUCUUAAGAAUUUCACAAUAAAGAGUCGCUACUAGCCUAUUAGGGUCAAUUAGAAAUCAAAUGAGACAUGAUAGUGUACCUCACUUCUUACGUAACCGGAGAAUCUAAGGUUAGGGACUUAAUUACACUAAUUAACCAAUUAGUGUCAUUCCGGUACCUAAUCUUGUUCAUUUAAAAAAAAGAUUUUUAUCAAGCAGAUUUGAUUAACUUUAGAUUAAUCUACUAACAUGUGAGAUGAUCAUGCGGGUGCGCAAUCAUUAAAAUAACAAUUAGCAACCAAGGAAAGCAUUAAAUAAAUUGCAUGGGAGAGUAAAGAAUUAAUUCUAUAAAGAAGACAAAUGCUAAUCUUAACUAGACUAAAGAGAAGUCAAACUCAAUGUAUCAAUAUUGCUCAAUCAAAAGUAUUCAUCUUUAAGGACAACUAAACCCCUUGAGCAUGAUUCUAAAUUAAAAGACUUCCAUUUUUUUUUUAGGAGAAAAUAAACCAAGAGACUAAUUUUAACCUUUUUGAAGAAUUUUUUAAUUUUUUUAGAAUUUUUUAAUUUUUUCUAGAAAAUUUGAAUUUUUUAUUUUCCAAAACCUUUUGAUUUUUUUUUUGGUGUCUUUCUAAUCACUAUUGAAUUUUUUUAGAAUUUUCUGAAUUUUGGAAUUUUCUGAGUGUUUUUGAAUUUUCCUCAAUUCUCUAGUUUUUCUUUUUUUAAUUAAUUUUUCAAAAAAGAACUCAAAUUUUCAAUAUUUUCUGAAAUUUUUUUGAAUUUUUUUAAUGUGCUUUGAAAGUUGUUGAAUUUUCGAAAAUAUUUUGAAUUUUUAUUAUAGGGAAAACGGGUUCGGACCGGGUAGACCCGGUCCGACCUGCUAGCCCGAUCCGAUGACCCGAACUCACACUAAAAAUGAUAAAAUCUAUUUUUAAAACCCUUUUUUCUAUAUUAAUAUUAUUUUUUAAUUAAUUUUGUUUUGUCUUUUCCCUAUUUUGUCUUUUCUAUUGCACUCUCUUCUUCCUUCACUCUUUCUUCACGGAACGUCUUCCCCCUUUUGUCCUUUUUUAUUUCUUUUUAUUUUAUUUUCCUUUUAUUUUCUUCUUCCCCUUCUCUGGUCUUCUUCUUCUCCACGACAUCCCCUUCUCGAGCGACGUCCUUCAACCCGAAGCUCCUACGUUCUUCUUGUUUUUUUUUUUUUUUUUUGGACAAACCUCGGCCAAAGCUCAAGCCGCCGCGAGUUACCACCCUCCAUCGAGCGGUCACUCUAGCUGCCACUCGUUGGCCGACCUCCCCGCCGCCGAACGCCCAAAACAGUGAAGCCCGCGGCGUCCCAGGACCGACCAGCUCCUAGCCAACCCGAUGCAGUCACCGACCGGAGGGUCACCGUCGUUCCGAAACAGACCAUACCUGGAGAAAACAACUAUGGAUCUCGUUCGGACAUUUUGUCGAACAGGUAGUAUAUGCUACGGAAACAAGAGAUCUUUGACUCGACCGAAGACCAGAACCCGCGACAACAACAGCACGCACAGCAACAGCAAAACGAGGGACGGACGGGGCCGGAGUUCGCCUCAGCCGGACGGCCGCUAGCUCCGGUUCGGCAUGCUCAAAAAAGGCAAAAAGGGGGUCGAGGCUUAUCGGAGUUUCGACGCGGGAAAGGAGGCACGGCGUUCCUUCAACCACUCGUGUUCCCUGUCUCUCCCCCCUCUCUCCAUUGCUCUCCCCCUUUCUCUCGGAUCUCUCCUUCUUUGUUUUAUGCUCUUCAUCCUAGCGAUGACAGCUGUCCUUCGUAGACUUGUACCGCACGACAUUCUCAGUCGAGCGUCGCGCGCAGCCCUGCCUCCGUCCGUCCUCGCCGUCCUUGCCCCCGCUCAUCCGUUGCUGCUGCCCUUUUACUUUCUUUGGCAAGUCGCGCGCGAAGCUAGCUCGGAGGAAGAAGACAAGCCGGGAGGGCCGGGCCGAAGGGAAGGAAAGGCUGGGCCCUCGCGGAAAAAUGAAAGAAAGAGAAGGAAGGGUCGGGCCUUGGCCCAUGUGGGGAAGGAAGGAGAGGCGGGUCGGGCCAAGGUCGUAUUCGGCCCAACCAGGCCUCUCUCGUGCGUUUAUUAUUAUUAUUAUUUUAAAUAUCUGUUUGAGAAAAAUUAGGUAUCAACAUUUAUAUUUGAGUUUAUGUGAGUAAAAUAAGGAGAAGGUAUGAUAGGUUUCUAGAGUCAAGAGGCAUACAUUAGUUGGGAAAAAUGAUAGGCGAAUGAGGAAUCUUAAAUUAAUACUACUUAUGUAUUAAUAGUUAAUAAUUUUUUUGAUGAUAUUUUAAUUUCAAUUUAGUUGAAAAUUAAAUUUAAAACAUUUUGGAUUUUAUAUUUAAUGGGCCUCAUUCAUGAGAAGUACUUAGUUUUAUAUAAAUAGUACCUACUUCUAGUAAUAUGUCUUAUAAAGAAUUCGUUAAUGCAAGGCAUUUCUUUGCAUGGACCCUUGUGGUAAAACUGAGAGGGAUACCUACAUUCAUUGGCCCUCUCUAGCCUUUUUACUUAUAAAAAAAAAAAAUACAUAAGAUAAAAAUAGCAUGAGUGUCACAACUUUUAUGUAGUACUCACUUGAGCAUUAUAACUUCUUCUUUUUUGCUCACUUAAGUGCCACAUCAAAGUAAAAUCAAUUAUUUGAGUGUCAUUCUCGGCAAAUCAUUAUACCGGGAUUUUUUUAAUUAAUUUUCCAUUUUUACAUGGAAUUUUUUGAAUUUUAUAUUUAUUGCCUACGUCAAUACCAGUGAAGCUACCUAGGACAAUUGGCAUCCGUAUCAAAUUUUUCGGCAAGGAAAAUCGCCGAUGGCACCCGAGCAAUUGAUUUUUUGAAUUUAUAGUAUUCAAAUGAGCAAAAAAAGUUAUAAAAGUUAUGACACUUGUGUUGUUAUUAUCUAAUUUUCACAGCUGUAGCCAUGUGACUCAGUGGAGACGUCUGUAGCCAUGUGAUCUCAGUGGAGACGGCUGGACCCACCCACUCAAUGUUCAUCCCUGAAGAUGCCAUGUCCGUUCCUCCUCUUCAUCCUCCGCCUCUCGCGCACGGCUUGACGGGUGCAGUGGCGGCUGGAAGUUGGCGUGGGAUUGGCUUUCGUGACUUUAGUCGUCCGCAGCCUCCGAGACGAGGAACCGGUGGAGAAAGAUUGGGGUUUCGGUACUUGCCGUUUUAGCUUUAGGGGGAAGUUGAGGUUUUUCUUGUGGUUCAUGAAGAAGAAAGAUAAAAUUGGGCUAAUGCGGUUCAGGCAUUAGAUGGCAGAAGUAAUUUCUUUUGCCUUUAAAUAAGGAUGCUUAAUAGAAAUAACUAGCCCAGGACAUAAUUCAGGAAAAUUAUGAUUGACUAAGGAUGUUAACUUUGAUACAAAGUAAUAAAUGUGGUUGCUCCAGAUCUUAAUGCAUUAAAUUGUGAUGCUGCACAUAGUGGUGCAUCAUGAAAGUUUCCAAUGUUUUGAAUUAUAAGAACAUCAAAAAAAGUUGAGGAUGAAUUAUAGACCAAUUUUAUUGAGUCACAAGUUAAUGGGGAAAUCUUAAGUGCUUAUUUGAAAUGGCCUUUUCUCUUGAAUGGUCUUUUUUUUUUUUUUUUUGCAAAAAUCAUAUGAAUUUACUUGAGUUUGAAUGUGAAUAUGCAUAUACUAUAUGAAAUUCAAGAUGCUCCAUACUUCAAAUGAAAUUUAAGACGCUAAGCAGGAAAUGAAAGUCGACUGAGCGUAUCUUCAGAAUCUCAUGACCAAGAACAAGAAAAUUGUUGAUACGAAGAACAGGUGGCUUAGGUGAAGAUGAUGGAGAUCCGACAUGGAACACUCAUGCCGAAUAGUGGAGACAAAAUCUUCAACCCUGCAAAAAGCUGUGGGGCCAUUAGCUAGAAAAAUCGGAUUCUGCAGUACCGCUUUCUUCAAGGAGCUCCUCAAGUCCAUUAGCCGGCGACUAUGUAAAUGAUUGUUAGGCCGUGUGAGUACCUCUUAGUGGGAAACCGCCAUCACCUUCAACCACUAGACCUUCCUUUUCCAUCAUGAUCAAUCCAAAAAGAUUUUCCAUAAUUAAUCAAUGCUCCUCUCAAUUUGUUGCCUUUUUUGAGAUGAUCAAUUCUUUCCCCUUUUUUUUGGAUUCACUUUCUCCCCUUGUCAUCAUGACAAUAUUCGCUAAUAGUACUAAUCGUGGCUUGUGCACAUUGAGCAGAAUAUUUUUCCAUUAUUUCCUUCGUAACGACAAUAUCUGCAACAAUCAUUUGCUUUUUAAAAUUCGAUGCAGAAAUUUGUUUUCUUCAAUCAAGCUUGUCUUGAAUUUAAUCUGCAUAAACUCAACAAACUUUUUGCACAAAUGCGAUGUUAUAAUAUUUACGUAAUGUAUAAUGCAUUUUCUAUAGAUAAAUAAAUUGAAUAACAUAUAUAAGAUUAUCAAAUGUUUAAAUUUAGAGCUACUAAACUUUUCGUACGACACAUUAGGCAUUUGUCCAAUAAUUUGUGGGAACUUUGCGCAAGGAAGAUAAUUUUGAACCUCCAGAAAAUAGUAUAGAACCUUCACAAUUUUUGGAUCAAGCUUUUCAAAAUCCAUAUGAAAGAUUCUUUUGCCACUUGCAAAUUCUUGUAUAAUAAAUAACAAUUUUUGCAAAAAAAAAAAAAAAAAAAAACAAGUAAUAUCUUCCUUCGAUUUGUGGAUCAAACUUGCUAGAUAUAAGAUAUCUUCUAAGAAUAUAGCAAGGGUAUUCAUGAAUAUGCAAUAAUAUCUUUCACGAUCAAAGGGAUUUCCUUGAGCAUAAAAACUCAAAAACAUAUUAUUGAUGCAUUUCGCAAAAAGAAAGUAGAUAUUUCUAUCACUUGCCAAAUCAAGCAAUUAAAAAAAAAAAAUGCAUUGGGAAAGUUUCCAGCACAUGACCAAUUCAUUCUUAGCGAAAAUGAAGCUCAGCACUAUCUCAAAUCCAAAUGAGAAGCAGGCACUAACAUCUUGGAAAAGCGCUUCUGAUCCAUCAAUUGGAAGCUUCUCUGCAAGUCUUGUUCAACGUUAUAUUCCUGAACUUUUCAUUUGGAAUUGCAGUUCUCUAUAUUGGCGAAGCGGUCCAAUUGGAGUACCUAAGAAGCAAUCAGUCUAUAUUAAUGGGUUUGACCUGGUUAUCGAUCAGGAAGGAACAGUCUAUCUAUCUUACAGUUUUUCUGAGGCGUCUUACUUUUCAUAAUUGUUGUUGAAAUAAAAUGGAGAUUUAGUGCAACCAUAUUUGGAGAAGAAUAGUUCCUGGAAGAUUGUUUGGUCAUCUCAGGUGAGCGAUUGUGAUGUAUAUGGCCAGUGCGGACCGUUUGGAAUCUGCAAUGCCAGGAAUUCACCAAUUUGUAGCUGCUUGAGAGGCUUUGAGCCUAAAAACUCUGAGGAAUGGAGCAGAGGAAAUUGGUCCAGUGGAUGCAUUCGGAAGUUAUCGCUGCAGUGCAAUGGAACUACAAAUGGUUUCGGUACCGCCAGCAAAAAGGAUGGAUUUUUAAAGCUGGAAAUGAUGAAAGUGCCAAAUUCAGCAAUUUUUUAUUCUAGACUCGAAAAUGAUUGCCCAGGAAAUUGCUCAAUUAGUUGUUCAUGUGUAGCAUAUGCAUAUGACUCUGGAGUCGGCUGCAUGUUCUGGACAGGAGACCUAAUUGACCUACAGAAGUUCUCCGUUGGAUGAACAACUCUCUAUGUUCGGCUGGCCCACUCAGAACUUGGUAAAUUAACUUUACUCUUAGAUUAUGGUUCUCAUCACUUUGGUAGUGCAGAUAUGUUUAGAUGGAUCGAUACACUCGGCUCGAUUCACUCUUCAAGACUUGGCGAUUNNNNNNNNNNNNNNNNNNNNNNNNNNNNNNNNNNNNNNNNNNNNNNNNNNNNNNNNNNNNNNNNNNNNNNNNNNNNNNNNNNNNNNNNNNNNNNNNNNNNNNNNNNNNNNNNNNNNNNNNNNNNNNNNNNNNNNNNNNNNNNNNNNNNNNNNNNNNNCGUUGAAAUAAUUGGUUUAGUAGUUGCUUACUAGCAGCAUCAACAUAAUCUGAGACAUCUGUUCAUGUCUCCAUUCUGAUCUCCAGACGAAAAGGGACAUCUGAGAGAAAUCGUAGCGACUACAGUCAUCAUGGGAACACUCAUUGUCAUCAUCACAAUAUGGUUUGCCAGGAGGAAGGCGAAAAAACAAGGUAACAGGCAGUGCAACUGUUGAAUCUUGGAAUAGCCACUAAUAUCUGAGUUUGCAUGGAAAAAAUAACAUUGUUUUCUGGAUCAGCAGUAAAGGAAGGAAAGGAAAAACACUUGUCCAGUGGCGAAGCCCCUUCACUGGUAAUGCUUGAAGAGAACUUGAGCAGAGUUAAAUUCCAGGAGUUUGUCAAAUAUAAAAUUGAUGAAUUGGUUGCAGCAACAGGAAACUUUGGUGAGGCUAAUAAGCUUGGACGGGGGUGGUUUCGGUCCGGUAUACAAGGUAUUAUUAUUCAUGUAGAGUUAAGUAUUAUAUACGUAGUUGUGUGUGAGUGUAAACAGCUCAUUUAGUCCAUGUGUACAGGGGAGACCACCAAACGGUCAGGAAACAGCAAUCAAGAGGCUAUCGAGAGCCUCAGGACAAGGGCAUCAAGAAUUUAUGAACGAAAUGGUGGUCAUCCGUAACAUCUAACAUCGAAAUCUCGUUAGACUUCUGGGAUGCUGUUUUGAAGGAGAUGAGAAAAUGUUAAUCUGCGAAUUCAUGCCAAACAAGAGUCUUGACACAUUUCUUUUUGGUAAUAUUUCGCUUAUUUCGAUGUUGCCUCAAACUAUCAUUUAUACCAUAUAUCCAGAAAGCCUCAUUUGUAUGGUUAGCCAUUUGAGCAGGAUUGGACUGUUCUCGCUGCAAAUGUUAUGCGCUUCCUGUUUGGCUUUAAACUUCCGGGCAUUUCACUCUUUUCCAGUUGCAAAAAUGAUUUUUUUGCAUUACAGUUUUAUGUCUAUGCAGAUCCACUGAAACAAGUACAUUUGGAUUGGAGAACACGGUUCAACAUUGUCGAUGGAAUUUGUCGCGGUCUGCUUUAUCUUCAUAGGGACUCCAGAUUGAGGAUUAUACAUAGAGAUAUGAAGGCAAGCAAUAUCCUCCUAGAUGAAGAGCUCAAUCCAAAAAUUUCAGACUUUGGAAUGGCUCGGAUAUUUGGGGGAAAUGAAAAUCAAGCUAAUACACAGGAACCUAGUUAGUACCUCUUUAGUUUGACAUUCCUAGUGAUUUUAUUCUCUACUCAUAAUAAGGAAACUGAACUUGUUUAAUGGAAUGUAGUGGUUACACGACUCUUGAAUAUGCAAUGGAAGAACGAUUUUUGGAAAAAUAAGAUGUCUUUAGCUUCAGCAUAUUAUUACUUGAGAUCGUAAGUGGAAGACGGAAUACUAGUUUUCAUUAUGAAGAUCAAUGCUUGAGCCUUCUUGGACUGGUAAGCUCUCAUUGAUAAAAAAAAAUACCGCAUACUAUUCUUAUAAAUUAUUGUUGGAAUAUAAUACGCAGAAACGACAGGAUCUUACAAUUUACGUCAACGUUAAAUCGCCAGAGAAAUAAACGAGAAAUAAUAAGGGCACAAAAAAUUUACGUAAUUCGAUUCUAGUAUCGGUACCUACAUCUAAGGGUGUUAGUAACUGAACCGAAUUGAACCGAACCGAAAAAUUCGGUUUUUUCAGUUUGGUUUGGUUUUUAUCGGUUAACCGAACCGAACCGAACCAACGAAUAAAAGUGGAGAAAUAAAAGUGGAGAAAUCUGAGUUUAAUAGAAAAAAAAUGAAAACCGAAAACCAAAGGUUAAAAAUGAAAAAUCGAAAAAAACCCAACCGAAAAAUUUGGUUCGGUUCGGUUUGGAAGAUUUUUCUAAUGGUUCAGUUCGGUUCUGUUUUUCAAAAAAACAUAACCGAAUCGAACCGUCGACAUCCCUACCUAUGUCCACGAGGAGAACCAAUAGCAAAUAAUUCACUAUAAUCGGAGAAUCAAAGUUUAUAAUCGCUCACGCUCGGUGUUUUCCACAUUUAGAUUUAACUCUAAACCCAAAGUAUUUAUAAAUAAACAACUCACUUGGACAUAAACUCACGGUACAAAAUUACCGUGUGUUCAAGCUUGUAACAAAAAGAAAAAACGUGCAUGGCUCUCUUCAACUUGACGUGUGCCACUUGCAGCUCCUUUUCUUUUUCUCUCGUAGGGUUUCAGCCGCUAUCUCCUAGAGAUGUGCUUGUUCUACUUUAUAUAUGUGUCCAAGUCAAAAUUUUGAUCUGAGCCCACCAGCUUUUCUCUCUACGUACAAGAGGGCUUCUCACCUUUUUUUUUUCUUUCCCUUUUUAGCUAAAAAGAAACUGAGGUGUGCAAUAUUGUGUGCCUUGCCCAAAGUCAAAUAUUUGACUUUGGGCCCCACCAUGUAUAAUUUGCAGAGAGAUUCGGCUCCUCCAAAGCAAAGAGGAAACUUUUGCUUCUUUUAUUUUAUUUUAUUUCAUCUUUUGUAAUUCUUCAAGAGUCUAGCGAAACUUUUCUAUUGACCAAAAACAUCCAAGUGAAUCGCGUUUUACAAAUAAUCAAAUUUGAGACAUAAUUUAACAAUUUUCUACCUUGACUCGAUAUUUGAAGUCAAGUUAUAGUGCUCAUCAUCAAUGCUGCUCCCCCAACACCCCGACGGACACUCACUCUCCACAGACGCCAAUGGAGCUUAAGUAGAGCUUGAACUUCACCAAAGAAACAGACUUAGUUAUCAUGUCUGUCGGGUUGUUUGCUAUAACAAUCUUUUUGACAAUAAAAUUAUCCAUAGCUAAGACAUUUCGGAUGAAGUGGUACCUAAUGUUAAUAUGCUUCGUUCACUCGUGAUAAAUUAGAUUAUACGCCAAAUAUAUCGCACCUUGGUUAUGAUAGUAUAUAUCCAGACUUUUCUGUUUUAACCCAAAGUCCGAGAGCAAACGUUGUAACUAUAUCGCCUCCUUCGCUACAAAGUUUAGUGCCAUGUACUUUGCCUUAGUCGAAAACAAGACAAUGUGAUCCUGUAAAAAUGAUUUCCAACUAACUGCACCACUCGCUAGCGUAAACAUGUAACCUAUUAAAUAUUUGCAAUCAUUCAAAUCAUUGACGUGAUCCAAAUCCACAAAACCAAUAAUCUUACUGCUAUUGCUGUCUCUCCGAUAUACUAUACCCAUGUCUGUUGUCCCCUUCAAAUAUUUGAGGAUCCAUUUCACAGCUUCCUAAUGAGCUUUACUAGAAUACUUCAUAUAGCGACUAACUACGCUCACAGCUUAUGAAAUAUCAGGUUUAGUACACACUAUAACAUACAUAAUACUACCCAUGACACUAGAAUAAGGAACAUGAGACAUAUGCUCCUCCUCCUCCUAAGUUUAUGGUGAUAAUUUAUCUUAAAGUUUGAAGUACUUCGCUAAAGGUGUACUUACAGAUUUUGCUGACUACAUAUUAAAAUGUGCCACAAUCUUUUCAAUAUAUUUCUUCUAAGAUAGACGUAAAACUUUUACAAUCCUAUCACGCAAAAUCUCCAUACCUAAAAUUUUCUAUGUAGCACCUAAAUCUUUCAUCUCAAAUUUAGCAUUUAACCGCUUUUUCAGCACAUCAAUAUCAGAUAUAUUCUUAGCUGCUAUCAGCAUAUCAUCAACAUAUAAAAGUAGAUAAAUCAAAGAACUAUUCUCCAAUCUCCUAUAGUAAACACAACUAUCCAUCUGACUUUUUGUAUAAUCUUGACUAGCCAUGAAAGCAUCAAAAUGUUUAUACCACUGCCUAUGAGACUGUUUCAGCCUAUAUAAAGAUUAUUUAACAAGCAAACAUGAUCUUCCUUACUUGGAAUAGCAAAUCCCUCUAGUUGCCUCAUGUAAAUCUGCUCCUCCAACUCACCGUGAAGAAAUACAGUUUUCACAUCUAGUUGCUCUAACUUGAGAUCCUGUAAAGCAACUAAGGCAAGUAAAAUACGAAUAGAACUAUUUCUUACCACAGGAGAGAACACCUCAUUGUAGUUAAUGCUCUCACGCUGUGUACAUCCCUUCGUCACAAGUCUCUCCUUAUACCUUGCUACCUCAAUACAGUGAAUGCCCUCUUUCCGUUUGAAGACCCAUUUACUUUCGAUAAUCUUUUGACUCUUCGGUACUUUAACUAGCUCCCAUGUCUAAUUUUGAUGGAGUGAUUCUAUCUCUUCACUCAUAACUCUUAGCCACUACGAUGACUCCGAACUAGCCAUCGCCUCAGAAUAAGACAAAAGCUCAUUUGUCUCCACCUCAUCACCUAUGGUCAAUGCAUAAGCAAUAUUUGUAUAACCAUAACGUACUAGUGAUUUAAUUUGUCUUCUUUGUCUAUCUGCAGCUAUAAUGUGCUGUGGUUUUGCUGGUUGUUGACUAUCACCGACUUCAGGAACUGCAGCUUCAUUUGCAGUCUCAACUUAUAUCACAUUCGAGGUCUUCGAAGUCUCCACCUGAAGCUCCACCUCACUAAUGACACAAUAAUAUGUCUUUUCUGCUGAUUGUGUCUCAAAACUCCUCUAUUGAAGCAUUGCAAUCUCGUCGAAUAUCACAUCUCCACCGAUUAGAAAACUGAGUGAUUUGGGAUUAGUGCUCCACAGCUUGUAGCUUUUCACUCCAUAUGCAUAACCUAGAAAUAUGCACUUUUUUGCCAUCGGCUCAAGCUUACCAUCACUCGCAUGAGCAUAUGCAGGAUAUUCAAAUAUACGUAAUCCGGAAUAAUCAACAGAUUUCCCCAACCAUACUUUCUUAGGAGUCUUCCACACGAUAGCAGAUGAUAGAGAUCGAUUAACUAGGUAACAAGCCAUGUUCACUGCUUCAGCCCAAAAUUCAUUGCCAAGUCCUACAUGCGAAAGCAUGCAUGGAGCUUGCUCAAGCAAAGUUCUGCUAUUUCAUUCUGCCACACAAUUCUGCUGUGUUGUCCCAGGUACUGUGUGGUGUCUCACAAUAUCUUCUUUCUUGCAUAACUCAAUAAAAUCUUUACUACAAAACUUUAUGCCAUUAUCGAUUCUUAGGCACUUGAUAUGUUUAUUUGACUGCUUCUUAAUCAAUGUCUUAAAUUUCUUGAACCGAUCAAACAGUUCAUAUUUGUGCUUCAAAAAGUAUACCUAUACAUUCCUCGAAUAGUCAUCGAUAAAUGUCAGCAUAUAUUGGGCUCCUCCUUUCGAAGAAACCAAAUAUGGGCCCCAAACGUCUGAAUGAAUAUAUUCAAUGGGUCGUUUGAUUGAAUGAAUAGCUAUAGUAAACUUAACUCGAUGCUGCUUCCCAAAGAUGCAGUGCUCACAUAAGUCUAGCUUUCCUGUUUUUUGACCUUUCAACAACCCAUUUUCACUCUACAUCGUCAUACCUACUUCACUCAUAUGCCCUAAACGCAUAUGUUAUAAUUGAGUCAAGUUGGAGUCUGACUCACUUGAUGAAAUUGCAGCAGUUCCAAUUACAGUCUCUCCUAGUAGAUGAUAGAGAGUAUUCAUUUUCUUCCCCUUCAUCAUUGUCAUGGCACAUCGAGAGAUUUUCAGUACUUCACCUUCAGUGGUGUACCUACACUCAAUGUCAUUGAGUGUCCCUAGAGAAAUAAGGUUCUUCUUGAGCUCUAGUACAUACUUCACAUCUGUCAAUGUGCGCACCACCCCAUCAUGCAUCUGUAUCCGAAUUGUCUCUAUCCCCAUAGUCUUACGGACUGCAUUAUUCCCCAAAAGAACCCUAUCACCAUUUGCAGCAUGGUAAGUAGUAAAUUAGUUCUUAUAAUGUGUCAUACGAUAAGAACACUUCGAAUCUAGCACUCAUUCGUCUCAUGACGAAGUAGAAGUCACACAUAAAACAACUUCUACAUCACUAUUGCUCCCCUCAGCAACGUUUGCCGUACUACUUAUGGCAUUCUAACUAUCAACUUUAUUCCUCCAUUGGACAAUCUCUCCUGAUGUGCCCCUCCUUGUUACAUUCAAAGCACUUCACGUAUCCCUUGGACUUUCUAUGGCGUGAUUUCGAUUUGCUUUUACCUUUGCUACUACUAGGCCAUUGGUGUUGUUCUCUACCUCGAAUCGUCAAUGCUUGCACUACUCCUUGUGCCAGACCGUCAUAUCGCAACUUUCUAUGCCAUUCUUUAUAAAAUAAGGCAGCUUUUACCUCUUCUGAGGUAAUUGUAGUACGCCCCUGCAACAAUGAAUCAGUAAAGUGCUCCCAUGACUCUAGUAACUCCCAUGACUCUAGUAAAGAGGCUAACAACAUCAUGCCAUGUUCUUCAUCAUCAAGUAUUAUACUGACGUUCUUCAAAUCCAUCAUGAGUUUAUUAAAUUUAUCUAGGUGGGUUCUGAUAGACGUACUUUCAAUAUAUCUAAAUUGAAACAUCUUCUUCAACAUGUAAAAGCAAUUGUUCAAACCUUUCUUCACAUAGAGUGCUUGAAGUUUUGCCUAUAAUGUUGCAGCAUCAUUAUCCUCAACAACCUCUAUUAAAACCUCAUCUGACAAGUUUAACAGGAUUGUGCUAUUUGUUCUUUCCAUUAGCUCUACCCUCUUUGAGGCUUUCAUUAUAAUAUACAACUCAUCUUCACCAUUCAGUGCCUUGGCCAAACCUUGGGUUGUCAAUAAUGCUUGCAUCUUGAUGCUCCAUAACACAAAGUUGUUGCUCCAAUUAAACUUCUCAAUUUCAGAUUUCCUCUCAAAUAUAAUUGCAGUAACAAAAUUCCAAAUAAUAAUUAGACAAGCAAAAGCUCCAAAUCACAAUCAAGAAAAUUGAUCCCAACCAAACUUUGAUAUCAAUUGUUGGAAUAUAAUACGCGAAAACGACAGGAUAUUGCAAUUUACGUCAACGCGAAAUCGCCAGAGAAAUAAAUGAGAAAUAAUAAGGACACCAGAAAUUUACGUGGUUCGGUCUAAAUAUCGGUACCUACGUCCACGGGGAGAGCCAUCAACAAAUAAUCCACUACAAUUGGAGAAUCAGAGUUUAUAAUCGCUUACAUACUUGAGUGUUUCCCAUACCUAAAUUUAACCAAAAACCCAAAGUAUUUAUAAAUAAACAACUCACUUGGACAUAAAUUCACAGCACAAAAUUACCACGCGUUCAAGCUUGAAACAAAAAAAGUGUGUGGCUCUCUUCAGCUUGACAUGUGCAGCUUGUGGCUCCUUUUCUUUUUCUCUCGUAUGGUUUCAGCCGCUACCUCGUGGAGAUGUGCAUGUUAUGCUUUAUAUAUGUGCCCAGGUCAAAAGUUUGACCUGGGCCCACUAGCUUUUCUCUCUAUGUACAAGAGGGCUUCUCACCUUUUUUUUUUCUUUUCCCUUUUUAGCUAAAAAGAAACCCAGGCAUGCAAGAUUGUGUGCCCAAAGUCAAAUAUUUGACUUUGGGCCCCACCAUAUAUAACUUGCAGAGAGAUUCGACUCCUCCACAGUAAAGAAGAAACUUUUGUUUAUUUUAUUUUAUUUUAUUUUAUUUUAUCUUUUGUAAAUCUUCAAAAGUCCAGUGAAACUUUUCUAUUGACCAAAAACAUUCAAGCGAAUCGCGUUUUGCAAACGCUCAAACUCAAAACAUAAUUUAACAAUGAAUUGGAACUCCAAUAAUAAAUUGACUUGAUUAAUUUGCAGGCAUGGAAGUUAUGGAGUGAAGAGAAUGUUCUAGCUCUAGUGGACCCAAGCAUACCUGCUAAAUGUCUUGAGGUUAAGCUUUCAAGGUGCAUAAAUGUGGGGCUUCUUUGUACGCAAGAAAGGGCUAAAGAUAUAUUAACUGUUAUUUCAAUGAUCAAUAGUGAAGUGGAUCUUCCUCAUCCAAAGAAACCUGCGUUCACCUCGAGGAAAAUAACUCAAGACACAUAUUCCUCUAGUAAAAGCCAAAAAACAUGUUUUGUCAACGAUGUUACUGUUACUGUUCUUCAAGGCAGAUGACAUGAUCUGAAUUUUUGCAAGAUUCUCCCUAAAAGUCCUGUUCUUACCGUUUCAAGUUACUAGUUUUAUUUUUACACAAUCUUACUUGGAAAUGUAUAGAAACGCAAAACAUGAACUAUUUUUUUUUCCACUUUACAGUUCUCUACUACACAUAUUUGUGUCAUCAAAAGUUGAAGUUAAAAAAUUUAGGGCCUUCUGGUGGGAAUAAUGCUUCUACUUCUCAUAUUGGGAGCCAGUGGGUUAGAUAAAGUUCUGAAAAAAUUGCAGACAGCCCCCCUCCACUAUGGGGAGAAGCAAUUAGAUCCCUCCUUCAAAUGUUCGCAACUACUUCUUGACGUUUCUAUUUGUUCCAACUUCAAAUCUAAAUCUUAGCACCACUAGAAACAACCUCAAGUUUUCACUAAUGUUCAUUUUGCAUCAUAAAUUCAAUGGCAUGGCUAGCUCAAAAAGUUCCACUAAUCCUGUUGAUGUGGGAAUGAUAUAGUUCAUUUUACUCAACAUUGUUGUCCCUGUCAAUUGAUUGUAAAAUUUCAUUCGGCAAAAUGAUACUAGAAGUGUCAUAAGUUGUGUGCAGUGCUCACUUAAGGGCCAAAUUUUUUUCAGAUAACUUAAGCACCACUUUUUUGAAAAAAUAAUCACUUGAAUGCCAACUCUGAUAUGAGUUGUUAGAAAUUCAAUGUAGCCAUAUUUUAUUAAUUUUUUGAUCUUAGGUGGCUCGUCGGCAUGCCUAGUCAGCAUAUAACCCCUAAACAACGUUGUGUAGCAAGUUAAAAAGUGAUCACUUUAGUGCAAAAAAAUAUCACUUCAGAUAAAAAUUUUAAUUAUAAUUUUGACAUAAUUUCUCUAACAAGAAUUUCUCGCCGGAAGCACUUAAACUAUUAUUUUUAUCUGAUUUUGGCACUUUAGUGAACUAGCAAAAACUUUUGGCACUAAAUUGAACACUAUACAUAACUUAUGACACUUCUGAUAUCCUUCUCACGAGUUCAAUUAGUAUAAUUGAUUGUGAGUGACUGGAAACUAAGGGUGUGUUUGGUAACCAUUUUAUUUCAAGGAAUAAUUUUUUAUCAUAAAUUGUUUUUUUCUAAUUUUAUUCCCAAGAACAAUUUCUGAGCAAAAGAAUGCUUGAAGUUAACUGUCUAAAAUUUCUCUUCCAAGGAUAGAAAUACAUUUGGUAAAGUUCUUAAAUUCUUUUAUUUCUUUUAAUUUUUUAAUACUUUUAUUAUAUAUUUCUUAUUUUUCUCUUUUUUCUUUUUCUUUUUCCCUUCUUCCUCCUUCUUCUUUGUAGCCAAACGCUGGCCAUGGCUAGUUGGGCAAGGUUCGGUGAGCUCGUUUGAGCCUCGCUAGACUAGGGCAAGGUUCGGCGAACUCACCAAAGGCUUGCUUGGCCAUCGACGAGGCUUUACCUUGCUAAGGCAGCGCGAGGUCAGCUGAGCCUUGGCCUGGCAAGGCCAAACCUCACCAUGGCUAUGCGAGGCUCGGCCUCACCUUGGCUGGGUGAGGUCAACCUCACCCAGAUCUAGUGAGGUCGAGCUUGCCCAGUCAUCAGUGAAGCUUGGCCUCACCAAGCCACUAUCGGGCAAUGCCAAACUGGAGGUGCCCUAGCGAGGCCGAGCCUCGUCGAUGGCUAGGCAAGCUUAGCCUCACUAGAUAAGGUGAGGCUGAGCCUUGCCCAACCACGGUGAGGCUAGGCCUCGCCAAGGGCCGGCGAGGUCGUCGGCCCUCGUUUGGCCGAUCAUCGGCCAUAGUCGAGGUCGGUGACCGGCCAAAGGGAAGAAGAAGAGAAAAGAAAAGAAAAGAGAAGAAAAGAAAAAAAUAUGAACUAAUUUUAUUAAUUGUUCCCGGGAACAAGAAGCUAUUUUUUUUUUUUUUUACUUCUUGUUUCUAUUUCAAAUCUAUUCCCGGAAAUAAAAAAUCUAAAAUUUUUUUUACCAAUAAGUUUAUAUUCUUUUUUGGUUCCAUGGAAUAAAAGACCAGAAAUUGUGUCAAGACAGAAAUUGUGUUCAGACAGAAAUUGUUGUUCAAGGGAACAUAAAUUUUUUUACUAAAUAGAGCCUAAAGGUUUGCAUGAUAACACUUUGUUUUUCUAUUUUUUUGUUCUUUUGUUCCAUGGGAUAGAAAAAGAACAAAAAUUCAUUUAGUAAUGUCGAUUAAGUUUUCUAUCUCUUGGAAUAGAAAAGUGGUCAGGGACUAAAUUUGGAAUGGAAAUAAGAAGUAAAAAAAAAAUUAGUUUCUUACUCCUAAGAACAAAUUUUAGAAAUAAGUCAUUUUAUUUUUUAUUUUUGUUCUUUUCUUUUCUUUUUCCUUUUCUAAUCGAUUGUCGGAGCCUAGCUGUUUGCUGCCGCCCCAUUAGUCGCUAGUUGCCUUUGUUGUUUGCCAAUCAUUUAUUGCCGCUGCAGGUCACCGUCCAUCGUCGGUCGCCAGCCACAGUAGUGAUCGACUAGAGGAGGAAGAAGAAGGGAGAAAAAAAAGAAAAAAAAAAAAGGAAAAAUCUCAAAAAAAUUAUUGGAAAAUUAAAAGAAAUUCCACAUCAUAAAAAAAAUCUGUAGAUCACACCAAACAUGUGUUUAUGUUCUUUUUUAUUCCAAGAAUAGAAAUUUUAUGUAGUUACUAAACAUGUUUUACUCGGAAACUAUUUCAGGAAUAGAUAUAGAAAAGUAUUAUUUCUAAAAAAUAAUUAUUUUUACCAAACACACCUUAAAAAGCAAUCGUGGAAAUAUACAUGAAUCUACCAAGAAAGUGGCCAUUUAUGGAAAGCAAUCGCAGCCACCAUGCUGAAUGAAUGCAAGAGUCUAAAAUUUCGGUGGCGUGCAGGCUUGAAUGCUUUUUCUAGAGUUGACUUCGUCAAUGGGGGUAGAAAUCCUGAUGUAAGCACUCUAGCAUUUCGCUAAUGCUCUCACGGUGGCGCACUAGAUCAAGAUACUUGACUCAUAAGUCAAAGUGAAAAAAUAAACAAUGUCCAUUAUAUCCACCAUGCGACUCAACAUCAAAGACCGCCGAGUGGACGAGGAAAAUGUUCCCAUUCGAGCAAUUUAAAUUUCUUCAUGGAGAUGCUUAAACCAUCUUUUCCAGUCGAAAAUUUACCUUUAUCUUCGACCACAAGGUUUUCUCUCGAUAAUUGUGAUUUCCACCUUCUAUCCUAAACUUCAGGUUGUGUCUUCUGCUGUUCUAAAGCUAGCAAAAUCAGUUGUUGCUGAGAAGAAAGGUUCAAGUAGUCAUGAUUCAUCUAAGAAAAGUAAGAGUAUUCUCUCUCUUUAUUUUGUCUCAUUAUGCUGUGAAAUUUUGCAUUGGGGGAGAUAUCAUUACAGCAUCUGAGUACAUCCAAGACCCUGGAAGUAUCAUAUCAAGUGGAGGUCUCUACAGACUGGGAUUCUUUAGCCCCAAUGGUACUACCAAUCGGUAUGUCGGAAUUUGGCAUAACAAGAUUCCUGUGUUUAACGUCUUUUGGGUCGCAAACAGGGAGAAGCCUGUUCUAGAUUCUUCUGGUGUCAUGACCAUAUCCGAUGACGGUAAUCUUGUGAUAUUGAAUGGAAAGAAGGAAGUACUUUGGUCAUCAAACGUUUCCACCUCUGGAGCAAAUGCAAAAGCCCAAUUAUUAGAUGCUGGAAAUCUUAUCUUGCAAAAACAAAGCUCUAAUAUGAGCACAGAUUAUACAACGGCAUGGGAAAGUUUCCAGACCACGUGUGAUACGCUCAUUGCGAAAAUGAAGCUUAGCACCAACUUGAGAACAAAUGAGAAGCAGGUACUCACAUCUUGGAAAAGCCCUUCUGACCCAUCGAUUGGAAGUUUUUCAAUUAGUCUCGAACCACUAAAUAUUCCUGAAGUUUUCCUUUGGAACGGCACCACUCUAUAUUGGCGGAGUGGUCCAUGGAAUGGUAAGGUUUUCAUCGGAACUCCUGAGAUGUUAUCAGUCUAUCUUGAUGGAUUUAGCUUGGUGGAUGAUAAAGAAGGAUAUGUCUAUCUGAGUUACAAUUUUGCAGAGGUGUCUUAUUUGUCAUACUUUUUUUUGAGGUCAAAUGGGGAGUUGUUGCAGCCAUUCUGGGAUGAAAAAAAGAAGCAGUGGCGGAUCGAUUGGUCAACCCGGGCAUCUGACUGUGAUGUUUAUGGCAAGUGCGGUCCAUUUGGAUUCUGUGAUGCCAAGAAAUCACCAAUUUGCAGCUGCUUGAGGGGCUUUGAGCCAAAAAAAGUUGAAGAAUGGAGCAGAGGGAAUUGGUCCAGCGGAUGCAUCCAGAAGUCAUUGCUGCAAUGCAAUAAGUUGAAAAAUGGUAGUAGUAAAGCGGGAAAAAUUGAUGGAUUUAUAAAGCUUGAGAAUGUGAAAGUGCCGAAUUAUGCAAUCUGGUCAUCUCCUUUGGAAGACAAGUGCCGAGAGCAGUGCCUCAGUAAUUGUUCGUGCGCAGCAUAUGCUUAUGAUGCCGGCGUUGGUUGCAUGUACUGGAGCGGAGACCUAAUCGACGUACGGAAGUUCUCCUAUGCAGGAACAACUCUUUAUGUUCGAGUGGCCCAUACAGAACUCGGUAUGUUCAUUCCUAAAUUAAAUUUCUGAUCUAUCUGGUAAUACAACUUACUGCUAGAUGGUUAGGGAAUUUCAAUCAAUGUGAUACGCCAGGUGGAGUUGCGAUCCCUGAAAGCUAGCUAAUCAGUUCUUUUUUUAUUUUUUAAUAUGUGCUUCAAUCUCAGACAUCAUUGUUUGUCCGUAUUUUGAUCUGCAGAAGGAAAAAGAGAUCUGAGAGCAAUUAUAGCGACUGCAGCUGUUGUGGCAACUGUAAUUUUCAGUAUUGGUACUUUCUUCGCCUGGCAGAAGUCGAAAAAACGAGGUGGUAAAGACGGACACCAAUUUUCAAAGGCUUCUAGUGAGAACGUGCUCGGAGGGAGCUUAAGCAAAGUUAAUCUCCAGGAGCUUGUGCUAUAUAAAUUGGAAGAGCUGGCCACAGCAACAAGCAACUUUAGUGAUGCGAACAAGCUCGGGGAGGGUGGUUUUGGGGCAGUUUAUAGGGUAAUACUAUGUCAUGUAGAGGACAGCAGCUCCAUUUCUGCUUCUUCUUUCUGACUUUCGCAGCUCAUUUACGUCCUUUUGUGCAGGGGAGAUUGCUAAAUGGAAAAGAAAUAGCAGUCAAAAGACUAUCAGAGGCCUCUGGACAAGGAUUGCGGGAAUUUAUCAAUGAAAUGGAAGUGAUUUCCAAGGUCCAACAUCGUAAUCUUGUUCGACUCCUUGGAUGCUGUGCCGAGCAAGAUGAAAAACUAUUAAUCUAUGAGUUCAUGCCAAACAAGGGUCUAGAUGCAUUUCUUUUUGGUAAUAUUCCAUUUGUUGUAGUAUUCCGUCGAUCUAUCAUGGAAUACCAGUUUAUGGGGAAGUCAAGUUUUUAAUUUUACCUGUUUAAACAGACAUUGGCUGCACCUAUUGCACGUACUUUACAUUUUCAGUAUACAUGGGAGCCUCUUUCUGUGCAUUACACUCUUCUCCGGUCACAAAUUAACACAUAAUUUUAUGAAUUUCACUUCUAUUGUCUAUUUCAGAUCCGCUCAAACGAGAGCAACUGGAUUGGAGAAGACGAUUCAACAUCAUUGAUGGAAUUUGUCGAGGCCUACUAUACCUUCUCCGUGACUCCAGACUACGGAUAAUUCAUAGAGAUCUUAAGACAAGUAAUAUCCUGUUGGAUGAAGAGCUCAAUCCAAGAAUUUCAGACUUUGGAACGGCUAGAAUAUUUGGGGGAGAAGAAAAUCAAGGAGAUACACUAAGAGUUGUGGGAACCUAGUAAGUACUUCUUAUAUGAUGAGUCUCAUACUGAUUUUAUCUUUCUACCUAGCAUGAGGAAUAUUAAAGUGUUUUGUGGAAUGCAGUGGUUACAUGGCUCCAGAAUAUGCAAUGGAAGGGCGGUUCUCGGAAAAAUCAGAUGUCUUUAGCUUUGGGGUAGUAUUGCUGGAGAUUGUAAGUGGAAGACAGAACACUAGCUUCAAUGAGGAAGAUCAGUCCUUGAGCCUGUUAGGAUUGGUAAGCUGUUACAAACAGAGAGAUCACCCUAUUUCCAUCAGCUCAAAUUCCAAAACUAAUUAGACUUGAAUUCUGUUUUUUGGCAGGCAUGGAAAUAUUGGGAGGAAGACAAUGUACUUGCACUAGUGGACCCUAAAAUUUCUGUUGGAUGCUCCGAGAUUGAGAUCAUAAGGUGCAUAAAUGUGGGGCUACUUUGUACACAAGAACUUGCAAAUGAUAGGCCUACCAUUUCAACUGUUAUUUCAAUGAUUAACAAUGAAAUUGUUGGUCUUCCUCGUCCGAACAAACCUGCAUUCACCGAGAGGCAAACAACUACCGACACAGGUUCCUCCAGACAAUGUCAGAAAAAAUACUCUGCCAACAAUGUCACUAUUACCGCUCUUGAAGGCAGAUAAAAUGAGGAUACCAAAACCAAUAAGCUCGAAAGUUCAGCUCAGAGAUGCAAACGAUAGCCAGCUCGUGUCCUGGACAUGGAGUCAAUAAUGAGUACUAGCGUGAUCCUAUUUGCAUGUACUGUUUUCAAAAGCAGUCUUUGUAUUUUUUUUCGCCUUAAUCAUGUUCAAGCUUGCUUGGAAAUGUAUGAACAUAAAUUUGUGGAAUAGCAAAUUACUAUACGUUGGGUGGCAGUUAGGCCUUGCUUGUUUGGGUCAUUCCGAAGCUGGGAUGCAAAUAUUUGGAAAUUUCUGUGUUGGUACAGCAGUUGCCCUUUAGCAAGAAGCUCUGUUCAAUCAACUAGGCUAGUUUGAAACAAGAUAUGGAAUGCCAUUAAGCAAGACUUUUCGUACUAAUGUCCAUCAUAUGGUGAAUGAAACUAGAAUUCUCGUGAAAACUUUUUUCUUCCAUGUUUGUGCGUGUGGUCUUGUUGAAUUUUGCCUCUUCGUUCCAUAUAUCCAAUUGUCUGAGACCAUAUUAGAAACUAAAGCAUCAGGCACAGUGAAAACUAUCAGACAAACUUCUUUGUCAUAUUUGGUUCUUAAGACAAUGAAGAAUCUGCUAACUUCAACUCACCACAGAAAGCGUUUUCAACAAAAAUGUCCAUUGGCAUAGUAAAAAUGACAAUCAAAGUUUCAAAGAACUGACAGAGAAUAACGAUGUUUAGAAAUUGUUUUAGUGAAUUAGCCGAUAGAUACUUGGUAUUUGUCCAGAGAAUCACCCUUUGAAAUAAUCUGAAAACAAAGUUAAUUCAGCCUAUAGGGGCUUGCCGUGAAAGAGAAAAGGAGAGUUGACACCAAGUCAUUAAAACAGAAAUGGAAAAUUAGGUGUUGUUGGUAAAAGAGAGAGUACUUUAUUUUUUAGAUCAAAAGAAGUACUUAUAGGCUUAGGUUAAGUCUUGUACAACUACAUAGGUCAAAUACAUAAAUAGGCCCAACUUGCUAACACCUUAGAAUAAUAAAUAAUAAACUCAACACUAGCCCUCUUGUUGGGGCGUAUAUAUCAAGGUGCAACGGCAUCCUUGCCCUGAAAAUGUAGUCAUCAAUCUAAUUGUAGGUGAAAUAUAAGUGUCUACAUACGCAAAAACACUGAGUUUUGGCGAAAAUAGUUAGCCAACUCUCUCUUUUCCCUUUGGCAUGCACAAGUCACUUGCCCAUUUGAAUCACCCCCAAAUUAGAAACAUUAGGGUAAAGAAGAGAGUUGUAAGCAUACUUUCCUUCAUGAAAUGGGAAAAUACCAAGAAAUUUUUAUUCUUAUACAUUUUAGGGCCACAAAAAAUAAGAGUAAGUGAAAUGUUAGGUGACCAUGGCGAGUGAAAAUGAAAAUGAGUUUGUGAUUUUCUUGAUGUGAAAAUUGGAGAAAAAAGACAAUAUGAGUUGACUAUCUGGUCCUUACUAGUGGAUGGAAAGUGCAUUAGCAGCACCCAUCAAAUUUAGUACACUGUCUAUAUAAAAAAACAAAUUGAUUAUCGGUGAUGUAUUUGUAGCUACGAUCUAGGAUUAAUUGGCUAAAACGGGGCAAUAAAAAUAUCAAAUGUUUUCAUGUCACCACAAUUCAGAGAAGACAAGGGAACCAAAUUUCUACGCUAAUAUCUCCUACCGGGAAAUGGGUUCAUGAUGUAGACCAACUCAAACACCAGACAGGUCUCUUUUUCAACGAGCUUUAUACUACCUCAGGACCCAGGUAUUUUUAGCUUCACUUGGAGAAAUGUCCUACUGUCGUAGGGGAGGAGAUAAAUCAGUUUUUAAUAGCUAAUGUGACUUUAAAGGAGGUUACCGAAGGAAUUUAGCAAUUGGGUCCCACCAAAGCAAUAUGACUAAAUGGCUUGAAUGGAUAAUUCUAUAAUCACAAUGGAAGAUUUUCAAGCAUUGCAUCUUCGUUGAGGUGCAUAAUUUCUUUAAUUGAGGGGAUACUUAACCCGGAGUUGAACAAACACAUAUCGCACUCAUCCCAAGGCUCUGAAACUAUGACAUCCCCAUCUUGGUUUUCUUCUCUCUCCCUCCUCCUUCUCCUUCCCCUCAUGUUUCUCUCUCCCCGCCCCCUGCUGCCAACCCACCCACUCCCCUUCUCUCUCUCUCUCUUCUCCCCUCCCUCACGCCACCUCCUGCCAUCCCCUUCUCUUUUUAUUUUCCUUUCUUUUUUUCACUCUUCCUUCUCCCUCUUCUCUCUCUCUCUCUUCUCGCCUUCCCUUCUGCCGAUUCCUCCUCCAUUCUCCUUCCCUCUCCACUUCUUCCUUCCCCCCCUUCUUCUUCCUUUCUCUUGCUCGUUGCCGCUUCACCACCACCCCCACCCCCACCCCUUCUACCAACAUCAUCUCAUCACCACGCCACCAUCAUCUUCCCAUUUUUCUUUUCCCUUCCAAGCCGAGGCCACCCUCCCCUUUUUCUUUUUCUUUUUUCUUUACCAUUCGCCUACAUCACUGCCAUUGUUGCCGCCCCACUCCCCUUGGCCGCACCACCGUCACCACCUCUUGCCACCGUUUGCUCGCACCAUCUAUGCCGCCAUUGCUUUGCACCACACGUUGCCCGUCCGCCUAAGCUGAGCCCCCCCUUUGGCCGUGGGCUCAACUUCACCGAAUCGCCACCAUUUGUGCCGCCGUUCGAGUCGCGAGCAUCACAUUCUCGACGCCGUCGCACUGCCGUUGCCGCGAGCUCGCCGUCACCAGAAACCCAUGAAUUAACUUCCUAAUCAUGAAUUAGGGUGUUGAUUACGUGUAGGAGGUAGAUUAGUUAAGGAAAAGAGUAGUUAAUAUUAGUAAAUUUUAGUUUAUUCUUAAUUGCGAUUAAUGAUGGUUUAUAUUAAAUUUAAUUUGAUUAGUUUAAGUAAUUACGAUUAGAUUAAUUAAUUGUGGUUAGAUUAAUUAAUUGAGUUUAGUUUAAUUAAUCAUAAUUUAUUUAUUUAAUCAUAAUUUAUUUAAUUAAUCAUAGUUAUUUUAGUUAAUGUCCAUUUUUAAUUAAUUGUAGUUAGGCCAAUUAAUCAAGUUUAGUUUAAUUAAUUGUGAUUACCCUAACUAUAAUUAAUUAAUCGCGAUUAGUGUAAUUAGUGAUGGAUUAGCCAUUAAGUAGAAUUUAUGUUUGUUUUUCUAGAUUAGACUGUGCGUAAUUUCGUUUGUUUGCAUGUAUGAUGUUAUGUUAUUGAUUUCCCAAUUGUAAAUUUUAUUUAUUAUUUUCAAAAAGGGCUUUAUAGGCAAGAAAAUAGAAACAUAUGAGGUGUCGGGUUUGGAUGCCAAAUUUUACUUAUUAAAUAAAAUAAUUGGGUUUUGAAAUAGAAGUGUGCAAAGUUUGACUAGUUGAUUUCAAAUAUGUAACCACGUACGAAUAUUUUACUGGGAUUUUUAAAUAUGAAAAAUUGCCAAAGUGAUUAUUUUAAAAGCGAAUUAUUUUGUUCUUGGCUAAUUAAUAGCAAUAAAAAUUGGCUUGAUUGAUGGUGUGCUUAAGUGGUUAUUUAAUUGAACUUGUCACCUAACGAGAGUUUAGGGGCGAUGCUCAAUUUUUAUCGGAUGCUUGAUGGGAGUUCAGAUGCCGAGUCGCAGUUGAAUCCAGACCAAUGCUCCUUUAUAAAAUGCUGUCUAGGCGGGGGUUCUAGAUGAUGCUAUGCCCGAUGGGGCGGGACGAUGCUUGGUCAUGCCGGAAGACCGCUGACUCUUAUGUUGACUGUGGCCUGAGAGGUUGUAAUAAUUGGAACACAUGUGUUGGCAAUGCGCAUGAAAUUUUAGUAUGUGUUUUGAUUGUUAUUUAUGUAUGUUGCACUUUUAUUGCUAUGUGAGAUGUGCUAUUAUGCAGAGUUGUACCAAGGCGAGGUAAGUUUAUAUAUGGUGCGUGUUUAGGCUAUCCCGAGGUGAAUCAGCUUCCUAAUCGAGGUUUAGGCUAUUAACUCACUAAGAUUUAUAUCUCAUCCCGCUGUUGUUAAAUAUUUUUAUGUCCAUAGUAUGGAGUGUCGCCCCGUUGUUUUGGGGUCCCUUGGGAUAUGGAUGUGGAGACUACUCUAUUUCCUAUCCUAGGGACCGACCGAAUCCGCGAGCUGGUGGCCACAACCAUAUGGGUAGAUGUAGGGUUUGCUCAUGUAGUGCCCCAUAAUUUCAAGGCGUGGUUUAUUAGGGAGGCGAAUGGCAAUCGAAUUGGUCCACUUCAGGGUUUUAAUGGACCGCCAUCCGAGAAUGUGGGAAGGCAAGUAUGGGACCCCAUGGAUAUUGACAUCUCUGAUGAUGUCAUUUUGAAUCCAAAUUUUAAUCCGGAUGAGCCUAUGGAGGUGUUCCCCUCUGACCACGUGCUCGACUUUGCACCUGAAUACUAGGAUCGGUACCUGGAGCUAAUGAAGCUAAAAGUUAACCUUGACCUUUCUUACCCUUUUUGCUAAUAGGUCACAUAAGAGUUACCUUUUGUUGUAUGCAUGUAAAUGUUAAACUCCUUAGGUUACUAAGUUGAUAAAUAAAUCACUGCUUUGGAAAUCGUAUGUUGUGUUUUACUAUCCCAGUUUUGUUGAUUGACUAGGUGUUUAUUUGAGUUGCUUCCACAUGUGUUUAAUUGAAAGAUUAAAAAAAAAAGAAGGUCUACAACGCGUGUUGGAACAUCGCAAUUCAAUUGACCAUCGAGGGAUGUUUGCGCGCUCGGGGUUCGGGGCAUGACAUCCCUGUUUAAGUGGUAUUAGAGCUUGGUCAAAUUUUAGAGUGAUAAGGUGCAAUGGGUUUUGGGGUAGAUAGAUAGGAAAAACGGUUUUUCCUUAUACUUAUGCUUGUGAUUGAUUAAUUGUUUGGUGCGGGUUGCUCAGAUUUCUACUUCCUUGUUGGAAUUGGAAAGUAGGUUUCUAUAAGGACCUUGUGAGAUGAGUGAUCCUGAGCAGAGAGCCCCUUAAAGAAGGGCCGUAAAGGCUCUGACAAGUGCCGAGGGAAGGGCACCGAGAUGGGUUGGUACUAGAGGGAGAGCGCCGAUGUAGGUGUGUGCUAAAAGGAGGGCACCAAUUGAUCCUAGGGUUGACUGGAUCCUGUAAGCCCUAGAGACCUUGGGGAACGUGGUUGGGCAGUAAGCUUAGAAUCAAGCCAUCAUCCCCGCCGUUGCCGCUACUGCCGCCAAUGUUGUUGCUACCGCUACUGCACCUAUUGAAGUCCCACCUAAAAAUGGGAGUGGUGAGCGGCCUAUGCACAAGCUAGUGGAGUAGUUUCUGAGGCUAAAGCCUCUAAAGUUUACUGGAGCAAAUGAGCCCGAGGCAACAACCCUUUAGGUUCGAGAGUUGGAGAAGCCUUUUGCACUAUUGAGGUACUCAGAGGAGGACAAGGUGACCCUAUCCAUAUAUUAGCUGCUGGGUAAUGCAAGCACGUGGUGAGAAACCACUGAAGGAAGAGUGUUUCCUAAGAGUAUGGUCUCAGAGUAGGAUUCCUUCGUCGAAGUGUUUUACAGGAAAUAUUUCUUAGACUAUGCUCGAGAACAGAAGAUGGCUGAGAUUCAACAUCUUUGCCAGAACCAGAUAACUGUAGAUUAGUAUGAGGCGAAGUUUGUUGAGUUGUCGGAGUACACACCAAGGUUAAUUGAGGACCCGGUGGAUAGAGUUAGAAGGUUUAGAGAUGGCUUGAAGCCAGAGAUUAAGGACCCGCUGGUGCCGUUUAAUCUCAAGGACUAUGACGAACUGUAUGAAAGGGUCUAACUGAUUGAAAGGAAUCUGAAUGAGUGGGUAGCUGGAUCUAGGUUGCGGUUUGUGCCCAACAGAGAUAACAAUCGAUUUGGGAAGAGGCCAAUGAUGGGAGGAAAGUAUCCCAUCCCUCCCAACUGAAAGGGUAGAAUGGGAAAGUAGGCAUCCAACUUGAAUGGUGUGUGCCGAUUCUGUGGAAGGAAACAUGGAUCAGCCUGUGUUCUGCUAGAUUGGGAGCUUGCUAUGGAUGUGGCCAGCACAGCUAUCAAGUGAAGAAUUGCCCGCGCAGGCGCAUGGGAGCGUAGGCUACACUACCGCAGAUAGGAUAGGCAACAAGGAGUGUGUCGCAAAACACGCAACAAAGCAUUUUGAGCAGGCCUCUGUGCAAGGAAGAGUGUAUGUUGUCACCCAAAAGGAGGCGGAGAACUCAUAGAACGUGGUUAUAGGUACGGUCUUUUUGAACGAUCGUGCUGCUUAUGCUUUAUUUGAUCCUGGAGCCACACAUUCAUUUAUUGCUAAGCAGUUCAUUAAGUUAGUGGGAAGCGGUCAUUAGUAUAUCCACCUCGUUAAAGGAUAAAGUGUUGUCUGCGAUAAGGUGUCCUGGUUGCAAGUCAGUAAUUAGUGAUCGAGAGGAAAGAAUAGAUUUGAUUGUGCUGGUGAUGUUUGAUUUCGAUGUUAUUAUUGGUAUGGAUUGGCUCACCAAGCAACAGGCUACCAUAGAUUGUUAUCGUAAAGCGAUUCAAUUUAACUCGUUAGCAGGUAAAAGUUUCAAGUUUGUUGGAAAUCAAGGAGGAUUCUCGAUUACUUUAAUUUCGUCACUUGAGGCAAUCCGGUUGUUGGAUGUGGGUUGCUAAGGUUAUUUGGCAACAAUGGUUGAUACGUCAAUUGAGGAGUCAAGGAUAGAGGACAUUGUCGUAAUGCAUGAAUUUUCUAACGUUUUUCCUAAAGAGUUGCUUGGUUUGCCUCUAGAAAGGGAGAUAGAGUUCAUGAUUGAGUUGGCCCCUGGGAUAGAGCCAAUUUCUAAGGCUCCUUAUUGUAUGGCGCUAUCAGAGUUAAAGGAGUUAAAGGUACAGACGCAGGAAUUGUUGGACAAAGGAUUUAUUCAUCCUAGUGCAUCGCCUUGGGGAGUGCUGGUUUUGUUUGUAAGGAAGAAAGAUGGUUCGUUGCGUUUUUGCAUCGACUAUUGACAAUUGAAUCAAGUGACGAUCAAGAAAAAGUAUCCAUUACCAAGGAUUGAUGACUUAUUUGAUCAACUAUAGGGAACUUCGAUAUUUUCCAAGAUUAACCUAAGGAUAGAUUACUAUCAAUUGAGGAUUAAGAAGGAGGAUAUACCGAAGAUGAGCUAGAUUCAGUUAGCAUCCAGAACGCGUCAAUAAAAGUUACUCAAAUCUAGCAGCAAAGCCACCAAUCACUUGCAAGUUGCAACAUGCGUCACAACUUGAUCCACUCGGUAAAGAUCCCCCUAGCAAAGGUGAAGUAGGUACUAGUUGCCAUCAAAAAUUGAUAACUAGAACAAUUUCAUCAAGUUCAUCAGCACACACCUGACAUUAGAUGUUGGUCGCAUCCAAAGUGGUGGUGGCGAGAGUAAUGAUGUCAGGGUGGUGAAGAUAUGAGGUUUUGUGUAUGUAUUUAGUGAUGUCAAGGUGCAAUGACAACCUUGCCAUAGAAAUCUAGUAAUCAAUUUGAUUAUAGGUGAAAUAUGUACGUCGGCAUAGGUAAAAACACUCAAUUUUGGUAAAAAUAGUUAGCUAACUCUCUCUCCUCUUUGCUUUGCACAAGUCACUUAGCCCUUUCAAUGACCCCCAGAUUAAAAACAUUAGGGUAAAGAAGAGAGUUAUAAGCAUAUUCUUCCAAUUUUUAUUUUUUAAUGGGGAUAGUACUCUAAAUUUCCAUUUCAAAUACACUUUCUUGGGAGAAGAAUAAUACAAGUGCCAUAACUUUCAUACGGCACUUACUUGAGUGUAAUAACUUUAUUUUUCACUCACUUAAAUGUCACAUUGGAGAAAAAUCGAUCAUUUAAGUGACAUUUCCAGCAAAUCGUCCUUCAUGGAUUUUUUUUAUUAUUAAUUUCCCAUUUUUACAUGGAUAUUUUUAAUUUUUUAUUAAAUAGAUUUAGGGGUAUUGCCUAAAGAACGGAUAAGACCCAUGAUUAGGCACGGGCUCUCCCAAGCCCAUAUCUCAUGCGACAUUGGGGUNNNNNNNNNNNNNNNNNNNNNNNNNNNNNNNNNNNNNNNNNNNNNNNNNNNNNNNNNNNNNNNNNNNNNNNNNNNNNNNNNNNNNNNNNNNNNNNNNNNNNNNNNNNNNNNNNNNNNNNNNNNNNNNACUAAUUAACCAAUUAAUGUUAUUUCAAUACCUAAUCUUGUUCAUUUUUAAAAAAAGUUAUGGCAUGAACGUCUUCCCCUUUUGUCCUUUUUAAUUUCCUUUUCUUUUCUUUUCCUUUUCUUUUCUUCUUACCCUUCACUCACUUGAAUUUAUAGUAUUCAAGUGAGCAAAAUAAAGUUAUAAAAGUUAUGGCACUUGUGCUGUUAUUAUCCAAUUUUCAAGGCCACAGAAAACAAUGAGAGUAAGUGAAGUAUUAGGUGACAAUGACAAGUGGAAAUGAAAAUGAGUUUGCUAUUUUCUUGAUGUGAAAAUUGCAAGACAAUGUGAGUUGACUAUUCUACCCUUCCAAGUUGAUGGAAAGUGCACUUGGCAACACCAUCAAAUCAAGUACAAUAAGAAGCCCAAGAUUGAGUUUUGGGUCUGAUUGAGGCUGAAAAAGAACAAAGUGUAUGAUGUUAACAUAUACAAAAUAAGUUACCAAGGUUGAGUGAUAUAAUCUCGAAAGUGUAUUACGAAAAUCUGAAAUUAACCUAAUUCAUUCUACAAGUUAAAAAUAAAUUUCCACUAGUUUGUAAUAGCCAAAGAGAUGUGAAAAAAACCUUCUCUUAUGAAAAAUCAUUGAACUUAAUGUAAGUAUGCUUACUAAUAUGUUGCAAUUUAUUUUAAAUUUGAAAAGUCACUAGCUAUACAUCAAAAUUACCAAUUUUGUUAGGGUGGAAGUAAUUUUCCCCUUAACACUUGAAAAAGUUACUAGUUAAUCCAAACAUACACAAUUACAUGAAAGGUUACUGAACCUACACUAGUAAACAAACUUAAAUAAACCAAUAAUUUUUUCACAUAAAUGUUAUUAAUCAUCUAUAAAAGUUGCUGCUGACCAAUAAAUUGUCAUGAAAACUUAUUAGUCAUGGAAAAAAAAUUGUACUAAAUUGUUACUUCUCAUUUAUUGGAGAAUGUAUUGUUAUGGAAUUCAUUAGUUACACCAAAAAAAAAAAAAUUCAUUAAUAACUAUAGACAGAUGCCUAAAUGCUUACUUUCUUAAUGUGAAUAUAUUUAAUUAUAUAUAUAUAGAUUCCGUAGGUUCGCACGUUGUUUCUCUUCUUGCAGACUGAAACGGACGGCGAUGAGUCGAUGACUCAAUUCGGUAAGCGUCCAGAAGGCAGAGUCCCCUCUGACAUGUCCUUUUCGUUCCUCCCCCACUGUCCCCUCCGUCGCCGCCUCGUGCGAGUGGACCGUGAGAGUUGGGGCUGUAGCCAUGUGAUCUCAGUGGAGACGUCUGUAGCCAUGUGAUCUCAGUGGAGACGACUGGACCCACCCACUCAAUGUUCAUCACUGAAGAUGCCAUGUCCGUUCGUCCUCUUCAUCCUCCGCCUCUCGCGCACGGCUUGACGGGUGCAGUGGCGGCUGGAAGUUGGCGUGGGAUUGGCUUUCGUGACUUUAGUCGUCCGCAGCCUCCCAGACGAGGAACCGGUGGAGAAAGAUUAGGGUUUCGGUACUUGCCGUUUUAGCUUUAGGGGGAAGUUAGAGGUUUUUCUUGUGGUUCACGAAGAAGAAAGAUAAUUUUGGGCUAUUGCGGNNNNNNNNNNNNNNNNNNNNNNNNNNNNNNNNNNNNNNNNNNNNNNNNNNNNNNNNNNNNNNNNNNNNNNNNNNNNNNNNNNNNNNNNNNNNNNNNNNNNNNNNNNNNNNNNNNNNNNNNNNNNNNNNNNNNNNNNNNNNNNNNNNNNNNNNNNNNNNNNNNNNNNNNNNNNNNNNNNNNNNNNNNNNNNNNNNNNNNNNNNNNNNNNNNNNNNNNNNNNNNNNNNNNNNNNNNNNNNNNNNNNNNNNNNNNNNNNNNNNNNNNNNNNNNNNNNNNNNNNNNNNNNNNNNNNNNNNNNNNNNNNNNNNNNNNNNNNNNNNNNNNNNNNNNNNNNNNNNNNNUCAAAUGAUUUUACUUGAGUUCGAAUGUGAAUAUGCAUAUACUAUAUGAAAUUCAAGAUACUCCAUAGUUCAACUGAAAUUUAAGACGCUAAGAAGAAAAUGAAAGUCGACUGAACGUAUCUUCAGAAUCUCAUGACCAAGAACAAGAAAAUUGUUGAUACGAAUAACAAGUGGCUUAGGUGAAGAUGAUGGAGAUCCGACAUGGAACACCUAUGCUGAAUAGUGGAGACAAAAUCUUCAACCCUGCAAAAAGCUGUGGGGCCAUUAGCUAGAAAAAUCGGAUUCUGCAGUACCGCUUUCUUCAUGGAGCUCCUCAAGUCCAUUAGCCAGCGACUAUGUAAAUGAUUGUUAGGCCGUGUGAGUACCUCUUAGUGGGAAACCACCAUCACCUUCAACCACUAGGCCUUUCUUUUCCAUCCUUCCAUAAUAAUUAAGAUGAUGAUGAAAUCAAAAAGAUUUUUCCAUAAUUAAUCAAUGCACCCUCUCAAUUUGUUGCCUUUUUUGAGGUGAUAACGAUUCUUUCCCUUUUUUUUGGAUUCACUUUCUCCCCUUGUUAUCAUGACAAUAUUCGCUAAUAGUACUAAUUGCGGCUUGUGCACAUUGCGCAGAAUAUUUUUCCACUAUUUCCUUCCUAACAACAAUAUCUGCAAUGAUCGUUUGCCUUUUAAAAUUUGAUGCAGAAAUUUGUUUUCUUCAAUCAAGCUUAUCUCGAAUUUAAUUGGCAUAAACUCAACAAACUUUUUGCACAAGUACGAUGGUAUAAUAUUUACGUAAUAUAUAAUGCAUUUUCUAUAAAUAAAUAAAUUGAAUAGCAUAUAUAAGAUUAUCAAAUAUUUAAAUUUAGAGCUACUAAAAUUUUCGUACAACACAUUAGGCAUUUGUUCAAUAAUUUGUGAGAACUUUGCAAGGAAGAGAAUUUUGAACCUCCAAAAAAAAAUAUAGAACCUCCACAAUUUUUGAAUCAAGCUUUUCAAAAUCCAUAUGAAGGAUUCUUUUGCCACUUGCAAAUUCUUGUAUAAUAGAUAACAAUCUUCGCAAUAUAUAUAUAUAUAUAUAUAUAUAUAUAUAUCAAGUAAUAUCUUCAUUCGAUUUGUGGAUCAAACUUGCUAGAUAUAAGAUAUCUUCUAUGAAUAUGGCAAGAGUAUCCAUGAAUAUGCAAUAAUAUCUUUCACGAUUAAAGGGAUUUCCUUGAGCAUAAAAACUAAAAAAUAUAUUAUUUAUGCAUUUCGCAAAAAGAAAGUAGAUAAUUCUAUCACGUGCCAUAUCAAGCAAUUAAAAAAAAAAUGCAAUGCUUUAUGUUUAUGACAAGAGAUAUUUGCAAUAUAAAUCAUAUUUGAUUCAUAGGCAAUCAUCUAUAAUCUUCAUAAAAUCGAAUAAAAAUUUGCAAAGCGGGAUGAUUAAAAAAAAAAAAUUUAUUGUCUUACUCAUGGUAUAUGUUUGAAAUAUACUAUUAAUUAAAAAUGAUCAUUGUCAAUCUUUGCAUGAGAUACCUUUUUUAUUGCACCAAAAUUUGUAUAGAUUCACAAUCAUUCUUCUCUUAUAGAAUUUAUUGCAAUGAACUGAUUUCCUUUUUGGUAUCCAUAAAUUUGGAUCAUUCCUUUUCGUUAGAGCAAAAUAAAAAAUCUCCAUAGAUAAUAAAAUAUUCUUUCUUAAUUCAUCAUAACAUAAUAUUUAAGGAAAGAACAUUAUGCACAAUAAUAUCAUGAAAAAGAAAUUCUCACUUGGUCAAAGCACGAUAAAAUUAAAAGGAAUAAAAUCCUUGAGUAUCUAAGAAUAUCUUGCAUAAUAAAUUAAUAUCUCAUAAAACAGAUUUCUACUUUGCAAAAUAUGACAAAAUCUGAGAGCAUUAAAUCUAACCAAAUAAACUCAAUUGUCUCUAAGCAAAAUAUCAAAUCAAUCACACUUAUUAAAUUAAAUCUCAACUCACGAAUCACAAAAAUAAAUCACAUGAUUCUUCCUUAAAUAAAACAAAUCAUAGAAUAUGAUCAUAAGAAAAUCCGAAUCAAUCGAGGAUAUAUCGAAUAUCAAGAAUAAUGAGAAUUAUGUGCCCAAAUCAAAUUGAGAAAAAAAUUUACCUUCCUUACAAAAUUCUCUUUCUUCUUUUCUUUUAUUUCCUACAAAAACAACUCAUCUUUUCUUUGAUAUCCAAAUUUUCUUGGGUCCUUGAGAGUUAGAAGAGUGUGCUAUUUUUACCCAAUCUUUCUUAACAAGUCUCCAGACUUUAGGCCAUUCUUUCUCAAAGUGCUGCGAAUUUUCACAAUUUGAACAUUUGAGAGCAUUUCGACCAACAAGUUUUAUAAAGAUCCUUUAAAAAUACUUCUUGUAUGCAAGUCUAGGAGGUAUUUGUCUAAGUUUCUCCUUGACAUUAGGAAAAUCUAUUAAAGAAUCACUUUCCUUAUUAAAACCAAGUCCCGACUUAUUAUAGUAAAGUACUUGUAUGGAAAUGAUAUGCGCUAAUGUUUUUGAACUCUUUGAAAGUUUUGUUGAAAUAUUUGAAAAUUCAUUUUCUAAAGAAUCAUUUUCUUUGACAAGUAAAUCUUGACUUUAUUUUGUUUGUAGAAAAUGUUUUUGCAAAUUUAAAAAAAUUUCUUUUUGAGAAAGAUCCUGUUGCCCAAGCCAUGAAUUCUCCUUUUUUAGUUCGAAGAUCCUUUUAAGAGAAUAUUUGAGAUUUGAGCAAAGUCAUUUAUAUAUUUAAAAACUUUAGAAGGAAUUUUUGAAAGACUUACAUCGAUUUCCUUGUUGGAUUUCAAGUAUGUGUUUGAGUGCGACUUUGCUUCUAAGUCUUAUUCAGAUUCCCAAUUUGAGUUUGAGUCUAACUGUGCCAUUAAGCAUAUAUUUCCUUGCUCAUAAUCUUCUUUCAUUGUUCUUUUCUGCCCAUUCUACUUAUAUUGUUUUCUUCCACUGGAUUUUCUUCAUUUUCUUCUCAGCUUUUUGAAUUUCUUGAUUAUAAAAGCAAGUUCUUCGUCGUCCAUGUCAUUUUCUAAGUCUGUAUCAUCAUAAUCAGCGUUAGAUUUUAAGCGAUGGACUUCUUACCUUUAGGAUCUUCAUAAAUGAUUUGUUCCACUUUGUAGGAUUGAAGAGUGCCAAUAAGUUCAUCAACAGAAAGUGGCAUAAUCCUCUGAGUCUCCUGGAUUGAGGUCUUAACAUGGUUCUAAUCUUUUGAAAGACCUCACAGAAGUUUGUUGACCUUAAUUGGGGUAGAAAUUGGCUGACCUUGAUACGUCAAACCAUUUACAAUUUCUGUAAAACAACCGAACAUAUCUCCAAUCGACUCUCCUGACUUUAUCUUGAAUGAUUCAUAUUAGCCAAGUAGGAAGUUUACUUUUGUCUCUUUUACAUGAUUAGUCCCUUCAUAAGUAACAUAAAGUCUAUCUCAAACUUUUUUAGUUGUUUCACAUGAAGAAAUUCCAUUAUAUUCAGUAGGAGACAAGACACAAUGUCACACCCCCGCCUCAUUUCUGACACGAGAGCAUGACUCAGCGGGUUAAUAUCGACGCCCCAGGCAACAUCGAACAUCCCGAAAGUCUUUUAUCUUUAGUGAAACACAUGCGGAAGUGAUCAUAAAUAAUCCCAUACAAACACACAUGGAAGUCGGGCAAGACACAUGCAAGACAAGUAAAUAAAAGCAACACAUACACAUACAUAUUCUCCCAUCAAAAGCUGUUUUGAUUACAUGCCCAUCCUAGUCUUGAGCUACUUAUUUUUGUUCCAUAUAUAAUCGAAAGGGCUGGGGUAGCCUAGCUCCUCUACCAAGCUGCUCCCAAAAGCGACCCCCAUGCUAGAUUCAUUCCUUUCUUGGACCCUGGUUCACCCAUCAUACACCUGACCCCCGCGAGAUCAAUAAGAGUGAAUCGAUGACUCAGUAAGUAGAAAUCCCUAAUUCUCCUAUAGGAGGACGUCUCGCCGUCGAUCGUCGGAUACAAGGUCACCGUCCACUUGUCAAUGGUAAAUCAAUAGUAAGGUUUGUGACUUGCCUUGCUUAUGCAUAUGAAAGGCUCUCAACUGUCUAUGUGCUUUCAAGAAUAAAAAACAAUGAGUUAGUACAUAUGAACAAACUUUCCAAGGAUCCGUGGCUUAUGAUCAUUUUGGUCAUAAAAAUGGAUGCUCGCAUCUCACGAAACUCAUUUAACCACUAAGUGACCCAAUUCAAAUAUAUGCUCAAAUUGAUACAAGGACUUAACAAUACAUAUCAAACAAACCAAGUUUUUACAAUCACAUGUGUAUUAGUCAUGAACCACACGUGGAUUUUCAUUUUUCUUUUUCAAUAUCAUAUUAGCCGAAAUUAACCGGCUCUUCUAGUAACCACUAGGCAUCGGUCCCCCUCUUGGCAACCGACAUCGUCCUGAUCUCACUAUCUGGACGGCAUCCAGGGCAACCCUCAGGAAUCGACCUCACCUGGGCCGGCAUUGUCCACAAUCUCAAUAUUGGGAUGGCAUUCGAGGCUUUACCCCGGGCAACGACCCGGCAUUCCCCCAACAUCGGCAUAUAAGUCCAUUGUGUGUCCAUGCAUUUGAAGCAUCAUCCGAUUUAUGUUAUGUUUAAACUUUUAGCCAUAUGAAAGGCUCGAAGGCGUGUGCCAUGCAAAGUGAACUAAUGAACGACUAUUUUGUUUUAUUAAAUCAAACUCAUGCCCGAUGAAAUUUGGGCUCGUGACUUUGACUUUGAACCAUUCGGUUAGGCUUUAGCAUUGUCCAUAGCCAUCGAGACCACUCCUCGUCAUCCGGGUGUGCUCGACACACAUGCAACAUCAUGAACUUACUUAAUACAACAACAAGCAAUAGAAAUACAACAAGCUUAACAAUACAAAGCCACCAUAGGCAAACGAUGACGUGAUCCUAAAAUCGAUAAACAUAGCACAUCGCUCUAUCGAAAAGUUAGGAAAAUCUACUUACUACUUUUUAGACCAAGCUCCAAGAUGCUUCUUUGGUGGUUGGUCGAGGUCUAGGGCGGCUUGGGAGAGAAGGGAGGAAGGGAGAAAUUAGAAGAGAAUGGUUAUGCCUCCAAAUGUGAUGAUGCAUUCUCCUAUUUAAAAGCCUCUUCCUCUUAGAUUGUUAUGCAAACUUAUGAUUACAACUAAAUGACAAGUUGGCCUACCUAUCUUCUCCGAGUUGGCACCUUGGUCCUUUGGUAUUGGCUUGUGAUUAGUCCACCUAUAUGCUUACUCUCCAAGGCUCAAUCUAGGCUCGUUAUUGCCUAUGGCACCUAAGGGACACAUAAGCCCCUUUAAUGCCUAAUAUCUUCUUUUAAUUGGUUGGUUUUUGCCUUGCUUAUCAAGGCUAUAAUCUAGGGCCAUCAUACCUUAAGAUUUAUCUAAGAUUUGGUCAUCAACAAAACUUGGAUUUUGGACAAUUUGGUUUCCAAAUUAAACACAUGAGCAUGUGAUUAAUUAAGCUCAUUAAUUAGCUAGCUUCCAAAAGCAUUGAAUGCAUUCUUAUCUUCAAGUCAAGAAAACUCUAGAUUGGCUUCUUCCUCUAGUUAGGAGUGCAGCUCCCUUCCCCUCCAAGUCGGGUGUGUGGUUCUCCAUUCAAAGGCAAAACAUUUUUGAGUAACUUUCGAAAUUAGUACCAUUACCUUAUCAAAUGGACACGAAAAAUUAUAUAAUUUUAAAAUGUUGUAGAGAAGACUUUAUAAAAAAAAUUUCAUGAAGGAAUCCAAGCAAAAUUCGUUCUGUGGAAAGAACAGAAAAUCAUUGAACACAACCUAAAAUUUUAUCCGCCGAGCAUAUUCAACCAUCGGAGAGAGACUCAUUUCAAAAUUCAAAUUUUCAGAAAACUCUUUGAAAUUUUAAUAUUUUGUAGAUAUGGAUGCCAUUUAAAAAUUUUGUGAAUGAAGAAUGUCAAAAUUCAUAAGGGAAGAUUAUAUAAAAAUUCGAGAAAGCAACUUGGUUACCGUUUCCACUAUACUGGGCAGGUUGUAUAUGGUAAUUGAUUGGGCCUUUGUCCCAACCAUUUCACCUUAGAAAAAUAUGAAUUUUAAUCAUGUUAUAUAUCAAUAUUUUUUUAACAACUUUCAUACAUAAAGUAUCUCCAAAUUCGUAACAUAAAAAGCUCUGUAAAAUGGGAAAAUAACAAAGGUUCAGAAAUUUCGAACAUUAAAUAAGGUAAAUUCUAAUUGAAAAGAGAAGUGUUCUCACUGAAUCAAGGCUCAUCUAUGACUAUACAAUCUUAUCUCCCAAGAUCCUAAGUAGUCUCUAUACUAGCUUGGACACUUGUCUCGGUUAUUUAUUGGCUAACGUCCAAAAGAGAUAUGGUAGAUCCGUCUUGGUCCAAAGUUGGAUUUGUCUUGGCCUUCUCCUUUCUCUCUCUACAUGUGACCUCUCCUUUGUAGGUUCCAAAGUCUACAACUCACACUUAAAUUCUAGGAUAUUAAUGAGCCUAGGCCAUAGGGAUAUUCUUUUCCCCACUUUAUUUAAUACGUUCACAUUUGUUCACACUUGUUUACACUUAUUUUUCCAAGAAAUUUUGAUUCUUCAAGGCUGACGUGUCCCCUUUAUUAAUGGCUUUAAGUCCAGAUCUAAUCUUAUCUUCUGAUGUAAAGUCUCAAUGUGCCAGGUGUCCGUGCUCCUUAAUUUACUACAUGAUGAAGGCAUUAAAUACAACUUGAAAAAUAUUUAAGUUCUGAAGGCCUUGUCAUCAUAGACUAAUUAAAUUUAACCAUGAUCAAUUAUCUUAUUUGGCUCGGGGUUCAUGCAUAAGACAUGAUCGGAGGAAGUAGACAUAACCUAGCUUAACCGGUGAAACUAACCAGGCCGAAGGGAAGGAAAGGCUGGGCACGGGUGGAAAAAGGAAAGAAAGAGAAGGAAAGGUCGGGCGUUGGCCCAUGUGGGGAAGGAAGGAGAGGCCGAUCGGGCCAAGCUCGAAUUCGGCCCAACCGGGCCUCUCUCGUGCGUUUACUGUUUUUUAAAUAUCUAUUUGAGAAAAAAUCAGGUAUCAACAUUUAUAUUUGAGUUUAUGUGAGUAAAAUAAGGAGAAUGUACAAUAGGUUUCUAGAGUCAAGAGCCAUACAGUGGUUUGGAAAAAGGAUAGGUGAAUGAGGAAUCUUAAAUUAAUACUACUUAUGUAUUAAUAUUAAAUAAUUGUUUUGAUGAUAUUUUAAUUUCAAUUUUGUUGAAAAUUAAAUUUAAAAUAUUUUGGAUUUUAUAUUCAAUGGGCCUCAUUCAUGAGAAGUACUUAGCUUUAUAUAAAUGGUACCUACUUCUUGUAAUAUGUCUUAUAAAGAAUUCUUAAUGCCGAGCAUUUCUUUGCAUGGGACCCUUGUGGUAAAACUGAGAGGGAUAGCUACAUUGAUUGGCCAUCUCUAACCUUUUUACUUAUAAAUAAAAAUAUGUAGGAUAAGGAUAACAUGAGUGUCACAACUUUCAUAUAGUACUCACUUGAGCAUUAUAACUUCAUUUUUUUUCUCACUUAAGUGUCACAUCGAAGUAAAAUCAAUUACUUGAGUGUCAUUCUCGGCAAAUCAUCGCACCUAGAUUUUUUUAUUUAUUAAUUUUCCAUUUUGACAUGGAAUUUUUUGAAUUUUUUAUUUAUUGUCUACCUCAACACCAGUAAAGCCACAUAGGACAAUUGACAUCCACAUCAAAUUUUUUAGCAAGGAAAAUCACCGAUGGCACCUGAGUAAUUGAUUUUUCGAAUUUGCAGUAUUCAAGUGAGCAAAAGAAAGUUAUAAAAGUUAUGGCACCUGUGUUGUUAUUAUCCAAUUUUCAAGGCCACAGAAAACAAUGGGAGUAAGUGAAGUAUUAGGUGACAAUGGCAAGUGAAAAUGAAAAUGAGUCUGCUAUUUUCUUGAUGUGAAAAUUGCAAGACAAUGUGAGUUGACUAUUCUACCCUUCCAAGUUGAUGGAAAGUGCACCUAGCAGCACCAUCAAAUCAAGUACAAUAAGAAGCCCAAGAUGGAGUUUUGGGUCUAAUUGAGGCUGAAAAAGAACAAAGUGUAUGAUGUUAACAUAUACAAAAUAAGUUACAUGGGUUGAGUGAUAUAAUCUCGAAAGUGUAUUGGGAAAUUCUAAAAUUAACCUAAUUUAUUCUACAAGUUAAAAAUAAAUUUCCACUAGCUUGUAAUAGCCAAAGAGAUGUGAAAACAACCUUCUCUUAUGAAAAAUCAUUGAACUUAAUGUAAGACUUACUUAGUAUGCUUACUAAUAUGUUGCAAUUUAAUUUAAAUUUGAAAAGUCACUAGCUAUACAUCAAAAUUGCCAAUUUUGUUAGGCUGGAAGUAAUUUUCCCCUCAACACUUGAAAAAGUUACUAGUAAAUCGAAACAUACACAAUUACAUGAAAGGUUACUCAACCUACAUUAGCAAACAAACUUAAAGAAACCAAUACUUUUUUCACAUAAAUGUUAUUAAUCAUCUAAAAAAAUUGCUGCUGACCAGUAAAUUGUUAUGAAAACUUAUUAGUCAUGGCAAAAAAAUUGUACUAAAUUGUUACUUAUCAUUUAUUGGAGAAUGUAUUGUUAUGAAUUCAGUAGUUACACCAAAAAAAAAAAAAAAUCAUUAAUAACUAUAGAUAGAUGCCUAAAUGCUUCCUUUCUUAAUAUGAAUAUAUUUAAUUAUAUAUAAAGAUUCUGUAGGAUAGCAAAAUGGACAGCGCCUGGAUAAGUAAAUUCAAUUCUUAAAUAUGACCCGCUCACUUGGCCUGGCCAAGCUUAUUUAGACCCAUUCAAUUUAAUGAACAAAACAUAAUAUACAUUAAGCUUUUCAUUACGAGAAAUCUUGAAUGGAAAUUCUUAAGACACUAAAAUAGAAAUGAUUCACUUAUUGAUCAGGUCUAUCACAACAAUGAUUUGCAAAUCCGGUUUGACCCAUUUGAGAGAACCGGCCGCACCCCGAACCAUGCCCGACUUCAGGGACAACUCUGAAGUCUCUAAGUCCUUUUCCAACGGCUUGGUUCGCACGUUGUUUCUCUUCUUGCAGACUGAAACAGACGGCGAUGAGUCGAUGACUCAAUUCGGUAAGCGUCCAGAAGGCAGAGUCCCCUCUAACAUGUCCUUUUCGUUCCUCCCCCACCGUCCCCUCCGUCGCCGCCUCGUGCGAGUGGACCGAGAGAGUUGGGGCUGUAGCCAUGUGAUCUCAGUGGAGACGACUGGACCCACCCACUCAUUGUUCAUCACUGAAGAUGCCAUGUCCGUUCGUCCUCUUCAUCCUCCACCUCUCGCGCAUGGCUUGACGGGUGCAGGGGGUGGCUGGAAGUUGGCGUGGGAUUGGCUUUCGUGACUUUAGUCGUCCGCAGCCUCCGAGACGAGGAACAGGUGGUGAAAGAUUAGGGUUUCGGUACUUGCCGUUUUAGCUUUAGGGGGAAGUUAGAGGUUUUUCUUGUGGUUCAUGAAGAAGAAAGAUAAAAUUGGGCUAAUGCGGUUCAGCAUUAGAUGGCAGAAGUAAUUUCUUUUUCCUUUAAAUAAGGAUGCUUAAUAGAAAUAACUAGCCCAGGACAUAGUUCAAGGAANNNNNNNNNNNNNNNNNNNNNNNNNNNNNNNNNNNNNNNNNNNNNNNNNNNNNNNNNNNNNNNNNNNNNNNNNNNNNNNNNNNNNNNNNNNNNNNNNNNNNNNNNNNNNNNNNNNNNNNNNNNNNNNNNNNNNNNNNNNNNNNNNNNNNNNNNNNNNNNNNNNNNNNNNNNNNNNNNNNNNNNNNNNNNNNNNNNNNNNNNNNNNNNNNNNNNNNNNNNNNNNNNNNNNNNNNNNNNNNNNNNNNNNNNNNNNNNNNNNNNNNNNNNNNNNNNNNNNNNNNNNNNNNNNNNNNNNNNNNNNNNNNNNNNNNNNNNNNNNNNNNNNNNNNNNNNNNNNNNNNNNNNNNNNNNNNNNNNNNNNNNNNNNNNNNNNNNNNNNNNNNNNNNNNNNNNNNNNNNNNNNNNNNNNNNNNNNNNNNNNNNNNNNNNNNNNNNNNNNNNNNNNNNNNNNNNNNNNNNNNNNNNNNNNNNNNNNNNNNNNNNNNNNNNNNNNNNNNNNNNNNNNNNNNNNNNNNNNNNNNNNNNNNNNNNNNNNNNNNNNNNNNNNNNNNNNNNNNNNNNNNNNNNNNNNNNNNNNNNNNNNNNNNNNNNNNNNNNNNNNNNNNNNNNNNNNNNNNNNNNNNNNNNNNNNNNNNNNNNNNNNNNNNNNNNNNNNNNNNNNNNNNNNNNNNNNNNNNNNNNNNNNNAAAUCAUGAUCAAUGCAAAAAGUGUUUCUAUAUAAUCAAUGCUCCCUCAAUUUGUUACCUUUUUUUGAGGUGAUUACGAUUCUUUCUCUUUAUUUAGAUUCACUUCUCCUCCCGUUAUCAUGACAAUAUUUGCUAAUAGUACUAAUUGCAGCUUGUGACCAGAAUAUUUUUCCAUUAUUUCCUUGCUAGCAACAUCCACAAUGAUCAUUUGCUUUUUGAAAUUCCACACAGAAAUUUGUUUUCUUCAAUCAAGCUUGUCUCAAAUUUAAUUUGCAUAAACUCAACAAACUUUUUGCACAAAUGUGAUGUUAUAAUAUUCACGUAAUAUAUAAUACAUUUUCUAUAAAUAAAUAGAAUGAAUAGCAUAUAUAAGAUUAUCAAAUAUUUAAAUUCAGAGCUACUCAACUUUUCGUACGACCCAUUAAGCAUUUGUUCAAUAAUUUGCAAGAACUUUGUGCAAGGAAGAGAAUUUUGAACCUCCAGAAAAUAAUACAGAACCUCGAAAUCAUCCAUUUGACAAGUCUACUGCUCCACGCGCUUUCAAGGUCUCCUCCAAAAGCCAUUCAUUAUUGUGGGCGUGGGUUUCUUUAUUCCUGAUGUGCCUUUUAUUUAAUUAACUUUCUAACUAGAGUGACAUGCAUACCCAUCGCCCAUCUAUCAGAGCUGUGGCCCUAGUAAUCAAACAACAUAAAUUAAUGACAAGUCGAGCUUCAUUGCGAAUAGAUGCUGACCAGAAAAGCUGUCAAAUUUGAUGGAGCUCAUCCAUGUAUGCUGAUGCCAUGGUUUCAUCCAUCGCACGGGCUAUCUAAAAGAUAAAAUCGGACUGCCAUUUUAAAAUUCAAUGUCCUUUCACGAGUUCGAUGAACUCCUUAUUCAAAGAUAUCUUGCCUGAGUCAAUUUCACAAAAAUCCAAUGUGUCCAUGGCGUCGACGGUAGCUNNNNNNNNNNNNNNNNNNNNNNNNNNNNNNNNNNNNNNNNNNNNNNNNNNNNNNNNNNNNNNNNNNNNNNNNNNNNNNNNNNNNNNNNNNNNNNNNNNNNCCUUUCAUUUUAAAUGCGUAUGUGGAAGCAAAUAAAUAAUUUCCCCAGACAACAACAAGAUGGGAUAGAAAAGUAGGCCACAAAUUUAUUUAAACCACAACAUGCUUAUAUAUACAUAUAUCAAGCAAUGUCAUAUACAAUACCAAUCUAUAAAAACAAGGUCUACAAACAGGGGGGUUUUAUAAAACUACAAAUCCUCUUCCUCCUUUUCAUCCUCAUUGGAGCCUUCAAUUGAAUAUAUUGGAGUCCCUAGAUUUGAAAGAUCUGGGUAUACCACCGAGCCACCAAGGGGAUCCACUAUGCCUUUUCCAAAAGCAACCUCAAGUAUAUAUAGAGGUAUCUCUUAUUCUGGUAUGGGGCAUUCUCUCUGACCAUUCCGAUCCUGACAGUACCAUGAUCUGUAUUGAUGGGAUAUCUUAUGGGGUAGACGCGCAUUGACCCAAACCAUGGACCUCACAAGUUCGUACUCUCAUUCCCUAGGGCUCCCAUGAAGCGGAAGAUAGCAUCUCUGUUCAGUGACCUUCUUCGGUUGAUCAAAAAGCUCGAGAGGAGCUGCCAUUUGGGACAUUGAAAAUGUUAUCCCACAACAGGGUGAGACGACGUCUUAGCAAAUUCACCCCCUAAGACUCGAUUAGGAAGGAAAUAUGCCUCAGGGCUACCUAAACACAAGCACAAAUUAGAGGAUUUACCUUUGCCUCGGUUCCUUCCUGCAAGUCAGUAUAAUUAAUAAUCACAACAAAUCAUUUCAACACAUCACGGCAUCAAGUCAAAUCGAACCAUCGAUCAGUGACUCAUCUAUUCCAUGUCAUCAGACCAUCACUCGGUCAAUCCGUUCAUACUAUCUAUNNNNNNNNNNNNNNNNNNNNNNNNNNNNNNNNNNNNNNNNNNNNNNNNNNNNNNNNNNNNNNNNNNNNNNNNNNNNNNNNNNNNNNNNNNNNNNNNNNNNUAUAGUAAGAGUAUCCAUGAAUAUGCAAUAAUAUCUUUCAUGAUCAAAGAGAUUUCCUUAAGUAUAAAAACUCAAAAACAUAUUAUUGAUGCAUUUCAUAAAAAGAAAGUAGAUAUUUCUAUCACGAGCCAAAUCAAGCAAUUAAAAAAAAAGAAAAAGCAAUGCUUUAUGUUUAUGACGAGAUAUUUGCAAUAUAAAUCAUAUAUAAUUCAUAGGCAAAUCAUCUAUAAUCUUCAUAAAAUCAAGUAAAAAUUUGCAUUGAUUAAAAAUGAUCAUUGUCAAUCUUUGCAUGAGAUACCUUUUUGGUUGCACCAAAAUUUGCACAGAUUCACAAUCAUUCUUCUUUUAUAGAAUUUCUUGCAAUGAACUGAUUUCCUUUUUGGUAUCCAUAAAUUUGGAUCAUUCAUUUUUGUUAAAGAAAAAUAAAAAAUCUCCAUAGAUAAUCAAAUAUUCUUUCUUAAUUCAUCAUAACACAUUAUUUAAGGAAAUGACAUUAUGUACAAUAAUAUCUUGAAAAAUAAAUUCUCACUUGGUCAAAGCACAAUAAAAUCAAAUGGAAUAAAAUCCUUAAGUAUCUAAGAAUAUCUUGCAUAAUAAAUUAAUAUCUCGUAAAACAAAUUUCUACUUUGCAAAAUAUGACAAAAUUUGAGAGCAUAAAAUCAAACCAAAGAAACUCAAUUGUCUCUAAGCAAAAUAUCAAAUCAAUCACACUUAUUAAAUCAAAUCUCAACUCACGAAUCAUAAAAACAAAUCACACGAUUCUUCCUUAAAUAAAACAAAUCAUAGAAUACGAUCAUAAUAAAAUCCGAAUAAACAAAGGAUAUAUCGAAUAUCAAGAAUAAUAAGAAUUAUGUGCCCAAAUCAAAUUGAGGAAAAAAAUUUACCUUCCUUACCAAAUUCUCUUUCUUCUUUUCCUUUAUUUCCUGCAAAAACAACUUAUCUUUUCUUUGAUACCCAAAUUUUCUUGGGUCCUUGAGAGUUAGUAGAGUAUGCUAUUUUUACCCAAUCUUUUUUAACAAGUCUCCAGACUUUAGAAUAUUCAUUCUCAAAGUGUUAUGAAUUUUCAUAAUUUGAACACUUGAGGGUAUUUCGACCAAUGGAUUUUGUAAAGAUCCUUUGAAAAUAAUUCUUGUACGCAAGUCUAGGAGGUCAAUGUCUAAGUUUCUCCUUGACAUUAGGAAAAUAAUCUAUUAGAGAAUCACUUUCCUUAUAAAAACAAAGUCCUGACUUAUUAUAGUAAGGUACUUGUAUGGAAAGAAUAUGCUCUAAUGUUUUUUGACCCUUUGAAAAUUUUGUUGAAAUAUUUGAAAAUUCAUUUUUUAAAGAAACAUUUUCUUCGACAAGUAAAUCUUGACUUUCUUUUGUUUGUAGAAAAUCUUUUUGCAAAUUUUCAAAAUUUUCUUUUCGAGAAAGAUCCAGUUGCCUAAGCCAUGAAUUCUCCUUUUUUAGUAUGGAAAUCCUUUUAAGAGAAGAUUUAAGAUUUGAGCAAAGCUCAUUUAUAUAUUUAAAAACUUUAGUAGAAAUUUCUAAAUGACUUACCUCGAUUUCCCUGUCGGAUUUUGAGUCUAUGUUUGAGUUAGACUUUGAUUCUGAGUCUAAUUCUAAUUCAGAAUUUGAGUCUGAGUCUGAAUAUGCCAUUAAUCAUACAUUUCCUUACUCAUCAUCAUCUUUUUUUUUUGCCCAUUCUGCUUAUAUUGUUUUCGUCCACUGAAUUUCCUUCAUUUUCUACUCAGUUUUUUGAAUUUCUUGAUCAUAAAAGCAAGUACUUCAUCGUCCAUGUCAUUUUCUAAGUCUGUAUCAUCAAGAUCAGUGUUAAAUUUUAAAGUGAUGGACUUCUUACCUUCAAGAUCUUCAUAAAUGAUUCGUUCCACUUCGUAGGAUUGGAGAGUGCCAAUAAGUUCAUCAACAGAAGGUGGCAUGAUCCUCUAAGUCUCCUGGAUUGAGCUAUUAACAUGAUUUCAAUCUUUUGAGAGACCUCGUAGAAGUUUGUUGACCUUUAUUGGGGCAGAUAUUGACUGACCUUGAUAUGCCAAACCAUUUACCAUUUCUAUAAAACGACUGAACAUAUCUUCAAUCAACUCUCCCGACAUCAUCUUGAAGAAUUCAUAUUGGCCAAAUAGGAAGUUUACUUUUGUCUCUUUUACACGAUCAGUCCCUUCAUAAGUAACAUGAAGUCUAUCCCAAACUUUUUUAGUAAUUUCACAUGAAGAAAUUCCAUUAUAUUCAGCAGGAGACAAGGCACAGAGUCACACCCCCACCCCAUUUCUGACAUGAGAGCAUGACCCGACGGGUUAACAUCAACGCCUUAGGCAACAUUGAAUGUCCCGAAAGUCUUUUAUCUUUAGUUAAGCAUAUACCAAAGAUAUCAUAAAUAAUCUUGUACAAACAUACAUGGAAGCUGGGCAAGACGCAUGCAAGCCAAGCAAAUAAAAGCAGCACAUACACAUACAUAUUCACCCAUCAAAAGCUGUUUUGAUUACAUACCCAUCCUAGUCCUGAACUACUUAUUUUCGCUCCAUAUAUAAUCAAAAGGGCUGGGGUAGCCUAGCUCCUCUAUCGAGCUACUCUUAAACGCGCCCCUCAUGCUAGAUUCAUUCCCUUCUUGGACCCUAGCUCACCCAUCAUACACCUGGAAUGGUGAGAACAAUAAGAGUGAGUCGAUAACUCAAUAAGUAGAAAUUCAUUCUCCUAUAGGAAGACAUCUCGCCAUUGAUUGUCGGAUACGAGGUCACCAUCCACUUGUCAAUGGCAAAUCAAUAGCAAGGUUCGUGUCUUGCCUUGCUUUUACAUAUGAAAGGCUCUCAAUUGUCUAUGUCCUUUUAAGAAUCAAAGACAAUGAGCUAGUGCAUAUGAACAAACUUUCCAGGGAUUCGUGGCUUAUGAUCGUUUUGGUCAUAUAAAGGGAUGCUCGCAUCUCAUUAAACUCAUUCAAGCACUAAGUGACCCAAUUCAAAUAUAUGCUCAAUUGAUACAAGUACUUAACANNNNNNNNNNNNNNNNNNNNNNNNNNNNNNNNNNNNNNNNNNNNNNNNNNNNNNNNNNNNNNNNNNNNNNNNNNNNNNNNNNNNNNNNNNNNNNNNNNNNAUAUUAGAGCUCGUAGGCUGAUAUAAUAUACCAUCUUGACCAUCUAACAUUUUCACCAUUUUUAUCAUAUCUGAUAAAAAUAAUCGUGUGUGGGUACACGGUCGAUUUUAACCAAAAUACAAUCUUUUCUCUUUUGAAAAUUCCAUUAAUUUCCACAAUCCACAACCACAUUUUUGGCGAUGUAAACCGACGCUCGCUAUUUUCUAAUUAAUUACUGAAAUUAUUAAAUUUUGGGAUAAAUAUCCCAAAAUUGCAAUUCACACUCAAAUUGCACAAAAUAGAACUCGAUUAAUUAAACAAAUCACACCACUGCAAUCAACAUAAAAUUUCGAUCAUUGGUUAUCCUGGUCUAAUUUCCAGAAAAUAAUAAUUAAUUAAAUAAUUACAAAAAUUAAUUAAUAAAUGCUAAUAGCUAGCAAAAAUGUAAACUUAGGCCAGAAAAGCCUAAUUAAAAGCCGAGACGAGCUCAAAAAAUUCCCGAACCUGUCUAAUUAAAUACUAUAGCUUAUCUACUUUUUAAUUGCACUAUUCUAACCACCUAACAUGCAUCAAGGAUUUAGUAAAUCACUAAUCCAUUAUAACUAACCACCUAAUAUUAGCUUAGCCUAAACUAAUCAACCCCUAAGCAUCAUUAGCUCUAUAAGUGAGGAUUAGUGAGUAAACUCACUUGAUUAGUGAUCCAACAAGCUCACUUCGACAGGGAUGCAGAAAUGAUCAACAAUCUCCAAAGAGGGGACACCAAGUGGGGUCGGGAAGGGCUCAGAAAUGGGCCAAAUAGUGGCUACAGACCCACUAGCUUCGGCUUUUGUUCUUGGCCAAACAAGGUUGCUCCGAGGACUAAUUGAGCUGGAAAUGAGCAAGGUGAGAUGGACGAGGCUGUUGUAGGCUUCUGACGGCUCGGUAGGCGUCUAAGUGACUCCGGCGAUGGCAAGGGCAGUUCGAAUGGUUCGGGGGACAGCUUGGGGUAACGAUAAAGGUGGAACGGCGACUGGAAGGGCUGGACGACACGCGGGGGACGCAUGGCUAGCAGGCAGGGCUCGCAGUGGUGCUGGACGGUGGUAGCGGCUCAGACUGGCAAGGGGCUUAGUUGGAUAGUUACUGGCUGCUUUACUCUGCAAUUUUUGAAGUCUUUUAGCUUUGAAAUGGGGGGGGGGGGUCGACGGAUUUGGAGGGAGAAGAAAGAGGGGGAAUCGACUGUUAAGGGGGGGUCACUUUGGUCUCCUCUCUCUCUUUGUCUCCUUGGAAGGCCCUACCAUGGAUGGACUAGCUUCUGUAGCCACUUGUAGUAGCCAAUCUUCCUCUAGAAGUCUUGGAGAUGGUCCAAAAGUUAUGGACCAUGAGGGGCUACGAAUUUUGGUGGCCUUUGGCUCAAAUCCACCUCAAUUCCACUUCCAAUCUCUCUUGAACCGGUGUAAUUUACCCCAUUAUAAAUUUCAUCAUCAUAUCCUCGAUCAAAUUAGCAUUUUUCCUCGUGAAUAUAACCUACUUGCAUCCCAAUUUCGCGAUAAAGAAUGGUCUUUUGUAUUUUUUGAACAAAAACAGCCCUAACCCGACUUUUCGCCAAAAAUCUCGGUUUGCAAAAAAAAUCUUUAGAAGAUGAAUUGACAUUCCUAAAAUGAUUUGUGACAUGAUAGAACUUUCAAUUUUUGAAAUAAGAUUUAAAUUGACGGUUAAUUUCAAUCUGGCGCGAUUUUAGCAUGACCUUGGUUACCGGGUAACUUUCAGAAAUGUUGAGUGCAAAUGACCCGUGGUCGAUUUUUUUCAAGCCAUAAUGAACCUCUUCAACAUAUUGACGACUCUCGGUGGUCGUGAAAAUCUCGAGGUUUCAAAUAUGAAUAUAGGGUACUAAAACGACAGAAAAAUUAGUCUAGCGUCGAUUGACGAAAAUUUUGCAAUUUAGUGGAAUCACCCACAUUUAGCCAUACACCUCAGUCGAACCAACUUAUCUUUGAUCUCUAAUCGAUUUUUAAACUGCAUUGAUCUCUGCAGAUGAGCACGGUCGAGUAGUCGAUUCCCGGUUGAAUUCCCAAGUCUAUUGCAUUGAAAUUUCUUAAUGAUUUCCCCAAAUAAUCUAGUUAUCUCAGGAGUGAUCAACUUUGAGAACAGCACUAUAAACGCAUUGACGAAAUGCCUGAUUUAUCUAAUUGAAAACAUAAUUGAAAAUUUUAAAAUGUCAUAGACAUUGUCCUAAUCUCAUUAUCUGGACGGCAUCCAAGGCGACCCCCAGGCAUAUGCCUCACCCGGGUCAGCAUCGUCCACAAUCUCAAUAUCGGGAUGGCAUCUAGGGCUUUAACUUUGGCAACGACUUGGCAUCCCCCAGCGUUGGCAUAUAAGUCCAUUGUGUGUCCUUGCAUUUCAAGCAUUAACUGAUUCAUGUUAUGUUUAAACUUUUAGCCAAAUGAAAGGCUCAAAGGUGUGCCAUACAAAGUGAACUAAUGAAUGACUCGUGUUUUAUUAAAUCAAACUCAUGCCGAAUGCGAUUCGGGCUUAUGACCUUGACUUUGAGCCAUUCGGUUAGGCUUUAGCAUUGUCCAUAGUCAUCGAGACAUCUCCUCGUCAUCCGGGUGUGCUCGACACUCAUGCGGGAUCAUGAACUUACUUAAUGCAACAACAAGCAAUAAAAACACAACAAGCAUAACAAUACAAAGCCAACACAAGCAAACGAUAACAUGAUCCUAAAAUUGAUAAGCGUAGCAUAUCACCCUAUCGAAAAGUUAAGAAAAUCUACUUACUAUUUUUUAGACCUAGCUCCAAGAUGCUUCUUUGGUGUCGGUCGAGGUCUAGGGCGGCUUGGAAGAGAAGGGCAUGAAAGAGAAAGGAGGAAGGGAGAGGAUAGAAGAAAAUGGUUAAGCCUCUAAAUGUGAGGAUGCCUUCUUCUAUUUAAAAGCCUCUUCUUCUUAGAUUUUUAUCCAAACUUAUGAUUACGCCUAAAUGACGAGUUGGCCUACCUAUCAUCUCAUGUUGGUGCUUAGGUCCUUUAGUGUUGGCUUGUGAUUGGUCCACAUAUAUGCUUACUCUCCAAAACUCAAUCUAGGCUCGUUAUUGUCUAUAGCGCCUAAGGGACACAUAAGCCCCUUUAAUGCUAAUGUCUUCUUCUAAUUGGUUGGUUUUUGCUUUACUUAUCAAGGCUAUAAUCUAGGGCCAUCAUACCCUAAGAUUUAUCUAAGAUUUGAUUAUCAAGAAACUUGGACUUUGGACAACUUGGUUUCCAAGUUAAACACAUGAGCAUGUGAUUCAUUAAGCUCAUUAAUUUAGCUAGCCUCCAAAAGCAUUUAAUACAUUCUUAUCUUCAAGUCAAUAAAAUUCUAGAUUGGCUUCUUCCUCUAGUAGGCAUGUAGCUGCCUUCCCCUCCAAGUUGGGUGUAUGGUUCUUCAUUCAAAGGCAAAACAAUUUUGAGCAACUUUCGAAAUCAGUACCAUUACCUUAUCAAACGAACUAGAAACAUUAUAUAAUUUUAAUAUAUUGUAGAGAAGACCUUAGAAAAAAAAUUUCAUGAAGGAAUCCAAGAAAAGUUUGUUCUGUGGAAAUAGUAGAAAAUCAUUGAACACAACCUAAAAUUUCAUCCAUCGAGCAAAUUCAACAGUUGGAGAGAAAGACUCAUUUCGAAAUUCAAAUCUUCAGAAAACUCUUUGAAAUUUUAAUAUGUUGUAAAUAUGGAUGUCUUUUAAAAAUUUUGUGAAGGAAGCAUGUCCAAAUUCAUAAGGGAAGAUUAUAUAAAAAUUUGAGAAAGCAACUUGGUUACCGUUUUCACUAUACGGGGCAGGUUGUAUACGGUAAUUGAUUGGGACUUCAUCCCAAUCAUUUCACAUUAGAAAAAUAUGAAAUUUAAUCAUGUUAUAUAUCAAUAUUUUUUUUAACAACUUUCAUGAAGAAAGCUUCUCCAAAUUCAUAACAUAAAAAGCUAUGUAAAAUUGGCAAACAACAAAGGUCUAGAAAUUUCGAACAUUAAAUAAGGCAAAUUCUAAUUGAAAAGAGAAGUGUUCCUACUUGGCCUUGAAUCAAUGGUCAUCUAUGAUCAUACAAUCUUAUCUCCCAAGAUCCUAAGUAGGCUCUAUACUAGCUUGGACACUUAUCUCAGUUAUCUAUUGACUAAUGCCCAAAAGAGAUAAGGUAGACCUAUCUUGGUUCAAAGUUGGAUUUGUCUUGGCCUUCUCAUCUCUCUCUCUACAUGUGACCUCUCCUUUGUAGGUUUCAAAGUCUACCAUUCACACUUAGAUCCUAGGAUAUUAAUGAGCCUAGGCCAUAGGGAUAUUUUUGUCCCCACUUUAUUUAAUACGUUCACAUUUGUUCACACUUGUUCACACUUGUUUUUUCGAGAAAUUUUGAUUAUCCAAGGCUAAGGUAUCUCAUUCAUUAAUGGCUUUAAAUCCAAAUAUAAUCUUAUCUUCUUAUGUAAAAUCUCAGCGUGCCAGGUGUCCAUGCUCCUUUAUUUACUACAUGAUGAAUGCAUUAAAUACAAUUUGAAAAAUAUCUAAAUUCUGAAGGCCUUGUCAUCACCGACUAAUUAAAUUUGACCACGAUCAACUAUCUUAUUUGGCUCGAGAUUCAUGCCUAAGACAUGAUCGGAGGAAGCAAAUACAACUUGGCUUAACCGAUGAAACUUGAGAUAGCUAGUAUAAGCACCUAGAGGGGGGGUGAAUAGGUGUAAAAAAUAUUUUCUCGAGAUAAGAGAGCAAUACUAAGCAGACAAUAGAAAGUAAAUUCUCUUUUCGUUAACAAAGCGAAUUAUGAUCAAAGUAAAGUGGAGAGUAGGGAAGAGAAAAUGAACACAGAAAUUAUAGUGGUUCGGCUUAUUCCAAGCCUACGUCCAUUCUUCUGCAUUGAUAGCCCACCGGCUGGAUUUCACUAUGAACAAAAGAAUUGUUAUAGCAAGACUCUCCCUUGAUUACACUGUGCAAAUACUCUACCACACUUCCUCAAGGUUUCUCAAGAAUAUGGACUCUCUUUUGCGUACAAGAUUUCGCUCAGAAACUAAGAACAAAGAACUUCAGACUUUGGAAUUCUUCUAUCGCGCACACACUCGAACAACUGGAACGUCUUCCUUAUAUACUCCUUUAUGACAUCAUACCAAUUGACACUUACCAAAUGAAUUUAUCCAAUCUUCCCGUUGGAUAGAAUUAAUUAGGAAGAUCAUUCGAGCUAUUUAAGGAACAUGUCGAUAGCCCAUCAAUCCUGCUCGCCCAUACAAUCAGGAUCUCGGUUUCCAUAAGUAGAACCUUCCAAGUAUACUUCGCCAAUCAUCGGAUCCUCAAUCUUUGAAUCAAUAAAGGAUUAUGUUAUGUCAUAUCCAGCCAAGAGAUCUUCUCCAGUCGAUAAGGUCAAAUCCUUAACGAAACAUCCAGUCCUGGAUAGCCCUUCUUCGACGGAUUAGAAACUGUCAAUGAGAAUAGACUUUGAGUCUUGAGUCUAGCAGUCCGGAGGUCUUCAGACUUUAAAUAGUAGAAUCUGCAAAUCUUCAGACUAGAUUGAUGGAAACAUUUUGUCAGCUUCAAAACACUCCAGGAAGAUUUCUCUAACAAUCUCCCCCUUUUUGAUGGUGACAAAACUUUCCUACAGAUUUGGAUAACUUUGACCUGCAAAACAUUACUCAAGCAAAUAUGGAUAUCUCACAAAGAUAAAUGGCUUUUUGAUAACACUAGAAUUUGCAACCACAAAAAAUAGGUUAGUCUUGCAUAUGAGUAAAGCCAUCCAUAAGAUAUCAAUAGUACUUAAUAUAAGCAGUCAAUCAAAAAUCCCAAAUCCAGUCCACAGCUAGACACAAAAGUCAAGUCAAACAUAAAAAAAAAAAAUCAAAAGUUCAAGUUCAAGUUCAAAAAAGUUCAAGGUUCAAAGUUCAAAUCACAUCUCUCCCCCUUUUUGUCAUCAUAAAAAAGGUUGAGAUAGAAAGAGAAUGGAAUUAAGAAUGCUUGGGAACACGUACAAGCUCGAAAUCUCCCAUUGACUGGACAAUGCCUUCCAACUUUGUCAACUCUUUCUUCAGUUGAGCCACCUCUUCACCCUUAGCAUUUGCUUGAAUCUGAAGAGCAAUGGCUUGGAUCUUAUCAUUCAAAGAAACUGAAGAAGCUUGACUUGUAGUCUACAAAUUCUGUACUUUGCAUCCUAGAGCAUAUAUAUGACCCCGUAUUUCAAAGAGAACAUCAACAAUUCUGCGAAAAUCUACUAAAUUAUCAAUCUGCGUACUGGCUUCUGCACGAUCAGAUGGAGUAAAGGCAGACGAUGGCAAAUCAGCAUAGUCAUGCAGAUUGGGCGAUGAAACAUCAUAUCCCUCCUCAGGAAAUUGAGAGGCAUAGAUGUCCUCUGGAUCUGCUGGAGAGCAACUGACUCCUUCACUGGUAGCAGGAUAUGAGGACAUUCCUCUUUUCUCACGAUCUCCCCCUGUUUCCAUGCCUUCAGGUGGAGAAGAGUGUUCCUCAUGCUCUUCUUCCUCUUGAUCUCCUCUUUCCUCUUCUUCUUCUUCUUCUUCUUCAAUUCUUUCCUCCUCUGUAUCUCUUUCUUUAGCUUCUCUCUCCUUUGUUUCUUUCUCUUCUGCUUCCAAAUCUUCUCUUUCUCCAGUCCUCUGUUCUGUGUCUUUCUCUUGUCGUUCCGUUGAUUCUGGAACAUAACGACUCAGAUUCUUCAAUGCCAUUGCAGAAAUGGUGAUGUCUUCUUCAUCUUCUUCAUCCUCAACAAUGAGAGCUCUUCUUUUCUUAGAUGGAGCAACCAUGGGCUCCUUCCCUUUUCUUUUUCCCGCCGAAGAGAUUUGAUGAGUUUUGAUAAGGGUUUUCUCCUUGAAUUUCUCCAACGCCUUUGUUGAGUUCCUUUAGAUGCAUUUUAGACACCAUUUUCAGUCCCACUACCAUUUGAUCACAAGUUCGAACACAGAGAAUCCGGGGAGGCUGAACAUUCAAAUGUCUGAAUAACUUUGUUACAAGAGUUGGAUAAGGAAAUUGACCCUUGUCCUUCACCACUGCUCUAUACAUAUGGAAUAUAAUAGUGUGAGGAAAAGAGAACUUUUUCCCAGCAUUGAUGGCAUACAUCAGCUUUGCCUCUGAGUUUGAAACAUCAGUCUUUGAAGUAGAUUUUGAUCUAAGGCAAUUGAUCACAAUCUUGUGAAGCAGAAUGUUGAACGCACUCAUCCUCGAGUAGGAAACCUUUCCCUCUAUCCUUCUUUCCUUAACAAGUUCCAACGUAGCACGAGUAAUAGAGACAUUAAUAGGUUGAUAUCUCCCUCUCUCAACCCCAAUCACAUCAGCCAACAUAUCUAUAUCCACCACAUAGUCCUGAUCUCGGACACUAAAAGAGAAUCUAUUCGCAUCUAAGAAACUGAAAUUCGAAUAGAAGUAUGCAGUGAGUUCAGCAUAGGCUUUUGUAGAUUCAGAACAGAACUGUUCAAGUUGAAGAAGACUGAAUUUUUCCCUCAAAUUAACGUUCACAGCAUCAAGGAAAUCAAAAUCCACACUUCUGGGGUUUAUGACCCCACACUUUAACAACUUAGAGUAUAGAUGCUUGUGUUCCUCCGAUCAAAACAAGUCUGUCCUUUUGCUUCGAAUUUUUGCCGCAACACCCAUUCUCGGUUGAAACUGACUGUACAACUUGUUAUCAUCAUUCCCAUCUAGCUGAUUCAACCCUCCAACACGUGGAUCGAUUGGAAUAUUUGCCAUUGCCUCUUCUGCCGACCCAGCAGAGGCAAUUCUCAACCGUUCCAUUGUGCGUAAAAAGAAGGUUUUAUUUUUGUACCCUUUGUCUUUCAGAAAUUCGUCAAUGUAGUUCAAAGGAGUUCCACCUCUUUCAAAGCACGAUAAAGCUUGUAGGUAAAAGAGGGCUUAAAAGUUCUUACGGGUUCUGCAUCUUCGAUUAUUUCUUCCUCUUCUCGACGAGCAACAUCCUGUGGUCUAGAUGGAGAAGAUGGACGCUGCUGAGAAUGUUGUGGGCUCUGUUGCUAACUAGGAGACUCUUCUUCCUUGGUGAGAUCAAAGUGCGUAGGCCCCUCACGCAUUUGCUGCGGUCCCCUGUUCGCGAUCCUCGAAGACUUCCUUUGAGACAACAUCUUUCACAGUCUUUGAAAGAUUCCAAACUUGACUUUCCCAAGAAAGAUGACAACUUUUCGAAGAUUAAACAAGAGAAGUAGACAGAAGCGGAAGAUCGAUGCUUUUUAGGGUUUUUGGAGUUAAACGAAGAGGAACUGACAGUAUAUAGGUCAGUCGAAGAGAGGCAUACAAAACGUAGUAAUGGAAAGUAAAAAGAUGCCCUAUUAAAAAAUAACUGCCUUUUCAAGAUAUAACUGCCAUUUAAAAAUUAACUCCAUUUUUGAAAAAGAAAGAUUGCACUAAUCACAGAAAUUGAAAGUAGCAAAAAUCAAUUAUGGACAGAUGAUCGUACCUUUUCAAGAUUUAAUCUAAGAGAGAAUAAAAUAACUUACAAUCAAAGAUCUUGAUUGUCUGAGUUUGAGAGUCUCUAGACUUUUACUUCUUCAAACCUCAAGAUGUUAAGUCUGGAACGAAUGAUUUCAAAUUGAUUUUUCUCCAAAGGCUUUGUAAAUAUAUCCGCCAAUUGGUUCUUUGAGUCAACAAACUGAAUCAAAACUUCUCCAUUCUGAACAUGAUCUCUAAUGAAGUGAUGUCGAAUCUCUAUAUGCUUUGCUCUUGAGUGAAGAAUUGGAUUCUUGGUGAGAUUGAUUGCGUCGGUGUUGUCACAGUUAAUCUCCGUGCAUGAAUCUUCAAUUCCAAAGUCUCUUAGAUGUUGUUUUAUCCACAGAAUUUGUGAACAACAACUUCCAAGAGCUACAUACUCUGCUUCUGCUGUAGAAAGAGCCACUGUAUUUUGCUUCCUUGAAAACCAAGACACUAUCCUGCUUCCAAGUAGUUGACAGGUACCCGAGGUGCUCUUUUUAUCAACUCUGCAUCCGGCUAGAUCUGCGUCUGAGUAUCCAAGAAGAGUAAAGUCUCCCUUUUUAGGAUACCAAAGACCAAGGCUUGAAGUUGAUGCAAUGUAUUUAAUAAUACGCUUUGCAGCACUUAGAUGAGAUUCUUUAGGGUCUGCUUGAAAUCUAGCACAAAUGCAAACACUAAACAAAAUGUCAGGUCUAAAAGUAGUAAGAUAAAGAAGUGAACCAAUGAUACUCCUGUAUAGCUUCUGGUCAACUUUCUUUCCUCCUUCAUCUUUGUCUAUCUUCAAAGAACUUGACAUUGGUAUAUCAGUCUUUUUGCAAUUUUCCAGUCCAACCUUUUUGACAAGAUCAUUAGCAUAUUUUUCUUGAUGAAUAAAGGUUCCUUCCUUCAAUUGUUUCACUUGCAGUCCAAGAAAGAAGGUUAGUUCACCCAUCAUACUCCUUUCAAAUUCAUCCUGCAUAGACUUAGAGAAUUUCUUACACAGACUUUGAUUAGAGGAUCCAAAAAUAAUAUCAUCAACAUAUAUUUGAACAAGCAGAAAAAUUUUGCUUUCUCUUUUGAUAAACAGAGUAGUGUCUACUUUACCUUUGACAAAGCCGUUUUGAAUUAAAAUUUUACUUAGCCUGUUGUAAUAAGCUCGAGGUGCUUGCUUUAAACCAUAUAAAGCCUUUUUCAGCCUGAAUACUAAAUAUGGUUUCCUUGGGUCUUCAAACCCAGGUAGUUGUUCCACAUUGACUUCCUCAUGGAUAAAUCCAUUCAGGAAAGCACUUUUGGCGUCCAUUUGGAAUAACCUAAAAUUCUUAUAACAAGCAAAAGCAAGUAAUAAUCUAAUUGCUUCUAACCUCGCUACUGGUGUGUAAGUCUCAUCAUAGUCUAUCCCUUCUUCUUGCAUAUAUCCCUUGGCCACAAGUCUUGCUUUGUUUCUUACGACCUUUCCUUUCUCGUCCAUCUUGUUCCUGAAAACCCAUUUAGCUCCAAUAAUAGAUUUACCUUUCGGUUUAGGAGUCAAUUCCUAGACAUCAUUAAUACUGAAUUGCCUGAGUUCUUCUUGCAUGGCUUCAAUCCAGCUUUCAUCAGAUAAAGAUUCUUCUAUGCUUUUGGGUUCUAUUUCAGAAAUAAGAGUCACAGCACUAGACUCUUCGCGCCUUUUGGAUCUUGUGCGAAUUCCUUCAUUAAUGUCGCCUAUAAUGAGAUCUUUGGGAUGACUGGACUUAUGCUUCCAGUUACUGGUUGAUUUGUCAGGUUGAUGAUCACUUUCUUCAUUUGAAUCUUCAACAAUCAUUUGAUGCUGGUCUUUCGAAGUUUGAACUGCUUCUUGAGAUUUAUAAUUUGUAGAGUCUAGAGCAGGUUUGGAUUCUUCAAGAUGAGUCUGAAUAGAUUCAUUUUGCAUAGAAUCUUGGAAUUUGACAUUCAUUGAUUCCUCCACAGAUUGAGUCUUCUUGUUGUAGACUCUGUAGGCUUUACUUGAGGUAGAAUAUCCAAGGAAGAUGCAUUCGUCUGAUUUUUCUUCAAACUUGCCAACUCGACCAUUUGCAUUUUUCAAUAUAAAGCAUUUACAUCCAAACACAUGAAAAUAUGAAACAAUAGGCUUUUUUUCUUUGAAUAACUCAUAGGGGGUUUUUUCCAGAAUAGGUCUUAGAAAAACUCUAUUAAUAAUAUAACAUGCUGUAGAAACUGCUUCAGCCCAAAAACGUGAAGAGAUGUUACUUUCAAUUAAAAUAGUUCUAGCCAUUUCUUGAAGCGACCUAUUCUUUCUUUCCACAACUCCGUUUUGCUCUAGAGUAUAUGGAAAGGAGAACACAUGCUGAAAACCAAAUUCAUCACAGAAUUUUGUAAAAUCUUGAUUUUCAAAUUCACCUCUAUGGUCUGUUCUUAUACUUGAAAUAACAUACCCUUUUUCAUUUUGAAUAUUUUUAGCAAACUUUCAAAGUAAGAAAAGGUUUCAGACUUACUUGUCAGGAAAAUAUACCCAAGUAAAUCGUGAGUAGUCAUCCACAAUUACUAGGCAAUAUUUCUUACCUCCAAUGCUCUGAGUUCUGGUUGGUCCAAAGAGAUCCAUAUGCAGAAGCUGCAGUACACGAUUAGUGGAAACUUGAUUUAUUGAUUUAAAGGAAUUUCUUACCUACUUUCCCAAUACACAUGGUGUACAUAGAUCAGACUUUUGGUAUGACAGAUUGGGUAGACCACGAACUAGCUUCUCUACUCAAAUUUUGGAUAUUUGCUUCAUAUUGAUGUGCCCAAGUUUUAUGUGCCAUAAGUUCGCUUCGUCUUGAAUUGAGAUUAGACAUUGUGAUUCAUAUGGUUUCACGUCCAAGAGGUAGAUAUUUCCAUGUCUUCAACCCAUGAAUGAUUGAGUAGAAUCUUUACUGGUUCCUGAACAUAUUCCUUCUUGAAAGUUGAUUUUGAAACCAGUAUCGCACAGCUGACUCAUAUUGAGCAUAUUGUAUUUGAGUCCUUCCACUAAGGAAACAUUGCUGAUUGUGAGGUUUACAAUCUUUACAAUUCCGAAUCCCACAAUUCUUCCUUUGCUGUUUCCUGCAAAUGAGACUUUUCCACCAUUUACUUGAAUGAGCUUUAUGAAGCAAUUUGAAUCUCCUGUCAUAUGUCUUGAGCAUCCACUAUCCAGAUACCAUUUUACCUUCUUCUUGAUAGUGACUUGCAUUUAAAAAAGAGACUCAAAAUUUCUUUGGUACCCAUAUUUUCUUGGGUCCAUUGGUGUUAGUAUGAUAUGCGGUUUUUGCCCAUACUUUCUUAACAGGUUUCCAAACCAUAGGACAUUCUUUCUCAAAAUGAUCUGAACUAUUGCACUUUGAACAUCUGAGAGCAUUGUGACCUACUAGUUUUACAAAGACCUUUUUAAAAUGAUUUUUGUAAGCAUCUCUUGUGGGUCUUUACUUAAUUAUUUCCUUCACUUUAGGAAAAUCAAUUAAAGGAAUGGCUUCCACAGUCAUUCCCAAACCAGAUUUACUGAAAUAAGGUCUUUGUGCUAAAAGAAUUUUCUCAAGUUUCUCAGAUCCUAUUGAAUAUCUUUUGGAAAUAUUUGAUAUGUCAUUUUUUAAAAAUACAUUUUCUUUCGAAAGGUUGUCUUCUCUUUCUUUAAGAGUAGAAACAUUCAUGUCUAAACAUUUCACCUUUUCAUUCAAAACAUUUUCCUGUUGUUUCAGUGCAGAAUUUUCCUUUUUAAGUUCGGAAUCCUUUUAAGAGAAGUCUUAAGACUAAAACACAACUCAUCAAUGUAUUUAGAAACUUUAAUAGAGAUUUUAGAGUUACUCACCUCAAAUUCACCGUCUGAAUCUGAGUCUGUCUCGGAUUUUGAAUCUGAAUCCGAUUGUGCCAUCAGACAUAUAUUGGCAUAAUCAUCAUCACUUUCUUCACAUUUUGUAUCACUCAAGAUUUCUGCUUUAAGAGCCUUUCGAUACUUUUCAGCUUUUCCUUUCUUUUUCCUCAGAAGAUGAUAGUUGGGUCUGAUGUGUCCCUUUUCUUACAUUCAAAGCAGACUACAUCUCUAUUUGAUUCAUCAUCCUCAACAGAUUUAGUCUGUUGCUUUUGAAAAUUUUGUUUCUUUGGAUUGAAUAUUCUUCCUUUUUUGUUAAGCUUUUUGAAUCUUCUUAUCAUGAGAGCAAGCUCCUCAUCAUCCAUAUCGUCUUCAAAAUCUGUAACAUCAAAAUCAUCAUUGGAUUUUAAUACAAUGGAUUUCUUACCUUUAGGAUCUUCGUCUUCAUUGAUUCGUUCCACUUCAUAAGACUGAAGAGUCCCAACCAACUCAUCGAUAGGUAGUGGCAUAAUUCUUUGUGUCUCUCUUAUUGAGGUCUUUAUGUGAUUCCAAUCCUUGGAGAGUCCACGCAGUAGCUUGUUUACUUUCAUGGGAUCAGAAAUUGGUUGACUUUGAUUUUCAAGACCAUUCACGAUUUCUGUAAAACGACUAAACAUGUCAGUUAUCGAUUCUCGUGAUUUCAUUUUGAAGGCUUUGUAUUGACCGAAGAGAAUGUUGAUUCUGGUUUCUUUCACUCGAUCGGUUCCUUCAUAGGUAAUAUGUAAUCUAUCCCAAACUUCUUUCACUGUAACACAAGAAGAUAUUCUGUUAUAUUAAGUAGGUGACAAAGCACAAUAUAAAGAAUAAAUUGCUUUUGCAUCAAGAUCUUGUCUCUUGGUUAUCUCUUCCUGAGUCAUUUCACUAGACUCAACAGUUUUUUUUUCCUCUCUCUAAGACACGUGCAGCUUUAAGAAUGAUUCCUUUGUCUACAACGUCCCAUUCCAGAGGAUCCUUUGAUCUUAGGAACGCCUUUAUCUUGUUUUUCCAUAUGUUGUAUUCCUUUCCAUCAAAGUAAGGCGGUCUGGUAUUGCUUUGCGCUUCUACCAGCCCUGGAGCUAACAUACUAGCCAUGGAUCUUUAACUCUGAAGUAAAACACUUCAAACAAAGUGAGUACACAUGCUCUGAUACCAAUUGAGAUAGCUAGUAUAAGCACCUAGAGGGGGGUGAAUAGGUGUAAAAAAUAUUUUCUCGAGAUAAGAGAGCAAUACUAACCAGACAAUAGAAAGGAAGUUCUCUUUUUGUUAACAAAGCGAAUUAUGAUAAAAGUAAAGCAGAGAGUAGGGAAGAGAAAAUGAACACAGAAAUUAUAGUGGUUCGGCUUAUUCCAAGCCUACGUCCACUCUUCCGCACUGACAGCCCACCGGCUGGAUUUCACUAUGAACAAAAGAAUUGUUACAGCAAGACUCUCCCUUGAUUACACUGUGCAAAUACUCUACCACACUUCCUCAAGGUUUCUCAAGAAUAGGGACUCUCUUUUGCGUACAAGAUUUCGCUCAGAAACUAAGAACAAAGAGCUUCAGACUUUGGAAUUCUUCUAUCGCGCACACACUCGAACAACUAGAACGUCUUCCUUAUAUACUCAUUUAUGCCAUCAUACCCGUUGCCACUUACCAAAGGAAUUCUUCCAAUCUUUCUAUUGGACAGAAUCAAUUAGGAAGAUCAUUCGAGCUAUUUAAGGAACAUGUCGAUAGCCCAUCAAUCCUGCUCGCCCAUACAAUCAGGAUCUCGGUUUCCAUAAGUAGAACCUUCCAAGUAUACUUCGCCAAUCAUCGGAUCCUCAAUCUUUGAAUCAAUAAAGGAUUCCGUUAUGUCAUAUCCAGCCGAGAGAUCUUCUCCAAACGAUAAAGUUAAAUCCUUAACGAAACAUCCAGUCCUAGAUAGCCCUUCUUCCACGGAUUAGAAACUGUCAAUGAUAAUAGACUUUGAGUCUUGAGUCUGCAGUCCGAAGGUCUUCAGACUUUAAAUAGUAGAAUCUGUAAAUCUUCAGACUAGACUGAUGGAAACGUUUUGUCAGCUUCAAAAUACUCUAGGAAGAUUUCUCCAACAAAACCAAGUUCGGACUUCUCUUUUACCAUGUAAAAGGCUCGAAGUUGAGGAUGUUACAUAUAGUAUAAGGAAUUAAUGGCUUUUACAUCAAGAGCUUCUCUUUUGGAUAUCUUCUUCCGAGUCAUAGGAGCAGGGGGUUUGGUUUCUUUGUCUUUACCAUUCCUUAUUUGAUGUAGACGCAGUAGUGGGAUUGAUUCAUUUUUCCACAACAUUCUGUUGCAAGGAUCUUUGGAUCUUAAGAAUGCCUUCAUUUUGUUUUUCCAAACAUUGUAUUCUUUUCCAUUGAAAUAUGGUGGCCUGAUGUUGCUUUGCCCUUCAAUCAGCCCNNNNNNNNNNNNNNNNNNNNNNNNNNNNNNNNNNNNNNNNNNNNNNNNNNNNNNNNNNNNNNNNNNNNNNNNNNNNNNNNNNNNNNNNNNNNNNNNNNNNNNNNNNNNNNNNNNNNNNNNNNNNNNNNNNNNNNNNNNNNNNNNNNNNNNNNNNNNNNNNNNNNNNNNNNNNNNNNNNNNNNNNNNNNNNNNNNNNNNNNNNNNNNNNNNNNNNNNNNNNNNNNNNNNNNNNNNNNNNNNNNNNNNNNNNNNNNNNNNNNNNNNNNNNNNNNNNNNNNNNNNNNNNNNNNNNNNNNNNNNNNNNNNNNNNNNNNNNNNNNNNNNNNNNNNNNNNNNNNNNNNNNNNNNNNNNNNNNNNNNNNNNNNNNNNNNNNNNNNNNNNNNNNNNNNNNNNNNNNNNNNNNNNNNNNNNNNNNNNNNNNNNNNNNNNNNNNNNNNNNNNNNNNNNNNNNNNNNNNNNNNNNNNNNNNNNNNNNNNNNNNNNNNNNNNNNNNNNNNNNNNNNNNNNNNNNNNNNNNNNNNNNNNNNNNNNNNNNNNNNNNNNNNNNNNNNNNNNNNNNNNNNNNNNNNNNNNNNNNNNNNNNNNNNNNNNNNNNNNNNNNNNNNNNNNNNNNNNNNNNNNNNNNNNNNNNNNNNNNNNNNNNNNNNNNNNNNNNNNNNNNNNNNNNNNNNNNNNNNNNNNNNNNNNNNNNNNNNNNNNNNNNNNNNNNNNNNNNNNNNNNNNNNNNNNNNNNNNNNNNNNNNNNNNNNNNNNNNNNNNNNNNNNNNNNNNNNNNNNNNNNNNNNNNNNNNNNNNNNNNNNNNNNNNNNNNNNNNNNNNNNNNNNNNNNNNNNNNNNNNNNNNNNNNNNNNNNNNNNNNNNNNNNNNNNNNNNNNNNNNNNNNNNNNNNNNNNNNNNNNNNNNNNNNNNNNNNNNNNNNNNNNNNNNNNNNNNNNNNNNNNNNNNNNNNNNNNNNNNNNNNNNNNNNNNNNNNNNNNNNNNNNNNNNNNNNNNNNNNNNNNNNNNNNNNNNNNNNNNNNNNNNNNNNNNNNNNNNNNNNNNNNNNNNNNNNNNNNNNNNNNNNNNNNNNNNNNNNNNNNNNNNNNNNNNNNNNNNNNNNNNNNNNNNNNNNNNNNNNNNNNNNNNNNNNNNNNNNNNNNNNNNNNNNNNNNNNNNNNNNNNNNNNNNNNNNNNNNNNNNNNNNNNNNNNNNNNNNNNNNNNNNNNNNNNNNNNNNNNNNNNNNNNNNNNNNNNNNNNNNNNNNNNNNNNNNNNNNNNNNNNNNNNNNNNNNNNNNNNNNNNNNNNNNNNNNNNNNNNNNNNNNNNNNNNNNNNNNNNNNNNNNNNNNNNNNNNNNNNNNNNNNNNNNNNNNNNNNNNNNNNNNNNNNNNNNNNNNNNNNNNNNNNNNNNNNNNNNNNNNNNNNNNNNNNNNNNNNNNNNNNNNNNNNNNNNNNNNNNNNNNNNNNNNNNNNNNNNNNNNNNNNNNNNNNNNNNNNNNNNNNNNNNNNNNNNNNNNNNNNNNNNNNNNNNNNNNNNNNNNNNNNNNNNNNNNNNNNNNNNNNNNNNNNNNNNNNNNNNNNNNNNNNNNNNNNNNNNNNNNNNNNNNNNNNNNNNNNNNNNNNNNNNNNNNNNNNNNNNNNNNNNNNNNNNNNNNNNNNNNNNNNNNNNNNNNNNNNNNNNNNNNNNNNNNNNNNNNNNNNNNNNNNNNNNNNNNNNNNNNNNNNNNNNNNNNNNNNNNNNNNNNNNNNNNNNNNNNNNNNNNNNNNNNNNNNNNNNNNNNNNNNNNNNNNNNNNNNNNNNNNNNNNNNNNNNNNNNNNNNNNNNNNNNNNNNNNNNNNNNNNNNNNNNNNNNNNNNNNNNNNNNNNNNNNNNNNNNNNNNNNNNNNNNNNNNNNNNNNNNNNNNNNNNNNNNNNNNNNNNNNNNNNNNNNNNNNNNNNNNNNNNNNNNNNNNNNNNNNNNNNNNNNNNNNNNNNNNNNNNNNNNNNNNNNNNNNNNNNNNNNNNNNNNNNNNNNNNNNNNNNNNNNNNNNNNNNNNNNNNNNNNNNNNNNNNNNNNNNNNNNNNNNNNNNNNNNNNNNNNNNNNNNNNNNNNNNNNNNNNNNNNNNNNNNNNNNNNNNNNNNNNNNNNNNNNNNNNNNNNNNNNNNNNNNNNNNNNNNNNNNNNNNNNNNNNNNNNNNNNNNNNNNNNNNNNNNNNNNNNNNNNNNNNNNNNNNNNNNNNNNNNNNNNNNNNNNNNNNNNNNNNNNNNNNNNNNNNNNNNNNNNNNNNNNNNNNNNNNNNNNNNNNNNNNNNNNNNNNNNNNNNNNNNNNNNNNNNNNNNNNNNNNNNNNNNNNNNNNNNNNNNNNNNNNNNNNNNNNNNNNNNNNNNNNNNNNNNNNNNNNNNNNNNNNNNNNNNUCUUCCAUCUACCCAUUGGACAGAUCUGUAUCAAGAAGAUUUAGUAGCCAUUAAGUGACAGAAGUAGAAUCCCAAAUUGAUUCUAAUUACCCAUACAAACAAAAUUUUAGUUUCCAUGAGUAAAGUUUCUUUGUUUAGAAAGUUUUUAUCUUGAAGGUCCAAUUGUCAAUCAAUUAGACGGAGCCAAUCAUUUCUAUCUUAAUAUAAAAUCCAAACCAGAUCACAAGCCGUUAUAUGUUUGGGGCUUAUGUUAUGUUCUAUCAAAUUGUCUCAUUCUAAACAAGUUUCGUUAUGGACUUUCAUGUAUUGAACUUGUGUCUCGUUCUGUAUAUAAAGUUUCAGUACGUUCUGUCGAAAGUAGAAUCUAAGUGUCUUUCAUCUGAAAUAGACUUUAUAAUCUAGACAUAAGUUUGAACAUAUUAUGCUUCUGAACAUAUUUAGCCUUAGGUCUGGACACAGUAUGAAUAAGUUCAGCUUUAGCAUAGAGUCUAUUUUCCAGUUCUUCCAAGUAUAAACUUCGACAAUAUUAUUUACAUGUUCUAUUAUCUGCAUGGUCUAUUACUUAACCAUUAAACACGUUAGUAACUUUGAUUUAUUUUGUUAUCUUCAAAACAUCAUAAAGAAUUUCCCUAAUGAUGGUUUUAAUUGGUGAUGGGCUUAAGGCCCGUCCGCCCAUGUUGGGCCCAAAAGGCUCGGCCCACGGGAAUAGGGCCCGUGGAUGGGGGAAGGUAUAAAAGGGAGGAGAGAGAGAGAGAGAGAAGAUACCUCUUGGCAGAAUUGACGUACGUCUUCUCCUCUCCCACGCAUUCUCUCUCAAAAAGAAAAAAAAAAAGAAAAACAGUAAAGCAUACGGCACUUUUUUCUUCCUUUCAAGGCAUCAUCGGAUCGAACAGGGCCAAAUCUCUUCCUCUUAUCGGCGUCGGUGUCUAAUCUGUGGCUAACAAGGUACGCUCGAAUCCGUAGUGUGCUUUAGGAUCGGUGAUACGUGUUAUUCCCGGGUUUCGCUUCCACAUUCAUUUUAGGGGUUCGAUUUAGUGUCGAAUCCGGUUUUCGGGGAUCAGUUAUUCCCAACAUUGGUAUCAGAGCCCUAGUUCACGUAUUUCCCGACCAUUUUCAUGUUUUUUGAUUGAUUUUUCGCGAAAAUUUUUGGUCGUACGGAUCGGGGCGAGAAAUCCCGACAUCCGAGCGCUGUUCGCCCAUUUUUCCGAGUUUUCGUAAGUCGAAAUCGAAUUCUGAUAACAUAGGGAGAAAUGGAUCGUCGAGAUGAGUCCGGAAACAGGUUGUGCGCCGCCGGGAGACGCCGCAUGCGCCCACACGCGCGACCGGAAGGCGCUGCGCGUGGGCGCGACACGCCCGAAAGCGCUGGCUCGCCAGCGCGUGCGGCACACGCGUCGGUCGGCGAACCGGCGCGUGCGCGCCGCCGGCCGGCGAACCGGCACGUGCCGGUUGACGGACCGACGCGUGCUGAUGUCAGCAUGACGUCACCCAACGGUCGAUAACCGCUGGGGUGACGUCAUCGAUGACGUCAGCAACGACGACGGUUGGCCGAGCGGUCCUCGGCCGGCGACCCGACCCGACCCGAACCGCGACGCCCGGCACGCGCCCGGCACGUGCCGACUGACGUCUGCGUGACGUCAGCCCUCGCACGCGCGCGGCACGUGCGGCCGGUUCGUCCGACCGGCCGACCGGUCCGUCCGGUCCAACCCGCCGCCCGUUGACCGUUGACCGACCGUUGACCGUUGACUGACGACCGUUGACUGUUGACCGGCCGUUGACUUUGACCGUUGACCCGAAAAAAAAAAUGGAUUUGUUUCUUUUUUCAAUUAUGUCUGUGUGGGUUAGAGGUAAUCCAUUUUUUAUUCUGCAUUUGUUGCAUAAAUCAUGGAAAAUUAUGUAUUUUCCAUUUUUUUAUUGUGGAUUAAAAGUGAUCCAUUUUAGUUCUGCAUUUGCUGCAGGAACUAUGAUGCAUUAUGCACGGAUACCUGCAAUCCCGAGAACGGACGAAGGAAAAGCUAGACUGAAAAGGCUGAUGAAAGAGUUAGCUGAUUAUCGGUGGCUUGAUGGUGAUUUAGUAUCAUAUAUGGUCAAGGUCAAUUAGAUGAUAUAGGAAAUCAUCUGGAAUAGUUAUCUUAUGCCAGAUUUUGAGAAGGUGCCGGUUUUGAUGAACACUCUUCCACCUGAAUGGCAAGCAGUGUUAGAUCGGUUAUGGGAGGUCAACGUGGUCCCGGAUUACAAGGGGCUAGUGGAAGCUUUUGUAAGAGAGUACUAUAGGAUUGAGUUGGCGAAAACUUCAACCCUUAGAUUGAGCGCCACAUGGCGCAGAGUGAAUGCGCCUUGGUGGCGACACGAGAGCUCUCCAAAAGUUUUUCCAUGGUUAGCAAGUGUGCCUUCAGUUUUCUCAGAUGUCUUGACUGAUAGAUUAAAAGGGACAUUCCCUAUUUAUUUCUUAGAUUAAUUAUGUAAUGUUUACUACCUGAUUGUUGUUGAUGUAGCAACCAAUAUGUUAGUUGUAUUAUGUGAAAGCAUUAUUAUUUUAUUGGAUAUCAAUUAUUUGUUACUUUCUAUUAUUGCUGGUUGCUGUGGGUAGUUAGCUAUGGGUAGUAAUAGAAGUUUUUGUAACUUCAUAAAAUUAAUUUGCAUGAGACAAUUAUAUUAAUAAUAGUUUUAAGUUAGGAUUUUGGAGGAUGAUUGGAAACAUAGUGACAUUUUGAUUCUGAAACCUUACUUGAAAUUAUUCAUUAAUAUGAUGGGUCUGUGCAAAUAGGGAUGCAUAAAUGAUAGGCAUUAAUUAUUCGUGCAUGUAUGUCUGAUGUGUUCAGAUCGAUGUUUUCAGCAACUAAGAACGUAAUUGCUGAUAUGAACGGCAACAAUUGUGAAAUAUUGAAUAUGAAGAUUCAAUAUGUGCUGGAAAAGCUAGAAGCACUAGAAGCUCUUGACCAUAUUAUGGAAGAUCUAGAGGAUGUUGUGCGCCAGCUUGAGCUAGUAGAGGACUGCCUAUCGGCAUUUGAGCCGAAAAUAGACAUUGGUUAUGCUGGUUCUAGCUUAGAAAGGGCUUUGAGCUCCUGAGCGCAAGCGUAUUUGACUCGUUCAAUAUGUGGGAAUGCAAAGGAUCAAGUCCUUAUUGCAAGAGAUCAAGAGUUAACCAACACAAGGGAGGAAAACGUUCUCAAGUGAAGAAAAUGUCAAGGGUGAGGUGUUACAAUUGUGACAAGAAAAUGUCACUAUGCUCGCAAUUGUUGUGAGCCGAAAAAGGUAAACACCUCUUGUACAUUUGAGAACUUUGAUUAUGUGUCAAGUUCUAUAUUAUUAGCUGAAUCCAAUCCUUUGUGGACUGUAGAUUCAGGAGUAACAGACGAUGUAGCGAAGGAUAGAGGAUCCUUCGUGGAAUUCCGACGAAUACUAAUUGGAACUAAGUGGAUCUAUGUGGGAAACAACUCCAGAGCUGAAGUUAAAGGGAUUGGCACCUACCAACUGAACAUGUAUGGUGGGCGCACCUUGUUCCUACAUGAUGUUCUAAAUGCUCUAGAGAUUCGUCGAAAAUUAAGUGUCUGUUUUGAUGUUGGUUAAGCUUGGUUUUAGUGUGAACUUCCGUAAUAACGGUGUAGAUUUGUAUUUGGAUACAAACUACUAUGGUUGUGGUCACUUUCUGGAUGGUUUUAUUGUACUAAAUGUUGACUGUGGUGAUGUCAAUAUGUUAUUCCCUUGUUUCACGUCUUUUUACUUCAUGUGAUAAUGACGUGAAUGUGUGGCAUGCUAGACUUGGUCAUAUUGGCCAACAACAUAUGAAUAGACUAGCCAAAGAGGGCUUGUUGGGCAAUAUUGAAAAAGUCGAUUUGUCCAUAUGUAAGUAUUGCCUAGAAGGGAAAACGACAAGGAAACCAUUUGGAAAAAGGUAAAAGAGCUGACGUUCCUCUGCAUUUAAUCCAUUAUGACGUUUGUGGUUCAAUAAAUGUGAGAGGAAGGCAUGGGGCUGUUUAUUUCAUCACUUUAUAGAUGAUUAUACUCGAUUCGGAUAUGUCUAUUUGAUUUCUCAUAAAUCUGAAGCAUAAGUUGUUUCAAAAGGUUUAUGACAUUGGUAGAAAAUCAAUUAGACAAGAAAAUAAAGGUAUUUAGAUCCAAUCGAGAUCGAGAAUAUUUAUCUGAUGAGUUCAGAAAAAUUAUGUGAUGAAAAAGGAAUAGAAAGAUAGUUGUCUAUUCCAAAUACUCCUCAACAAAAUGGUGUUGCAGAGAGAAUAAACAGAACCCUACUGGAAUGGUUAGGUCCAUGAUGGCGCAUGCUAACUUACCUAUUACUUUUUGAAGUGAUGCGUUGUUAACUGCUGCCUAUAUACUUAACCGGAUGCCUUCCAAACCAGUUACUUCCACUCAAUAUGAGUUAUGGACAGGUAGAAAACCGGACUUAAGUUUUCUUAAGCCAUGGGGUUGUACUGUCUAUACUCAUGAGUCCUCUCACAAGUUUGGGAAAUUAGGUCCUAAAGGAAAUAAGAGUAUUUUAAUGAGAUACUCCGAACACUCAAAAGGGUAUAUGUUUAUAGGUGAGCAGGAAAGUGGGAGUAUAAUUGAAUUUUAAUCACGGGAUGUCACAUUCUUAGAGGAUGAAUUUCCUAAGAAGGGCGAAAUAGGGGAAGAUUGUUCCCUAUUUGAGACCUCGGAUCAGGAUAAUGAUGUUAGUGGAGUUCGUCCAAGUGGGAGUAAUAUGAGAAGUGAUGAAUUGAAUUCAACUCAUUCUCAAUUACAACCACAUGAUGAGAUGAUAUCGUCAUUAUCUAAUCCGAGUGGGAGCAUAAUGGGGAAUGAUGUGCUAAGUGUACAAUCUCCCAUACGGCGAACAAGUCGCCAAAGUAUUCCCCGUCGACGUUUUGAUAUUGAAAGGGAAACUUUUAUAAUUGCUCCACGAGAUAAGGAUGAGCCAAGAAAUAUUAAUGAAGCUCUGAAAUGCCCUAGUAAGGAAAAAUGGAUUAAUGCAAUGGAAGAGGAAAUGGAGUCAAUGAAAUCAAACCAAGUCUGGGAACUGGUUGAUCUUCCAAAAGGGACGCAGAGCUAUUGGGAACAAGUGGGUUCUCAAAAUAAAGCGAAAGGCCGAUGGCUCGAUAGAAAGGCAUAAGGCUCGCCUUGUUGCGAAGGGGUAUAAUCAACAGGAAGGAAUUGAUUAUGAAGAUACAUUUUCUCCUGUAGUGAGAUUUACCUCGAUUCGCAUUAUUCUGGCAAUAGUGGCUAGUCUGGAUCUUGAGUUACAUCAAAUGGAUGUAAAGACUGCUUUCCUCAAUGGAGAAUUAGAGGAAGAAAUAUAUAUGGAACAACCUGCUGGUUUCAUAGUGAAAGGCCAAGAAGAAAAGGUAUGUCGACUUUUGAGGUCGAUAUAUGGCCUUAAGCAGUCAUCAAGACAAUGGUAUAUACGUUUUCAUAAUGCCAUAAUGGCAUAUGAUUUUACGCUGAUAGAUGAGGAUCAUUAUGUAUAUAUCAAAAGAUCUAAGGAUCAAUUUGUGAUCAUAUCAUUAUAUGUUGAUGAUAUACUAAUUGCCGGAAGCAAUAUGGAGCUUGUCAAUACUGUCAAAAGUUGGUUGUCUUCCAAUUUUGAAUUGAAGGAUAUGGGAUUUUAAACCCAUAGACACUCCUAUUGCAAAAGGUGAAGGAUUGAGCCAUAGAUUGUGUCCAAGGACUCCACAAGAGAAGGAACAAAUGCAACAUGUUCCUUAUGCUAGUGCUGUUUGGAGCUUGAUGUACGCUAUGAUGUGUACAAGACCUGACAUAUGUUAUGUAGUUGGAAUGGUGAGUAGAUACCAAUCCAAUCCAGGUCAAGUACGUUGGAAAGCCGUUAAAUGAAUACUAAGGUAUCUAAAGGAGACUGCUGAUUGUACGUUGAGUUAUUAUGAAAAGGAUCUGCAACUCAAAGGCUAUUCUGAUGCUGAUUGGAGAGGAGAUUUAAAUGAAAGAAAAUCUACCUUUGAAUUUGUUUUCUUACCGAAUAAUGGCACCAUAUGUUGGAGCAGUAAUAAACAAAAGUGUAUAGCCUUGUCCACGAUGGAAACUGAGUUCGUGGCAUUAUCAGUAGUAGUAUAAGAAGAUGUUUGGCUUAAGAGAUUAUUGAAUCAUUUAGGUGUUAUUGGAAGUGCUGCAGAUUUGUUAUUGGUUAACUGUGAUAGCCAAGCAGCGAAAGUGUACACCAAAGAUCCAAAAUAUCAUCACAAGACCAAACAUAUAGAUACCAAGUAUACUUUUGUCAAGGAUAUGAUUGCACGAAAAGAUGUGAACUUAGAGUACAUACUACGCAUAGAAUGGUAGCAGAUCCUAUGACAAAGCCAAUACCUAGAGAUGUGUUUUGUGGCCAUAUGAAAUCUCUAGGAUUGCGUAGAGGAUGAUGUACUGAAUAUUGUAAUUUCCCUAAGAGUUCACAUUUGAUGAAUUUGUGUUUUCAUCAUUAAUCCCUAUGAAUCUUUGUUUGAUCUUUAUGCAUCUUAAUGCUCAGUGCAUUAUUUUAAGUUGAGGAAGUAUGUCGGACAGAUAUAAGAUUAGCCCACUCACACGGGUAAUCGCAUCUAUUUACUGUGUGAUAAAUAGAGAUGAGACUGUUUUUAAGCUUAUUAUCUAGGUGAUAAUCGAGAGCUCAAGCUUAAAAUACGUAUGUCGCCUUAACUGGGUGUUAAGAUGAUGACAUAAUACUUACUAUGUCCGAAAGUAAAAUACCCCACAUAUUUUACUUUAUCUGUCUAUGAUGCCAGAUGUGAGUUCUGAUGAAUUUUGUGAAUGAGUAGAUAAGUGAACUCAAGUUAGACAUUGGGUAUGUCUGAACUAUCAUCUGUACAGUAUUGAAAGAUGUAGACAUACGCUCCAUGGGAAAUGAGUUAAUACCGUAAUACGUAUUUCAUACUACGUAUGCAUGAGACGACCAAUAAGAGUGACAAAAGUUUGAUCUCAACUUUUAUGUCGUGUGAGACUCUUGAGGAAUAAAGUUCCUCAAUUUUUAGUCUCCUCAUGACUCUUACUUAUUCUCAAGAUUUCUAUUUAGUGUUUGCUAUCUUAGGAUGUUGCCAAUGGUCAUGAGUUUGAUUCGAUCUAAUGGGGCAUUUCUAGAAAAGCAAGCUGAAUUGAAAUUGAGAGUUUGAAGGGAAGAGGAAGAUCAAAUUUGGAGAAUCACAUUGUAGUUUUGUAUUCACCGAUUAACCAAUUAUGACUGUCUUUGUGAUAAUCAUAAUUGUGAAUACAAUAUAUAUAUAUAUAUAUAUAUAUAUAUAUCAUUGUUUGAAAGAGAUCAAGAGAGAUAUAAAUGUGAUCAAUCGAUCUAGGGUACUGCAUACUAAAUCUACUCGGAGUGUGAUGCCCAUUAUGAUCUGCUAUAUAUUCCUAACAGAUGUAUGGCAACGAGCUCUCAAAGUAUGCUGGUCGCACGGAUUAUUCACCGGUAUGAAUGUUGAAGAGAGGUAAAGAGAAUCCUGUCCAGCCCACCAUGUGCGAGUGGGAGAUGAUGGUUUUAAUUGGUGAUGGGCUUAAGGCCCGUCCGCCCAUGUUGGGCUCAAAAGGCCCGGCCCACGGGAAUUGGGCCCGUGGAUGGGGGAAGGUAUAAAAGGGAGGAGAGAGAGAGAGAGAGAAGAUACCUCUUGGCAGAAUUGACGUACGUCUUCUCCUCUCCCGCGCAUUCUCUCUCAAAAAGAAAAAAAAAAAAAGAAAAAUAGUAAAGCAUACGGCACUUUUUUCUUCCUUUCAAGGCAUCAUCGGAUCGAACAGGGCCAAAUCUCUUCCUCUUAUCGGCGUCGGUGUCUAAUCUGUGGCUAACAAGGUACGCUCGAAUCCGUAGUGUGCUUUAGGAUCGGUGAUACGUGUUAUUCCUGGGCUUCGCUUCCGCAUUCAUUUUAGGGGUUCGAUUUAGUGUCGAAUCCGGUUUUCGGGGAUCAGUUAUUCCCAACACCUAAUAACAGUAAAAUAAAAGAUAGGAAAUUAUAAAGACAACUAAAACCUGUGGAAAAGCUCCUAUGAGAAGGAGCAUCUCAAUAAUUGAUGAUGUUGCCUCAGAAUCAACAGAAUCAAGAGUCUUUGAGUUCUUCGCCUUUGGUAGAUUCAAAGUGUUCCAUGAGAGGUAGUCAAUGGUCUAGGUUGGUUUGAACAAAUCAACGAUCAACAGUCAUCCGUGACAUAAUGCUGACAUGUCGAAUAAUGUCAGCAAAGCAGAAGUGAUGUAGUGGAUGACUCCAGCAAAGUGGAGGCCCGUGACUCAUGUAGGCACAUGUCGCUAAGGAGGCGUGCGGAUAUCACACUUGGAUCCUUUUGGCGGUGUGCGGAGCCUUGUCCGUAGAUGGUUGGCGCUAAGACUUCCUGAGCUGCCUUGACGGAGGACGACAAGUCAUGGAUUGGUGUUUGUUUUUCAAUUAUGCGGUGGAAGGCUUCCAAAUCACCAUGGAAUAACGGUGGGCUCCUCAAGUCGGAGACGUGAUGGCGCGUGGUGGCGCGUGUAGAGGCAUCCAGCGUAUGUUGGUGACGAAAUUUUAGGGUUUUGCUUGUCUGAGGAAAGCGAGUGCGAUGGUGGUGCUGGCUUGUCGAAAUAAGCAUUGGAAGUAUGUCGAACAUCAACUAAAGGUUCUGGUCUUGGUGGAGAACAGGUAGCAGCAAUGCAACUAACGUCGUGGCGGCCAAUGUGUAGCAAACUUGAUGGGUGCACCUCAAGUAACAAUGGCUCUAAUACCAAUUUGAGAAUUGUGAUAAUAAAAAAUCAUUAUAUUAUGUACAAUGUCAAGUUGAGUACACAAGCCAUUUAUUUGCUAUACACGACGGUUAUCUAAAGUAACAAAAUAUUCAAUACCAUUCACGAAUCAUAAAAUAUCCUAAUUUUUUCUCUAACACUGCCAAAUCUAUUAAAGCCAAAACUAGGAAAAUUGAACUGUCCAACUUUUGUAAGUUGUUGAUGGUCUAACGCUGAUUAAGCAUACUAAGUAUGAAGUGCCGGAAGUAUGAAGUACCGGUUGAAGAGGUGCUCUCGCAGAUUCAGGUAUGCUAAGCUAGAUUCAGUUAAUAUGAACAACAUCUAGAAUGCGUNNNNNNNNNNNNNNNNNNNNNNNNNNNNNNNNNNNNNNNNNNNNNNNNNNNNNNNNNNNNNNNNNNNNNNNNNNNNNNNNNNNNNNNNNNNNNNNNNNNNUCGCAGAGAGAUUUCUCUGAGAAUUCUGAUUUUCAUCUUCUGUCCUCAAACUCACUUGCGGCUCGUGGUGUUUUUGUCCUCAACCAUUGGCAGUAGUGCUGUUGCAGCGUGCUGUGUUAUCGGUUGUUGCUGAGGAAAGAUUGAAGUUGUCAUCAUGAUAUUUCUGGGAAAAGCAAGAUUGGUCUUUCUUUCUCUAGUGUCUCAUUAUGUUGUAAAAUUUUGCACUGGAGGAGAUGUCAUCACUGCAACAGAGUAUAUCCAAGACCCUGCAAGUAUAACAUCAAGUGGAGGUCUCUACAGAUUGGGAUUCUUUAGCCCUAAUGGUUCUGCAAAUCGCUAUGUAGGGAUUUGGUACAACAAUGUUCCUACAUAUAAUGUUCUCUGGGUAGCGAACAGGGAGAAUCCAAUUUUUGACUCUUCUGGUGUUGUGACAAUAUCCGAUGAUGGUAAUCUUGUGGUUAUGAAUGGAAAGGGGGAAAUAGUUUGGUCAUCAAAUGUUUCCAACUCUGUAACCGAUGCAAAAGCUCAGUUGUCAGAUUCUGGGAACCUGGUCUUGCUCAAACGGAUCUCUUACUCGAGGGCAAAUGAUUCAGAGAUUCUCUGGGACAGUUUCCAGCACAUGACUGAUUCAUUCUUACAGAAAAUGAAGCUGAUCACUAACUCGAGAACAAAUAAGAUGCAGGCAUUAACAUCUUGGAAAAGCCCUUCUGAUCCAUCAAUUGGAAGCUUCUCAGUGAGUCUUGAUCUGCAUAACAUUCCUGAACUUUUCAUUCAGAAUGGCAGUUCUCUGUAUUGGCGAAGUGGUCCAUGGAAUGGUAAUAUAUUCAUUGGAGUACCUAAGAUGCAAUCAGUCUAUAUUAAUGGGUUUAACCUGGUGGACAAUCACGAAGGAACAGUCUAUCUGACUUACAGUUUUGCUGAGGCGUCUUACUUGUUAUUGAAAUCAAAUGGGGAUUUGGUGCAACCGUACUUGGAUCAGUAUAGCAGUUCCUGGGGGAUUGUUUGGUCAUCUCGGGUGAGCGAUUGUGAUGUCUACGGCCAGUGUGGACCGUUCGGAAUCUGCAAUGCCAAGAAUUCACCAAUUUGUAGCUGCUUGAGAGGCUUUGAGCCUAAAAACAUUGAGGAAUGGAGCAGAGGAAAUUGGUCCAGUGGAUGCAUUCGGAAGUCAUUGCUGCAGUGCAAUGGAACUACAAAUGGUAGCAGUACAGCCAGCAAAAAGGAUGGAUUUUUAAAGCUGGAAAUGAUGAAAGUGCCAAAUUCGGGAAUUUUUUAUUCUACACUGGAAAGUGAUUGCCCAGGAAAUUGCUCAAUUAAUUGUUCAUGUGUAGCAUACGCAUUUGACCCUGGUGUUGGCUGCAUGUUCUGGAUACAAGACCUAAUUGACCUACAGAAGUUCUCCGUUGGAGGAACAACUCUUUACGUUCGGCUGGCCCACUUAGAACUCGGUAAAUAACUUCACUCUUAGAUGAUGGUUCUAUCAAUUGGUAGUGCAGCUUAAGUUUAGAUGGAUAAAUACACUUGGCUUGACUCAUUCAUCAAGACUUGUCGAAUUUCAUUAGCAAACCAACACGCCUGCACAUGCGCAUGCUCAAAUAUAGGCUCGAGCAGGGUCUAAUAUCGAGCCUAUAUUUGAGCCCUGAUAAAGGAGCAGAUUUUGCAUGUCUUCUUGACUAUGACAAAGUCUCAUUGUUAGCUAUAAAACAAGGGUUCCAAAAUGAUUCGUUUAGUAAUUGCUUACUGGCAGCAUGAACAUAGUCUGAGGCGUCAAUUAAUGUCUCUGUUCUGAUCUCCAGAUGAAAAGGGACAUCUGAGAGAAAUCAUAGCAACUUCAGUCAUCAUAGACACAGUCAUUGUUAUCAUCAUGAUAUGGUUUGUCGCAAGGAAGGUGAAAAAACGAGGUAAAGAGUAGUGCAGCUGUUUUAGAAUUGCCAAUAAUUUCUGAGUUUGCAUGGAGUAAAUAACAAGCUCUAUUUUCUGGAUCAGCAUUAAACAAAAGUAAGGAAAAACAUUUGUCAAGUGGAGAAGCCCCUUCCGUUGUAAUGCUUGGAGAGAACUUGAGCAGAGUCGAGUUCCAGGAGUUUGUAAAAUAUAAAAUUGAAGAAUUGGCUGCCGCAACAGGAAACUUUGGUGAGGCCAAUAAGCUUGGGCGGGGUGGUUUCGGGCCAGUAUAUAAGGUAUAGCUAUUCACGUAGAGUAUUAUAUAUGUAAUUGUGUUUGUGUGUACGUGUGUGUCAAUUUUCGGAGCUCAUUUAGUCCCUGUGUACAGGGGAGACUACCAAACGGUCAGGAAAUAGCAAUCAAGAGGCUAUCGAGAGCCUCAGGACAAGGACAGCAGGAAUUUAUGAACGAAAUGGUGGUCAAUUGUAAGGUCCAACAUCGAAAUCUCGUUAGACUGCUUGGAUGCUGUGUUGAAGGAGAUGAGAAAAUGUUAAUCUAUGAAUUCAUGCCAAACAAGAGCCUAGACACAUUUCUCUUUGGUAAUAUUUCGCUUAUUUAAAUGUUGCCUCAAACUAUCAAUCAUGCCAUGUAUCCAAGAAGCCUCGUUUGUAUAGUUAGCUGUUAGCCAUUUGAAAAUGAUUGGACAGUUGUCGCUGCAGAUGUUAUAGGUUUCCUGUUUGGCUUUAAACUCCUGUGCAUUUCACUCUUUUCCGAUUGCAAAAAUGAAUUUUUCGCAUUAAACUUCUAUGUCCAUGCAGAUCCACUGAAACGAGUACAUUUGGAUUGGAGAACCCGGUUCAACAUUGUUAAUGGAAUUUGUCGAGGUUUGCUUUAUCUUCAUAGGGAUUCUAGACUAAGGAUUAUACAUAGAGAUUUGAAGGCAGGCAAUAUCUUGCUGGAUGAAGAGCUCAAUCCAAAGAUUUCAGACUUUGGAAUGGCUCGAAUAUUUGGAGGAAAUGAAAACCAAGCUAAUACACAAAGAGUUGUGGGAACCUAGUUAGUACCUCUUUAGUUUUGACAUUCCUAGUGAUUUUAUUCUCUACUCAGAUUAAGGAAACUGAACAUCUUUGAUGGAAUGCAGUGGCUACAUGGCUCCUGAAUAUGCAAUGCAAGGGAGAUUUUCGGAAAAAUCAGAUGUCUUUAGCUUCGGCAUAUUAUUACUAGAGAUCAUAAGUGGGAGACAGAACACGAGUUUUCAUGAUGAAGAUCAAUGCCUGAGCCUUCUAGGAUUGGUAAGCUCUCAUUGAUUUAGAAGUUGGAACUGCAUUCUAUUCUCAUAAACUGGAACUCCAAUAGUAAAUUGGUUUGAUUGAUUUGCAGGCAUGGAAGUUAUGGAAUGGAGAGAAUGGUCUAGCACUAGUGGACCCAAACAUACCUGCUAAAUGCUUUGAGGUUCAGCUUUUAAGGUGCAUAAAUGUGGGGCUUCUUUGUGCGCAAGAAAGGGCAAAAGAUAGGCCUUCCAUAUCAACUGUUAUUUCAAUGAUCAAUAGUAAAGUGGAUCUUCUUCGUCCAAAGAAACCUGCAUUCACCCCGUGGAAAAUAACCCAAGACACAGAUUCCUCAGGAAAAAACCAAAAGACAUGUUCUGCCAACGAUGUUACUCUUACUGUUCUUCAAGGCAGAUGACAUGAUCUGAAUUUUUGCAAGAUUCUCCCUAAAAGUCCUGUUCUUACCGUUUCAAGUUACUAGUUUUAUUUUUACACAAUCUUGCUUGGAAAUGUAUAGAAACGCAAAACAUUAACUAUUUUUUUCCAUUUUACAGUUCUUUACUACACAUAUUUGUGUCAUCAAAAGUUGGAAUUCAAAAAUUCAGGGCCUUCUGGUGGGAAUAAUGCUUCUACUUCUCAUAUCGGGAGCUAGUGGGUUAGAUAAAGUUCUGGAAAAAUUGCAGACAGCCCCCCUCCACUGUGGGGAGAAUUGCAAUUAGCCCCCUCCUUCAAAUGUUCGCAACUACUUCUUGACGUUUCUAUUUGUUCCAACUUCGAAUCCAAAUCUUAGCACUGUUGGAAACACUCUCAAGUUUUCACUAAUGUUCAUUUUGCAUCACAAAUUCAAUGACAUGGCUAGCUCAAAAAGUUCCACUAAUCCUGUUGAUGUGGGAAUGAUAUAGUUCAUUUUACUCAACAUUGUUGUCCCUGUCAAUUGUUUGUAAAAUUUCAUUUGGCAAAAGGAUACUAGAAGUGUCAUAAGUUGUGUGCAAUGCUCACUUAAGGGCCAAAUGUUUUUUUUUUUUUUCAGAUAACUUAAGCACCACUUUUUUGAAAAAAUAAUCACUUUAAUGCCAACUCUGAUAUGAGUUGUAAGAAAUUCGAUGUAGCCAUAUUUUAUUAAUUUCUUUAUCUUAGGCGGCUCGUCAGUAUGCCCAGUCAGCAUAUAACCCCUAAACGACGUUAUAUAACAAGUUAAAAAUUGAUCACUUUAAUGCAAAAAUUGCCACUUCAGAUAAAAUUUUUAAUUAUAAAUGCGACGUAAUUUCUCUAACAAAAAUUUCUCAUCGGAAGCACUUAAGCUAUUGUUUUUAUCUGAUUUUGGCACUUUAGUGAACUAGCGAAAACUUUUGGCACUAAAAUGAGCACUAUACACAACUUAUGACACUUCUAAUAUCCUUCUACUGAUUUCAAUUAGUAUAAUUGAUCGUGAGUGACUAGAAACUAAGGGCGUGUUUGGUAACCAUUCUAUUUCGAGGAAUAAUUUUUUUAUCAUAAAUGAAUUUUUUUUUCUGAUUUAAUUCCCAGGAACAAUUUUUGAGCAAAAGAAUACGCUUGGUAACUGUUUAAAAUUUCUAUUCCGAGGAUAGAAAUGCAUUUGGUAAAAUUCUUAAAUUCUUUUAUUUUAUUUUAAAAUUUUUUAAUACUUUAUUAUAUAUUUCUUAUAUUUCUUAUAUUUCUUUUUCUUUUUCCUUUCCUCCUUUUUCUUCUUUGUAGCCAAACGCCAGCCAUUGCCGGUUGGGCGAGGUCUGGUGAGCUCGUUCGAGCCUCGCUAGACCAGGGUGAGGUUUGGCGAACAUGCUAGAGGCUCGCUUGGCCAUCAAUGAGGCUUGACCUUGCCAGGGCAACGCAAGGUCAACCGAGCCCUGGUGUGACAGCUUGAAUUUUUAGAUUUCGUUUUCGAUUAAAUGAAUCGGACCUUUCGUCGACACGCCGAUAGUGCUAUUCUCUGAGCUGAUCAUUCAUGAGAUAACUGAACUAUCUGGGGAGGCACUUAAGGAAUCUAAAUGUAAUGGACUUGAGAAUUCGAUCAAGAAUCGACUGCUCGACCAUGUUGAUCUGCAAGGGUCAUUACGGCACUGUUGAAAUCGAUCAGAGAUCGGAGAUAGGUUGACUUGACUGAGAUGUGUGAUUAGAGUAUAGGUGAUUCCACCUGAUUGCAAAAUAUUCAUCGAUCGGCACUAGACCGAUUUUUCUAUCGUUUUGGUACCUGGUGCCCGUAAUUGAUACCUCAAGAUUUUCAUGACAAUUGAGAGUCGCCAAUGUGUUGAAGAUGUGCAAUGUGACUCGAGAUAAAUCAAUCACGGGUCAAUUGCACAAAAAAUUCCUAAAAGUUACCCAGUAAACUAUGUCACGCUAAAAGCAUGCCGGAGUGAAAUUAACCGUGAAUUUGAAUCCAAUUUCGUCACGAUCUAUUUUAGGAACGUCAACUCAUCCUCCGAAGAUUUUUUGAAGAUUCCGAGAUUUUUGCGGAAAAUCGAUUCGGACGUCGCGGAAAUAACGGAAAUUCGUACGGGGUGAAUUUAAAGGAGUUUUGACUUUCAAGUCAAGCCAUUUGGCGAUGGACACCUACAAAAAUGGUAUGGGCCUUUUCUUCGAGGAAAAUUGGACGUCGAAGCUCAAAAUCCAAUGAAAUUCGGAGCUUCAAGGAGGGGGUGCAAUAUUUUGUUUUAAGUUGGAUUAUUUGUGGAUAUUAAGACAAGAAAAUAAUUGGGGGACAUAAGAGGAUAAGUAUUUGGACUCUAGGGGACUAGGUUAUGAUGGAAUAUAUAUUUUUUUUAGACUUUCUUCCCCUAGCUCAAUCUUCCUUCGCACGUUUGUUGCUGCCCUCCAUCUUCGACCGAUCUCCUUGCUCUUUUACUUUAUUCACUCGGUGCGCUUCUCCUCUCUCUUUCGUUGAACUCUCUGCCAUCUCACCAUCUCAUGUUUUCUGCCCAUCUCCUCCACGUUGAGGCCAGCAUCCCUUUCUUUUCUUUUCUUGGCCAACGUUCAGUGAAGCUGCCACAUGUUCGGUCAAUUUCACCGCAAGCGAACCCCAAGUGUUGACCGAAGCCUCCACCAGCUUCAUCUCCGCCGUUUCCUUCACCGAACUGCCAGCGAUCAUCUUCACCAGCACCACGCGUCAGCUCCUCUCCAUCGUUGACUGCCUUACUUCUCUUUCUCCCAUUUGAGCCGAGCGAAGCCCCCAUCAGCUCGUGUCUUCAUCUUCACGAAGCCAUCCCCAAGCGACCGUCGAAGCCGCUUAUCCCCUCUGCCGCGUGUCUCCUGGUUGUCCGCCCAACGACCGCAAGCAGCUUCAUCUUCGCUGCUUCGUUCUUCUUCAACGUCGCUGCUUGAAGACUCCAACGAAGCAGCUGUCCACGAAGACCGAAGCACCCCCAAUCGACAGCUGCAACCCACGCGUCCCCAGCAUCUCCUUCGUUCGCUGCUCCUUCGUCCAGCAUCGAUCAACCGAAGCAGCACCUCCAGCGAAUUCGGCCCAGCACGUUCGUGCGUCUUCAGCCCACACGAUUUCAGCUCAGUUCAGUCCAGCAAGGCCCGUAAACUCGAGUCCAUUUAAGGCCUUUGUCAGCAGCCCAAGAGGUCAGCGAAGCCCAGAGUUCAGCCCACGCAGAAUUUCAGCCCAAUUUGGGUCCAGCCCAAAAUCAAGAAUAAACCUCGGCUUGGGCUGAGAUUUAUUGGGCCGGUUCUAGGCCCGGUUCGAGCUCCGUCGACAUCGUCGCAAACUCAAGUUUCGGCCGUCGUCGUGCCGUUGUCGCAGUGAAUUGGUUUUCGCGAUACACCGGUGAGUUUAUACUCUAAACUCUGCUUAGUAGAUUAAUGACAUUUAAGGGGUGUUUAGAUUUAUUUUAUUAGGAAUUAUGUGGUUAGUUAGAUUAAAUUAGAAAUUUAAUUAUUUAAUCGAGCAUGUUAGGUGGUUAGCAUGGUUUAGCUAAGGCCUAAAUAAAUUGUACUAUUUAUCUAGAAGGGUUCGGAAAUUUUCCGAGUCCGUAUUGGUAUUUAAUUUGAUAAUGUUAGCCUAGGUUAGUGUUUUUAGAGAUCAAAAUGAAUUAAUUAUUUUUCUGGAAAUCAGGCCCUGAUAGCCGGUGAUCGGAAUUUUGUGCUAAUUGUAAUGGUGUGAUUAAAUUCUGCAAUUGAGUGUUAAAUUAUGCAAAUUAAGUACUGAUUGGAUUUUUGGUAUUUAAUUCCAAAAAUUGUGAAUUUCCAAUAUUUAUUCAGAAAAUCCUGGGUGUCGGGUUUUGACACCGAAAAUAGUUUUUAGUACUAUAUGAAAUAGUGGGAUUUCAAAACUAAAGAAUAUCAAUUUUUCUGAGUUAAGUUGACCGUGUACCCACACACGAGUAAUUUCAUAUGAAUUUCUAAUACGAAGAAAAAUGCCAGGCUUACCAUUUUAAUUGAAGCAUUUGAGUGCAAUGCACAGUGCCUUGGGCCAUAUUUGAGUGAUCGUGUGUUGGUUAAGAGAAAUUGUCCCAAGCUGUUAAGCUGGACGUUAUUCCUAUUCAGGAUACCCCCUAAAUAAUGGGAAGCCGAUGGCGUAGAUUCUAGACCUUAUGCUCCUUCGGGAAAGCCGUCUAAAAGAGACGUGCCGUGCUCAAUGGGGUGAGACGAAGCCUGGUAAUUCCAGAAGACCACCGAAUAGAGAGUAGGCCGUGCUAUAUGCCGAGAUCAAAACUAGGAAGCAUGUUUAAUUGAGUUGAAUGCGCCGGAUUAUGGGACAAAAUUAUAUGGCACGGUAUGGGACGUGUCAUAACGAUUUGGCCUAUAAUCAGGACUUCUGUGCUAAUUGAGAAUUUGGAUAUGGCGUUCCAGUUGAUUGAGCUUAGUUGUUGCUCAUGCUUUCAUGCUGUCUGAGUUAUAAACUAUACUAACCUGCAGGGUGGAUCUGAGGCCAAGGUAAGGCUUUGUGAUUGUAUGAUUGCAUGAUUGGACACUUCUGGGUGUAUUUCCCUCCUAAUCGGGGUUUAGAGCUUAGAUUAUAUCUCACCCCGUUGUGGGACAACAUUUUCAGGGUUGUCGAGUGGAGCACCUGGAGCUGAGAGGAGGUGAUCGGAAGUGUAGGUCAGUUAGGACCGCUUCUUUUUGGAAGGCCGGUCUUUUGUAGUCUUUUGGCUAUAGACUUUUGUACAUGACUCAGUGUAUAUAUAAAAGCAUGUUUGUUUGUGAAUCUAUUGUACUGUUUUUCUAUCCCGAGAUGAUUAUUGUCAGGGGAUUUAUAAUCCAUUUCCACAUGUGCAAUAAAACAAAAAGGGUUGGCAACUAGUCUUGGGAAGUCGCAAAUUAUUAUCGACUAGAUAAGGAUGGGCAUGCACUCGGGGUUCGGGGUGUGACACCUGGCCUGGCGAGGCCGAGCCUCACCAUGGCUGUGUGAGGCUCGGCCUCGCCUUGGCUGGGCGAGGUCAACCUCGCCUAGAUCUAGUGAGGCUGAGCUUGCCCAACCACCAGUGAAGCUUGGCCUCACCAAGACACUGUCAGGCGACGCUGAACUAGAGGUGCCUUAGUGAGGCCGAGCCUUGUCGAUGGCUAGGCAAGCUCAACCUCACUGGAUCUAGGCGAGGCCAAGCCUUGCCCAACCAUGGUGAGGCUAGGCCUCGCCGAGGGCCGAUGAGGUCGCCACGUCGGCCUCAGCGUCGGCUAUAGUCGAGGUCGACGACCGGCCAAAGGGAAGAAGAAGAAAGGGGAAGAGAAGAAGAGAAAAGAAAAGAAAAGAGAAGAAAAGAAAAAAAAUAGGAACUAAUUCUAUGAAUUAUUCUCGGGAACAAGAAGUUUUUUUUUUUUUUUUUACUUCUUGUUUCUAUUUUAAAUAUAUUCCUGGGAACAAAAAAUCUAACAAAAAUUUUACCAAAUAAGUUUCUAUUCUUUUUUCGUUCCCUAGAACAAAAGAACAUAAAUUGUUGUUCUAGGGAACAUAAUUUUUUUUUACUAAACAAAGCCUAAAGGUUUGCAUGAUAAUUUCACCAAAAAAAAAAAAAAAAAGGUUUGCAUGAUAAUGCUUUUGUUUUUCUAUUUUUUUGUUCUUUUGUUCCACGGAAUAGAAAAAGAACAAAAUUUCAUUUAGUAACGUCGGUUACUUUUUUUAUCUCUUGGAAUAGAAAAGUGGUCAAUGAAUAAAUUUGGAAUAGAAACAAGAAGUAAAAAAAAAAGUAGUUUCUUACUCCUAAGAACGAAUUCUAGAAAUAAGUCAUUUUAUUUUUUUAUUUUUUUUCUUUUCUUCUUUUUCCUCUUCUAACCGAUCGUCGGAGCCUAGCUGGUCGCUACUGCCCCAUCGGUCGCCAAUUGCCUUCAUUGUUUGCCAAUCAUUUAUUGCCGUUGCCGAUCACCGUCCAUUGUCGAUCACCACCCGCAGUAGUGAUCGACUAGAGGAGGAAGAAGAAGAGAGGAAAAAAAGAAAAAAAGAAAAAUCUCAAAAAAGUUGUUGGAAAAUUAAAAGAAAUUCCAUGUCAUAAAAAAAAAUUAUGGAUCACACCAAAUGAUUUAUGUUUGUUUUAUUCUGAGAAUAGAAAUUUUAUAUAGUUACUAAACAUGUUUUACUCGGAAACUAUUUCAGGGAAUAGAUAUAGAAAAGAAUUAUUUCUAAAAAAAAUUAUUUUUACCAAACACACCUUAAAAAGCAAUUGUGGAAAUGUACAUGAAUCUACCAAGAAAGUGGCCAUUUAUGGAAAGUAAUCGUAGCCACAAUGCUGAAUGAAUGCGAGAGUCUAACAUUUCCGUGGCGUGCACUUUCGAAGGCUUGAAUGCUUUUUCUAGUGUUGACUUUGUCAAUGGGGUAGAAAUCCUGAUGUAGACACUCUAGCAUUUCGCUAAUGCUCUCACGGUGGCGCACUAGAUCAAGAUACUUGACUCAUAAGUCAAAGUGAAAUGACUCUUCAAGUAUGUCACUACCAGAAAAAAUAACAAUGUCCAUAAGAACCAAAGAGGAAAGAGUUCUGAUUGGAGAAAAAUUAACAAUGUCCAUUAUAUCCACCAUGUGACUCAACAUCAAAGACCGCCGAGUGGAUGAGGAAAAUGUUCCCAUUCGAGCAAUAUAAAUUUCUUCAUGGAGAUGCUUAAACCAUCUUUUCCAGUAAAAAAUUUACCUUUAUCUUCGACCACAAGGUUUUCUCUCGAUAAUUGUGAUUUCCACCUUCUGUCCUAAACUUCAGGUUGUGUCUUCUGCUGUUCUAAAGCUAGCAAAAUCAGUUGUUGCUGAGAAGAAAGGUUCAAGUAGUCAUGAUUCUUCUAAGAAAAGUAAGAGUAUUCUCUCUCUUUAUUUUGUCUCAUUAUGCUGUGAAAUUUUGCAUCGGGGGAGAUGUCAUUACAGCAUCUGAGUACAUCCAAGACCCUGGAAGUAUCAUAUCAAGCGGAGGUCUAUACAAACUGGGAUUCUUUAGCCCCAAUGGUACUACCAAUCGGUAUGUCGGAAUUUGGCAUGACAAGAUUCCUGUGUUUAACGUCUUUUGGGUCGCAAACAGGGAGAAGCCUGUUCUAGAUUCUUCUGGUGUCAUGACCAUAUCUGAUGACGGUAAUCUUGUGAUAUUGAAUGGAAAGAAGGAAGUACUUUGGUCAUCAAACGUUUCCACCGCUGGAGCAAAUGCAAAAGCCCGAUUAUUAGAUACUGGAAAUCUUAUCUUGUAAAAACAAAGCUCUAAUAUGAGCACAGAUGAUACAACGGCAUGGGAAAGUUUCCAGACUAUGCUCGAGAACAGAAGAUGGCUGAGUUCCAGCGUUUUUGCUACAACCAGAUGACUGUAGAUCAGUAUGAGGCAAACUUUGUCGAGUUGUCGAAGUACGCACCGAGGUUAAUUGAGGACCAGGUGGACAGAGCUAAAAGGUUCAAAGAUGGCCUGAAACUAGAGAUUAAGGACCCGCCGGUGCCGCUUAAUCUUAAGGACUAUGACAAACUGUAUGAGAGGGUCUAGCUGAUUGAGAGGAAUCUGAAUAAGUGGGUAGCCAUAUCUGGGUCGCGGUCUGUGCCCAACAAAGAUAAUAAUUGAUUUGGGAAGAGGCCAAUGACGGGAGGAAAGUGUCCCAUCCUUCCCAACCGAAAGAGUGGAAUUGGAAAGCCGGCAACCCAACUUAAAUGGCGUGUGCCGAUUCUGUGGAAGAAAACAUGGAUCAACCCUGUGUCCUGCUAAAACGGGAGCUUGCUAUGGAUGUGGCCAGCAUGGCCAUUAAGUGAAGAACUACCUGCGCAGGUUCCACUGCCGCAGAUAGGACAGGUAGUAAGGAGUGCGUCGCGAAACGAGCAGCGAGGCAUUUUGAGCAGGCUCCGGUGCAAGGAAGAGUGUAUGCUGUCACCCGAAUAGAGGCGAAGAACUCGUAGAACGUGGUUACAAGUACAGUCUUGUUGAACGACCAUGCUGCUUAUGCUUUAUUUAAUCCUGGAGCCACACAUUCAUUUAUUGCUGAGCAGUUCGUUAAGUUAGUGGGAAGCGGUCUUUAAUAUAUCCACCCUGUUAAAGGAUAAAGUGUUGUCUACGAUAAGGUAUCCUGGUUGCAAGUUAGUGAUUGGUGAUCGAGAGGAAAGAAUAGAUUUGAUUGUGCUGGUGAUGUUUGAUUUCAAUGUUAUUAUUGGUAUGGAUUAGCUCACCAAGCAACGGGCCACCAUGGACCGUUAUCAUAAAGAAAUUAAGUUUAACUCAUUAGUGGGUAGAAGUUUCAAGUUUGUUGGAAAUCGAGGAGGACAAUCAAUUACUUUAAUUUCGUCACUUGAGGCAACCCGUUGUUGGAUGUGGAUUGCCAAGGUUAUUUGGCAACCAUGAUUGAUACGUCGAUUGAGGAGUCAAGGAUAGAGGACAUCGCCGUAGUGCGGGAAUUUUCUAACGUUUUUCCUAAGGAGUUACUUGGUUUGCCUUUAGAAAGGGAGAUAGAGUUCGUGAUUGAGUUGACCAUUAGAAUGGAGCCAAUUUCUAAGGCUCCUUACUGUAUGGCACUAUUAGAGUUAAAUAAGCUAAAGGUACUGAUGCAGGAGUUGUUGGACAAAGAAUUAAUUCAUCCUAGUGCAUCGCCGUGAGGAGUGCCAGUUUUGUUUGAAAGGAAGAAAGAUGGUUCGUUGCGUCUUUGCAUCGAUUAUCGACAACUCAAUCAAGUGACGAUCAAGAAAAAAUAUCCGUUACCAAGGAUCGAUGACUUGUUUGAUCAGCUACAGGGAGCUUCGAUAUUUUCCAAGAUUGACCUAAGGAUAGGUUACCAUCAGUUGAGGAUUAAGAAGGAGAAUAUACCGAAUACGAGCUAGAUUCAGUCAGCAUCCAGAACGCGUCAAUAAAAGUCACUCAAAUCAAGCGGCAAAGCCACCAAUCACUUGCAAGUUGUAGCAGGCAUCAUAACUUGAUCCACUCGGUAAAGAUCUCACUAGCAAAGGCGAAGUAGGUACUAGUUGCCAUCGAAAAUUGAUAGGUAGAACAAUUUCAUCAAGUUUAUCAGCACACACCUGACAUUAGAUGUUGGUCGCAUCCAAAGUGGUGGUGGCGAGAGUAAUGACGUCGGGGUGGUGAAGAUAUGAGGUUUGUGUGUGUAUUUAGUGAUGUCAAGGUGCAACGGCAACCUUGCCAUGGAAAUCUAGUAAUCAAUUUGAUUAUAGGUGAAAUAUUUACAUUGGCAUACGUAAAAACACUCAAUUUUGGUAAAAAUAGUUAGAUAACUCUCUCUCCUCUUUGCUUUGCACAAGUCACUUAGCCCUUUCAAUGACCCCCAAAUUAAAAACAUUAGGGUAAAGAAAAUAGUUAUAAGCAUAAUCUUCCGCUUUUUUAAUGGGGACAGUACUCUAAUUUCCAUUUCGAAUACACUUUUUGGGGAGAAGAACAAUGCAAGUGCCAUAACUUUUGUACGGCACUUACUUGAGUGUCAUAACUUUAUUUUUCGCUCACUUAAAUGUCACAUUGGAGAAAAAUCGAUCAUUUAAGUGUCAUUUCCGGCAAAUCAUCCUACAUGGAUUUUUUUUUUAAUUAAUUUCCAUUUUGACAUGGAUAUUUUCAAUUUUUUAUUAAUUGUUCAAGUUAGCACCCUCAAUGCCAUGUAAAAUGAUUGGCGUCCAUGUUGAAUUUCCCAACCAAACAAUUUCCUAAUGAUAGUAAGUGAUUGAAUUUCCAAAUUUGUAACAUUCAAGUGAUCGUGGUAUGAAAGUUAUGAAAGUUAUGACACUUCUAGUGUACUUACCCCAAAAAUGCUUAUAUAUGUAUCCAUUGAAUGAGUGAUUAUAUAAAUAUUUUGGAAAAUCUAUUGUACGAAUGUCAAAUCGGUUUUAACUUUUCAAUUUUAUCAAUAUAGUCAUUCACAUUUGUGCGAUAUUCAAAUGUAGCCUUUAUUGCCAAUUGCCUUCGUAAAUACAACAUAGAAAUCAACAAAUUGCCCACGUCAGCAUGCCACUCAAGAUAGCCAGCAAUGACUAGAUGCCACAUUAACAAUUUUUAGCUGCAAUUGGUGGGAAAUAUUAUAUUGACAAAAAUGAAAAAGUAAGAUUGCUUAAGUGGAAUAAUUAAUUAUUGAAAAUAAAAUUAUAAAAAUUGUAAUUACAUUAUAAGACAAUCCAAUCAAAUCAUUGGCAAAUACCUAUUUUUUGUCAAUUCUAAAAUACAUAAGAAUUUCCAAAGAAAGAGAUCAAAAUAAAAGUAAGAAAUAAUUUUAAAUCUACGACUUGAAAGAGAUAUUGUGGUCAAUCUAGCAUAAUAGGGGGUAUCGGAAAUCAACAAAUGAAUGAAAAAAACGCGAGCCUUUAUGAAUUUAUCGUUUUCACAUAAUGCUCAUUAAAAUGUUAGGCCUAAUCUAAUUAUUUAUUGUCGCGAUCUACCUUCGAGGGAGGGAAUAGAUUUAGGGGUAUUGCCUAAAGGACGAACCUAAGACCCAUGAUUAGGCACGGGCUCUCCCAAGCCCAUACACCGCGAGACAUUAGGGUGUUCUUAAGAAUUUCGCAAUAAAAAGUCGCUAUUAGCCUAUUGGAGUUGUUUAGAAAUCAAAUGAGGCAUGAGAGUGUACCUCACUUCCUACGCAAUCAGAGAAUCUAAUGUCAUGGACUUGAUUACACUAAAUAACCAAUUAGUGCCAUUUCAGUACCUAAUCUUGUUCAUUUAAAAAAAAAAGAUUUUUAUUAGGCAGAUUGGAUUAACUUUAGACCAAUCCGCUAAUAUGUGAAGUGCUUAUGCAAGUGCACAAUCAUUAAAAUAACAAUUAGCAACCAAGGAAAGCGUUAAAUAAAUUGCAUGGGAGAACAAAGAAUUAAUACUAUAGAGAAGACAAAUGCUAAUCUUAACUAGACUAAAGAGAAGCCAAACUCAAUGUAUCAAUAUUGCACAAUCAAUGGUAUAAGUCUUUAAGGACAACUAAAACCCCUUGAGCAUGAUUUUAAAUUGAAAGACUUCCAUUUUUUUUUAAUGAGAAAAUAAACCAAGAGAUUAAUUUUAACCUUUUUGAAGAUUUUUUUAAAUUUUUUUAGAAUUUUUUGGAUUUUUCUGGAAAAUUUGAAUUUUAAAAUUUUCCAAAACCUUUUGAUUUUUAUUUUUUGGUGUCUUUCUAAUCACUAUUGAAAUUUUUUAGACUUUUCUGAAUUUUGGAAUUUUCUGAGUGUUUUUCAAUUUUCCUUUAAUUUUGUGGGUCCCACGAGGACACGUGUCGUCCUUCUACCGCCUUCUUGUUUGCCACACUCGAACGUGAGAUGUACCCAAUAUUUUCUCACGUCUUCCCCCUUUUUUCCUUCUUUAUUUCUUUUUCUUUUCUUUUCCUUUUAUUUUCUUCUUCCCCUUCUAUGGUCUUCUUCUUCUCCAUGACAUCCCCUUCUCGAGCGAUGUCCUUCACUCGAAGCUCCUACGUUCUUCUUGUUUUUUUUUUUUUUGGGACAAACCUCGGCCAAAGCUCAAGCCACCAUGAGUUACCACCCUCCAUCGAGCGGUCACUCUAGCUGCCACUCAUUGGCCGACCUCCUCGCCGCUGAACACCCAAAACAGUGAAGCUUGCAGCCUUCGAGGACCGCCACGAUGGCCACCGAGGACUGACCAGCUCCUAGCCAGCCCGAUGCAGUCACCGACCGGAGGGUCACCAUCAUUACAACAAACCAUACCUAGAGAAAAAAACUAUGGAUCUCGUUUGGACAUUUUGUCGAACGGGUAGUAUAUGCUAUGGAAACAAGAGAUCUUUGACUCGACCGAAGACCAGAACCUGCGACAACAACAACACACACAACAGCAACAAAAUGAUGGACGGAUGGGGCUGGAGUUCGCCUUAGCCAGACGACCGCGAGCUCCAGUCCGGUAUGCUCAAAAAAGGCAAAAAGGGGUCAAGGCUUACCGGAGUCUCGGAGCGGGAAAGGAGGCACGGCGGUGGGUUAUCAACCGUGCGGUGGCCGGCAGUCUCUCCCUCCAACUCUCUUUCCUCGCACAAACUCUCACUCGCGUUCCCUGUCCCUCCUCCUUUCUCUCGGAUCUUUCCUUCUUUGUUUUUUAUGCGCUUCAUCCUUCGCCUUUUAGCGAUGACAACUAUCCUUCGUAGACUUGUACCACACGACAUUCUCAGUCGAGCAUCGCGCGUAGCCCUGCCUCUGUUCGUCCUCGUCGUCCUUGCCGCCGCUCAUCCAUUGCUACUGCCCUUUUUCUUUCUUUUGCAGAGAAAUAUUGGGUGGGUUUUACACUCCAUGUAAGUGAAAUGUAUCACCAUACAAAGAUCGACAUGUGGCAAAUUUGGGCCCACCUGUCAGCACCCACUUCUCCGUUAACGCUCUUUCUCUCUCCCCUUUACUCUCUCUCCUCCCCUUUGUUUCUGCCCACACCUCUCUUUCCCUCUUCUCUUUUACUUCUCUUUUUUUCGAGAAAAUUUCCCUUGUUAGUUUGACACACGCAAGGGAAAAGACAAGAAAAGCAAAGAGAGAGAGAGAGAGAGAGAAGAAAAGAAAGCGAGGGAGGAAGUCUUCUUCUUCGGUCAUCUUCGACCGAGUAUCCCCCACUCUCGACGCCGCUGCUUCCCACCGCCUCGAAAAGUCCUAACAUCGUUGUUUUUCCCGGCACGCCACCGCCAUUGCUACCUCGAGCGCCGCGGCACCCUUGCUCACCAUUGCAGACGUGACCCGACAUUUGCAACUUGUUACCUGUGUGGGGGGAGGGGGGACGGAACGCUUGUUCCUAGGUAUUGCUUUUUCCCAUCCACCAUGGACAACACUCGUAGCCAGCCAUGGACAAUGCUUGCUCAACCUCAAACUCGGAGCUUUGGUUAGCGCUCGAGUUUCGAGCUCGGCCUCAAGCUAUCUCACCGCAAACAAAGCUCAACAUAGUCUCCAUCCAGCGGCGCGCCGUCCCUCCUUGACUUGAAGUGACCAUGAGCCGACUCGAGCUCGAGCCAUGGCAUAGAUGAUAGAAAAAUUAAAAGAGAAGUGGAGAGAGAAGAGGGGGAGAAGGAGAAGACGAUGGACCCCCAAAAUGGAAUCAAAUCUUCUUCUUCGGCUAAAAGCCUGCACCUCCGUGUACACGCACGCAAUAAUAGCCGGUUGUCGACUGGUGGCCAUCAGCUGGGUCUACAUCUUCGCCCCCGGAAAAAUGGUGAGUCGGAGGAGGAAAUCGUCGCGGCAAUCGGACUCGGAGACGGACACGGAAUCGGAAUCGCCAUCGCCAUCCCCGUCGAACUCCGAUGCCUCAGAGGAAUCCUCUCGGAGGCAGCAGCUCCAUCAAUGGAAGGAGCGGAGUGGUUCUAGGAGGGAGAAGCAUAGGAAGAGAGAGAGGAGCGGCGGCGGUAGCAGUAGGAAGAAGGAGAGAGGACGCGUGGAUAGAGAGAAGGAGCGGAGGAGGUCGAGGAAGGAUGAGAAGAGGAGUGACAGGAGGAGCACUCACGAUGGAUCUUCUGGUGGUUCCAAUUUGGAGAUGGAGAGAGUUCGCGUUGAUCCGGAAUCGAUUCUAAAGCGGCCAUGAGCCGACUCGAGCUCGAGCCAUGGUAGACGCAAGAAAAAAGAAAAGAGAAGUGGAGAGAGAAGAGGGGGAGAAAGAGUUGUAGGCAGAAACGGAGUGGAGGAGAGAGAGAGUAAAUGGGAGAGAGAUGUAGUUAAUGGAGAGAGUGGGCGCUGACAGGUGGGCCCAAAUUUGCCACGUGUCGACUUUUGUAUGGUGAUACAUUUCGCCUAUGUGGAGUGUAAAACCCACCAAAUAUUUUCUCUCUUUUGCAAGUCACGCACGAAGCUAGCUCGGAGGAAGAAGACAAGCCAGGGGAGUGCCGGGCUGAAGGGAAGGAAAGGUUGGGCCCUCGCAAAAAAAAGGAAAGAAAGAGAAGGAAGGGUUGGGCCUUGGCCCAUGCGGGGAAGGAAGGAGAGGCGGGUCGAGCCAAGGUCGGAUUUGGCCCAACCAGGCCUCUCUCAUGCGUUUAUUUUUUUUAAAAUAUCUAUUUGAGAAAAAAUUAGGUAUCAACAUUUAUAUUUGAGUUUAUGUGAGUAAAAUAAGGAGAAGGUACGAUAGGUUUCUAGAGUCAAGAGCCAUACAGUGGUUGGGAAAAAGGAUAGGUGAAUGAGGAAUCUUAAAUUAAUACUACUUAUGUAUUAAUAUUUAAUAAUUGUUUUGAAGAUAUUUUAAUUUCAAUUUUGUUGAAAAUUAAAUUUAAAAUAUUUUGGAUUUUAUAUUCAAUGGGCCUCAUCCAUGAGAAGUACUUAGUUUUAUAUAAAUGGUACCUACUUCUAGUAAUAUGUCUUAUAAGAAUUCAUUAAUGCAAGGCAUUUCUUUGCAUGGGACCCUUACGGUAAAACUGAGAGGGAUAGCUACAUUGAUCGGCCCUCUCUAACCUUUUUACUUAUAAAUAAAAAUACAUAGGAUGAGGAUGGCAUGAGUGUCACAACUUUCAUAUAGUACUCACUUGAACAUUAUAACUUCUUCUUUUUUGCUCACUUAAGUAUCGCAUCGAAGUAAAAUCAAUUAUUUGAGUGUCAUUCUCGGCAAAUCAUCAUACCUGGAUUUUUUUAUUUAUUAAUUUUCCAUUUUGACAUGGAAUUUUUUGAAUUUUUUAUUUAUUGUCUAUGUCAACACCAGUGAAGCCACAUAGGACAACUGGCAUCCACAUCAAAUUUUUCAGCAAGGAAAAUCACAGAUGGCACCCGAGUAAUUGAUUUUUUGAAUUUAUAGUAUUCAAGUAAGCGAAAAAAAGUUAUAAAACUUAUGGCACUUGUGUUGUUAUUAGGCAAUUUUCAAGGCCACAUAAAACAAUGAGAGUAAGUGAAGUAUUAGGUGACAAUGGCAAGUGAAAAUGAAAUUAAGUUUGCUAUUUUCUUGAUGUGAAAAUCGCAAGACAAUGUGAGUUGACUAUUCUACCCUUACAGGUUGAUGGAAAGUGCACUUGGCAGCACCAUCAAAUCAAGUACAAUAAGAAGCCCAAGAUGGAGUUUUGGGGAGGCCGAAAAAGAACAAAGUGUAUGAUGUUAACAUAUACAAAAUAAGUUACCAAGGUUGAGUGAUAUAAUCUUGAAAGUGUAUUGGGAAAAUCUAAAAUUAACCUAAUCUAUUCUACAGAUUAAAAAUAAAUUUCCACUAGUUUGUAAUAGCCAAAGAGAUGUGAAAACAACCUUCUCUUAUGAAAAAUCAUUGAACUUAAUGUAAGACUUACUUAGUAUGCUUACUAAUAUGUUGCAAUUUAUUUUAAAUUUGAAAAGUCACUAGCUAUACAUCAAAAUUGCCAAUUUUGUUAGGCUGGAAGUAAUUUUCCCCUUAACACUUAAAAAAGUUACUAGUUAAUUGAAACAUACACAAUUACAUGAAAGGUUACUCAACCUACAUUAGUAAACAAACUUAAAGAAACCAAUACUUUUUUCACGUAAAUGUUAUUAAUCAUCUAUAAAAAUUUCUGUUGACCAAUAAAUUGUUAUGAAAACUUAUUAGUCAUGGCAAAAAAAUUGUACUAAAUUGUUACUUCUCAUUUAUUAGAGAAUGUAUUGUUAUGUAAUUCAGUAAUUACACCAUAAAAAAAAAUCAUUAAUAACUAUAGACAGAUGUCUAAAUGCUUACUUUCUUAAUGUGAAUAUAUUUAAUUAUAUAUAUAUAUAUAUAUAGCAAAAUGGACAGUGCUUGGAUAAGUAAUUUCAUUCUUAAAUAUGACCCGCUCGCUUGGCCUGGCCAAGCUUAUUUAGACCCAAUCAAUUUAAUGAACAAAAUAUACUAUACAUUAACAUUUUCAUUAGGAGAAAUCCUGGAUGGAAAUUCUUAAGACACUAAAAUAGAAAUGAUUCACUUAUUGAUUAGGUCUAUCACAACAAUGAUUUGCAAAUCUGGGUUGACCCAUUUGAGAGAACCGGCCGGACCCCAAACCAUGCCCGACUUCAGGGACAACUCUGAAGUCAAUAAGUCCUUCUCCAACGGCUUGGUUCGCACGUUGUUUCUCUUCUUGCAGACUGAAACGGACGGCGAUGAGUCGAUGACUCAAUUCGGUAAGCGUCCAGAAAGGCAGAGUCCCCUCCUGUAGCCAUGUGAUCUCAGUGGAGACGGCUGGACCCACCCACUCAAUGUUCAUCCCUGAAGAUGCCAUGUCCGUUCCUCCUCUUCAUCCUCCGCCUCUCGCGCACGGCUUGANNNNNNNNNNNNNNNNNNNNNNNNNNNNNNNNNNNNNNNNNNNNNNNNNNNNNNNNNNNNNNNNNNNNNNNNNNNNNNNNNNNNNNNNNNNNNNNNNNNNNNNNNNNNNNNNNNNNNNNNNNNNNNNNNNNNNNNNNNNNNNNNNNNNNNNNNNNNNNNNNNNNNNNNNNNNNNNNNNNNNNNNNNNNNNNNNNNNNNNNNNNNNNNNNNNNNNNNNNNNNNNNNNNNNNNNNNNNNNNNNNNNNNNNNNNNNNNNNNNNNNNNNNNNNNNNNNNNNNNNNNNNNNNNNNNNNNNNNNNNNNNNNNNNNNNNNNNNNNNNNNNNNNNNNNNNNNNNNNNNNNNNNNNNNNNNNNNNNNNNNNNNNNNNNNNNNNNNNNNNNNNNNNNNNNNNNNNCAUCAAAAAAGUGAGGAUGAUAUAGACCAUUUUAUGAGUCACAGUUAUGGGGAAAUCUAAGUGCUUAUUUGAAAUGGCCUUUUCUUUUGAAUGGUCUUUUUUCGCAAAAAUCAUAUGAUUUUACUUGAGUUUGAAUGUGAAUAUGCAUAUACUAUAUGAAAUUCAAGAUGCUCCAUACUUCAAAUGAAAUUUAAGACGCUAAGCAGGAAAUGAAAGUCGACUGAGCGUAUCUUCAGAAUCUCAUGACCAAGAACAAGAAAAUUGUUGAUACGAAGAACAGGUGGCUUAGGUGAAGAUGAUGGAGAUCCGACAUGGAACACUUAUGCCGAAUAGUGGAGACAAAAUCUUCAACCCUGCAAAAAGCUGUGGGGCCAUUAGCUAGAAAAAUCGGAUUCUGCAGUACCGCUUUCUUCAAGGAGCUCCUCAAGUCCAUUAGCCAGCGACUAUGUAAAUGAUUGUUAGGCCGUGUGAGUACCUCUUAGUGGGAAACCGCCAUCACCUUCAACCACUAGGCCUUUCUUUUCCAUCAUGAUCAAUUCAAAAAGAUUUUUCCAUAAUUAAUCAAUGCUCCCCUCAAUUUGUUGCCUUUUUUGAGAUGAUCAAUUCUUUCCCCUUUUUUUUGGAUUCACUUUCUCCCCUUGUCAUCAUGACAAUAUUCGCUAAUAGUACUAAUUGUGGCUUGUGCACAUUGAGCAGAAUAUUUUUCCAUUAUUUCCUUCGUAACGACAAUAUCUGCAACGAUCAUUUGCUUUUUAAAAUUCGAUGCAGAAAUUUGUUUUCUUCAAUCAAGCUUGUCUUGAAUUUAAUCUGCAUAAACUCAACAAACUUUUUGCACAAAUGCGAUGUUAUAAUAUUUACGUAAUGUAUAAUGCAUUUUCUAUAGAUAAAUAAAUUGAAUAACAUAUAUAAGAUUAUCAAAUGUUUAAAUUUAGAUCUACUCAACUUUUCGUACGACACAUUAGGCGUUUGUCCAAUAAUUUGUGGGAACUUUGUGUAAGGAAGAGAAUUUUGAACCUCCAGAAAAUAGUAUAGAACCUCCACAAUUUUUGGAUCAAGCUUUUCAAAAUCCAUAUGAAAGAUUCGUUUGCGACUGGCAAAUUCUUGUAUAAUAGAUAACAAUUUUUGCAAAAAAAAAAAAAAAAAAAACCAAGUAAUAUCUUCCUUCGAUUUGUGGAUCAAACUUGCUAGAUAUAAGAUAUCUUCUAAGAAUAUAGUAAGAGUAUUCAUGAAUAUGCAAUAAUAUCUUUCAUGAUCAAAGGGAUUUCCUUGAGCAUAAAAACUCAAAAACAUAUUAUUGAUGCAUUUCGCAAAAAGAAAGUAGAUAUUUCUAGUACAUGCCAAAUCAAGCAAUUAAAAAAAUGCAUUGGGAUAGUUUCCAGCACAUGACCAAUUCAUUCUUAGCGAAAAUGAAGCUCAGCACUAUCUCAAAUCCAAAUGAGAAGCAGGCACUAACAUCUUGGAAAAGCGCUUCUGAUCCAUCAAUUGGAAGCUUCUCGGCAAGUCUUGUUCAAUGUUAUAUUCCUGAACUUUUCAUUUGGAGUUGCAGGUCUCUGUAUUGGCAAAGCGGUCCAAUUGGAGUACCUAAGAAGCAAUCGGUCUAUAUUAAUGGGUUUGACCUGGUGGACGAUCAGGAAGUAACAGUCUAUCUAUCUUACAGUUUUUCUGAGGCGCCUUACUUUUCAUAAUUGUUGUUGAAAUAAAAUGGAGAUUUAGUGCAACCAUAUUUGGAGAAGAAUAGUUCCUGCAAGAUUGUUUGGUCAUCUCGGGUGAGCGAUUGUGAUGUCUAUGGCCAGUGCGGACCGUUUGGAAUCUGCAAUGCCAGGAAUUCACCAAUUUGUAGCUGCUCGAGAGGCUUUGAGCCUAAAAACUCUGAGGAAUGGAGCAGAGGAAAUUGGUCCAGUGGAUGCAUUCGGAAGUCAUCGCUGCAGUGCAAUGGAACUACAAAUGGUUGCAAUACCGCCAGCAAAAAGGAUGGAUUUUUAAAGAUGGAAAUGAUGAAAGUGCCAAAUUCAGCAAUUUUUUAUUUUAGACUCGAAAAUGAUUGCCAGGAAAUUGCUCAAUUAGUUGUUCAUGUGUAGCAUAUGCAUAUGACUCUGGAGUCGGCUGCAUGUUCUAGACAGGAGACCUAAUUGACCUACAGAAGUUCUCCGUUGGAGGAACAACUCUCUAUGUUCGGCUGGCCCACUCAGAACUUGGUAAAUUAACUUAACUCUUAGAUUAUGGUUCUCAUCAAUUUGGUAGUGCAGAUUAUGUUUAGAUGGAUCAAUACACUCGGCUCGAUUCACUCUUCAAGACUUGGCGAUUCUCAUUGACAAACCAAGACAUGCGCACACGUGCACACUCAAAUAUGGGCUCAAGCAGGGUCUAAUAUGGAGCCCUGAUAAAGGAGCAGAUUUUGCAAAUCUUCUCCACUAUGACAAAGUCUCAUUCUUAGCUAUAAAACAAGCGUACCAAAAUAAUUCGUUGAAAUAAUUCGUUUAGUAGUUGCUUACUAGCAGCAUCAACAUAAUCUGAGGCAUCUGUUCAUGUCUCCAUUCUGAUCUCCAGACGAAAAGGGACAUCUGAGAGAAAUCGUAGCGACUACAGUCAUCAUGGGAACACUCAUUGUCAUCAUCACAAAUAUGAUUGGCCAGGAGGAAUGCGAAAAAACAAAGUAACAAGCAGUGCAGCUGUUGAAUCUUGGAAUAGCCACUAUAUCUGAGUUUGCAUGGAAAAAAAUAACAUUUUUUUNNNNNNNNNNNNNNNNNNNNNNNNNNNNNNNNNNNNNNNNNNNNNNNNNNNNNNNNNNNNNNNNNNNNNNNNNNNNNNNNNNNNNNNNNNNNNNNNNNNNNNNNNNNNNNNNNNNNNNNNNNNNNNNNNNNNNNNNNNNNNNNNNNNNNNNNNNNNNNNNNNNNNNNNNNNNNNNNNNNNNNNNNNNNNNNNNNNNNNNNNNNNNNNNNNNNNNNNNNNNNNNNNNNNNNNNNNNNNNNNNNNNNNNNNNNNNNNNNNNNNNNNNNNNNNNNNNNNGAAAAAACAAGGUAACAGGCAGUGCAGCUGUUGAAUCUUGGGAAUAGCCACUAUAUCUGAGUUUGCAUGGAAAAAAUAACAUUUUUUUCUGGAACAGCAAUAAAGCAAGGAAAGGAAAAACACUUGUCCAGUGGCGAAGCCCCUUCACUGGUAAUGGUUGAAGAGAACUUGAGCAGAGUUAAAUUCCAGGAGUUUGUCAAAUAUAAAAUUGAUGAAUUGGUUGCAGCAACAGGAAACUUUGGUGAGGCUAAUAAGCUUGGACGGGGGUGGUUUCGGUCCGGUAUACAAGGUAUUAUUAUUCAUGUAGAGUUAAGUAUUAUAUACGUAGUUGUGUGUGAGUGUAAACAGCUCAUUUAGUCCAUGUGUACAGGGGAGACCACCAAACGGUCAGGAAAUAGCAAUCAAGAGGCUAUCGAGAGCCUCAGGACAAGGGCAUCAAGAAUUUAUGAACGAAAUGGUGGUCAUCCGUAACAUCUAACAUCGAAAUCUCGUUAGACUUCUAGGAUGCUGUUUUGAAGGAGAUGAGAAAAUGUUAAUCUACGAAUUCAUGCCAAACAAGAGUCUUGACACAUUUCUUUUUGGUAAUAUUUCGCUUAUUUCAAUGUUGCCUCAUACUAUCAUUUAUACCAUAUAUCCAGAAAGCCUCAUUUGUAUGGUUAGCCAUUUGAGCAGGAUUGGACUGUUCUCGCUGCAGAUGUUAUAUGUUUCCUGUUUGGCUUUAAGCUUCCGUGCAUUUCACUCUUUUCCAGUUGCAAAAAUGAUUUUUUUGCAUUACAGUUCUAUGUCUAUGCAGAUCCACUGAAACAAGUACAUUUGGAUUGGAGAACACGGUUCAACAUUGUCGGUGGAAUUUGUCGCGGUCUGCUUUAUCUUCAUAGGGACUCCAGACUGAGGAUUAUACAUAGAGAUCUGAAGGCAAGCAAUGUCCUCCUAGAUGAAGAGCUCAAUCCAAAAAUUUCAGACUUUGGAAUGGCUCGGAUAUUUGGGGGAAACGAAAAUCAAGCUAAUACACAAAGAGUUGUGGGAACCUAGUUAGUACCUCUUUAGUUUGACAUUCCUAGUGAUUUUAUUCUCUACUCAUAAUAAGGAAACUGAACUUGUUUAAUGGAAUGUAGUGGUUACAUGGCUCCUGAAUACGCAAUGGAAGAACGAUUUUUGGAAAAAUCAGAUGUCUUUAGCUUCAGCAUAUUAUUACUAGAGAUCGUAAGUGGAAGACAGAACACUAGUUUUCAUGAUGAAGAUCAAUGCUUGAGCCUUCUUGGACUGGUAAGCUCUCAUUGAUAAAGAAGUUCGAACUGCAUUCUAUUCUUAUAAAUUAUUGUUGGAAUAUAAUACGCGGAAAUGACAGGAUCUUAAUAUUUACAUCAAUGUUAAAUCGCCAGAGAAAUAAACGAGAAAUAAUAAGGGCACCAGAAAUUUACGUAAUUCGAGUCUAGUAUCGGUACCUACGUCCACGAGGAGAACCAGUAGCAAAUAAUCCAGUAUAAUCGGAGAAUCAAAGUUUACAAUUGCUCACACGCUCGGUGUUUCCCACACUUAGAUUUAACCCUAAACCCAAAGUAUUUAUAAAUAAACAACUCACUUAGACAUAAACUCAUGGUACAAAAUUACCGCGCGUUCAAGCUCGAAACAAAAAAACGCGAGUGGCUCUCUACAGCUUGACGUGUGCCACUUGCGGCUCCUUUUCUUUUUCUCUCGUAGGGUUUCAGCCGCUAUCUCCUAGAGACGUGCUUGUUUUGCUUUAUAUAUGUGCCCAAGUCAAAAUUUUGAUAUGGGCCCACCAGCUUUUCUCUCUACAUACAAGAGGGCUUCUCACCUUUUUUUUUUUCUUUCCCUUUUUAGCUAAAAAGAAACUGAGGUGUGCAAUAUUGUGUGCCCAACCAUGUAUAAUUUGCAGAGAGAUUCGGCUCCUCCAAAGCAAAGAGGAAACUUUUGCUUCUUUUAUUUUAUUUUAUUUCAUAUUUUGUAAUUCUUGAAGAGUCUAGCGAAACUUUCUAUGACCAAAAACANNNNNNNNNNNNNNNNNNNNNNNNNNNNNNNNNNNNNNNNNNNNNNNNNNNNNNNNNNNNNNNNNNNNNNNNNNNNNNNNNNNNNNNNNNNNNNNNNNNNNNNNNNNNNNNNNNNNNNNNNNNNNNNNNNNNNNNNNNNNNNNNNNNNNNNNNNNNNNNNNNNNNNNNNNNNNNNNNNNNNNNNNNNNNNNNNNNNNNNNNNNNNNNNNNNNNNNNNNNNNNNNNNNNNNNNNNNNNNNNNNNNNNNNNNNNNNNNNNNNNNNNNNNNNNNNNNNNNNNNNNNNNNNNNNNNNNNNNNNNNNNNNNNNNNNNNNNNNNNNNNNNNNNNNNNNNNNNNNNNNNNNNNNNNNNNNNNNNNNNNNNNNNNNNNNNNNNNNNNNNNNNNNNNNNNNNNNNNNNNNNNNNNNNNNNNNNNNNNNNNNNNNNNNNNNNNNNNNNNNNNNNNNNNNNNNNNNNNNNNNNNNNNNNNNNNNNNNNNNNNNNNNNNNNNNNNNNNNNNNNNNNNNNNNNNNNNNNNNNNNNNNNNNNNNNNNNNNNNNNNNNNNNNNNNNNNNNNNNNNNNNNNNNNNNNNNNNNNNNNNNNNNNNNNNNNNNNNNNNNNNNNNNNNNNNNNNNNNNNNNNNNNNNNNNNNNNNNNNNNNNNNNNNNNNNNNNNNNNNNNNNNNNNNNNNNNNNNNNNNNNNNNNNNNNNNNNNNNNNNNNNNNNNNNNNNNNNNNNNNNNNNNNNNNNNNNNNNNNNNNNNNNNNNNNNNNNNNNNNNNNNNNNNNNNNNNNNNNNNNNNNNNNNNNNNNNNNNNNNNNNNNNNNNNNNNNNNNNNNNNNNNNNNNNNNNNNNNNNNNNNNNNNNNNNNNNNNNNNNNNNNNNNNNNNNNNNNNNNNNNNNNNNNNNNNNNNNNNNNNNNNNNNNNNNNNNNNNNNNNNNNNNNNNNNNNNNNNNNNNNNNNNNNNNNNNNNNNNNNNNNNNNNNNNNUCCUCUUCAAAUAUCUAAGGAUCCAUUUCACAGCUUCCCAAUGAGCUUUACCAGAAUACUUCAUGUAGUGAUUAACUACGCUCACAGCUUAUGAAAUAUCAGGCUUAGUACACACCAUAUCAUACAUAAUACUACCCACGACACUAGAAUAAGGAACAUGGGACAUAUGCUCCUCCUCCUCCUCAGUUUAUGGUGAUAACUUAUCUUAAAGUUUGAAGUACUUCACUAAAGGUGUACUUACAGAUUUUGCUGACUACAUAUUAAAACGUGCCACAAUCUUCUCAAUAUAUUUCUUCUAAGAUAGACGUAAAAUUCUUGCAGUCCUAUCACACAAAAUCUCCAUACCUAAAAUUUUCUUUGCAGCACCUAAAUCUUUCAUCGCAAAUUCAACAUUUAACUGCUUUUUUAGCACAUUAAUAUCAGACAUAUUAUUAGCUGCUAUUAACAUAUCAUCAACAUAUAAAAGUAGAUAAACCAAAUAACCAUUCCCCAAUCUCCUAUAGUAAACACAACUAUUCAUCUGACUUUUCGUAUAGUCUUGACUAGCCAUGAAAGCAUCAAAAUGUUUAUACCACUGCCUCUGAGACUGUUUCAGCCCAUACAAAGAUUUAUUCAAUAAGCAAACAUGAUCUUCCUUACCCAUAAUAGCAAAUCCCUCUAGUUGCCUCAUAUAAAUCUGCUCCUCCAACUCACCGUGAAGAAAUACAGUUUUCACAUCUAGUUGCUCUAACUUGAGAUACUGCGAAGCAACUAAGGCAAGUAAAAUACGAAUAGAAAUAUUUCUUACCACAUGAGAGAACACCUCAUUGUAGUCAAUGCCCUCACGAUGUGUAUAUCCCUUCAUCACAAGUCUCUCCUUAUACAUUGUUGCCUCGAUACCAGGAAUGCCCUCUUUCCGUUUGAAGACCCAUUUACUUUCGAUAAUCUUUUGGCUCUUGAGUACUUUGACCAACUUCCAUGUCUGAUUUCGAUGGAGUGAUUCCAUAUCUUCACUCAUAGCCCCUAGCCACUGUGAUGACUCCGAACUAGCCAUCGCCUCAGAGUAAGACAAAAGCUCAUUUGUCUCCACCUCAUCACUUAUAGUCAAUGCAUAAGCAAUAUCUGUGUAACCAUAACGUACCAAUGAUUUAAUUUGUCUUCUUUGUCUAUCUGCGGCUAUGGUAUGUUGCGAUUUUGCUGGUUGUUGACUAUCACCGAUUUCAGGAACUGCAGCUUCAUUUACAGUCUCAACUUAUGUUACAUUCGAGGUCUCCAAAGUCUCCACCUGAAGCUCCACGUCACUAAUGACACCAUAAUAUGUCUUCUCUGCUAAUUGUGUCUCAAAACUCCUCUAUUGGAGCAUUGCAGUCUUGUCGAAUAUCACAUCUCCACCGAUUAGAAAAUCGAGUGAUCUAGCUCCACAGCUUGUGGCCUUUCACCCCAUAUGCAUAACCCAUAAAUAUGCACUUCUUUGCCAUCAGCUCAAGCUUACCAUCACUCACAUGAGCAUAUGCAUCGAAUAUACAUAAUUUGAAAUAAUCAACAGGUUUCCCCAACCAUACUUUCUUAGGAGUUUUCCACACGAUAGCAGAUAAUGGAAAUCGAUUAACUAGGUAACAAGCAAUGUUCAUUGCUUCAGCCCAAAGUUCCUUGCCAAGUCCUGCAUGCGAAAACAUGCAUCGAGCUCGCUCAAGCAAAGUUCCGUUCUUCCAUUCUACCACGCAUUUCUGCUGUGGUGUCCCAGGUACUAUGCGAUGUCUCACAAUACCUUCUUUCUCGUGGAACUCAGUAAAAUCUUUACCACAAAAAUUUAUGCCAUUAUUGAUUCUUAGGCACUUGAUAUGUUUAUUUGAUUGCUUCUCAAUCAAUGCCUUAAAUUUCUUGAACCGAUCAAACACUUCAUAUUUGUGCUUCAAAAAGUAUACACAUACCUUCCUCGAAUAGUCAUCGACAAAUGUCAGCAUAUAUUUGGCAACUCCUUUUGAAGGAACCAAACAUGGGCCCCGAACGUCUGAAUGAAUAUAUUCAACUGGUCGUUUGAUUGAAUGAAUAAUUGUAGUAAAUUUAACUCGAUGCUGCUUCCUAAAGAUGUAGUGCUCACAUNNNNNNNNNNNNNNNNNNNNNNNNNNNNNNNNNNNNNNNNNNNNNNNNNNNNNNNNNNNNNNNNNNNNNNNNNNNNNNNNNNNNNNNNNNNNNNNNNNNNNNNNNNNNNNNNNNNNNNNNNNNNNNNNNNNNNNNNNNNNNNNNNNNNNNNNNNNNNNNNNNNNNNNNNNNNNNNNNNNNNNNNNNNNNNNNNNNNNNNNNNNNNNNNNNNNNNNNNNNNNNNNNNNNNNNNNNNNNNNNNNNNNNNNNNNNNNNNNNNNNNNNNNNNNNNNNNNNNNNNNNNNNNNNNNNNNNNNNNNNNNNNNNNNNNNNNNNNNNNNNNNNNNNNNNNNNNNNNNNNNNNNNNNNNNNNNNNNNNNNNNNNNNNNNNNNNNNNNNNNNNNNNNNNNNNNNNNNNNNNNNNNNNNNNNNNNNNNNNNNNNNNNNNNNNNNNNNNNNNNNNNNNNNNNNNNNNNNNNNNNNNNNNNNNNNNNNNNNNNNNNNNNNNNNNNNNNNNNNNNNNNNNNNNNNNNNNNNNNNNNNNNNNNNNNNNNNNNNNNNNNNNNNNNNNNNNNNNNNNNNNNNNNNNNNNNNNNNNNNNNNNNNNNNNNNNNNNNNNNNNNNNNNNNNNNNNNNNNNNNNNNNNNNNNNNNNNNNNNNNNNNNNNNNNNNNNNNNNNNNNNNNNNNNNNNNNNNNNNNNNNNNNNNNNNNNNNNNNNNNNNNNNNNNNNNNNNNNNNNNNNNNNNNNNNNNNNNNNNNNNNNNNNNNNNNNNNNNNNNNNNNNNNNNNNNNNNNNNNNNNNNNNUAACACAAAUUGUGCUCCAAUUAAACUUCUCAAUUUCAUAUUUCCUCUCAAAUAUAAUUGCAGUAACAAAAUUUCCAAAUAAUAAUUAGACAAGCAAAAGCUCCAAAUCACAAUCAAGAAAAUCGAUCCCAACCAAACUCUUAUACCAAUUGUUGGAAUAUAAUACGCGAAAACGACAGGAUCUUGCAAUUUACAUCAACGCGAAAUCGCCAAAGAAAUAAACGAGAAAUAAUAAGGACACCAGAAAUUUAUGUAGUUCGGUCCGAGUAUCAGUACCUACGUCCACGGCGAGAGCCAUCAACAAAUAAUCCACUAUAAUCGGAGAAUCAGAGUUUACAAUCGCUCACAUACUUAAGUGUUUCUCACACCUAGAUUUAAACCCAAACCCAAAGUAUUUAUAAAUAAACAACUCACUUGGACAUAAAUUCACGGCACAAAAUUACCGUGCAUUCAAGCUCGAAACAAAAAAAAUGUGUGUGGCUCUCUUCUGCUUGACAUGUGCAGCAUGCGGCUCCUUUUCUUUUUCUCUCGUAUGGUUUCAGCUGCUACCUCUUAGAGAUGUGCGUGUUAUGCUUUAUGUUUGACCUGGGCCCACUAGCUUUUCUCUUAGGGCUUCUCACCUUUUUUUUUCUUUCCCUUUUUAGCUAAAAAGAAACCCAGGCAUGCAAUAUUGUGUGCCCAAAGUCAAAUAUUUGACUUUGGGCCCCACCAUAUAUAACUUGUAGAGAGAUUUGGCUCCUCCAAAGCAAAGAAGAAACUUUUGCUUAUUUUAUUUUAUUUCCUAUUUUGUAAAUUUUCAAGAGUCCAGUGAAACUUUUCUAUUGACCAAAAAUAUCCAAGCGAAUCGCGUUUUACAAACGCUCAAACUUGAGACAUAAUUUAACAAUGAAUUGGAACUCCAAUAGUAAAUUGACUUGAUUAAUUUGCAGGCAUGGAAGUUAUGGAAUGAAGAGAAUGUUCUAGCACUAGUGGACCCAAGCAUACCUGCUAAAUGUCUUGAGGUUCAGCUUUCAAGGUGCGUAAAUGUGGGGCUUCUUUGUAUGCAAGAAAGGGCUAAAGAUAUAUUAACUAUUAUUUCAAUGAUCAAUAUUGAAGUGGAUCUUCCUCAUCCAAAGAAACUGCAUUCACCUCGAGGAAAAUAACUNNNNNNNNNNNNNNNNNNNNNNNNNNNNNNNNNNNNNNNNNNNNNNNNNNNNNNNNNNNNNNNNNNNNNNNNNNNNNNNNNNNNNNNNNNNNNNNNNNNNNNNNNNNNNNNNNNNNNNNNNNNNNNNNNNNNNNNNNNNNNNNNNNNNNNNNNNNNNNNNNNNNNNNNNNNNNNNNNNNNNNNNNNNNNNNNNNNNNNNNNNNNNNNNNNNNNNNNNNNNNNNNNNNNNNNNNNNNNNNNNNNNNNNNNNNNNNNNNNNNNNNNNNNNNNNNNNNNNNNNNNNNNNNNNNNNNNNNNNNNNNNNNNNNNNNNNNNNNNNNNNNNNNNNNNNNNNNNNNNNNNNNNNNNNNNNNNNNNNNNNNNNNNNNNNNNNNNNNNNNNNNNNNNUCUAAUCUUAGCACCACUAGAAACAGCCUCAAGUUUUCACUAAUGUUCAUUUUGCAUCAUAAAUUCAAUGGCAUGGCUAGCUCAAAAAGUUCCACUAAUCCUGUUGAUGUGGGAAUGAUAUAGUUCAUUUUACUCAACAUUGUUGUCCCUGUCAAUUGAUUGUAAAAUUUCAUUCGGCAAAAUGAUACUAGAAGUGUCAUAAGUUGUGUGCAGUGCUCACUUAAGGGCCAAAUUUUUUUCAGAUAACUUAAGCACCACUUUCUUGAAAAAAUAAUCACUUGAAUGCCAACUCUGAUACGAGUUGUUAGAAAUUCAAUGUAGCCAUAUUUUAUUAAUUUUUUGAUCUUAGGUGGCUCGUCAAAAUGCCCAGUCAGCAUAUAACCCCUAAGCAAUGUUGUGUAGCAAGUUAAAAAGUGAUCACUUUAAUGCAAAAAAAUGCCACUUCAGAUAAAAAUUUUAAUUAUAAAUAUAACGUAAUUUCUCUAACAAGAAUUUCUCACCGGAAGCACUUAAGCUAUUGUUUUUAUCUUAUUUUGGCACUUUAGUGAAUUAGCAAAAACUUUUGGCACUAAAGUGAGUACUAUACAUAACUUAUGACACUUCUAAUAUCCUUCCCACGAUUUCAAUUAGUAUAAUUGAUUGUGAGUGACUAGAAACUAAGAGUGUGUUUGGUGACCAUUUUAGUCCAAUGAAUAAUUUUUUAUCAGAAAUUGUUUUUUCUAAUUUUAUUCUCAAGAACAAUUUUUGAGCAAAAGAAUGCACUUAGUAACCUAGUAACUGUCUAAAAUUUAUAUUCCAAGGAUAGAAAUGCGUUUGGUAAAAUUCUUAAAUUAUUUUAUUUCUUUUAAUUUUUUAAUACUUUUAUUAUAUAUUUCUUAUUUUUCUCUUUUUUCUUUUUUCCUUUUCCCUUCUUCCUCCUUCUUCUUUGUAGCAAGACGCUGGCCAUGGUUGGUUGGGCGACGUCCGGUGAGCUCGUUCGAGCCUCGCUAGACUAGGGCAAGGUUUGACGAACUCGCCAGAGGCUCGCUUGGCCAUCGACGAGGCUUGACCUCGCUAAGGCAACGCGAGGUCAACUGAGCCCUGGCCUGGCAAGGGCAAGCCUCACCGUGGCUGUGCAAGGCUCGGCCUCACCUUGGCUAGGCAAGGUCAACCCAGAUCUAGUGAGGUCGAGCUUACCUAGCCAUCAGUGAAGCUUGGCCUCACCAAGCCACUAUCGGGCGAUGCCAAACUGGAGGUGCCCUAGCAAGGCCGAGCCUCGUCGAUGGCUAGGCAAGUUCAGCCUCACCAGAUCUAGGCGAGGAACCUCGCCUAGCUAAGGUGAGGCCGAGCCUUGCCCAACCACGGUGAGGCUAGGCCUCGCCAAGGGCCGGCGAGGUCGCUGGCCCUCGUUUGGCCAAUCAUCAGCCAUAGCCAAGGUCGGUGACCGGCCAAAGGGAAGAAGAAGAGAAAAGAGAAGAAAAGAGAAGAAAAGAAAAUAAUAGGAACUAAUUUUAUGAAUUGUUCCCGACAACAAGAAGCUAUUUUUUUUUUUUUUUUACUUCUUGUUUCUAUUUCAAAUCUAUUCCUAGAAAUAAAAAAAUCUAAUAAAAAUUUUACCAAAUAAUUCUAUUCUUUUUUGGUUCCCUGGAAUAAAAGAAUAGAAAUUGUUGUUCAGGGGAACAUGAUUUUUUUUUACUAAAUAGAGCCUAAAGGUUUGCAUGAUAACACUUUUGUUUUUCUAUUUUUUUGUUCUUUUGUUCCAUGGGAUAGAAAAAGAACAAAAAUUCAUUUAGUAAUGUCGGUUAAGUUUUCUAUCUCUUGGAAUAGAAAAGUGGUCAAGGAAUAAAAUUGGAAUGGAAAUAAGAAGUGAAAAAAAAAAUUAGUUUCUUACUCCUAAGAACAAAUUCUAGAAAUAAGUCAUUUUAUUUUUUUUCUUUUUGUUCUUUUGUUCUUUUGUUCUUUUUCCUCUUCUAACCGAUUGUCGGAGCCUAGCUGUUCGCUAUCGCCCCGUUAGUCGCCAAUUGCCUUCGUUGUUUGCCAAUCAUUUAUUGCCACUGCUGGUCACCAUCCGUCGUCGGUCGCCACCCACAGUAGUGAUCGACUAGAGGAGGAAGAAGAAGAGAGGAAAAAAAGAAAAAAAGAAAAAUCUCAAAAAAAUUAUUGGAAAAUUAUAAGAAAUUCCACAUCAUAAAAAAAAAUUGUUGAUCACACCAAAUGUAGUUAUGUUCUUUUUUAUUCCAAGAAUAGAAAUAUUCUAUAGUUACUAAACAUGUUUUACUUGGAAACUAUUUCAGGGAUAAAUAUAGAAAAGUAUUAUUUCUAAAAAAUAAUUAUUUUUAACAAACACACCUUAAAAAGCAAUUGUGGAAAUGUACAUGAAUCUACCAAGAAAGUGGCCAUUUAUGGAAAGCAAUCGCAUCCACCAUGCUGAAUGAAUGCAAGAGUCUAAAAUUUCGGCGGCGUGCACUUUUGAAGGCUUGAAUGCUUUUUCUAGAGUUGACUUCGUCAAAUGGGGUAGAAAUCCUGAUGUAAGCACUCUAGCAUUUCGCUAAUGCUCUCACGGUGGCGCACUAGAUCAAGAUACUUGACUCAUAAGUCAAAGUGAAAAAAAAUAACAAUGUCCAUUAUAUCCACCAUGCGACUCAACAUCAAAGACCGCCGAGUGGACGAGGAAAAUGUUCCCAUUCGAGCGAUUUAAAUUUCUUCAAAGAUGCUUAAACCAUCUUUUCCAGUCGAAAAUUUACCUUUAUCUUCGACCACAAGGUUUUCUCUCGAUAAUUGUGAUUUCCACCUUCUAUCCUAAACUUCAGGUUGUGUCUUCUGCUGUUCUAAAGCUAGCAAAAUCAGUUGUUGCUGAGAAGAAAGGUUCAAGUAGUCAUGAUUCUUCUAAGAAAAGUAAGAGUAUUCUCUCUCUUUAUUUUGUCUCAUUAUGCUGUGAAAUUUUGCAUUGGGGGAGAUAUCAUUACAGCAUCUGAGUACAUCCAAGACCUUGGAAGUAUCAUAUCAAGCGGAGGUUUCUACAGACUGGGAUUCUUUAGCCCCAAUGGUACUACCGAUCGGUAUGUCGGAAUUUGGCAUAACAAGAUUCCUGUGUUUAACGUCUUUUGGGUCGCAAACAGGGAGAAGCCUGUUCUAGAUUCUUUUGGUGUCAUGACCAUAUCCGAUGACGGUAAUCUUGUGAUAUUGAAUGGAAAGAAGGAAGUACUUUGGUCAUCAAACGUUUCCACCUCUGGAGCAAAUGCAAAAGCCCAAUUAUUAGAUGCUGGAAAUCUUAUCUUGCAAAAACAAAGCUCUAAUAUGAGCACAAAUUAUACAACGGCAUGGGAAAGUUUCCAGACCAUGUGUGAUACGUUCAUUGCGAAAAUGAAGCUUAGCACCAACUUGAGAACAAAUGAGAAGCAGGUACUCACUGUUGGAGAAAUCCUCUUGAAGUGUUUUGAAGUUGAUAAAACGUUUCCAUCAGUCUAAUCUGAAGGCUUGCAGACUCUGCUAUUUAAAGUCUGAAGACCUCUGGCAGCCAAACUCAAGACUCAAAGUCUAUCUUCAUUGACAGUUUCUAAUCCAUUGAAGAAAGGCUAUCCAGAACUGGAUGUUUCAUUAAGGAUGCGACCUUAUCGACUGGAGAAGAUCUCUUGGCUGGAUAUGACAUGAUGGAAUCCUUUAUUUGAUCAUAAUUGAUUCGAAGAUUAAGGAUCCGAUGAUUGGCAAAGUAUACUUGGAAGGUUCUACUUAUGGAAACCGAGAUCCUGAUUGUAUGGGCGAACAUGAUUGAUGGGCUAUCGACAUGUUCCUUUAAUAGCUCGAAUGAUCUUCCUAAUUGAUUCCGUCCAACAGGUAGAUUGGAGGAAUUCCUUUGGUAAAUGCCAACGGGUAUGAUGGCAUGAAGGAGUAUAUAAGGAAGACGUUCCAGUUGUUCGAGAGAGGUGCACGAUAGAAGAAUUCCAAAAUCUGAAGCUCCUUGUUCUUAGUCAAUUCAUUUGUUGAGCGAAAUCUUAUAAACAAAAGAGAGUCUAUAUUCGUGAGAAACCUUGAGGAAGUGUGGUAGAACAUCUACACUGUGGAAUCAAGGAAAAGCUGUGCUGUAACUUCUCUUUUGUACAUAGUGAAAUCCAGCCGGUGGGCUGUCAGUGCGGAAGAGUGGAUGUAGGCUUGGAAUAAGCCGAACCACUAUAAAUCUUGUGUUCAAUUUUCUCUUCCCUAUUCUUUACUGUACUUUGAUAGUAUUUUAUUAAUCAUAAGAGAACUUCAUUUCUAACAUUUGCCUAGAAUCACUUCCGUAUCUCGAGAAAUUGUUUGUGCACCUAUUCACCCCCUCUAGGUGCUUAUACUAGCUAUCUUAAUUUGUAUCAGAGCUUGUGUACUCACUUUAUUUGAAGUGUUUUACUUCAGAGUUAAAGAUCCAUGGCUAGUAUGUUGGCUCCAGGGCUGGUAGAAGGGCAAAGCAAUACCAGACCGCCUUACUUUGAUGGAAAGGAUUACAACAUAUGGAAAAACAAGAUGAAAGCGUUUCUAAGAUCAAAGGAUCCUCUGGAAUGGGACGUUGUAGAAAAAUGAAUCAUUCCUAAAGCUGCAUCUGUCUCAGAAAGAGGAAAAGAUGCUGUUGAGUUUAGCGAAAUGACUCAGGAAGAGAUAAUCAAGAGACAAGCUCUUGAUGCAAAAGCAAUUUAUUCUUUAUAUUGUGCUUUAUCUCCUACUGAAUAUAACAGAAUAUCUUUUGGUGUUACAGCUAAAGAAGUCUGGGAUAGAUUACAUAUUACCUAUGAAGGAACCGAUCGAGUGAACGAGACUAGAAUCAACAUUCUCCUCGGUCAAUAUGAAGCCUUCAAAAUGAAAUCAGGAGAAUCUAUAACUGAUAUGUUUAGUCGUUUUACAGAAAACGUGAAUGGUCUUGAAAAUCAAGGUCAACCAAUUUCUGAUCCCAUGAAGGUAAACAAGCUACUGCAUGGACUCUCCAAGGAUUGGAAUCACAUAAAGACCUCAAUCAGAGAGACCCAAAGAAUCAUGCCACUAUCUGUUGAUGAGUUGGUUGGGACUCUUCAGUCUUAUGAAGUGGAACGAAUCAAUGAAGACGAAGACCAUAAAGGUAAGAAAUCCAUUGCAUUAAAAUCUAAUGAUGAUUCUGAUGUUACAGAUUCUGAAGACGAAGACCAUAAAGGUAAUAAAUCCAUUGCAUUAAAAUCUAAUGAUGAUUCUGAUGUUACGGAUUCUGAAGACGAUAUGGAUGAUGAGGAACUUGCUCUCAUGAUAAGAAGAUUCAGAAAGCUGAACAGAAAAGGAAGAAGAUUCAAUCCAAAGAAACAAAGUUUUCAAAAGCAAUAGACUAAAUCUGUUGAGGAUGAUGAAUCAAACAAAGAUGUAGUCUGCUUUGAAUGUAAGAAAAAGGGACACAUCAGUCCCAACUGUCCUCUUCUGAGGAAGAAGAAAGGAAAAACUAAAAAGUAUCGAAAAACUCUAAAAGCUGAAACCUGGAGUGAUACAGAGUGUGAAGAAAGUGAUGAUGAUUAUGCCAAUAUAUGUCUGAUGGCACAAUCGGAUUCAGAUUCAAAUUCCGAAACAGAUUCAGAUUCGGAAAGCGAAUUUGAGGUAAGUAACUUCAAAGUCCCUGUUAAAGUUUCAAAAUACAUUGAUGAAUUGUGUUUUAGUUUUAAGACUUCUCUUAAAAUAAUUUCCGAACUCAAGAAGGAAAAUUCUACUCUAAAACAACAGGAAAAUAUUUUGAAAGAAAAAGUGAAAUGUUUAGACAAGAAUGUUACUUCUCUUAAAGAAAGUGAAGAUAAUCUUUUAAAAGAAAAUGCAUUCUUGAAAAGUGAUAUCUCAAAUAUUUCCAAAAGAUUUUCUAUAGGAUCUAAGAAACUGGAAAAGAUUCUCUCUGUUCAAAGACCUUAUUUCAAUAAAUCUGGUUUGGGAAUGACUGCUGAAACCAUUCCUUUAAUUGAUUUUCCUAAAGUGAAGGAAAGAAUCAAACAAAGACCCACAAGAGAUGCUUACAAAAAUCAUUUUAAAAGGAUCUUUGUAAAACCAGUAGGUCGCAAUGCUCUCAGAUGCUCACAGUGUAAUAGUGCAGAUCAUUUUGAAAAAGAAUGUCCUAUGAUUUGGAAACCUGUUAAAAAGGUAUGGGUAAAAACCGCAUAUCAUACUAACACUAAUGGACCCAAGAAAAUAUGGGUACCAAAGAAGGUUUGAGUUUCUUUUUUAAAUGCAAGUCACUAUCAAGAAAGAGGUAAAAUGGUAUCUGAAUAGUGGAUGCUCAAGACACAUGAUAGGACACUCAAAUUACUUCAUAAAGCUUGUUCGAGUAAAUGGUGGAAAAGUCUCUUUUGGAGGAAACAACAAAGGAAAAAUUGUGGGAUUUGGAACUGUAAAGAUUGGAAAUCUCACAAUCAGCAAUGUUUCCUUAGUGGAAGGGCUUAAUUACAAUUUGCUAAGUAUUAGUCAGUUAUGUAAUACUGGUUUCAAAAUCAACUUUCAAGAGGGAAUAUGUUCAGGAAUUAGUAAAGAUUCUACUCAGUCAUUCAUGGGUCGAAGACAUGGAAAUAUCUACCUCUUGGAUGUGAAACCAGAUGAAUCACAAUGUCUAAUCUCAAUCCAAGACGAAGCAAACUUAUGGCACAGAAAGCUUGGGCACGUCAAUAUGAAGCAAAUAGCCAAAAUCUCAGCAAAGAAGCUUGUUCGUGGUCUACCCAAUUUAUCAUACCAAAAGUCUGAUCUAUGUGCACCAUGUAUAUUGGGAAAACAGGUAAGAAAUUCCUUUAAACCAAUAAAUCAAGUUUCCACUAACCGUGUACUGCAGCUUCUGCAUAUGGAUCUUUUUGGACCAACCAGAACACAAAGCAUUGGAGGUAAGAAAUACUGCCUAGUAAUUGUGGAUGAUUACUCACGAUUUACUUGGGUAUAUUUCAAAGUAAGUCUGAAACUUUCUCUUACUUUGAAAAGUUUGCUAAAAAGGUUCAAAAUGAAAAAUGGUAUAUUAUCUCGAGUAUAAGAACAGAUCAUGGAGGUGAAUUUGAAAAUCAUGGUUUUACAAAAUUCUGUGAUGAAUCUGGUUUUCAGCAUGUAUUCUCCUCUCCAUAUACUCCAGAGCAAAACGGAGUUGUGGAAAGGAAGAAUAGAUCUCUUCAAGAAAUGGCUAGAACUCUUUUAAUAGAAAGCAAUAUCUCUUCACGUUUUUAGGCUGAAGCAGUUUCUACAACAUGUUAUAUUAUUAAUAGAGUUUUUCUAAGACCUAUUCUGGAAAACCCCCCUAUGAAAUAUUCAAAGAAAAGAAGCCUAUUAUUUCAUAUUUUCAUGUAUUCGGAUGCAAAUGUUUUAUACUGAAAAAUGCAAAUGAUCGAGUUGGUAAGUUUGAAGAAAAGUCAGAUGAAGGCAUCUUCCUUGGAUAUUCAACCACAAGCAAAGCGUACAGAGUCUACAACAAGAAGACUCAAACAGUGGAAGAAUCAAUGAAUGUUAAAUUCCAAGACUCUAUGCAAAAUGAAUCCACUCAGACUCAUCUUAAAGAAUCUGAACCUGCUCCAGACUCUACAAAGUCUAAAUCUCAGGAAAUAGCUCAGACUUUGAAGGACCAGCAACAAGUGACUGUUGAAGAUUCAAGUGAAGGAAGUGACCAUCAAUCUGACAAAUUAACCAGCAACUGGAAACAUAAGUCCAGUCAUCCCAAAGAUCUUAUUAUUGGCGACAUCAUUGAAGGAAUUCGCACAAGAUCCAAAAGGCGCGAAGAGUCUAGUGCUGUGGCUCUUAUUUCUGAAAUAUAACCCAAAAGCAUAGAAGAAGAUUUAUCUGAUGAAAACUGGAUUGAAGCUAUGCAAGAAGAGCUCAGGCAAUUCAGUAUUAAUGAUGUCUAGGAAUUGACUCCUAAAUCGAAAGGUAAGUCUGUUAUUGGAGCUAAAUGGGUUUUCAAGAACAAGAUAAACGAGAAAGGAAAAGUCAUAAGAAACAAGGCAAGACUUGUGGCCAAGGGAUACACACAAGAAGAAGGGAUAGACUAUGACGAGACUUACGCACCAGUAGCAAGUGUUUGCAUUUGUGCCAGAUUUCAAGCAAACCCUAAAGAAUCUCAUUUAAAUGCUGCAAAGCGUAUUAUCAAAUAUAUUGCAUCAACUUCAAGCUUUGGUCUCUGGUAUCUUAAAAGGGGAGACUUUACUCUUCUUGGAUACUCAGACGCAGACUUAGCCGGAUGCAGAGUUGAUAGAAAGAGCACCUCUGGUACCUGUCAACUACUUGGAGGCAGGACAGUGUCUUGGUUUUCAAGGAAGCAAAGUACAGUAGCUCUCUCUACAGCAGAAGCAGAAUAUGUAGCUCUCGGAAGUUGUUGUUCACAAAUUUUGUGGAUAAAACAACAGCUAAGAGACUUUGGAAUUGAAGAUUCAUGCACAGAGAUUAAAUGUGACAACACCAGCGCAAUCAAUCUCACCAAAAAUCCAAUUCUUCACUCAAGAGCAAAGCAUAUAGAGAUUCGACAUCACUUCAUUAGAGAUCAUGUUCAAAAUGGAGAAAUUACGAUUCAGUUUGUUGACUCAAAGAACCAACUGGCGGAUAUAUUUACAAAGCCUUUGGAGAAAAAUCAAUUUGAAAUUAUCCGUUCCAGACUCAACAUUUUGAGGUUUGAAGAAGUUAAAGUCUAGAGACUCUCAGAAUCAGACAAAUAAGACUUUGACUGCAAGACGUUGACUGUAAGUUAUUCUCUCUCUAAUCUCAUCUUGAAAAGGUACGUUCAUCAACAGUGUUUGAUUAUUGUUAUCUCAACUGCUAUCUUUAAUUAACGAGAUUAUUGCAACGUUUCCUUUUGAAAAAUUAGUUAUUUUGAGAUGGCCAUUUUUCGAAAAAGGCAGUUAUUUUUUAAAAGGCAUCUUUUCACUUUCCAUUACGACGUUUGAUAUCUCCUCUUUUCGACUGUCUUACAUACAGUCGGUUUCUCUUCACUUAACUCCAAAACCCUAAAAAGCACCAAUCUUCCAUUCCUGUUUUCCUCUCUUAUUUAAUCUUCGAAAAAGUUGUCAUCUUUCUUGGGAAAGUCAAGCAAGGAAUCUUUCAAAGACUAAGAAAGAUGUCGUCUUCAAGAAAGUCUUCGAGGAUCGCAAGCAGGGGACCACGGCGAAUGAGUGAGGGGCCUACACACUUCGAUCUCACUGAAGAAGAAGUGUCUCCAAAUCAGCAGUAGAGCCCACAACAUUCUCGGCAGCGUCAUUCUCCUCCAUCUAGUCCUCAAAAUGAUGAUCAUCAACAAAAGGAAGAAAUCAUUGAAGAUGCAAAUCCUGUAAGAGUUCAAAGGCCCUAUUUUAUUUAUAAGUUGUAUCAUGCUUUAAAAGGGACUGGUACUCCAUUGAACUAUGUCGAUGAUUUUCUUAAGGACAAAGGAUAUGGAAAUGAAUAUAUAUUUUUACGAAAAAUGGAAAGUUUGGGAAUUGCUCGUAAAGGGGUGGCAGAAGAAACCCUUGCGAAUAUCCCAAGUGAUCUUCAUGAUUGGGGAUUUAAUCCGGUAGAUGGGAAUGAUGAUGACAAAUUAUAUAGCCAAUUUCAACCGAGAAUGGGAGUUGCGGCGGAAAAUCGAGGAAAAAUGGGAGAGUUGUUUAGAUCGAAGGAACAGAAGGAUCUAUACUCAAAAUUGCUGAAGCGUGGGGUGAUAAACCCUAGGAGUGUGGAUUUUGAUUUUCUGGAUGCUGUGAAUGUGAACUUGAGGGAAAAUUUCGGUCAUCUUCAACUUGAAAAAUUCUGCUCUGACACCACAAUGGCCUAUCCUCAACUAAUUGCAUAUUUCUAUUCAAAUCUUAGUUUCUUGAAUGCGAAUAGAUUCUCUUUCAAUGUCAAAGAUCAAGACUUUGUAGUGGAUAUGAAUAUGCUAGCAGAUGUGUUAGGAGUUGAGAGAGGAAGAUAUCAACGGAUCAAAGUUUCUAUUGCUCGUACUACAUUGGAACUUGUUAAGGACAGGAGAACAGAGGAAAAGAUUUCCUACUCAAGGAUGAGUGCAUUCAACAUCUUGCUGCACAAGAUUGUAAUCAAUUGUCUCAGACCGAAAUCAACUUCCAAUACUGAUGUUUCAAGUUCAGAGGCAAAGCUGAUGUAUGCCAUUAUCACUGGGAAAAGGUUUUCACUUCCUCACACUGUUAUGUUCCACAUGUAUAGAGCAGUGAUGAAGGACAGAGGUCAACUUCCUUAUCCAGGUCUUGUGACGAAGUUAUUCAGACAUCUGAACAUUCAGCCUCCGUAAAUUCUUUGUGCUCGAUCGUGCGAUCAUAUGGUGGUAGGACUGAAAAUGGUGACUAAGAUGCGUCUGAAGGAACUAAGCAAGGCGUUGGAGAAAUUCAAGGAGAAGACUCCAGUCAAAUCUCAUCAAAUCUCUUCUGCAGGAAAAAGAAAAGGGAAGGAGCCCAUGGAUGCUCCAUCCAAGAGAAGAAGAGCUCUCAUCGUUGAGGAUGAAGAUGAUGAGGAAAACAUCACUAUUUCUGCAAUGGCAUUGAAGAAUUUGAGUCGUUCUGUUCCAGAGAAAGACUCAGAACAGCGGACAAAAGAAAGAGAAGAGAAAGAAGCAGAGGAAAAAGAAACGGAGGAAAGAGAAGAAGAAGAAGAAAGAGAUGCUGAGAAAGAGAGAGUUGAAAAAGAAGAAGAAGAGAAAAGAGAUCAAGAAGAAGGAGAACAUGAGGAGCACUCUCCACCUGAAGGCAUGAAAACAGGGGGAGACCAAGAGAAAAGAGGAAUGUCCUCAAAUCUUGCAACCAGUGAGGGAGUCAGUCGAUCUCCAGCAGAUCCAGAGGAUAUUUAUGCCUCUCAAUUUCCUGAGGAAGGUCAUGAUGUUUCUUCGCCAAAUCUGCGUGAUUAUGUUGAUCUACCAUCAUCUACAUUUACUCCAUCAGAUUGUGCCAACGCUAGUACGCAGACCGACAAUUCAGCAGACUUUCGCAGAGUUAUGGAUAUUCUCUUAGAGAUGCAAGGUCAGAUAUAUGCAUUGGGAUGCGAAGUUCAUAACUUGCAAAAUGUAGGUCAAGCUUCUUCGGGUUCAUUGAAUGAUCAAAUCCAAGCCCUUUCUCUUCAGAUUCAGGCUAAUGCUAAGGGUGAGGAUGUUGCACAUCUUAAGGAAGACUUGAAAAGGCUGGAAGGCAUCGUUCAGUCGAUGGGAGAUUUCCAGCUUGUUCAUGUUCCCAAGCAUUCUUGACUCCACUCCAUUUUCAUCUCAACCUUUUUUAUGCUGACAAAAAGGGAGAGAGAUGUGAGAUUUGAAAAUUUUGAACUUAAAUUUGUCGAACUUUUGGCUUGUUUGGUUUGUGGUUUGUUUUGACUUGACUUGUGUGUCUGGAUGUGGACUAAAUUUGGGAUUUGGAUUUGACUGCUUAUUAUAACUACUAUUGAUAUCUUAUGGAUGGCUUUAUUGCAUACUAGACUAACCUAUUUUCUGUGGUUACAGAUUCUAGUGUUAUUCAUUUAGCCAUUUAUCUCUAUAAGAUAUGCAUAUGUGUUUGAGAAAUGUUUUGCAAGUCAAAGUUUUCCAAAUCUGCAGGAAAGUUUUGUCACCAUCAAAAAGGGGGAGAUUGUUGGAGAAAUCCUCUUGAAGUGUUUUGAAGUUGACAAACGUUUCCAUCAAUUUAGUCUGAAGGCUUGCAGACUCUGCUAUUUAAAGUCUGAAGACCUCCGGACAGCCAGACUCAAGACUCAAAGUCUAUCCUCAUUGACAGUUUCUAAUCCGUUGAAGAAAGGCUAUCCAGAACUGGAUGUUUCAUUAAGGAUGCGACCUUAUCGACUGGAGAAGAUCUCUUGGCUGGAUAUGACAUGAUGGAAUCCUUUAUUUGAUCAUAAUUGAUUCGAAGAUUAAGGAUCCGAUGAUUGGCAAAGUAUACUUGGAAGGUUCUACUUAUGGAAACCGAGAUCCUGAUUGUAUGGGCGAACAUGAUUGAUGGGCUAUCGACAUGUUCCUUUAAUAGCUCGAAUGGUCUUCCUAAUUGAUUCCGUCCAACAGGUAGAUUGGAGGAAUUCCUUUGGUAAAUGCCAACGGGUAUGAUGGCAAGAAGGAGUAUAUAAGGAAGACGUUCCAGUUGUUCGAGAGAGGUGCACGAUAGAAGAAUUCCAAAGUCUGAAGCUCCUUGUUCUUAGUCAAUUCAUUUGUUGAGCGAAAUCUUGUAAACAAAAGAGAGUCUAUAUUUGUGAAAAACCUUGAGGAAGUGUGGUAGAACAUCUACACUGUGGAAUCAAGGAAAAGCUGUGCUGUAACUUCUCUUUUGUAAAUAGUGAAAUCCAGCCGGUGGGCUGUCAGUGCGGAAGAGUGGACAUAGGCUUUGAAUAAGCCGAACCACUAUAAAUCUUGUGUUCAAUUUUCUCUUCCCUAUUCUUUACUUUACUUUGAUAGUAUUUUAUUAAUCAGAAGAGAAGUUCCUUUGUAUCGUUUGCCUAGAAUCGCUUCCGUAUCUCGAGAAAUUGUUUGUGCACCUAUUCACCCCCUCUAGGUGCUUAUACUAGCUAUCUCACUCACAUCUUGGAAAAGCCCUUCUGACCCAUCGAUUGGAAGUUUUUCAAUUAGUCUCGAACCACUAAAUAUUCCUGAAGUUUUCCUUUGGAACGGCACCACUCUAUAUUGGCGGAGUGGUCUAUGGAAUGGUAAGGUUUUCAUCGGAACUCCUGAGAUGUUAUCAGUCUAUCUUGAUGGAUUUAGCUUGGUGGAUGAUAAAGAAGGAUAUGUCUAUCUGAGUUACAAUUUUGCAGAGGUGUCUUAUUUGUCAUACUUUUUUUUGAGGUCAAAUGGGGAGUUGUUGCAGCCAUUCUGGGAUGAAAAAAAGAAGCAGUGGCGGAUCGAUUGGUCAACCCGGGCAUCUGACUGUGAUGUUUAUGGCAAGUGCGGUCCAUUUGGAUUCUGUGAUGCCAAGAAAUCACCAAUUUGCAGCUGCUUGAGGGGCUUUGAGCCAAAAAAAGUUGAAGAAUGGAGCAGAGGGAAUUGGUCCAGCGGAUGCAUCCAGAAGUCAUUGCUGCAAUGCGAUAAGUUGAAAAAUGGUAGUAGUAAAGCGGGAAAAAUUGAUGGAUUUAUAAAGCUUGAGAAUGUGAAAGUGCCGAAUUAUGCAAUUUGGUCAUCUCCUUUGGAAGACAAGUGCCGAGAGCAGUGCCUCAGUAAUUGUUCGUGCGCAGCAUAUGCUUAUGAUGCCGGCGUUGGUUGCAUGUACUGGAGCGGAGACCUAAUCGACGUACGGAAGUUCUCCUAUGCAGGAACAACUCUUUAUGUUCGAGUGGCCCAUACAGAACUCGGUAUGUUCAUUCCUAAAUUAAAUUUCUGAUCUAUCUGGUAAUACAACUUACUGCUAGAUGGUUAGGGAAUUUCAAUCAAUGUGAUACGCCAGGUGGAGUUGCGAUCCCUGAAAGCUAGCUAAUCAGUUCUUUUUUAUUUUUUAAUAUGUGCUUCAAUCUCAGACAUCAUUGUUUGUCCGUAUUUUGAUCUGCAGAAGGAAAAAGAGAUCUGAGAGCAAUUAUAGCGACUGCAGCUGUUGUGGCAACUGUAAUUUUCAGUAUUGGUACUUUCUUCGCCUGGCAGAAGUCGAAAAAACAAGGUGGUAAAGACGGACACCAAUUUUCAAAGGCUUCUAGUGAGAACGUGCUCGGAGGGAGCUUAAGCAAAGUUAAUCUCCAGGAGCUUGUGCUAUAUAAAUUGGAAGAGCUGGCCACAGCAACAAGCAACUUUAGUGAUGCGAACAAGCUCGGGGAGGGUGGUUUUGGGGCAGUUUAUAGGGUAAUACUAUGUCAUGUAGAGGACAGCAGCUCCAUUUCUGCUUCUUCUUUCUGACUUUCGCAGCUCAUUUACGUCCUUUUGUGCAGGGGAGAUUGCUAAAUGGAAAAGAAAUAGCAGUCAAAAGACUAUCAGAGGCCUCUGGACAAGGAUUGCGGGAAUUUAUCAAUGAAAUGGAAGUGAUUUCCAAGGUCCAACAUCGUAAUCUAGUUCGACUCCUUGGAUGCUGUGCCGAGCAAGAUGAAAAACUAUUAAUCUAUGAGUUCAUGCCAAACAAGGGUCUAGAUGCAUUUCUUUUUGGUAAUAUUCCAUUUGUUGUAGUAUUCCGUCGAUCUAUCAUGGAAUACCAGUUUAUGGGGAAGUCAAGUUUUGAAUUUUACCUGUUUAAACAGACAUUGGCUGCACCUAUUGCACAUACUUUACAUUUUCAGUAUACAUGGGAGCCUCUUUCUGUGCAUUACACUCUUCUCCGGUCACAAAUAAACUUACCUUGCCUUCAUGAAAUGGGACAAUAACAAGAAAUUUUUAUUCUUAGACAUUUUAGGGCCACAAAAAAAAAUGAGAGUAAGUGCAAUGUUAGGUGACAAUGGCGAGUGAAAAAUGAAAAUGAGUUUGUGAUUUUCUUGAUGUGAAAAUUGGAGGAAAAGGACAAUAUGAGUUGACUAUUUGGUCCUUAUUAGUGGAUGGAAAGUGCACUAGCGGUAUCCAUCAAAUUUAGUACACUAUCUAUUUUAAAAAACAAAUUGAUUAUCAGUGAUGUAUCUGUAGCUACGAUCUAUGAUUAAUUGGCUUAAAUGGGGCAAUAAAAAUAUCAAAUAUUUUCAUGUCAUCACAAUUCAAAGAAGACAAGGGAACCAAAUUUCUAUGUUAAUAUCUCCUACUAGGAAAUGAGUUCAUGAUUUAGACCAACUUAAACACUAGACAGUUCUCUUUUUCAACGAGCUUUAUACUACCUCAGGACCCAGGUAUUUUUAGCUUCUCUUGGAGAAACGUCCUACUGUCGUAGAGGAGGAGAUAAAUCAGUUUUUAAUAGCUAAUGUGACUUUAAAGGAGGUUACAGAAGCAAUUUAGCAAUUGGGUUCCACCAAAGCAAUAUGACUAGAUGGCUUGAAUGGGCAAUUCUAUAAUCACAAUUGGAAGAUUUUCAAGCAUUGCAUCUUCGUUUAGGUGCAUAAUUUCUUUAAUUGAGGGAUACUUAACCCAGAGUUGAACAAAACACAUAUUGCACUCAUCCCAAAGCUCCGAAACUAUGACAGCCCCAUUUUUGUUUUCUUCUCUCUCUCUCCUCUUUCUCCUUCCCCUCACAUAUCUCCCCCCUUCUGCCAACCCACCCACUCCCCUUCUCUCUCUCUCUCUCUCUUUUCUCCCCUCCCUCGGGCCACCUCCUGCCAUCCCCUUCUCUUUUAUUUUCCACUUUCUUCUCCCUCUUCUCUCUCUCUUCUCCCCNNNNNNNNNNNNNNNNNNNNNNNNNNNNNNNNNNNNNNNNNNNNNNNNNNNNNNNNNNNNNNNNNNNNNNNNNNNNNNNNNNNNNNNNNNNNNNNNNNNNCCCCCCCCCCCAACCCCCCAACUUCUUCUUCUUCCUUUCUCUUGCUUGUUGCCACUUCACCCACCACCCACACCCCCCACCGCUUCUACCAACAUCAUCUCACCACCACGCCCACCCAUCAUCUUCCCAUUUUUCUUUCCCCUUCCAAGCUGAGGCCACCCUCCCCUUUUUCUUUUCUUUUUUUUUCUUUACUGUUCACCUACAUCACCACCAUUGUUGCUGCCCCACUCCCCUUGGCCACACCACCGUCACCGCCUCUUGCCAUCGUUCACUCGCACCGUCUAUGCCAUCGUUGCUUCGUGCCGCACUUUGCCCGUCCGCCUAAGCUAAGCCCCCCUUUUGGCUAAGAGCUCAACUUUGCCGAAUUGCCACCAUUUGCGCUGUUGUUCGAGUCAUGAGCGUCACGUUCUCGAUGCUGUCACCGCGAGCUUGCCGUCACCAGAAACUCAUGAGUUAACUUCUGAAUCGUGAAUUAGGGUGUUAAUUACAUUUAGGAGGUAGAUUAGUUAAGGAUAGGAGUAGUUAAUAAUAGUAAAUUUUAGUUUAUUCUUAAUUGCGAUUAAUGAUGGUUUAGAUUAAAUUUAACUGGAUUAGUUUAAGUAAUUACGAUUAGAUUAAUUAAUUGUGGUUAGAUUAAUUUAAUUGGGUUUAGUUUAAUUAAUCGUAAUUUAUUUAUUUAAUUAAUCGUAGUUAUUUUAGUUAACGUCGAUUAAUUUUUAAUUAAUUAUAGUUAGGCUAAUUAAUCAAGUUUGGUUUAAUUAAUUGUGAUUAGACUAACUAUAAUUAAUUAAUCGUGAUUAGUGUAAUUAAUGACGGAUUAGCCAUUAAGUAGAAUUUUAUGCUUGUUUUUCAAGGUGAGAUUGUGUGUAAUUUCAGUUGUUUGCACAUGUGAUGUUGUGUUAUUGAUUGCCCAAUUGUAAAUUUUAUUUAUUAUUUUCAAAAAGGGCUUUUAUAGGCAAGAAAAUAAAAAAAUAUUGAGGUGUCGGGUUUGGACGCAAAAUUUUACAUGUUAAAUAAAAUAAUCAAGUUUUGAAAUAGAAGUGUGCAAAGUUUGAUAAGUAAUUACGAUUAGAUUAAUCAUGUAUGAAUAUUUUACUGGGUUUUUUAAAUGUGAAAAAUUGCCAAAGUGAUUUUUUUUAAAAACCAAAUAUUUUGUUCUUGGCUAAUUAAUAUUCACCAAAAUUGGCUUGAUUGAUAGUGUGCUUAAGUGGUUAUUUAAUCAAACUCGUCACCUAACGAGAGUUUGGGGGCGAUGCCCGAUUUUUAUCAGAUACUUGAUGGGGGUCCGAAUGCCGAGUCGCAGUUGAAGCCGGACCGAUGCUCCUUUGUAGAAUGCCGUCUAAGCAGGGGUUCUAGAUGAUGCCGUGUCUGAUGGGGGCAGGACGAUGCUUGGUCAUGCCGGAAGACCGCUGACUCUAGUGUUGACCGUGGCCCAAGAGGUCGUAAUAAUCGGAACACGUGUGUUGGCAAUGCGCAUGAAAUGUUAGUAUGUGUUUUGAUUGUUAUUUAUGUAUAUUGCACUAUUAUUGCCAUGUGAGAUGGGCUAUUAUGCAGGGGUGUACCAAAGCGAGGUAAGUUUAUAUAUGGUGUGUGUUAGACUGUCCCCAAAGCGAAUUAGCUUCAUAAUCGAGGUUUAGGCUGUUAACUCAUUGAGAUUUAUAUCUCACCUGUUGUUGUUAAAUAUUUUUAGGUCUGUAGUAUGGAGUGUCGCGUCGUUUUAGGGUCCCUUGGGAUAUGGAUGUGUAGACUACUCUAUUUCCUAUAUAGGGGACCGACCGGAUCUGCGAGCUAGUGGUCAUGAUCAUAUGGGUAGAUGAAGGGUUUGCUCAUGUAGUGCCCCAUAAUUUCAAGGUGUGGUUUAUUAGGGAGGCGAAUGGCGAUUGAAUUGGUCCACUUCAAGGUUUUAAUGGACCACCAUCGGGGAACGUGUGAAGGCAAGUAUGGGACCCCAUGGAUAUUGACAUCCCUGAUGGUGUCAUUUUGAAUCCAUAUUCCAAUCUGAAUGAGCUGUGGAGGCAUUCCCCUCUGACCACGUGCCCGACUUUGCACUUGAAUACUAGGACCGGUGCUUGGAGCUAGUGAAGCUAAAAGUUAACCUUGACUUUUCUGACCAUUUUUUCUUAUAGGUCACGUGAGAGUUACCUUUUGUUGUAGGCUUAUACAUGUUAAACUCCUUGGGUUAAUAAGUUGAUAAAUAAAUCACAGCUUUUGGGAAAUUGUCUAUUGUGUUUUACUAUCCCAAUUUUGGUGAUUGACUAGGUGUUUAUUUGAGUUGCUUCUGCAUGCGUUGAAUUGAAAGAUAAAGAAAAAAUAAAAAGGGUCGACGACGCGUCUUGGGACAUCGCAAUUCAAUCGACCGCCGAGGGAUGUUCGCGCGCUUGGGAUUUGGGGCAUGACAUCCCCGUUUAAGUAGUAUUAGAGCCUGGUCAAAGUUUGGAGUGAUAAGGUGCAAUGGGUUUUCAAGUAGUUAGAUAGGAAAAACAGUUUUUCCUUAUACUUAUGCUUGUGAUUGAUUGAUUGUUUGGUGCGGGUUGCUCAGAUUUCUACUUCCUUGUUAGAAUUGAAAAGUAGGUUUUUGUAAGGACCCUAUGAGAUGAGCAAUCUUGAGUAGAGAGCCCUUUAGAGAAGGGCCAUAGCGGCUCUGACCUGUGCCGAGGGAAGGGCACUGAGACGGGCUGGUGCUAGAGGGAGAGCGUCGACGCAGGCGGGUGCUAGAGGGAGGGCACCAAUUGAUCAUAAGGUUGACGGGAUCCUGCAAGCUCUAAAGACCUUAGGGAACGUGGCCGGGCAGUAAGCUCAGAAUCAAGUCGCUGUCGCCGCCACUACUGCCGCCAAUGCUGUUGCUGCCGCUAUUGCACCUGCUGAAGUCCCACUUGAAAAUGGGAAUGGUGAGCGGCCUAUGCACAAGCUGGUGGAGUAAUUUCUGAGGCUGAAGCCUCCAAAGUUUACUGGAGCAGGUGACCCCGAGACUGCAACCAUUUGGGUCUGAGAGUUGGAGAAAGCUUUUGCACUACUGAGGUGCUUAGAGUAGGACAAAGCGACCCUAGCCAUAUAUCAAUUACAGGGUAGUGCAAGCACGUGGUGGGAGGCCACUGAAGGAAGAGUGUUUCCUAAGAGUAUGGUCCCAGAGUAGGAUGCCUUCAUCGAAGUGUUUUACGGGAAAUAUUUCUUAGACUAUGCUCGAGAACACAAGAUGGCUGAGUUCCAGCGUCUCUACUAGAACCAGAUGACUGUAGAUCAGUAUGAGGCAAAGUUUGUCGAGUUGUCAAAGUAUGCACCAAGGUUAAUUGAGGACCCGGUGGACAGAGCUAAAAUGUUCAAAGGUUGCCUAAAGCUAGAAAUUAAGGACCCGCUGGUGCCGCUUAAUCUCAAGGACUAUGACAAACUGUAUGAGAGGGUCCAGUUGAUUGAGAGGAAUCUGAAUGAGUGGGUAGUCAUAUCUGGGUCGCGGUUUGUGCCCAAUAGAGAUAACAAUCGAUUUGGGAAGAGGCCAAUGACUAGAGGAAUGUAUCCCAUCCCUCCCAACCGAAAGGGUGGAAUAGGAAAGUCGGCACCCAACUUGAAUGGCGUGUGCCGAUUCUGUGGAAGGAAAAAUGGAUCAACCUUGUGUCUUGCUAGAACAGGAGCUUGCUAUGGAUGUGGCCAGCACAGCCAUCAGGUGAAGAACUGCUCGCGCAAGCCUAUGGGAGCACAGGCUCCACUACCGUAGAUAGGACAGGCAGCAAGGAGUGUGUUGCAAAACGCGUAACAAUGCAUUUUGAGCAGGCCUCCGGUGCAAGGAAGAGUGUAUGUUGUCACUCGAAGGAAGGCAGAGAACUCGUAGAACAUGGUUAUAGGUACGGUAUUGUUAAACAACCAUGCUGCUUAUACUUUAUUUGAUCCUGGAGUCACACAUUCAUUUAUUGCUGAGCAGUUCGUUAAGUUAGUGGGAAGCGGUCAUUAGUAUAUCCACCCCGUUUAAGGAUAAAGUGUUGUCUACAAUAAGGUGUCCUGAUCGCAAGUCAGUGAUAGGUGAUCGAGAGGAAAGAAUAGAUUUGAUUGUGUUGGUGAUGUUUGAUUCCGAUGUUAUUAUUGGUAUGGAUUGGUUCACCAAGCAACAGGCUACCAUGGACCAUUAUCGUAAAGUGAUUCAGUUUAACUCGUUAGCGGGUAGAAGUUUCAAGUUUGUUGGAAAUCGAGGAGGACUCUCAAUUAUUUUAAUUUCGUCACUUGAGGCAACCCAGUUGUUGGAUGUGGGUUGCCAAGGUCAUUUGGUAACCGUGGUUGAUACGUCAGUUGAGGAGUCAAGGAUAGAGGACAUCGCCGUAGUGCGGGAAUUUUCUAACGUUUUUCCUAAGGAGUUGCUUGGUUUGCCUCUAGAAAGGAAGAUAGAGUUCAUGAUUGAGUUGGCCCUUGGGAUGGAGCCAAUUUCUAAGGCUCCUUACUGUAUGGCGCUAUCAGAGUUAAAGGAGCUAAAGGUACAGAUGCAGGAGUUGUUGGAUAAAGGAUUUAUUCGUCUUAGUGCAUCAUCUUUGGGAGUGCUAGUUUUGUUUGUAAGGAAGAAAGAUGGUUCGUUGCGUCUUUGCAUAACCUAUCAACAACUCAAUCAAGUGACAAUCAAGAAAAAGUAUCCGUUACCAAGGAUCGAUGAUUUGUUUGAUCAGGUAUGGAGCUUCGAUAUUUUCCAAGAUUGACCUAAGGACAGGUUACCAUCAGUUGAGGAUUAAGAAGGAGGAUAUACCGAAUACAAGCUAGAUUUAGUUAGCAUCCAUAAUGUGUCAAUAAAAGUCACUCAACCAAUCGUUUGCAAGUUGCAGCAGGCAUCACAACUUGAUCCACUCGGUAAAGAUCUCACUAGCAAAGGUGAAGUAGGUACUAGUUGCCAUUGAAAAUUGAUAGCUAGAACAAUUUCAUCAAGUUCAUCAGCACACACCUGACAUUAGAUGUUGGUCGCAUUCAAAGUGGUGGUGGUGAGAGUAAUGACGUCAAGGUGGUGAAGGUAUGAGGUUUUGUGUAUGUGUUUAGUGAUGUCAAGGUGCAACGGCAACCUUGCCAUGGAAAUCUAGUAAUCAAUUUGAGUAUAGGCGAAAUAUGUACGUCAGCAUAUGUAAAAACAUUCAAUUUUGGUAAAAAUAGUUAGGUAACUCUCUCUCCUCUUUGCUUUGCACAGGUUACUUAGCCCUUUCAAUGACCCCCAAAUUAAAAACAUUAGGGUAAAGAAGAGAGUUAUAAGCAUAUUAUUAUGCUCUUUUUAAUGGGGAUAGUAUUCUAAAUUUCCAUUUCGAAUACACUUUCUGGGGAGGAGAACAAUGCAAGUGCCAUAACUUUCGUACGGCACUUACUUGAGUGUCAUAACUUUAUUUUUCGCUCACUUAAAUGUCAUAUUGGAGAAAAAUCGAUCAUUUAAGUGUCAUUUCCGACAAAUCAUCCUACAUGGAUUUUUUUAUUUAUUAAUUUCCCAUUUUGACAUGGAUAUUUUUUAAGUUUUUAUUAAUUGUUCAAGUUAGCACCCUCAAUGCCAUGUAAAAUGAUUGGCAUCCAUGUUGAAUUUCCCGACAAAACAAAUUCCUAAUGAUAGUAAGUGAUUGAAUUUCCAAAUUUGUAACAUUCAAGUGAUCAUGGUAUGAAAGUUAUGACACUUCUAGUGUACUUACCCCAAAAAUGCUUAUACACCUAUCCAUUGAAUGAGUGAUUAUAUAAAUAUUUUGGAAAAUUAUCACUUUAGUCUUAAAUUUAAUGUACAAAUGUCAAAUCAGUUUUAACUUUUCAAUUUUAUCAAUAUAGUCAUUCACAUUUGUGCGAUAUUUAGAUGUAGCCUUUAUUGCCAAUUGCCGUCGAAAAUGCAACAUGGAAAUUAACAAAUUGCCCACGUCAGCAUGCCACUCAAGAUAGCCAUCGAUGACUAGAUGCCACAUUCACGAUUUUUAGCGACAAUUGGUGGGAAAUAUUAUAUUGACAAAAAUGAAAAGUAAGAUUGCUUAAGUGGAAUAAUUAAUUAUUGACAAGAAAAUUAUAAAAAUUGUAAUUACAUUAUAAGACAAUCCAAUCAAAUCAUUGGCAAAUACAUAUUUUUUGUCAAUUAUAAAAUACAUAAGAAUUUCCAAAGAAAGAUAAUAAAUAAAAGUAAGAAAUAAUUUUAAAUCUAGGACUUGCAAGAGAUAUUGUGAUCAAUCUAAGGUAAUAGGGGUAUUAGAAAUAAAAAAAAUGAAUGAAAAAAACGUGAGCCUUUAUGAAUUUAUCCUUUUCACAUAAUGCUCAUUUAAAUGUUAGGCCUAAUCUAAUUAUUUAUUGUUGCGACCUACCCUUUGAGGAAGGGAAUAAGUUUAGGAGUAUUGCCUAAAGGACGGGCCUAAGACCCAUGAUUAGGCACGGGCUCUCUCAAGCCCAUAUCUCGCGCGAUAUUGGGGUAUUCUUAAGAAUUUUGCAAUAAAGAGUCGCUACUAGCUUAUUUGGGUCAGUUAGAAAUCAAAUGGGGUAUGAAAGUGUACCUCACAUCCUACGCAACUAGAGAAUUUAAGUUUAGAGACUUGAUUACAUUAAUUAACCAAUUAGUGUCAUUUUGGUACCUAAUCUUGUUCAUUAUCUUUUUAUCAGGCAUAUUGGAUUAAAUUUAGACCAAUCCGCUAACAUGUGAGGUGAUCAUGUAGGUGCACAAUCAUUAAAAUAACAAUUAACAACCAAGGAAAGCGUUAAAUAAAUUGCAUGGGAGAGCAAAGAAUUAAUACUAUAGAGAAGACAAAUGCUAAUCUUAACUAGACUAAAGAGAAGCCAAACUUAAUGUAUCAAUAUUGCACAAUCAAGGGUAUUCAUCUUUAAAGACAACUAAAACCCCUUGAGCAUGAUUCUAAAUUGAAAGACUUCCAUUGUUUUUAGGAAGAAAAUAAAUCAAGAGAUUAAUUUUAACCCUUUUGAAGAUUUUUUAAAUUUUUUUAGAAAUUUUUGGAUUUUUCUAGAAAAAAUUGAAUUUUUGAAUUUUCCAAAACCUUUUGAUUUUUUUUUUUUGGUGUCUUUCUAAUCACUAUUGAAAUUUUUUAGAAUUUUCUGAAUUUUGGAAUUAUCUGAGUGUUUUUGAAUUUUCCUUAAUUUUCUAGUUUUAAUUUUUUUAAUUAAUUUUUCAAGAAAAAACUCAAAUUUUCAAUAUUUUGUGAAUUUUUUUUGAAUUUUUUUAAUGUACUUUGAAAGUUGUUGAUUUUCGAAAAAAUAUUUAAAAAAAAAAAAUUGAAUCUUUGAAAUUUUUAAUAUAUUUUUAAUAUUAAUAUUAUUAUAUUAAGGAAAACAGGUUUGGACCGGGUAAACCCGAUCCGACUUGCUAGCCUGAUCCGAUGACCCGAACUCACCCUAAAAAGGAUAAAACCUAUUUUUUAAAAACCUUUUCUGUUUCUUUUUUCUAUAUUAAUAUUAUUUUUUAAUUAAUUUUGUUUUGUCUUUUCCCUAUUUUGUCUUUUCUAUUGCACUCUCUUCUUCCUUCACUCUUUCUUCACGGAACGUCUUCCCCCUUUUGUCCUUUUUUAUUUCUUUUUAUUUUAUUUUCCUUUUAUUUUCUUCUUCCCCUUCUCUGGUCUUCUUCUUCUCCACGACAUCCCCUUCUCGAGCGACGUCCUUCACCCGAAGCUCCUACGUUCUUCUUUUCUUUUUCUUUUUUUUUUGGACAAACCUCGGCCAAAGCUCAAGCCGCCGUGAGUUACCACCCUCCAUCGAGCUGUCACUCUAGCUGCCACUCGUUGGCCGACCUCCCCGCCGCCGAACGCCCAAAACAGUGAAGCCCGCGGCCUCCCAGGACCGACCAGCUCCUAGCCAACCCGAUGCAGUCACCGACCGGAGGGUCACCGUCGUUCCGAAACAGACCAUACCUGGAGAAAAAAACUAUGGAUCUCGUUCGGACAUUUUGUCGAACAGAUAGUAUAUGCUACGGAAACAAGAGAUCUUUGACUCGACCGAAGACCAGAACCCGCGACAACAACAGCACGCACAGCAACAGCAAAACGAGGGACGGACGGGGCCGGAGUUCGCCUCAGCCGGACGGCCGCGAGCUCCGGUUCGGCAUGCUCAAAAAAGGCAAAAGGGGGUCGAGGCUUAUCGGAGUUUCGACGCGGGAAAGGAGGCACGGCGUUCCUUCAACCACUCGUGUUCCCUGUCUCUCCCCCCUCUCUCCAUUUCUCUCCCCCUUUCUCUCGGAUGUCUCCUUCUUUGUUUUAUGCUCUUCAUCCUAGCGAUGGCAGCUGUCCUUCGUAGACUUGUACCGCACAACAUUCUCAGUCGAGCGUCGCGCGCAGCCCUGCCUCCGUCCGUCCUCGCCGUCCUUGCCCCCGCUCAUCCGUUGCUGCUGCCCUUUUACUUUCUUUUGCAAGUCGCGCGCGAAGCUAGCUCGGAGGAAGAAGACAAGCCGGGAGGGCCGGGCCGAAGGGAAGGAAAGGCUGGGCCCUCGCGGAAAAAGGAAAGAAAGAGAAGGAAGGGUCGGGCCUUGGCCCAUGUGGGGAAGGAAGGAGAGGCGGGUCGGGCCAAGGUCGUAUUCGGCCCAACCAGGCCUCUCUCGUGCGUUUAUUAUUAUUAUUUUUUAAAUAUCUGUUUGAGAAAAAUUAGGUAUCAACAUUUAUAUUUGAGUUUAUGUGAGUAAAAUAAGGAGAAGGUACGAUAGGUUUCUAGAGUCAAGAGCCAUACAGUAGUUGGGAAAAAUGAUAGGCGAAUGAGGAAUCUUAAAUUAAUACUACUUAUGUAUUAAUAAUUAAUAAUUGUUUUGAUGAUAUUUUAAUUUCAAUUUAGUUUAAAAUUAUAUUUAAAACAUUUUGGAUUUUAUAUUUAAUGGGCCUCAUUCAUGAGAAGUACUUAGUUUUAUAUAAAUAGUACCUACUUCUAGUAAUAUGUCUUAUAAAGAAUUCAUUAAUGCAAGGCAUUUCUUUGCAUGGACCCUUGUGGUAAAACUGAGAGGGAUACCUACAUUGAUUGGCCCUCUCUAGCCUUUUUACUUAUAUAUAAAAAAAAAUACAUAUGAUAAAAAUAGCAUGAGUGUCACAACUUUUAUGUAGUACUCACUCGAGCAUUAUAACUUCUUCUUUUUUUUUCUCACUAAAAUCAAUUAUUUGAGUGUCAUUCUCAGCAAAUCAUUAUACCGGGAUUUUUUUAAAUUAAUUUUCCAUUUUUACAUGGAAUUUUUUGAAUUUUUUAUUUAUUGCCUACGUCAACACCAGUGAAGCCACAUAGGACAAUUGGCAUCCACAUCAAAUUUUUCAGCAAAGGAAAUUGCUGAUGGCACCCGAGCAAUUGAUUUUUCGAAUUUAUAAUAUUCAAAUGAGCAAAAAAAGUUAUAAAAAUUAUGGUACUUGUGCUGUUAUUAUCUAAUUUUCACGGCUAUAGAAAACAAUGAGAGUAAGUGAAGUAUUAGGUGACCAUGGCAAGUGAAAAUGAAAAUGAGUUUGCUAUUUUCUUGAUGUGAAAAUUGUAAGACAAUGUGAGUUGACUAUUCUACCCUUCCAAGUUGAUGGAAAGUGCACCUGUCAGCACCAUCAAAUCAAGUACAAUAAGAAGCCCAAGAUGGAGUUUUGGGUCUGAUUGAGGCCGAAAAAGAACAAAGUGUAUGAUGUUAACAUAUACAAAAGGUUGAGUGAUAUAAUCUUGAAAGUGCAUUGGGAAAAUCUGAAAUUAACCUAAUUUAUUCUGCUAGUUAAAAAUAAAUUUCCACUAGUUUGUAAUAGCCAAAGAGAUGUGAAAAUAACCUUCUCUUAUGAAAAAUCAUUGAACUUAAUGUAAGACUUACUUAGUAUGCUUACUAAUAUGUUGCAAUUUAUUUUAAAUUUGAAAAGUCACUAGCUAUACAUCAAAAUUGCCAAUUUUGUUGGCUGGAAGUAAUUUUCCCUUUAACACUUGAAAAAGUUAUUAGUUAAUCGAAACAUACCCAAUUAAUCGAAACAUACCCAAUUACAUGAAAGGUUACUCAACCUACAUUAGUAAACAAACUUAAAGAAACCAAUACUUUUUUCACUAAAUGUUAUUAAUCAUCUAUAAAAAUUUCUGCUGACCAAUAAAUUGUUAUGAAAACUUAUUAGUCAUGGCAAAAAAAUUGUACUAAAUUGUUACUUCUCAUUUAUUGGAGAAUGUAUUGUUAUGGAAUUAGUAGUUACACCAAAAAAGAAAAAAAAUCAUUAAUAACUAUAGACAAAUGUCCAAAUGCUUACUUUCUUAAUGUGAAUAUAUUUAAUUAUAUAAAUAGAUUACGUAGCAUAGCAAAAUGUACAAUGCUUGGAUAAGUAAUUUCAUUCUUAAAUAUGAUCUGCUCACUUGGCUUGGCCAAGCUUAUUUAGACCCAUUCAAUUUAAUGAACAAAACAUACUAUACAUUAACAUUUUUAUUAGGAGAAAUCUUGGAUGGAAAUUCUUAAGACACUAAAAUAGAAAUGAUUCACUUAUUGAUUAGGUCUAUCACAACAAUGAUUUGCAAAUCUGGGUUGACCCAUUUGAGAGAACCGGCCGAACCCCGAACCAUGCCCGACUUCAGGGACAACUCUGAAGUCUCUAAGUCCUUUUCCAACGGCUUGGUUCGCACGUUGCUUCUCUUCUUGCAGACUGAAACGGACGGCGAUGAGUCGAUGACUCAAUUCGGUAAGCGUCCAGAAGGCAGAGUCCCCUCUGACAUGUCCUUUUCGUUCCUCCCCCACUGUCCCCUCCGUCGCCGCCUCGUGCGAGUGGACCGAGAGAGUUGGGGCUGUAGCCAUGUGAUCUCAGUGGAGACGUUUGUAGCCAUGUGAUCUCAGUGGAGACGGCUGGACCCACCCACUCAAUGUUCAUCCCUGAAGAUGCCAUGUCCGUUCCUCCUCUUCAUCCUCCGCCUCUCGCGCACGGCUUGACGGGUGCAGUGGCGGCUGGAAGUUGGCGUUGGAUUGGCUUUCGUGACUUUAGUCGUCCGCAGCCUCCGAGACGAGGAACAGGUGGAGAAAGAUUAGGGUUUCGGUACUUGCCGUUUUAGCUUUAGGGGGAGGUUGAGGUUUUUCUUGUGGUUCAUGAAGAAGAAAGAUAAAAUUGGGCUAAUGCGGUUCAGGCAUUAGAUGGCAGAAGUAAUUUCUUUUGCCUUUAAAUAAGGAUGCUUAAUAGAAAUAACUAGCCCAGGACAUAGUUCAGGAAAAUUAUGAUUGACUAAGGAUGUUAACUUUGAUACAAAGUAAUAAAUGUGGUUGCUCCAGAUCUUAAUGCAUUAAAUUGUGAUGCUACACGUAGUGGUGCAUCAUGAAAGUUUCCAAUGUUUUGAAUUAUAAGAACAUCAAAAAAAGUUGAGGAUGAAUUAUGGAUCAAUUUUAUUGAGUCACAAGUUAAUGGGGAAAUCUUAAGUGCUUAUUUGAAAUGGUCUUUUCUCUUGAAUGGUCUUUUUUUUUUUCGCAAAAAUCAUAUGAUUUUACUUGAGUUUGAAUGUGAAUAUGCAUAUACUAUAUGAAAUUCAAGAUGCUCCAUACUUCAAAUGAAAUUUAAGACGCUAAGCAGGAAAUGAAAGUCGACUGAGCGUAUCUUCAGAAUCUCAUGACCAAGAACAAGAAAAUUGUUGAUACGAAGACCAGGUGGCUUAGGUGAAGAUGAUGGAGAUCCGACAUGGAACACUUAUGCCGAAUAGUGGAGACAAAAUCUUCAACCCUGCAAAAAGCUGUGGGGCCAUUAGCUAGAAAAAUCGGAUUCUGCAGUACCGCUUUCUUCAAGGAGCUCCUCAAGUCCAUUAGCCAGCGACCAUGUAAAUGAUUGUUAGGCCGUGUGAGUACCUCUUAGUGGGAAACCGCCAUCACCUUCAACCACUAGGCCUUCCUUUUCCAUCACGAUCAAUCCAAAAAGAUUUUUCCAUAAUUAAUUAAUGCUCCCCUCAAUUUGUUACCUUUUUUGAGAUGAUCAAUUCUUUCCCCUUUUUUUUGGAUUCACUUUCUCCCCUUGUCAUCAUGACAAUAUUCGCUAACAGUACUAAUUGUGGCUUGUGCACAUUGAGCAGAAUAAUUUUCCAUUAUUUCCUUCGUAACGACAAUAUCUGCAACGAUCAUUUGCUUUUUAAAAUUUGAUGCAGAAAUUUGUUUUCUUCAAUCAAGCUUGUCUUGAAUUUAAUCUGCAUAAAAUCAACAAACUUUUUGCACAAAUGCGAUGUUAUAAUAUUUACGUAAUGUAUAAUGCAUUUUCUAUAGAUAAAUAAAUUGAAUAACAUAUAUAAGAUUAUCAAAUGUUUAAAUUUAGAGCUACUCAACUUUUCAUAUGACACAUUAGGCAUUUGUCCAAUAAUUUGUGAGAACUUUGCAUAAGGAAGAGAAUUUUGAACCUCCAGAAAAUAGUAUAGAACCUCCACAAUUUUUGGAUCAAGCUUUUCAAAAUCCAUAUGAAAGAUUCUUUUGCCACUUGCAAAUUCUUGUAUAAUAGAUAACAAUUUUUGCAAAAAAAAAACCAAGUAAUAUCUUCCUUCGAUUUGUGGAUCAAACUUGCUAGAUAUAAGAUAUCUUCUAAGAAUAUAGCAAGACUAUUCAUGAAUAUGCAAUAAUAUCUUUCAUGAUCAAAGGGAUUUCCUUGAGCAUAAAAACUCAAAAACAUAUUAUUGAUGCAUUUCACAAAAAGAAAGUAGAUAUUUCUAUUACAUGCCAAAUCAAGCAAUUAAAAAAAAAUGCAUUGGGAUAGUUUCCAGCACAUGACCAAUUCAUUCUUAGCGAAAAUGAAGCUCAGCACUAUCUCAAAUCCAAAUGAGAAGCAGGCACUAACAUCUUGGAAAAGCGCUUCUGAUCCAUCAAUUGGAAGCUUCUCGGCAAGUCUUGUUCAAUGUUAUAUUCCUGAACUUUUCAUUUGGAAUUGCAGUUCUCUGUAUUGGCAAAGCGGUCCAAUUGGAGUACCUAAGAAGCAAUCGGCCUAUAUUAAUGGGUUUGACCUGGUGGACGAUCAGGAAGUAACAGUCUAUCUAUCUUACAGUUUUUUCUGAGGCGUCUUACUUUUCAUAAUUGUUGUUGAAAUAAAAUGGAGAUUUAGUGCAACCAUAUUUGGAGAAGAAUAGUUCCUGCAAGAUUGUUUGGUCAUCUCGGGUGAGCGAUUGUGAUGUCUAUGGCCAGUGCGGACCGUUUGGAAUCUGCAAUGCCAGGAAUUCACCAAUUUGUAGCUGCUUGAGAGGCUUUGAGCCUAAAAACUUUGAGGAAUGGAGCAGAGGAAAUUGGUCCAGUGGAUGCAUUCGGAAGUCAUCGCUGCAGUGCAAUGGAACUACAAAUGGUUGCAAUACUGCCAGCAAAAAGGAUGGAUUUUUAAAGAUGAAAAUGAUGGAAGUGCCAAAUUCAGCAAUUUUUUAUUCUAGACUCGAAAAUGAUUGCCAGGAAAUUGCUCAAUUAGUUGUUCAUGUGUAGCAUAUGCAUAUGACUCUGGAGUCGGCUGCAUGUUCUAGACAGGAGACCUAAUUGACCUACAGAAGUUCUCCGUUGGAGGAACAACUCUCUAUGUUCGGCUGGCCCACUAAGAACUUGGUAAAUUAACUUUACUCUUAGAUUAUGGUUCUCAUCAAUUUGGUAGUGCAGAUUAUGUUUAGAUGGAUCAAUACACUCGGCUUGAUUCACUCUUCAAGAUUUGGCGAUUCUCAUUGUGUAACAUCCCGGGACCCCACUGUGUAAUAUUGUUCGUUUGGGUCACCCGCCCUGGCGCGGACGAACCGCCAUCCUAGCCACAGUAUUUUCUCUCACGGCUUUAAAACGCAUUACACAGGUUAGAAUAUUGUCCGCUUUGGGUCACCUGCCCUGGCGCGGACGAACCGCCAUCUUAGCCAUGGUCUUUUCCCUUACGGCUUUAAAACGCGUUACACAGGUUAGAGGGACCAAAACCUUAUAAGCUAACCAAGACCUCCCUCCCUAGGCGAUGUGGGACAAGAGAGGAGGUUGUUACACUCUCCAUAGCGGACGAUAUUACACAGUGGGACCCGGGAUGUUACACAUUGACAAACCAAGACAUGUGCACAUGCGCACACUCAAAUAUGGGCUCAAGCAGGGUCUAAUAUGGAGCCCUGAUAAAGGAGCAGAUUUUGCAAAUCUUCUUGACUAUGACAAAGUCUCAUUCUUAGCUAUAAAACAAGCGUACCAAAAUAAUUCGUUGAAAUAAUUCGUUUAGAAGUUGCUUACUAGCAGCAUCAACAUAAUCUGAGGCAUCUGUUCAUGUCUCCAUUCUGAUCUCCAGACGAAAAGGGACAUCUGAGAGAAAUCGUAGCGACUACAGUCAUCAUGGGAACACUCAUUGUCAUCAUCACAAAUAUGAUUGGCCAGGAGGAAGGCGAAAAAACAAGGUACCAGGCAGUGCAGCUGUUGAAUCUUGGAAUAGCCACUAAUAUCUGAGUUUGCAUGGAAAAAAUAACAUUUUUUUCUGGAUCAGCAAUUAAGCAACGAAAGGAAAAACACUUGUCCAGUGGCGAAGCCCCUUCACUGGUAAUGGUUGAAGAGAACUUGAGCAGAGUUAAAUUCCAGGAGUUUGUCAAAUAUAAAAUUGAUGAAUUGGUUGCAGCAACAGGAAACUUUGGUGAGGCUAAUAAGCUUGGACGGGGGUGGUUUCGGUCCGGUAUACAAGGUAUUAUUAUUCAUGUAGAGUUAAGUGUUAUAUACGUAGUUGUGUGUGAGUGUAAACAGCUCAUUUAGUCCAUGUGUACAGGGGAGACCACCAAACGGUCAGGAAAUAGCAAUCAAGAGGCUAUCGAGAGCCUCAGGACAAGGGCAUCAAGAAUUUAUGAACGAAAUGGUGGUCAUCCGUAACAUCUAACAUCGAAAUCUCGUUAGACUUCUAGGAUGCUGUUUUGAAGGAGAUGAGAAAAUGUUAAUCUACAAAUUCAUGCCAAACAAGAGUCUUGACACAUUUCUUUUUGGUAAUAUUUCGCUUAUUUCAAUGUUGCCUCAUACUAUCAUUUAUACCAUAUAUCCAGAAAGCCUCAUUUCUAUGGUUAGCCAUUUGAGCAGGAUUGGACUGUUCUCGCUGCAGAUGUUAUAUGUUUCCUGUUUGGCUUUAAACUUCCGUGCAUUUCACUCUUUUCCAGUUGCAAAAAUGAUUUUUUUGCAUUACAGUUCUAUGUCUAUGCAGAUCCACUGAAACAAGUACAUUUGGAUUGGAGAACACGGUUCAACAUUGUCGAUGGAAUUUGUCACGGUCUGCUUUAUCUUCAUAGGGACUCCUAGAUGAAGAGCUAAAGGCAAGCAAUGUCCUCCUAGAUGAAGAGCUCAAUCCAAAAAUUUCAGACUUUGGAAUGGCUCGGAUAUUUGGGGGCAACGAAAAUCAAGCUAAUACACACAGAGUUGUGGGAACCUAGUUAGUACCUCUUUAGUUUGACAUUCCUAGUGAUUUUAUUCUCUACUCAUAAUAAGGAAACUGAACUUGUUUAAUGGAAUGUAGUGGUUACAUUGCUCCUGAAUACGCAAUGGAAGAACGAUUUUUGGAAAAAUCAGAUGUCUUUAGCUUCAGCAUAUUAUUACUAGAGAUCGUAAGUGGAAGACGGAACACUAGUUUUCAUGAUGAAGAUCAAUGCUUGAGCCUUCUUGGACUGGUAAGCUCUCAUUGAUAAAGAAGUUGGAACUGCAUUAUAUUCUUAUAAAUUAUUGUUGAAAUAUAAUACGCGGAAAUGAUAGGAUCUUACAAUUUACAUCAAUGUUAAAUCGCUAGAGAAAUAAACGAGAAAUAAUAAGGGCACCAAAAAUUUACGUAAUUCGAUUUUAGUAUCGGUACCUACGUCCACGAGGAGAGCCAGUAGCAAAUAAUCUAGUAUAAUCGGAGAAUCAAAGUUUACAAUUGCUCACACGCUCGGUGUUUCCCACACUUAGAUUUAACCCUAAACCCAAAGUAUUUAUAAAUAAACAACUCACUUAGACAUAAACUCACGGUACAAAAUUACCGCGCGUUCAAGCUCGAAACAAAAAAACAUGAGUGGCUCUCUUCAGCUUGAUGUGUGCCACUUGCGGCUCCUUUUCUUUUUCUCUCGUAGGGUUUCAGCCGCUAUCUCCUAGAGACGUGCUUGUUUUGCUUUAUAUAUGUGCCCAAGUCAAAAUUUUGAUCUGGGCCCACUAGCUUUUCUCUCUACGUACAAGAGGGCUUCUCACCUUUUUUUUUUCUUUCCCUUUUUAGCUAAAAAGAAACUGAGGUGUGCAAUAUUGUGUGCCCAACCAUGUAUAACUUGCAGAGAGAUUCGGCUCCUCCAAAGCAAAGAGGAAACUUUUGCUUCUUUUAUUUUAUUUUAUUUCAUCUUUUGUAAUUCUUCAAGAGUCUAGCGAAACUUUUCCAUUGACCAAAAACAUCCAAGCAAAUCGCGUUUUACAAAUAAUCAAACUUGAGAUAUAAUUUAACAAUUCUCUACCUUGGCUCGAUAUUUGAAGUCAAGUUAUAGUGCUCAUCAUCCAUGCUGUUCCCCCAAUGUCCCGACGGACGCUUACUCUCCAUAGACGCCAAUAGAGCUUAAGUAGAGCUUGAGCUUCGCCAAAGAAACAGACUUAGUCAUCAUGUUUGUCGGUUUAUUUGUUGUAGUAAUCUUUUUGACAAUAACAUUACCCUUAGCUAAGAUAUUUUGAAUAAAGUGGUAUCUAAUGUUAAUAUGCUUCGUUCACUCGUGAUAAAUUAGAUUAUACGCCAAAUAUAUUGCGCCUUGGUUAUCAUGGUAUAUAUCCACACCAUUUUGUUCUAACCCAAAGUCCGAGAGCAAACGUUGUAACCAUAUCGCCUCAUUCGCUACAAAGGUUAGUACCAUGUAUUCUGUCUUAGUCGAAGACAAGGCAAUGUGAUCCUGUAAGGACGAUUUUCAACUAACUGCACCACUUGCUAGCGUAAACAUGUUACCUAUUAAAGAUUUGCAAUCAUCUAAAUCAUCGACGUGAUCCAAAUCCACAAAACCAAUGGUUUCACUGCCAUUGCUAUCCCUUCGAUAUACUAUACUCAUAUCUGUUGUCCUCUUCAAAUAUCUAAGGAUCCAUUUCACAGCUUUCCAAUGAGCUUUACUAGAAUACUUCAUAUAGUGAUUAACUAUGCUCACAGCUUAUGAAAUAUUAGGCUUAGUACACACCAUAGCAUACAUAAUACUACCCACGACACUAGAAUAAGGAAUAUGGGACAUAUGCUCCUCCUCCUCCUCAGUUUAUGGUGAUAAUUUAUCUUAAAGUUUGAAGUACUUCACUAAAGGUGUACUUACAGAUUUUGCUGACUACAUAUUAAAACGUGCCACAAUCUUCUCAAUAUACUCUUCUAAGAUAGACGUAAAACUCCUGCAGUUCUAUCACACAAAAUCUCCAUACUUAAAAUUUUCUUUGUAGCACCUAAAUCUUUCAUCUCAAAUUCAGCAUUUAACUGCUUUUUUAGCACAUUAAUAUCAGACAUAUUAUUAGCUGCUAUUAACAUAUCAUCAACAUAUAAAAGUAGAUAAACCAAAUAACCAUUCUCCAAUCUCCUAUAGUAAACACAACUAUUCAUCUGACUUUUCAUAUAGUCUUGACUAGCCAUGAAAGCAUCAAAAUGUUUAUACCACUGCCUAUGAGACUGUUUCAGCCCGUACAAAGAUUUAUUCAAUAAGCAAACAUGAUCUUCCUUACCUAGAAUAGCAAAUCCCUCUAGUUGCCUCAUGUAAAUCUGCUCCUCCAACUCACCGUGAAAAAAUACAGUUUUCACAUCUAGUUGCUCUAACUUGAGAUACUGCGAAGCAACUAAGGCAAGUAAAAUACGAAUAGAAGUAUUUCUUACCACACGAGAGAACAUCUCAUUGUAGUCAAUGCCCUCACGCUGUGUAUAUCCCUUCAUCACAAGUCUCUCCUUAUACAUUGUUACCUCGAUUUCGGGAAUGCCCUCUUUCCGUUUAAAGACCCAUUUACUUUCGAUAAUCUUUUGGCUCUUGGGUACUUUGACCAACUUCCAUGUUUGAUUUCGAUGGAGUGAUUCCAUAUCUUCACUCAUAGCCCCUAGCCACUGUGACGACUCCGAACUAGCCAUCGCCUCAGAGUAAGACAAAAGCUCAUUUGUCUUCUUUGUCUAUCUGCGGCUAUAGUGUGCUGUGAUUUUGCUGGUUGUUGACUAUCACCGAUAUCAGGAACUGUAGCUUCAUUUGCAGUCUCAACUUAUGUUACAUCCGAGGUCUCCAAAGUCUCCACCUGAAGCUCCACCUCACUAAUGACACCAUAAUAUGUCUUCUCUGCUAAUUGUGUCUCAAAACUCCUCUAUUGAAGCAUUGCAGUCUUGUUGAAUAUCACAUCUCCGCCGAUUAGAAAAUCGAGUGAUCUGGCUCCACAGCUUGUAGCCUUUCACCCCAUAUGCAUAACCCAUAAAUAUGCACUUAUUUGCCAUCAGCUCAAGCUUACCAUCACUCACAUGAGCAUAUGUAGGACAUUCGAAUAUACAUAAUCCGGAAUAAUCAACAGGUUUCCCCAACCAUACUUUCUUAGGAGUUUUCCACAUAAUAGCAGAUGAUGGAAAUCGAUUAACUAGGUAACAAGCCACGUCCACUGCUUCAGCCCAAAAUUCAUUGCCAAGUCCUGCAUGCGAAAACAUGCAUCAAGCUCGCUCAAGCAAAGUUUCGUUCUUCCAUUCUGCCACGCAUUUUUGCUGUGGUGUCCCAGGUACUAUGCGGUGUCUCACAAUACCUUCUUUCUCGUGGAACUCAGUAAAAUCUUUACCACAAAACUUUAUGCCAUUAUUGAUUCUUAGGCACUUGAUAUGUUUAUUUGAUUGCUUCUCAAUCAAUGCCUUAAAUUUCUUGAACCGAUCAAACACUUCAUAUUUGUGCUUCAAAAAGUAUAUCCAUACCUUCCCCGAAUAGUCAUCGACAAAUGUCAACAUAUAUUGGGCACCUCCUUUCGAAGGAACCAAACAUGCGCCCCAAACGUUUGAAUGAAUAUAUUCAACUGGUCGUUUUAUUGAAUGAAUAACUGUAGUAAAUUUAACUCGAUGCUGCUUCCUAAAGAUGUAAUGCUCACAUAAGUCUAGCUAGCCUUUUUUUGACCUUUCAACAACCCCCUUUCACUUUGCAUUAUCAUACCUGUCUCACUCAUAUGCCAUAAACGCAUAUGUUAUAAUUGAGUCAAGUUAGAGUUUGACUCACCUGAUGAAACUGCAGCAGUUCCAGUUAUAGUCUCUCUCAAUAGAUGAUAGAGAGUAUUCACUUUCUUCCCUUUCAUCAUUGUCAUGGCACUUCGAGAGAUUUUUAGUAUUUCACCUUCAGUGGUGUACCUACACCCGAUGUCAUUGAGUGUCCCUAGAGAAAUAAGGUUCUUCUUGAGCUCUAGUACAUGCUUCACAUAUGUCAAUGUGCGCACCACCCCAUCAUCAUCCGUAUCCGAAUUGUCCCUAUCCCCAUAGCCUUACAGACCGCAUUAUUCCCCGAAGAACCCUACUACCAUCUGCAGUCUGGUAAGUAGUAAACUAGUUCUUAUGAUGUGUCAUAUGAUAAGAACACCUCAAAUCUAGCACCCAUUCGUCUCAUGACGAAGUAGAAGUCACACAUAAAACAACUUCUACAUCACUAUUGCUCCCCCCGGCAACGUUUGCCGUACUGCUUAUGGCAUUUUGCCUAUCGGUUUUAUUCCUCCGUUGGACAAUCUCUCAUAAUGUGCCCCUCCUUGUGACAUUCAAAGCACUUCAUGUAUCCCUUGGACUUUCUAUGGCGUGAUUUUGAUUUGCUUUACCUUUGCUACUACUAGGCCAUUGAUGUUGUUCUCUACCCCAAAUCGUUAAUGCGUGCACUACUCCUUGUGCCACUCCUUGCGCUAGACCGUCAUCUCGCAACUUUCUUUGCCACUCCUUAGAAAAUAAGACAAACUUGACCUCUUCUGAGGUAAUUGUAGUACGCCCCUGUAACAAUGAAUCAGUAAAGUGCUCCCAUGACUCUGGUAAAGAGGCUAACAAUAUCAUGCCAUGUUCUUCAUCAUCAAGUAUUAUACUGACGUUAUUCAGAUCCAUCAUGAGUUUAUUAAAUUCAUAUAGGUGGAUUCUGAUAGACGUACCUUCAGUAUAUCUAAAUUGAAACAUCUUCUUCAACAUGUAAAAGCAACUGUUCAAACAUUUCUUCACAUAGGUGGGUUUUGCCCAUAAUGUUGCGGCAUCAUUCUCCUCAGCAACCUCUAUUAAAACCUCAUCUGACAAAUUUAACAAGAUUGUGCCAUUUGUUUUUUCCAUUAGCUCUACCCUCUCUGAGGCUUUUAUUAUAAAAGGCAACUCAUCUUCAUCAUCUAGUGCCUUGGCCAAACCUUGGGUUGUUAAUAAUGCUCGCAUCUUCAUGCUCCAUAACACAAAUUUGUUGCUCCAAUUAAACUUCUCAAUUUCAGAUUUUCUCUCAAAUAUAAUUGCAGUAACAAAAUUUCCAGAUAAUAAUCAGACAAGCAAAAACUCCAAAUCACAAUCAAGAAAAUCGAUCCCAACCAAACUCUGACACCAAUUGUUGGAAUAUAAUACGCGAAAACGACAAGAUCUUGCAAUUUCUGUCAACGUGAAAUCGCCAAAGAAAUAAACGAGAAAUAAUAAGGACACUAGAAAUUUAUGUAGUUCGGUCCGAGUAUCAGUACCUACGUCCACGGCAAGAGCCAUCAACAAAUAAUCCACUAUAAUCGGAGAAUCAGAGUUUACAAUUGUUCACAUACUUGAGUGUUUCUCACACCUAGAUUUAACCCCAAACCCAAAGUAUUUAUAAAUAAACAACUCACUUGGACAUAAAUUCAUGGCACAAAAUUACUGUGCAUUCAAGCUCGAAGCAAAAAAAAUGUGUGUGGCUCUCUUUUGCUUGACAUGUGCAGCUUGUGGCUCCUUUUCUUUUUCUCUCGUAUGGUUUCAGCCGCUACCUCCUAAAGAUAUGCGUGCUAUGCUUUAUAUAUGUGCCCAGGUCAAAAGUUUGACCUGGGCUCACUAGCUUUUCUCUGAGGGCUUCUCACCUUUUUUUUUUCUUUCCCUUUUUAGCAAAAAAGAAACCCAGGCAUGCAAUAUUGUGUGCCCAAAGUCAAAUAUUUGACUUUGGGCCCCACCAUAUAUAACUUGUAGAGAGAUUUGGCUCCUCCAAAGCAAAGAAGAAACUUUUGCUUCUUUUAUUUUAUUUCCUAUUUUGUAAAUUUUCAAGAGUCCAGUGAAACUUUUCUAUUGACCAAAAACAUCCAAGCGAAUCGUGUUUUACAAACGUUCAAACUUGAGACAUAAUUAUACAAUGAAUUGGAACUCCAAUAGUAAAUUGACUUGAUUAAUUUGCAGCCAUGGAAGUUAUGGAAUGAAGAGAAUGUUCUAGCACUAGUGGACCCAAGCAUACCUGCUAAAUGUCUUGAGGUUCAGCUUUCAAGGUGCGUAAAUGUGGGGCUUCUUUGUACGCAAGAAAGGGCUAAAGAUAUAUUAACUGUUAUUUCAAUGAUCAAUAGUGAAGUGGAUCUUCCUCAUCCAAAGAAACCUGCAUUCACCUCGAGGAAAAUAACUCAAGACACAUAUUCCUCUAGUAAAAGCCAAAAAACAUGUUUUGUCAACGAUGUUACUGUUACUGUUCUUCAAGGCAGAUGACGUGAUCUGAAAACUUUUGCAAGAUUCUCCCCAAAAGUGUUGUUCUUACCGUUUCAAGUUACUAGUUUUAUUUUUACACAAUCUUACUUGGAAAUGUAUAGAAAUGCAAAACAUGAACUAUUUUUUUUUUCCACUUUACAGUUCUUUACUACACAUAUUUGUGUCAUCAAAAGUUGAAGUUAAAAAAUCUUUACAGUUCUUUACUACACAUAUUUGUGUCAUCAAAAGUUGAAGUUAAAAAAUUUAGGGCCUUCUGGUGGGAAUAAUGCUUCUCCCUCCACUAUGGGGAGAAUUGCAAUUAGCCCCCUCCUUCAAAUGUUCGCAACUACUUCUUGACGUUUCUAUUUAUUCCAACUUCGAAUCUAAAUCUUAGCACCACUAGAAACAGCCUCAAGUUUUCACUAAUGUUCAUUUUGCAUCAUAAAUUCAAUGGCAUGGCUAGCUCAAAAAGUUCCACUAAUCUUGUUGAUGUGGGAAUGAUAUAGUUCAUUUUACUCAACAUUGUUGUCCCUGUCAAUUGAUUGUAAAAUUUCAUUCGGCAAAAUGAUACUAGAAGUGUCAUAAGUUGUGUGCAGUGCUCACUUAAGGGCCAAAUUUUUUUUCAGAUAACUUAAGCACCACUUUCUUGAAAAAAUAAUCACUUGAAUGCCAACUUUGAUAUGAGUUGUUAGAAAUUCAAUGUAGCCAUAUUUUAUUAAUUUUUUGAUCUUAGGUGGCUCAUCAGAAUGCCCAGUCAGCAUAUAACCCCUAAACAACGUUGUGUAGCAAGUUAAAAAGUGAUCACUUUAGUGCAAAAAAAUGCCACUUCAGAUAAAUUUUUUAAUUAUAAAUAUAACGUAAUUUCUCUAACAAGAAUUUCUCACCGGAAGCACUUAAGCUAUUGUUUUUAUCUUAUUUUGGCACUUUAGUGAAUUAGCAAAAACUUUUGGCACUAAAGUGAGUACUAUACAUAACUUAUGACACUUCUAAUAUCCUUCUCAUGAUUUCAAUUAGUAUAAUUGAUUGUGAGUGACUAGAAACUAAGAGUGUGUUUGGUGACCAUUUUAGUCCAAUGAAUAAUUUUUUAUCAGAAAUUAUUUUUUCUAAUUUUAUUCUCAAGAACAAUUUUUGAGCAAAAGAAUGCACUUAGUAACUUAGUAACUAUCUAAAAUUUAUAUUCCAAGGAUAGAAAUGCGUUUGGUAAAAUUCUUAAAUUCUUUUAUUUCUUUUAAUUUUUUAAUACUUUUGUUAUAUAUUUUUUAUUUUUCUCUUUUUUCUUUUUCUUUUUCCCUUCUUUCUCCUUCUUUGUAGCCAGACGCCGGACAUGGCUAGUUGGGCGAGGUCCAGUAAGCUCGUUCGAGCCUCGCUAGACUAGGGCAAGGUUCGAUGAACUUGCCAGAGGCUCGCUUAGCCAUUGACGAGGCUUGACCUCGCUAAGGCAGUGCGAGGUCAGCUGAGCCCUGGUCGGGCAAGGCCAAGCCUCAUUGUGGUUGUGCAAGGCUCGGCCUCGCCUUGGCUAGGCGAGGUCAACCCAGAUCUAGUGAGGUUGAGCUUGCCUAGCCAUCAGUGAAGCUUGGCCUCACCAAGCCACUAUCGGGCGACGCCAAACUGGAGGUGCCCUAGCAAGGCCGAGCUUCGUCGAUGGCUAGGCAAGCUUACCCUCACCAGAUCUAGGUGAGGAACCUCGCCUAGCUAAGGUGAGGCCAAGCCUUGCCCAACCACGGUGAGGCUAGGCCUCGCCAGGGGUCGGCGAGGUCGCCGGCCCUUGUUUGGCCAAUCGUCAGCCAUAGCCGAGGUCGGUGACCGGCUAAAGGGAAGAAGAAGAGAAAAGAAAAGAAAAGAGAAGAAAAGAAAAUAAUAGGAACUAAUUUUAUGAAUUGUUCCCGAGAACAAGAAGCUAUAUAUAUAUAUAUAUAUUUACUUCUUGUCUAUUCCUAGAAAUAAAAAAAUCUAACAAAAAUUUUACCAAAUAAGUUUCUGUUCUUUUACUUUUGGUUCCCUGGAAUUCCCUGGAAUAAAAGAAUAGAAAUUGUUGUUCAGGGGAACAUAAUUUUUUUUUACUAAAUAGAGCCUAAAGGUUUGCAUGAUAAUGCUUUUGUUUUUCUAUUUUUUUGUUCUUUUGUUCCAUGGGAUAGAAAAAGAACAAAAAUUCAUUUAGUAAUGUCGGUUAAGUUUUCCAUCUCUUGGAAUAGAAAAGUGGUCAAGGAAUAAAUUUGGAAUGUAAAUAAGAAGUAAAAAAAAAAUUAGUUUCUUACUCCUCAGAACAAAUUCUAGAAAUAAGUCAUUUUAUUUUUUUAUUUUUGUUCUUUUGUUCUUUUUCCUCUUCUAACCGAUUGUCGGAGCCUAGCUGUUUGCUACUGCCCCGUUAGUCGCUAGUUGCCUUCGUUGUUUGCCAAUCAUUUAUUGCCACUGCUGGUCACCAUACGUCGUCGGUCGCCACCCACAAUAGUGAUCGACUAGAGGAGGAAGAAGAAGAGAAGAAAAAAAUAAAAAAAAUAAAAAUCUCAAAAAAAUUAUUGGAAAAUUAAAAGAAAUUCCACAUCAUAAAAAAAAAAGUUGUGGAUCACACCAAAUGUAUUUAUGUUCUUUUUUAUUCCAAGAAUAGAAAUAUUAUAUAGUUACUAACCAUGUUUUACUUGGAAACUAUUUCAGGAAUAAAUAUAGAAAAGUAUUAUUUCUAAAGAAUAAUUAUUUUUAACAAACACACCUUAAAAAGCAAUUGUGGAAAUGCACAUGAAUCUACCAAGAAAGUGGCCAUUUAUGGAAAGCAAUCGCAUCCACCAUGCUGAAUGAAUGCAAGAGUCUAAAAUUUCGGCGGCGUGCACUUUCGAAGGCUUGAAUGCUUUUUCUAGAGUUGACUUCGUCAAAUGGGGUAGAAAUCCUGAUGUAAGCACUCUAGCAUUUCGCUAAUGCUCUCACGGUGGCGCACUAGAUAAAGAUACUUGACUCAUAAGUCAAAGCGAAAAAAAAUAACAAUGUCCAUUAUAUCCACCAUGCGACUCAACAUCAAAGACCGCCGAGUGGACGAGGAAAAUGUUUUUUUUUUGGUAAAGGUGGACGAGGAAAAUGUUCCCAUUCGAGCGAUUUAAAUUUCUUCAUGGAGAUGCUUAAACCAUCUUUUCCAGUUGAAAAGUUACCUUUAUCUUCGACCACAAGGUUUUCUCUCCAUAAUUGUGAUUUCCACCUUCUAUCCUAAACUUCAGGUUGUGUCUUCUGCUGUUCUAAAGCUAGCAAAAUCAGUUGUUGCUGAGAAGAAAGGUUCAAGUAGUCAUGAUUCUUCUAAGAAAAGUAAGAGUAUUCUCUCUCUUUAUUUUGUCUCAUUAUGCUGUGAAAUUUUGCAUUGGGGGAGAUAUCAUUACAGCCUCUGAGUACAUCCAAGACCCUGGAAGUAUCAUAUCAAGCGGAGGUUUCUACAGACUGGGAUUCUUUAGCCCCAAUGGUACUACCAAUCGGUAUGUCGGAAUUUGGCAUAACAAGAUUCCUGUGUUUAACGUCUUUUGGGUAGCAAACAGGGAGAAGCCUGUUCUAGAUUCUUCUGGUGUCAUGACCAUAUCCGAUGACGGUAAUCUUGUGAUAUUGAAUGGAAAGAAGGAAGUACUUUGGUCAUCAAACGUUUCCACCUCUGGAGCUAAUGCAAAAGCCCAAUUAUUAGAUGCUGGAAAUCUUAUCUUGCAAACACAAAGCUCUAAUAUGAGCACAAAUUAUACAACGGCAUGGGAAAGUUUCCAGACCACGUGUGAUACGCUCAUCGCGAAAAUGAAGCUUAGCACCAACUUGAGAACAAAUGAGAAGCAGGUACUCACAUCUUGGAAAAGCCCUUCUGACCCAUCGAUUGGAAGUUUUUCAAUUAGUCUCGAACCACUAAAUAUUCCUGAAGUUUUCCUUUGGAACGGCACCACUCUAUAUUGGCGGAGUGGUCCAUGGAAUGGUAAGGUUUUCAUCGGAACUCCUGAGAUGUUAUCAGUCUAUCUUGAUGGAUUUAGCUUGGUGGAUGAUAAAGAAGGAUAUGUCUAUCUGAGUUACAAUUUUGCAGAGGUGUCUUAUUUGUCAUACUUUUUUUUGAGGUCAAAUGGGGAGUUGUUGCAGCCAUUCUGGGAUGAAAAAAAGAAGCAGUGGCGGAUCGAUUGGUCAACCCGGGCAUCUGACUGUGAUGUUUAUGGCAAGUGCGGUCCAUUUGGAUUCUGUGAUGCCAAGAAAUCACCAAUUUGCAGCUGCUUGAGGGGCUUUGAGCCAAAAAAAGUUGAAGAAUGGAGCAGAGGGAAUUGGUCCAGCGGAUGCAUCCAGAAGUCAUUGCUGCAAUGCGAUAAGUUGAAAAAUGGUAGUAGUAAAGUGGGAAAAAUUGAUGGAUUUAUAAAGCUUGAGAAUGUGAAAGUGCCGAAUUAUGCAAUCUGGUCAUCUCCUUUGGAAGACAAGUGCCGAGAGCAGUGCCUCAGUAAUUGUUCGUGCGCAGCAUAUGCUUAUGAUGCCGGCGUUGGUUGCAUGUACUGGAGUGGAGACCUAAUCGACGUACGGAAGUUCUCCUAUGCAGGAACAACUCUUUAUGUUCGAGUGGCCCAUACAGAACUCGGUAUGUUCAUUCCUAAAUUAUAUUUCUGAUCUAUCUGGUAAUACAACUUACUGCUAGAUGGUUAGGGAAUUUCAAUCAAUGUGAUACGCCAGGUGGAGUUGUGAUCCCUGAAAGCUAGCUAAUCAGUUCUUUUUUAUUUUUUAAUAUGUGCUUCAAUCUCAGACAUCAUUGUUUGUCCGUAUUUUGAUCUGCAGAAGGAAAAAGAGAUCUGAGAGCAAUUAUAGCGACUGCAGCUGUUGUGGCAACUGUAAUUUUCAGUAUUGGUACUUUCUUCGCCUGGCAGAAGUCGAAAAAACGAGGUGGUAAAGACGGACACCAAUUUUCAAAGGCUUCUAGUGAGAACGUGCUCGGAGGGAGCUUAAGCAAAGUUAAUCUCCAGGAGCUUGUGCUAUAUAAAUUGGAAGAGCUGGCCACAGCAACAAGCAACUUUAGUGAUGCGAACAAGCUCGGGGAGGGUGGUUUUGGGGCAGUUUAUAGGGUAAUACUAUGUCAUGUAGAGGACAGCAGCUCCAUUUCUGCUUCUUCUUUCUGACUUUCGCAGCUCAUUUACGUCCUUUUGUGCAGGGGAGAUUGCUAAAUGGAAAAGAAAUAGCAGUCAAGAGACUAUCAGAGGCCUCUGGACAAGGAUUGCGGGAAUUUAUCAAUGAAAUGGUCGUGAUUUCCAAGGUCCAACAUCGUAAUCUAGUUCGACUCCUUGGAUGCUGUGCCGAGCAAGAUGAAAAACUAUUAAUCUAUGAGUUCAUGCCAAACAAGGGUCUAGAUGCAUUUCUUUUUGGUAAUAUUCCAUUUCUCGUAGUAUUCCGUCGAUCUAUCAUGGAAUACCAGUUUAUGGGGAAGUCAAGUUUUUAAUUUUACCUGUUUAAACAGACAUUGGCUGCACCUAUUGCACGUACUUUACAUUUUCAGUAUACAUGGGAGCCUCUUUCUGUGCAUUACACUCUUCUCCGGUCACAAAUUAACACAUAAUUUUAUGAAUUUCACUUCUAUUGUCUAUUUCAGAUCCGCUCAAACGAGAGCAACUGGAUUGGAGAAGACGAUUCAACAUCAUUGAUGGAAUUUGUCGAGGCCUACUAUACCUUCUUCGUGACUCCAGACUACGGAUAAUUCAUAGAGAUCUUAAGACAAGUAAUAUCCUCUUGGAUGAAGAGCUCAAUCCAAGAAUUUCAGACUUUGGAACGGCUAGAAUAUUUGGGGGAGAAGAAAAUCAAGGAGAUACACUAAGAGUUGUGGGAACCUAGUAAGUACUUCUUAUAUGAUGAGUCUCAUACUGAUUUUAUCUUUCUACCUAGCAUGAGGAAUAUUAAAGUGUUUUGUGGAAUGCAGUGGUUACAUGGCUCCAGAAUAUGCAAUGGAAGGGCGGUUCUCGGAAAAAUCAGAUGUCUUUAGCUUUGGGGUAGUAUUGCUGGAGAUUGUAAGUGGAAGACAGAACACUAGCUUCAAUGAGGAAGAUCAGUCCUUGAGCCUGUUAGGAUUGGUAAGCUGUUACAAACAGAGAGAUCACCCUAUUUCCAUCAGCUCAAAUUCCAAAACUAAUUAGACUUGAAUUCUGUUUUUUGGCAGGCAUGGAAAUAUUGGGAGGAAGACAAUGUACUUGCACUAGUGGACCCUAAAAUUUCUGUUGGAUGCUCCGAGAUUGAGAUCAUUAGGUGCAUAAAUGUGGGGCUGCUUUGUACACAAGAACUUGCAAAUGAUAGGCCUACCAUUUCAACUGUUAUUUCAAUGAUUAACAAUGAAAUUGUUGGUCUUCCUCGUCCGAACAAACCUGCAUUCACCGAGAGGCAAACAACUACCGACACAGGUUCCUCCAGACAAUGUCAGAAAAAAUACUCUGCCAACAAUGUCACUAUUACCGCUCUUGAAGGCAGAUAAAAUGAGGAUACCAAAACCAAUAAGCUCGAAAGUUCAGCUCAGAGAUGCAAACGAUAGCCAGCUCGUGUCCUGGACAUGGAGUCAAUAAUGAGUACUAGCGUGAUCCUAUUUGCAUGUACUGUUUUCAAAAGCAGUCUUUGUAUUUUUUUUCGCCUUAAUCAUGUUCAAGCUAGCUUGGAAAUGUAUGAACAUAAAUUUGUGGAAUAGCAAAUUACUAUACGUUGGGUGGCAGUUAGGCCUUGCUUGUUUGAGUCAUUCCGAAGCUGGGAUGCAAUUAUUUGGAAAUUUCUGUGUUGGUACAGCAGUUGCCCUUUAGCAAGAAGCUCUGUUCAAUCAACUAGGCUAGUUUGAAACAAGAUAUGGAAUACCAUUAAGCAAGACUUUUCGUACUAAAGUCCAUCAUAUGGUGAAUGAAACUAGAAUUCUCGUGAAAACUUUUUUCUUCCAUGUUUGUGCGUGUGGUCUUGUUGAAUUUUGCCUCUUCGUUCCAUAUAUCCAAUUGUCUGAGACCAUAUUAGAAACUAAAGCAUCAGGCACAGUGAAAACUAUCAGACAAGCUUCUUUGUCAUAUUUGGUUCUUAAGACAAUGAAGAAUCUGCUAACUUCAACUCACCACGGAAAGCGUUUUCAACAAAAAUGUCCAUUGGCAUAGUAAAAAUGACAAUCAAAGUUUCAAAGAACUGACAGAGAAUAACGAUGUUUAGAAAUUGUUUUAGUGAAUUAGCCGAUAGAUACUUGGUAUUUGUCCAGAGAAUCACCCUUUAAAAUAAUCUGAAAACAAAGUUAAUUCAGCCUAUAGGGGCUUGCCGUGAAAGAGAAAAGGAGAGUUGACACCAAGUCAUUAAAACAGAAAUGGAAAAUUAGGUGUUGUUGGUAAAAGAGAGUACUUUAUUUUUUAGAUCAAAAGAAGUACUUAUAGGCUUAGGUUAAGUCUUGUACAACUACAUAGGUCAAAUACAUAAAUAGGCCCAACUUGCUAACACCUUAGAAUAAUAAAUAAUAAACUCAACACUAGCCCUCUUGUUGGGGCGUAUAUAUCAAGGUGCAACGGCAUCCUUGCCCUGGAAAUGUAGUCAUCAAUCUAAUUGUAGGUGAAAUAUAAGUGUCUACAUACGCAAAAACACUGAGUUUUGGCGAAAAUAGUUAGCCAACUCUCUCUUUUCCCUUUGGCAUGCACAAGUCACUUGCCCAUUUGAAUCACCCCCAAAUUAGAAACAUUAGGGUAAAGAAGAGAGUUGUAAGCAUACUUUCCUUCAUGAAAUGGGAAAAUACCAAGAAAUUUUUAUUCAUAUACAUUUUAGGGCCACAAAAAAUAAGAGUAAGUGAAAUGUUAGGUGACCAUGGCGAGUGAAAAUGAAAAUGAGUUUGUGAUUUUCUUGAUGUGAAAAUUGGAGGAAAAAGACAAUAUGAGUUGACUAUCAGGUCCUUACUAGUGGAUGGAAAGUGCAUUAGCAGCACCCAUCAAAUUUAGUACACUGUCUAUAUAAAAAAAUAAAUUGAUUAUCGGUGAUGUAUCUGUAGCUACGAUCUAGGAUUAAUUGGCUAAAACGGGGCAAUAAAAAUAUCAAAUGUUUUCACGUCACCACAAUUCAGAGAAGACAAGGGAACCAAAUUUCUACGCUAAUAUCUCCUAUCGGGAAAUGGGUUCAUGAUGUAGACCAACUCAAACACCAGACAUGUCUCUUUUUCAAUGAGCUUUAUACUACCUCAGGACCUAGGUAUUUUUAGCUUCACUUGGAGAAAUGUCCUACUGUCGUAGGGGAGGAGAUAAAUCAGUUUUUAAUAGCUAAUGUGACUUUAAAGGAGGUUAUAGAAGGAAUUUAGCAAUUGGGUUCCACCAAAGCAAUAUGACUAAAUGGCUUGAANNNNNNNNNNNNNNNNNNNNNNNNNNNNNNNNNNNNNNNNNNNNNNNNNNNNNNNNNNNNNNNNNNNNNNNNNNNNNNNNNNNNNNNNNNNNNNNNNNNNNNNNNNNNNNNNNNNNNNNNNNNNNNNNNNNNNNNNNNNNNNNNNNNNNNNNNNNNNNNNNNNNNNNNNNNNNNNNNNNNNNNNNNNNNNNNNNNNNNNNNNNNNNNNNNNNNNNNNNNNNNNNNNNNNNNNNNNNNNNNNNNNNNNNNNNNNNNNNNNNNNNNNNNNNNNNNNNNNNNNNNNNNNNNNNNNNNNNNNNNNNNNNNNNNNNNNNNNNNNNNNNNNNNNNNNNNNNNNNNNNNNNNNNNNNNNNNNNNNNNNNNNNNNNNNNNNNNNNNNNNNNNNNNNNNNNNNNNNNNNNNNNNNNNNNNNNNNNNNNNNNNNNNNNNNNNNNNNNNNNNNNNNNNNNNNNNNNNNNNNNNNNNNNNNNNNNNNNNNNNNNNNNNNNNNNNNNNNNNNNNNNNNNNNNNNNNNNNNNNNNNNNNNNNNNNNNNNNNNNNNNNNNNNNNNNNNNNNNNNNNNNNNNNNNNNNNNNNNNNNNNNNNNNNNNNNNNNNNNNNNNNNNNNNNNNNNNNNNNNNNNNNNNNNNNNNNNNNNNNNNNNNNNNNNNNNNNNNNNNNNNNNNNNNNNNNNNNNNNNNNNNNNNNNNNNNNNNNNNNNNNNNNNNNNNNNNNNNNNNNNNNNNNNNNNNNNNNNNNNNNNNNNNNNNNNNNNNNNNNNNNNNNNNNNNNNNNNNNNNNNNNNNNNNNNNNNNNNNNNNNNNNNNNNNNNNNNNNNNNNNNNNNNNNNNNNNNNNNNNNNNNNNNNNNNNNNNNNNNNNNNNNNNNNNNNNNNNNNNNNNNNNNNNNNNNNNNNNNNNNNNNNNNNNNNNNNNNNNNNNNNNNNNNNNNNNNNNNNNNNNNNNNNNNNNNNNNNNNNNNNNNNNNNNNNNNNNNNNNNNNNNNNNNNNNNNNNNNNNNNNNNNNNNNNNNNNNNNNNNNNNNNNNNNNNNNNNNNNNNNNNNNNNNNNNNNNNNNNNNNNNNNNNNNNNNNNNNNNNNNNNNNNNNNNNNNGCCCUUCUACCAACAUCAUCUCAUCACCACGCCACCAUCAUCUUCCCAUUUUUCUUUUCCCUUCCAAGCCGAGGCCACCCUCCCCUUUUUCUUUUUCUUUUUUCUUUACCAUUCGCCUACAUCACUGCCAUUGUUGCCGCCCCACUCCCCUUGGCCGCACCACCGUCACCACCUCUUGCCACCGUUUGCUCGCACCAUCUAUGCCGCCAUUGCUUUGCACCACACGUUGCCCGUCCGCCUAAGCUGAGCCCCCCCUUUGGCCGUGGGCUCAACUUCACCGAAUCGCCACCAUUUGUGCCGCCGUUCGAGUCGCGAGCAUCACAUUCUCGACGCCGUCGCACUGCCGUUGCCGCGAGCUCGCCGUCACCAGAAACCCGUGAAUUAACUUCCUAAUCAUGAAUUAGGGUGUUGAUUAUGUGUAGGAGGUAGAUUAGUUAAGGAAAAGAGUAGUUAAUAUUAGUAAAUUUUAGUUUAUUCUUAAUUGCGAUUAAUGAUGGUUUAUAUUAAAUUUAAUUUGAUUAGUUUAAGUAAUUACGAUUAGAUUAAUUAAUUGUGGUUAGAUUAAUUAAUUGAGUUUAUUUUAAUUAAUCAUAAUUUAUUUAAUUAAUCAUAGUUAUUUUAGUUAAUGUCCAUUUUUAAUUAAUUGUAGUUAGGCCAAUUAAUCAAGUUUAGUUUAAUUAAUUGUGAUUACCCUAACUAUAAUUAAUUAAUCGUGAUUAGUUUAAUUAAGGAUGGAUUAGCCAUUAAGUAGAAUUUAUGUUUGUUUUUCUAGAUUAGACUGAGCGUAAUUUUGUUUGUUUGCACGUAUGAUGUUAUGUUAUUGAUUUCCCAAUUGUAAAUUCUAUUUAUUAUUUUCAAAAAGGGCUUUAUAGGCAAGAAAAUAGAAACAUAUGAGGUGUUGGGUUUGGAUGCCAAAUUUUACUUGUUAAAUAAAAUAAUUGGGUUUUGAAAUAGAAGUGUGCAAAGUUUGACUAGUUGAUUUCAAAUAUGUAACCACGUAUGAAUAUUUUACUAGGAUUUUUAAAUAUGAAAAAUUGCCAAAGUGAUUAUUUUAAAAACGAAUUAUUUUGUUCUUGGCUAAUUAAUAGCAAUAAAAAUUGGCUUGAUUGAUGGUGUGCUUAAGUGGUUAUUUAAUUGAACCUGUCACCUAACGAGAGUUUAGGGGCGAUGCUCAAUUUUUAUCGUAUGCCUGAUGGGAGUUCGGAUGCCGAGUCGCAGUUGAAUCUAGACCAAUGCUCCUUUAUAAAAUGCUGUCUAGGCGGGGGUUCUAGAUGAUGCUAUGCCCGAUGGGGCGGGACGAUGCCUGGUCAUGCCAGAAGACCGCCGACUCUUGUGUUGACUGUGGCCUGAGAGGUUGUAAUAAUUGGAACACAUGUGUUGGGCAAUGCGCAUGAAAUUUUAGUAUGUGUUUUGAUUGUUACUUAUGCAUGUUGCACUUUUAUUGCUAUGUGAGAUGUGCUAUUAUGCAGAGCUGUACCAAGGCGAGGUAAGUUUAUAUAUGGUGUGUGUUUAGGCUAUCCCAAGGCGAAUCAGCUUCCUAAUCGAGGUUUAGGCUAUUAACUUGCUAAGAUUUAUAUCUCAUCCCGCUGUUGUUAAAUAUUUUUAGGUCCAUAGUAUGGAGUGUCGCCCCGUUGUUUUGGGGUCCCUUGGGAUAUGGAUGUGGAGACUACUCUAUUUCCUAUCCUAGGGACCGACCGAAUCAACGAGCUGGUGGCCACAACCAUAUGUGUAGAUGUAGGGUUUGCUCAUGUAGUGCCCCAUAAUUUCAAGGCGUGGUUUAUUAGGGAGGCGAAUGGCAAUCGAUUAGGUCCACUUUAGGGUUUUAAUGGACCGCCAUCCGAGAAUGUUGGAAGGCAAGUAUGGGACCCCAUGGAUAUUGACAUCUUUGAUGAUGUCAUUUUGAAUCCAAAUUUUGAUCCGGAUGAGCCUAUGGAGGUGUGACGUCCUGAAAUUCGACCCCGUUUCAAUAAAGUGAAAUGGGCAUUUCGUUGACGUGUUUACGGUCCUUUUUCUCUGAACUGAUCACUCACGAGUUAACUAACCUAUUGGGUGAAGCCGUUAAGGGAUGUAUCUGCAGUAAAAUCCCUAAAAGCUGCUCAAUUUGUUGGAUUGGACUAAAAUCACGUCUUAUCGAUUUUUAACCAUGAAAUUGAACUCGAUUUCGGGAAUCGAAUUUUAAGCGCGUCAUAAUUCUUAUUUUUAGGAUCCUGUCUCAUCGUCCGUCAAAUUGUUGACGAGUCCGAAAUUUCAAUAAAGAAAUUAUCGGAGGAUUAAUUGAAGACCAAGAGAAAAUAGAAAGGAAAAGGGGAAGAGAAAAGGAAAAUAUGAAUAAUGAUAUUAAGCAUUUUCUUUUUCUCUCUCCCUUUUCUCUAUUUUUCUUUCUUUUUCUCUCUCCCCUCCCCUUUCGUGCGGACACCCCCCUCCCCACGCCGACUCUCUCUCCUUUUCCUUUGCCGUUUCCUACUUUGCUUUCUCUUCCCCAUUUGACUUUUCAACCAUUAUCUCUUCUUCUCUCUCCUCUCUCUUCUCCCCCGCUCCCCCAUGUGACCUUCUUCUUCUUCUUCUACGUUCUUCUUUGUGCGAACCAGACCAAAACCAGCAAAGAAGAGCAACAGCUCACCGAGGACCACCGUCACCCGUCCCGCCGCCGCACCGGAGCCGAACCGCCCGCGCGCCCGCUGCUCGUCGCCGUGCGCCGCCAGCCUCGUUCCUCGCGCGACCCAGCCCUGUUCGCCUCUGCCAGCCCCCGUUUCGCCGUCGUCCAACCGCCGCUCGCCGCCGUCCCGACCCCCCGGCGUCCCCCUCACCCUCCGCCGGCCUUCCCUCGCCGUUGUAGUCGCCAGAGCAGCCUCGGCCAGCCCCGACCAGCAACCCACGAAAUGGGUUUCCAGCAGCUUUAGGCCCGCUUUUGAGCCGUUUCCAGGCUCCGAACCCGAGCCGUGCUUUGGAGUUUGUUGUUCCUCGCGUCGCCCCCGUCAGAUUGAUCCGAUCUGCGCGCGAUUUGGUGAGUAAUCUCACUAAUAUAAGAUUAGUUGGCUAAUUAUGCUUAAGGUUGGUUUAGUUUUAAUUAAUUAUGUUUAGGUUGUUAGAUUAGAAUAAAUUAGUAAUUAUUAGUCAAUUGUGAUGCGAUUUAGAUAAAUUGAUUGUGUAAUUAGCAAGUAGACGUGGUCUACUAAUUAUUGAAAGCAUCUCAGGAUUUUUCCCGACCCUUCGUGGGCUUCAAUUAGGCUUUUUGGGCCUAAGUGGAUUUUUAGUAUUUAAAUAUUAAUUUUCGGAAUUAAAUUAAAUAAUUAUUUAUUUUCCGAAAAUUCAACUGAGAUGGUCCGGAACCAGAAUUUUAUGCUAGUGAUCGUGGUGAAGUCUGUUUAUUUAACUGAGCACCAAUUUGAGCUAAAUUGGAUUUAUUAUAAUUAAUUAUUAAUUCUCGAAAUUAAUUAAUUAAUUAAUUAUUUUCCGGAAAUUCAACUCGGAUGGCCUGUGACCGAAUUUUUAUGCUGAUGAUCAUGGUGUAGUUCGUUUAUUUAAUUGAGCUUUAUUUUGAGCUAAAUUGGAUUUAUUGUAAUUAAUUAUUAAUCUUUGAAAUUAAUUAAUUAAUUAAUUACUUUUCGGAAAUUAAGACUGAGAUGGCCAACGAUCGAAAUCUCAUGCUGAUCAUCGUGGUGCAGUCUGUUUAUUUAAUUGAGCUGCAAUUUGUAUGGAAUUGAUUUAAUUAUGAAUUUUUAUGAGUUAUUCAUAUUGACUUGAUGGUUAAUUAUUUGAUUGAGCAAUCGUUGGGUAUUGGUUAUCACCUAAAAGGAAAUACGUGGGCUCGGUGAAUGGGAAUUCACCUAGAGAAUGCACGUGUAUUCAGUGGUUGAAUAUGUCAUCUUGGCGAAGAGGUUGCCUUAGAGAAUGCUCGUAAAUUGUUGAAAGUUGAUCAUGCCUGUGUGGCGAUAGUUGAUCAUGCAUGUGUGGCGAUAAGUGAUCAUGCCUGUGUGGCGAUAGUUGAUCAUGCCUGUGUGGCGUAGAUUGUGCCUACGUGGCCGUAUUUCUGUGUAUUGAGUAUCGAAAGUGGUCGAGUGGGACCAUAAAGCCAUUGAGUAUCGAAAGUGGUCGAGUGGGACUGUAAAGCCGAUUAUCGAAAGUGAUCGAGUGGGACCGUAAAGCCAUUGAGUAUCGAAAGUGGUCGAGUGGGACCGUAAAGCCAUUGAGUAUCGAAAGUGGUCGAGUGGGACCGUAAAGCCAUUGAUUAUCGAAAGUGGUCGAGUGGGACCGUAAAGCCAUUGAGUAUCGAAAGUGGUCGAGUGGGACCGUAAAGCCAUUGAGUAUCGAAAGUGGUCGAGUGGUGGACUGUGUCUUCCACCUUUGCUUACGAUGUGAUAUGAGGAUCGUAGUUCGUAAUUGAUGAUUGAGAUGGAAUAAUCGAAUUGACCUAGAAUGGUCCGUCUGACAUGUAAUCGACGAGGUCGAUUGAUCAUUGCUUUGAUUUGAUGUUGUGAAUUGAUUGACUGAAUGGAAAUGACCGUGAGUGGUCUUGUUGGCAUUUAACUAGGUCGAUUUGAUCGAUACUUUGAUCGAUGAUAUGAUUGCUUGGGUGCCUAUUAUAAAUUGUACUGACUUGCAGGUGGGAUUUGAGGCCAAGAUAAGUUCUCUGCCCUGUGCGUGUUUAGGCAGCCUAUAGUAUAAUGGUUUACUAAUCGGGCUUAGUGGGGUAGAACUCGCUGAGACGUAGUCUCAUCCCAGUUUGGGGAAAAAAAUUUCAGGACCCCGAUGAGGAGUUGAGGAGGAGAAGUCUGGGAAGGAGAUCUUGGAGGUGAAACUUGAGAGGAAGGAUUUUGAAAGAAGAAGAUAAUACCGAGAUAGGCCUUGAGUAUGGCCUGGAUGGAUUGAGAUCCUAUCUUCUUUUGAGAUCUCCAUUUUGAUGUGAAUAGUUAUGAAGUGAUUUGUGUUUUGUAUAAAAGUUUGGUUAUAAAUUUCAAUAUGAAAAAUAUGGCCCUACUUUUCUAUUCCAGCGUUUUAUUGUCUGGGGAUUUUAACUGCUUCCGCAUGUGCUUAAUAAAUGAAAGGGUCAGCGAUACAUUGUCCUGAGAUAUCGCAUUAUAAAAUCGACCAAGCCAGAAGGAUGUGUGCGUGCCCAAGGAUCAGGGCGUGACAGGAGGUGUUCCCCUCUGACCAUGUGCUCGACUUUGCACCUGAAUACUAGGAUCGGUACUUGGAGCUAAUGAAGCUAAAAGUUAACCUUGACCUUUCUUACCCUUUUUGCUAAUAGGUCACAUAAGAGUUACCUUUUGUUGUAGGCAUGUACAUGUUAAACUCCUUAGGUUAAUAAGUUGAUAAAUAAAUCACUGCUUUUGGAAAUCAUAUGUUGUGUUUUACUAUCCCAGUUUUGUUGAUUGACUAGGUGUUUAUUUGAGUUGUUUCCACAUGUGUUUAAUCGAAAGAUUAAAAAAAAAAAAAAAAGGUCUACAACGCGUGUUGGAACAUCGCAAUUCAAUUGACCAUCGAGGGAUGUUUGCGCGCUCGGGGUUCGGGGCAUGACAUCCCUGUUUAAGUGGUAUUAGAGCUUGGUCAAAGUUUAGAGUGAUAAGGUGCAAUGGGUUUUGGGGUAGAUAGAUAGGAAAAACGGUUUUUCCUUAUACUUAUGCUUGUGAUUGAUUAAUUGUUUGGUGCGGGUUGCUCAGAUUUCUACUUCCUUGUUGGAAUUGGAAAGUAGGUUUCUAUAAGGACCUUGUGAGAUGAGUGAUCCUGAGCAGAGAGCCCCUUAAAGAAGGGCCGUAAAGGCUCUGACAAGUGCUGAGGGAAGGGCACCAAGAUGGGCUGGUACUAGAGGGAGAGCGCCGGUGUAGGUGUGUGCUAAAAGGAGGGCACCAAUUGAUCCUAGGGUUGACUGGAUCUUGUAAGCCCUAGAGACCUUGGGGAACGUGGUUGGGCAGUAAGCUUAGAAUCAAGCCAUCGUCCCCGCCGUUGCCGCUACUGCCGCCAAUGUUGUUGCUACCGCUACUGCACCUAUUGAAGUCCCACCUAAAAAUGGGAGUGGUGAGCGGCCUAUGCACAAGCUAGUGGAGUAGUUUCUGAGGCUAAAGCCUCUAAAGUUUACUGGAGCAAAUGAGUCCGAGGCAACAACCCUUUAGGUUCGAGAGUUGGAGAAGCCUUUUGCACUAUUGAGGUACUCAGAGGAGGACAAGGUGACCCUAUCCAUAUAUUUGCUGCUGGGUAAUGCAAGCACGUGGUGAGAAACCACUGAAGGAAGAGUGUUUCCUAAGAGUAUGGUUUCAGAGUAGGAUGCCUUCGUCGAAGUGUUUUAUAGGAAAUAUUUCUUAGACUGUGCUCGAGAACAGAAGAUGGCUAAGUUUCAACAUCUUUGCCAGAACCAGAUAACUGUAGAUUAGUAUGAGGCGAAGUUUGUCGAGUUGUCGGAGUACACACCAAGGUUAAUUGAGGACCCGAUGGAUAGAAUUAGAAGGUUUAGAGAUGGCUUGAAGCCAGAGAUUAAGGACCCGCUGGUGCCGUUUAAGCUCAAGGACUAUGACGAACUGUAUGAAAGGGUCUAACUGAUUGAAAGGAAUCUGAAUGAGUGGGUAGCCAGAUCUAGGUUGCGGUUUGUGCCCAACAGAGAUAACAAUCGAUUAGGGAAGAGGCCAAUGAUGGGAGGAAAGUAUCCCAUCCCUCCCAACUGAAAGGGUAGAAUGGGAAAGUGGGCAUCCAACUUGAAUGGCGUGUGCCGAUUUUGUGGAAGGAAACAUGGAUCAACCUGUGUUCUGCUAGAUUGGGAGCUUGCUAUGGAUGUGGCCAGCACAGCUAUCAAGUGAAGAAUUGCUCGCGCGGGCGCAUGGGAGCGUAGGCUGCACUACCACAGAUAGGAUAGGCAACAAGGAGUGUGUCGCAAAACACGCAACAAAGCAUUUUGAGCAGGCCUCUAUGCAAGGAAGAGUGUAUGCUGUCACCCAAAAGGAGGCGGAGAACUCAUAGAACGUGGUUAUAGGUACGGUCUUGUUGAACGACCGUGCUGCUUAUGCUUUAUUUGAUCCUGGAGCCACACAUUCAUUUAUUGCUAAGUAGUUCAUUAAGUUAGUGGGAAGCGGUCAUUAGUAUAUCCACCUCGUUAAAGGAUAAAGUGUUGUAUGCGAUAAGGUGUCUUGGUUGCAAGUCAGUAAUUAGUGAUCGAGAGGAAAGAAUAGAUUUGAUUGUGCUGGUGAUGUUUGAUUUCGAUGUUAUUAUUGGUAUGGAUUGGCUCACCAAGCAACAGGCUACCAUAGAUUGUUAUCGUAAAGCGAUUCAAUUUAACUCGUUAGCAGGUAAAAGUUUCAAGUUUGUUGGAAAUCAAGGAGGACUCUCGAUUGCUUUAAUUUCGUCACUUGAGGCAAUCCGGUUGUUGGAUGUGGGUUGUUAAGGUUAUUUGGCAACAGUGGUUGAUACGUCAAUUGAGGAGUCAAGGAUAGAGGACAUUGUCGUGAUGCGGGAAAUUUCUAACGUUUUUCCUAAAGAGUUGCUUAGUUUGCCUCUAGAAAGGGGGAUAGAGUUCAUGAUUGAGUUGGCCCCUGGGAUAGAGCCAAUUUCUAAGGCUCCUUAUUGUAUGGCGCUAUCAGAGUUAAAGGAGUUAAAGGUACAGAUGCAGGAAUUGUUGGACAAAGGAUUUAUUCAUCCUAGUGCAUCGCCAUGGGGAGUGCCAGUUUUGUUUGUAAGGAAGAAAGAUGGUUCGUUGUGUUUUUGCAUCGACUAUUGACAAUUGAAUCAAGUGACGAUCAAGAAAAAGUAUCCGUUACCAAGGAUUGAUGACUUAUUUGAUCAACUACAGGGAGCUUCGAUAUUUUCCAAGAUUAACCUAAGGAUAGGUUACCAACAAUUGAGGAUUAAGAAGGAGGAUAUACCGAAGACAAGCUAGAUUCAGUCAGCAUCCAGAACGCGUCAAUAAAAGUCACUCAAAUCUAGCAGCAAAGCCACCAAUCACUUGCAAGUUGCAACAGGCAUCACAACUUGAUCCACUCGGUAAAGAUCCCACUAGCAAAGGUGAAGUAGGUACUAGUUGCCAUCAAAAAUUGAUAACUAGAACAAUUUCAUCAAGUUCAUCAGCACACACCUGACAUUAGAUGUUGGUCGCAUCCAAAGCGGUGGUGGCGAGAGUAAUGAUGUCGGGGUGGUGAAGAUAUGAGGUUUUGUGUAUGUAUUUAGUGAUGUCAAGGUGCAAUGACAACCUUGCCAUAGAAAUCUAGUAAUCAAUUUGAUUAUAGGCGAAAUAUGUACGUCAGCAUACGUAAAAACACUCAAUUUUGGUAAAAAUAGUUAGCUAACUCUCUCUCCUCUUUGCUUUGCACAAGUCACUUAGCCCUUUCAAUGACCCCCAAAUUAAAAACAUUAGGGUAAAGAAGAGAGUUAUAAGCAUAUUCUUCCAUUUUUUUUUAAUGGGGAUAGUACUCUAAAUUUCCAUUUCAAAUACACUUUCUUGGGAGAAGAAUAAUACAAGUGCCAUAACUUUUAUACGGCACUUACUUGAGUGUAAUAACUUUAUUUUUCACUCACUUAAAUGUCACAUUGGAGAAAAAUCGAUCAUUUAAGUGACAUUUCCGGCAAAUCGUCCUUCAUGGAUUUUUUUAUUAUUAAUUUCCCAUUUUUACAUGGAUAUUUUUAAUUUUUUUAUUAAAUAGAUUUAGGGGUAUUGCCUAAAGAACGGAUAAGACCCAUGAUUAGGCACGGGCUCUCCCAAGCCCAUAUCUCAUGCGACAUUGGGGUGUUCUUAAGAAUUUCGCAAUAAAGAGUCGCUACUAACUUAUUGUGGUCGGUUAGAAAUCAAAUGAGGCAUGAGAGUACACCUUAUUUCUUACGCAAUCAAAAAAUUUAAGGUUAGGAACUUGAUUACACUAAUUAACCAAUUAAUGUUGUUUCGGUACCUAAUCUUGUUCAUUUAAAAAAAAAAGUUAUGGCAUGAACGUCUUCCCCAUUUUGUCCUUUUUAAUUUCCUUUUCUUUUCUUUUCCUUUCCUUUUCUUCUUACCCUUCACUCACUUGAAUUUAUAGUAUUCAAGUGAGCGAAAGAAAGUUAUAAAGGUUAUGGCACUUGUGCUGUUAUUAUCCAAUUUUCAAGGCCACAGAAAACAAUGAGAGUAAGUGAAGUAUUAGGUGACAAUGGCAAGUGGAAAUGAAAAUGAGUUUGCUAUUUUCUUGAAGUGAAAAUUGCAAGACAAUGUGAGUUGACUAUUCUACCCUUCCAAGUUGAUGGAAAGUGCACUUGGCAACACCAUCAAAUCAAGUACAAUAAGAAGCCCAAGAUUGAGUUUUGGGUCUGAUUGAGGCUGAAAAGGAACAAAGUGUAUGAUGUUAACAUAUACAAAAUAAGUUACCAAGGUUGAGUGAUAUAAUCUCGAAAGUGUAUUACGAAAAUCUGAAAUUAACCUAAUUCAUUCUACAAGUUAAAAAUAAAUUUCCACUAGUUUGUAAUAGUCAAAGAGAUGUGAAAAAAACCUUCUCUUAUGAAAAAUCAUUGAACUUAAUGUAAGUAUGCUUACAAAUAUGAUGCAAUUUAUUUUAAAUUUGAAAAGUCACUAGCUAUACAUCAAAAUUACCAAUUUUGUUAGGGNNNNNNNNNNNNNNNNNNNNNNNNNNNNNNNNNNNNNNNNNNNNNNNNNNNNNNNNNNNNNNNNNNNNNNNNNNNNNNNNNNNNNNNNNNNNNNNNNNNNNNNNNNNNNNNNNNNNNNNNNNNNNNNNNNNNNNNNNNGAUCUAUAAAAGUUGCUGCUGACCAAUAAAUUGUCAUGAAAACUUAUUAGUCAUGGAAAAAAAUUGUACUCAAUUGUUACUUCUCAUUUAUUGGAGAAUGUAUUGUUAUGGAAUUCAUUAGUUACACCAAAAAAAAAAAAAUCAUUAAUAACUAUAGACAGAUGCCUAAAUGCUUACUUUCUUAAUGUGAAUAUAUUUAAUUAUAUAUAUAGAUUCCGUAGGUUCGCACGUUGUUUCUCUUCUUGCAGACUGAAACGGACGGCGAUGAGUCGAUGACUCAAUUCGGUAAGCGUCCAGAAGGCAGAGUCCCCUCUGACAUGUCCUUUUCGUUCCUCCCCCACCGUCCCCUCCGUCGCCGCCUCGUGCGAGUGGACCGUGAGAGUUGGGGCUGUAGCCAUGUGAUCUCAGUGGAGACGUCUGUAGCCAUGUGAUCUCAGUGGAGACGACUGGACCCACCCACUCAAUGGUCAUCACUGAAGAUGCCAUGUCCGUUCGUCCUCUUCAUCCUCCGCCUCUCGCGCACGGCUUGACGGGUGCAGUGGCGGCUGGAAGUUGGCGUGGGAUUGGCUUUCGUGACUUUAGUCGUCCGCAGCGUCCGAGACGAGGAACCGGUGGAGAAAGAUUAGGGUUUCGGUGCUUGCCGUUUUAGCUUUAGGGGGAAGUUAGAGGUUUUUCUUGUGGUUCACGAAGAAGAAAGAUAAUUUUGGGCUAAUGCGGUUCAGGCAUUAGAUGGCAGAAGUAAUUUCUUUUGCCUUUAAAUAGGGAUGCUUAAUAGAAAUAACUAGCCCAGGACAUAGUUCAGGGAAAUUAUGAUUGACUGAGGAUGUUAACUUUGAUACAAAGUAAUAAAUGUGGUUGCUCCAGAUUUUAAUGCAUUAAUUUGUGAUGCUGCACGUAGUGGUGCAUCAUGAAAGUUUCAAAUGUUUUGAACUAUAAGAAGAUCAAAAAAAGUUGAGGAUGAAUUAUGGACCAAUUUUAUCGAGUCACAAGUUAAUGGGGAAUUCUUAAGUGCUUAUUUGAAAUGGCCUUUUCUCUUAAAUGGUAUUUUUUCGCAAAAAUCAAAUGAUUUUACUUGAGUUUGAAUGUGAAUAUGCAUAUACUAUAUGAAAUUCAAGAUGCUCCAUAGUUCAACUGAAAUUUAAGACGCUAAGAAGAAAAUGAAAGUCAACUGAACGUAUCUUCAGAAUCUCAUGACCAAGAACAAGAAAAUUGUUGAUACGAAUAACAAGUGGCUUAGGUGAAGAUGAUGGAGAUCCGACAUGGAACACCUAUGCUGAAUAGUGGAGACAAAAUCUUCAACCCUGCAAAAAGCUGUGGGGCCAUUAGCUAGAAAAAUCGGAUUCUGCAGUACCGCUUUCUUCAUGGAGCUCCUCAAGUCCAUUAGCCAGCGACUAUGUAAAUGAUUGUUAGGCCGUGUGAGUACCUCUUAGUGGUAAACCACCAUCACCUUCAACCACUAGGCCUUUCUUUUCCUUCCUUCCAUAAUAAUUAAGAUGAUGAUGAAUUCAAAAAGAUUUUUCCAUAAUUAAUCAAUGCACCCUCUCAAUUUGUUGCCUUUUUUGAGUUGAUAACGAUUCUUUCCCUUUUUUUUGGAUUCACUUUCUCACCUUGUCAUCAUGACAAUAUUCGCUAAUAGUACUAAUUGCGGCUUGUGCACAUUGCGCAUAAUAUUUUUCCACUAUUUCCUUCCUAACAACAAUAUCUGCAAUGAUCGUUUGUCUUUUAAAAUUCGAUGCAGAAAUUUGUUUUCUUCAAUCAAGCUUAUCUCGAAUUUAAUCGGCGUAAACUCAACAAACUUUUUGCACAAGUACGAUGGUAUAAUAUUUACGUAAUAUAUAAUGCAUUUUCUAUAAAUAAAUAAAUUGAAUAGCAUAUAUAAGAUUAUCAAAUAUUUAAAUUUAGAGCUACUCAAAUUUUUGUACAACACAUUAGGCAUUUGUUCAAUAAUUUGCGAGAACUUUGCAAGGAAGAGAAUUUUGAACCUCCAAAAAAUAGUAUAGAACCUCCACAAUUUUUUAAUCAAGCUUUUCAAAAUCCAUAUGAAGGAUUAUUUUGCCACUUGCAAAUUCUUGUAUAAUAGAUAACAAUCUUCGCAAUAUAUAUAUAUCAAGUAAUAUCUUCAUUCGAUUUGUGGAUCAAACUUGCUAGAUAUAAGAUAUCUUCUAUGAAUAUGGCAAGAGUAUCCAUGAAUAUGCAAUAAUAUCUUUCAUGAUUAAAGGGAUUUCCUUGAGCAUAAAAACUAAAAAAGAUAUUAUUUAUGCAUUUCGCAAAAAGAAAGUAGAUAUUUCUAUCACAUGCCAUAUCAAGCAAUUAAAAAAAAUGCAAUGCUUUAUGUUUAUGACAAGAGAUAUUUGCAAUAUAAAUCAUAUUUGAUUCAUAGGCAAUCAUCUAUAAUCUUCAUAAAAUCGAAUAAAAAUUUGCAAGGCGGGAUGAUAAAAAAAAAAAAUUAUUCUCUUACUCAUGGUAUAUGUUUGAAAUAUACUAUUGAUUAAAAAUGAUCAUUGUCAAGCUUUGCAUGAGAUACAUUUUUUAUUGCACCAAAAUUUGUAUAGAUUCACAAUCAUUCUUCUCUUAUAGAAUUUAUUGCAAUGAACUGAUUUCCUUUUUGGUAUCCAUAAAUUUGGAUCAUUCCUUUUCGUUAGAGCAAAAUAAAAAAUCUCCAUAGAUAAUCAAAUAUUCUUUCUUAAUUCAUCAUAACAUAAUAUUUAAGGAAAGAACAUUAUGCACAAUAAUAUCUUGAAAAAGAAAUUCUCACUUGGUCAAAGCACGAUAAAAUUAAAGGGAAUAAAAUCCUUGAGUAUCUAAGAAUAUCUUGCAUAAUAAAUUAAUAUCUCGUAAAACAGAUUUCUACUUUGCAAAAUAUGACAAAAUCUGAGAGCAUUAAAUCUAACCAAAGAAACUCAAUUGUCUCUAAGCAAAAUAUCAAAUCAAUCACACUUAUUAAAUUAAAUCUCAACUCACGAAUCACAAAAAUAAAUCACAUGAUUCUUCCUUAAAUAAAACAAAUCAUAGAAUAUGAUCAUAAUAAAAUCCGAAUCAACCGAGGAUAUAUCGAAUAUCAAGAAUAAUGCGAAUUAUGUGCCCAAAUCAAAUUGAGAAAAAAAUUUACCUUCCUUACAAAAUUCUCUUUCUUCUUUUCUUUUAUUUCCUACAAAAACAACUCAUCUUUUCUUUGAUAUCCAAAUUUUCUUGGGUCCUUGGGAGUUAGUAGAGUGUGCUAUUUUUACCAAAUCUUUCUUAACAAGUCUCCAGACUUUAGGCCAUUCUUUCUCAAAGUGCUGCGAAUUUUCACAAUUUGAACAUUUGAGGGCAUUUCGACCAACAAGUUUUAUAAAGAUCCUUUAAAAAUACUUCUUGUAUGCAAGUCGAGGAGGUAUUUGUCUAAGUUUCUCCUUGACAUUAGGAAAAUCUAUUAAAGAAUCACUUUCCUUAUUAAAACCAAGUCCCGACUUAUUAUAGUAAAGUACUUGUAUGGAAAUGAUAUGCGCUAAUGUUUUUGAACUCUUUGAAAGUUUUGUUGAAAUAUUUGAAAAUUCAUUUUCUAAAGAAUCAUUUUCUUUGACAAGUAAAUCUCGACUUUAUUUUGUUUGUAGAAAAUGUUUUUGCAAAUUUUAAAAAUUUUCUUUUUGAGAAAGAUCCUGUUGCCCAAGCCAUGAGUUCUCCUUUUUUAGUUCGAAGAUCCUUUUAAGAGAAUAUUUGAGAUUUGAGCAAAGUCAUUUAUAUAUUUAAAAACUUUAGAAGGAAUUUUUGAAAGACUUACAUCGAUUUCCUCGUCGGAUUUCAAGUAUGUGUUUGAGUGCGACUCUGCUUCUAAGUCUUAUUCAGAUUCCCAAUUUGAGUUUGAGUCUAACUGUGCCAUUAAGCAUAUGUUUCCUUGCUCAUCAUCUUCUUUCAUUGUUCUUUUCUGCCCAUUCUACUUAUAUUGUUUUCUUCCACUGAAUUUUCUUCAUUUUCUACUUAGCUUUUUGAAUUUCUUGAUUAUAAAAGCAAGUUCUUCGUCGUCUAUGUCAUUUUCUAAGUCUGUAUCAUCAUAAUCAGCGUUAGAUUUUAAAGCGAUGGACUUCUUACCUUUAGGAUCUUCAUAAAUGAUUUGUUCCACUUCGUAGGAUUGAAGAGUGCCAAUAAGUUCAUCAACAGAAAGUGGCAUAAUCCUCUGAGUCUCCUAGAUUGAGGUCUUAACAUGGUUCUAAUCUUUUGAAAGACCUCACAGAAGUUUGUUGACCUUAAUUGGGGUAGAAAUUGGUUGACCUUGAUACGUCAAACCAUUUACAAUUUCUGUAAAACAACCGAACAUAUCUCCAAUCGGCUCUCCUGACUUUAUCUUGAAUGAUUCAUAUUAGCCAAGUAGGAAGUUUACUUUUGUCUCUUUUACAUGAUUAGUCCCUUCAUAAGUAACAUAAAGUCUAUCUCAAACUUUUUUAGUUGUUUCACAUGAAGAAAUUCCAUUAUAUUCAGUAGGAGACAAGACACAAUGUCACACCCCCGCCUCAUUUCUGACACGAGAGCAUGACUCAGCGGGUUAACAUCGACGCCCCAGGCAACGUCGAACGUCCCGAAAGUCUUUUAUCUUUAGUGAAACACAUGCGGAAGUGAUCAUAAAUAAUCCCAUACAAACACACAUGGAAGCUAGGCAAGACACAUGCAAGACAAGUAAAUAAAAGCAACACAUACGCAUACAUAUUCACCCAUCAAAAGCUGUUUUGAUUACAUGCCCAUCCUAGUCCUGAGCUACUUAUUUUUGUUCCAUAUAUAAUUGAAAGGGCUGGGGUAGCCUAGCUCCUCUACCGAGCUGCUUCCAAAAGCGACCCCCAUGCUAGAUUCAUUCCUUUCUUGGACCCUGGUUCACCCAUCAUACACCUGAAAUGGUGAGAUCAAUAAGAGUGAAUCGAUGACUUAGUAAGUAGAAAUCCCUAAUUCUCCUAUAGGAGGACAUCUCACCGUCGAUCGUCGGAUACAAGGUCACCGUCCACUUGUCAAUGGUAAAUCAAUAGUAAGGUUUGUGACUUGCCUUGCUUAUGCAUAUGAAAGGCUCUCAACUGUCUAUGUGCUUUCAAGAAUAAAAAACAAUGAGUUAGUACAUAUGAACAAACUUUCCAAGGAUCCGUGGCUUAUGAUCAUUUUGGUCAUAAAAAUGGAUACUCGCAUCUCACAAAACUCAUUUAACCACUAAGUGACCCAAUUCAAAUAUAUGCUCAAAUUGAUACAAGGACUUAACAAUACAUAUCAAACAAACCCAGCUUUUGCAAUCACAUGUGUAUUAGUCAUGAACCACACGUGGAUUUUCAUUUUUCUUUUUCAAUAUCAUAUUAGCCGAAAUUAACCGGCUCUUCUAGUAACCACCAGGCAUCGGUCCCCCUCUUGGCAACCGACAUCGUCUUGAUCUCAUUAUCUGGACGGCAUCCAGGGCAACCCUUAGGAAUCGACCUCACCCGGGCCGGCAUUGUCCACAAUCUCAAUAUCGGGAUGGCAUUCGAGGCUUUACCCCGGGCAACGACCCGGCAUUCCCCCGACAUCGGCAUAUAAGUCCAUUGUGUGUCCAUGCAUUUGAAGCAUCAUCCGAUUUAUGUUAUGUUUAAACUUUUAGCCAAAUGAAAGGCUCGAAGGUGUGUGCCAUGCAAAGUGAACUAAUGAACGACUAUUUUGUUUUAUUAAAUCAAACUCAUGCCCGAUGAAAUUUGGGCUCGUGACUUUGACUUUGAACCAUUCGGUUAGGCUUUAGCAUUGUCCAUAGCCAUCGAGACCACUCCUCGUCAUCCGGGUGUGCUCGACACACAUGCAACAUCAUGAACUUACUUAAUACAACAACAAGCAAUAGAAAUACAACAAGCUUAACAAUACAAAGCCACCAUAGGCAAACGAUGACGUGAUCCUAAAAUCGAUAAACAUAGCACAUCGCUCUAUCGAAAAGUUAGGAAAAUCUACUUACUACUUUUUAGACCAAGCUCCAAGAUGCUUCUUUGGUGGUUGGUCGAGGUCUAGGGCGGCUUGGGAGAGAAGGGAGGAAGGGAGAAAUUAGAAGAGAAUGGUUAUGCCUCCAAAUGUGAUGAUGCAUUCUCCUAUUUAAAAGCCUCUUCCUCUUAGAUUGUUAUGCAACUUAUGAUUACAACUAAAUGACAAGUUGGCCUACCUAUCUUCUCCAAGUUGGCACCUUGGUCCUUUGGUAUUGGCUUGUGAUUAGUCCACCUAUAUGCUUACUCUCCAAGGCUCAAUCUAGGCUCGUUAUUGCCUAUGGCACCUAAGGGACACAUAAGCCCCUUUAAUGCCUAAUAUCUUCUUUUAAUUGGUUGGUUUUUGCCUUGCUUAUCAAGGCUAUAAUCUAGGGCCAUCAUACCUUAAGAUUUAUCUCAUCAAGAAACUUGGAUUUUGGACAAUUUGGUUUCCAAAUUAAACACAUGAGCAUGUGAUUAAUUAAGCUCAUUAAUUAGCUAGAUUCCAAAAGCAUUUAAUGCAUUCUUAUCUUCAAGUCAAGAAAACUCUAGAUUGGCUUCUUCCUCUAGUUAGGAGUGCAGCUCCCUUCCCCUCCAAGUCGGGCGUGUGGUUCUCCAUUCAAAGGCAAAACAUUUUUUAGUAACUUUCGAAAUUAGUACCAUUACCUUAUCAAAUGGACACGAAAAAUUAUAUAAUUUUAAAAUGUUGUAGAGAAGACCUUAUAAAACAUUUUUCAUGAAGGAAUCCAAGCAAAAUUCGUUAUGUGGAAAGAACAGAAAAUCAUUGAACACAACCUAAAAUUUUAUCCGUCGAGCAGAUUCAACCGUCGAGAGAGAGACUCAUUUCAAAAUUCAAAUUUUCAGAAAACUCUUUGAAAUUUUAAUAUUUUGUAGAUAUGGAUACCAUUUAAAAAUUUUGUGAAUGAAGAAUGUCAAAAUUCAUAAGGGAAGAUUAUAUAAAAAUUCGAGAAAGCAACUUGGUUACCGUUUCCACUAUACUGGGCAAGUUGUAUAUGGUAAUUGAUUGGGCCUUUGUCCCAACCAUUUCACCUUAGAAAAAUAUGAAAUUUAAUCAUGUUAUAUAUCAAGAUUUUUUUUAACAACUUUCAUACAGAAAGUAUCUCCAAAUUCGUAACAUAAAAAGCUCUGUAAAAUGGGAAAAUAACAAAGGUUCAUAAAUUUCGAACAUUAAAUAAGGUAAAUUCUAAUUGAAAAGAGAAGUGUUCUCACUGAAUCAAGGCUCAUCUAUGACUAUACAAUCUUAUCUCCCAAGAUCCUAACUAGUCUCUAUACUAGCUUGGACACUUGUCUCGGUUAUUUAUUGGCUAACGUUCAAAAGAAAUAAGGUAGACCCGUCUUGGUCCAAAGUUGGAUUUGUCUUGGCCUUCUCCUUUCUCUCUCUACAUGUGACCUCUCCUUUGUAGGUUCCAAAGUCUACAACUCACACUUAAAUUCUAGGAUAUUAAUGAGCCUAGGCCAUAGGGAUAUUCUUUUCCCCACUUUAUUUAAUACGUUCACAUUUGUUCACACUUGUUCACACUUAUUUUUCCAAGAAAUUUUGAUUCUUCAAGGCUGACGUGUCCCCUUUAUUAAUGGCUUUAAGUCCAAAUCUAAUCUUAUCUUCUGAUGUAAAGUCUCAAUGUGCCAGGUGUCCGUGCUCCUUAAUUUACUACAUGAUGAAGGCAUUAAAUACAACUUGAAAAAUAUCUAAGUUCUGAAGGCCUUGUCAUCAUAGACUAAUUAAAUUUAACCAUGAUCAAUUAUCUUAUUUGGCUCGGGGUUCAUGCAUAAGACAUGAUCGGAGGAAGUAGACAUAACCUAGCUUAACCGGUGAAACUAACCAGGCCGAAGGGAAGGAAAGGCUGGGCACGGGUGGAAAAAGGAAGGAAAGAGAAGGAAGGGUCGGGCGUUGGCCCAUGUGGGGAAGGAAGGAGAGGCCGAUCGGGCCAAGCUCGAAUUCGGCCCAACCGGGCCUCUCUCAUGCGUUUACUGUUUUUUAAAUAUCUAUUUGAGAAAAAAUCAGGUAUCAACAUUUAUAUUUGAGUUUAUGUGAGUAAAAUAAGGAGAAUGUACAAUAGGUUUCUAGAGUCAAGAGCCAUACAGUGGUUUGGAAAAAUGAUAGGUGAAUGAGGAAUCUUAAAUUAAUACUACUUAUGUAUUAAUAUUAAAUAAUUGUUUUGAUGAUAUUUUAAUUUCAAUUUUGUUGAAAAUUAAAUUUAAAAUAUUUUGGAUUUUAUAUUCAAUGGGCCUCAUUCAUGAGAAGUACUUAGUUUUAUAUAAAUGGUACCUACUUCUUGUAAUAUGUCUUAUAAAGAAUUCUUAAUGCCGAGCAUUUCUUUGCAUGGGACCCUUGUGGUAAAACUGAGAGGGAUAGCUACAUUGAUUGGCCAUCUCUAACCUUUUUACUUAUAAAUAAAAAUAUGUAGGAUAAGGAUAACAUGAGUGUCACAACUUUCAUAUAGUACUCACUUGAGCAUUAUAACUUCAUUUUUUUCUCACUUAAGUGUCACAUCGAAGUAAAAUCAAUUACUUGAGUGUCAUUCUCGGCAAAUCAUCGCACCUGGAUUUUUUUUUAUUUUAUUAAUUUUCCAUUUUGACAUGGAAUUUUUUGAAUUUUUUAUUUAUUGUCUACCUCAACACCAGUAAAGCCACAUAGGACAAUUGACAUCCACAUCAAAUUUUUUAGCAAGGAAAAUCACCGAUGGCACCUGAGUAAUUGAUUUUUCGAAUUUGCAGUAUUCAAGUGAGCAAAAAAAAGUUAUAAAAGUUAUGGCACAUGUGUUGUUAUUAUCCAAUUUUCAAGGCCAUAGAAAACAAUGGGAGUAAGUGAAGUAUUAGGUGACAAUGGCAAGUGAAAAUGAAAAUGAGUCUGCUAUUUUCUUGAUGUGAAAAUUGCAAGACAAUGUGAGUUGACUAUUCUACCCUUCCAAGUUGAUGGAAAGUGCACCUAGCAGCACCAUCAAAUCAAGUACAAUAAGAAGCCCAAGAUGGAGUUUUGGGUCUAAUUGAGGCCGAAAAAGAACAAAGUGUAUGAUGUUAACAUAUACAAAAUAAGUUACCAAGGUUGAGUGAUAUAUUCUGUGUAUUGGGAAAUUCUAAAAUUAACCUAAUUUAUUCUACAAGUUAAAAAUAAAUUUCCACUAGCUUGUAAUAGCCAAAGAGAUGUGAAAACAACCUUCUCUUAUGAAAAAUCAUUGAACUUAAUGUAAGACUUACUUAGUAUGCUUACUAAUAUGUUGCAAUUUAAUUUAAAUUUGAAAAGUCACUAGCUAUACAUCAAAAUUGCCAAUUUUGUUAGGCUGGAAGUAAUUUUCCCCUCAACACUUGAAAAAGUUACUAGUAAAUCGAAACAUACACAAUUACAUGAAAGGUUACUCAACCUACAUUAGCAAACAAACUUAAAGAAACCAAUACUUUUUUCACAUAAAUGUUAUUAAUCAUCUAUAAAAAUUGCUGCUGACCAAUAAAUUGUUAUGAAAACUUAUUAGUCAUGGCAAAAAAAUUGUACUAAAUUGUUACUUCUCAUUUAUUGGAGAAUGUAUUGUUAUGGAAUUCAGUAGUUACACCCAAAAAAAAAAAAAAAUCAUUAAUAACUAUAGACAGAUGCCUAAAUGCUUACUUUCUUAAUGUGAAUAUAUUUAAUUAUAUAUAUAGAUUCUGUAGGAUAGCAAAAUGGACAGCGCCUGGAUAAGUAAAUUCAAUUCUUAAAUAUGACCCGCUCACUUGGCCUGGCCAAGCUUAUUUAGACCCAUUCAAUUUAAUGAACAAAACAUAAUAUACAUUAACCUUUUCAUUACGAGAAAUCUUGAAUGGAAAUUCUUAAGACACUAAAAUAGAAAUGAUUCACUUAUUGAUCAGGUCUAUCACAACAAUGAUUUGCAAAUCCGGUUUGACCCAUUUGAGAGAACCGGCCGGACCCCGAACCAUGCCCGACUUCAGGGACAACUCUGAAGUCUCUAAGUCCUUUUCCAACGGCUUGGUUCGCACGUUGUUUCUCUUCUUGCAGACUGAAACGGACGGCGAUGAGUCGAUGACUCAAUUCGGUAAGCGUCCAGAAGGCAGAGUCCCCUCUGACAUGUCCUUUUCGUUCCUCCCCCACCGUCCCCUCCGUCGCCGCCUCGUGCGAGUGGACCGAGAGAGUUGGGGCUGUAGCCAUGUGAUCUCAGUGGAGACGACUGGACCCACCCACUCAAUGUUCAUCACUGAAGAUGCCAUGUCCGUUCGUCCUCUUCAUCCUCCACCUCUCGCGCACGGCUUGACGGGUGCAGUGGCGGCUGGAAGUUGGCGUGGGAUUGGCUUUCGUGACUUUAGUCGUCCGCAGCCUCCGAGACGAGGAACAGGUGGUGAAAGAUUAGGGUUUCGGUACUUGCUGUUUUAGCUUUAGGGGGAAGUUAGAGGUUUUUCUUGUGGUUCAUGGAGAAGAAAGAUAAAAUUGGGCUAAUGGGGUUCAGGCAUUAGAUGGCAGAAGUAAUUUCUUUUUCCUUUAAAUAAGGAUGCUUAAUAGAAAUAACUAGCCCAGGACAUAGUUCAAGGAAAUUAUGAUUGACUAAGGAUGUUAACUUUGAUACAAAGUAAUAAAUGCGGUUGCUCCAGAUCUUAAUGCAUUAAAUUGUGAUGCUGCACAUAGUGGUGCAUCAUGAAAGUUUCGAACAUUUUGAAUUAUAAGAAGAUCAAAAUAAAUUGAGGAUGAAUUAUGGACCAAUUUUAUCGAGUCACAAGUUAAUGGGGAAUUCUUAAGUGCUCAUUUGAAAUGGCAUUUUCUCUUGAAUGGUAAUUUUUCGCAAAAAUCAUAUGAUUUUACUUGAGUUCGAAUGUGAAUAUGCAUAUACUAAAUGAAAUUCAAGAUGCUCCAUACUUCAAAUGAAAUUUAAGAAAUGAAAGUCGACUGAACGUAUCCUCAGAAUCUCAUGACCAAGAACAAGAAAAUUGUUGAUACGAAGAACAAGUGGCUUAGGUGGAGAUGAUGGAGAUCCGACAUGGAAAACCUAUGCUGAAUAGUGGAGACAAAAUCUUCAACCCUGCAAAAAGCUGUGGGGCCAUUAACUAGAAAUAUCGGAUUCUGCAGUACCGCUUUCUUCAUGGAGCUCCUCAAGUCCACUUGCCAGCAACUAUGUAAAUGAUUGUUAGGCCGUGUGUGUACCUCUUAGUGGGAAAGCGCCAUCACCUUCAACCACUAGGCCUUCCUUUCCAUUCCUUUCAUAAUAAUCAAAAUCAUGAUCAAUCCAAAAAGUUGUUUCUAUAAUUAAUCAAUGCUCCCCCUCAAAUUGUUACCUUUUUGAGGUGAUUACGAUUCUUUCUCUUUAUUUUAGAUUCACUUUCUCCUCCUGUUAUCAUGACAUUAUUUGCUAAUAGUACUAAUUGCAGCUUGUGACCAGAAUAUUUUUCCAUUAUUUCCUUUGUAGCAACAUCCACAAUGAUCAUUUGCUUUUUGAAAUUCCACACAGAAAUUUGUUUUCUUCAAUCAAGCUUGUCUCGAAUUUAAUCUGCAUAAACUCAACAAACUUUUUGCACAAAUGUGAUGUUAUAAUAUUCACGUAAUAUAUAAUGCAUUUUCUAUAAAUAAAUAUAAUGAAUAGCAUAUAUAAGAUUAUCAAAUAUUUAAAUUCAGAGCUACUCAACUUGUUCAAUAAUUUGCGAGAACAUUGUGCAAGGAAGAGAAUUUUGAAUCUCCAGAAAAUAAUACAGAACCUCGAAAUCAUCCAUUUGACAAGUCUACUGCUCCACGCGCUUUCAAGGUCUCCUCCAAAAGCCAUUCAUUAUUGUGGGCGUGGGUUUCUUUAUUCCUGAUGUGCCUUUUAUUUAAUUAACUUUCUAAGUAGAGUGACAUGCAUACCCAUCGCCCAUCUAUCAGAGCUGUGGCCCUAGUAAUCAAACAACAUAAAUUAAUGACAAGUCGAGCUUCAUUGCGAAUAGAUGCUGACCAGAAAAGCUGUCAAAUUUGAUGGAGCUCAUCCAUGUAUGCUGAUGCCAUGGUUUCAUCCAUCGCACGGGCUAUCUAAAAGAUAAAAUCGGACUGCCAUUUUAAAAUUCAAUGUCCUUUCACGAGUUCGAUGAACUCCUUAUUCAAAGAUAUCUUGCCUGAGUCAAUUUCACAAAAAUCCAAUGUGUCCAUGGCAUCGACUGUAGCUCGGACAAGUCCCGGAUCUAAAACGGGUAACCGAAGCUUCAAUUUGCAUUAAAUUCCACUACCGCAGGCGUCUACACAAGGUGACUCCAUCACCGAUGGGGACUUGAGAGAUGUCGACUCGCAGGUCGGAAGCUAAGAACUCGUUGAAAUCCACGAUUGCAGUGUGGCCGUUGUAGAAUUUUAGGAUCAAGCUUUUCAAAAUCCACAUGAAAGAUUCUUUUGCCACCUGCAAAUUCUUGUAUAAUAGAUAACAAUCUUUGCAAAUAUAUAUAUAUAUAUAUCAAGUAAUGUCUUCCUUCGAUUUGUGGAUCAAACUCGCUAGAUAUAAGACAUAUUCUAAGAAUAUAGUAAGGGUAUCCAUGAAUAUACAAUAAUAUCUUUCACGAUCAAAGAUAUUUCCUUAAGCAUAAAAACUCAAAAACAUAUUAUUGAUGCAUUUCAUAAAAAGAAAGUAGAUAUUUCUAUCACGUGCCAAAUCAAGCAAUUAAAAAAAAAAACAAUGCUUUAUGUUUAUGACGAGAUAUUUGCAAUAUAAAUCAUAUAUAAUUCAUAGGCAAAUCAUCUAUAAUCUUCAUAAAAUCAAGUAAAAAUUUGCAUUGAUUAAAAAUGAUCAUUGUCAAUCUUGCAUGAGAUACCUUUUUGGUUGCACCAAAAUUUGCACAGAUUCACAAUCAUUCUUCUUUUAUAGAAUUUCUUGCAAUGAACUGAUUUCCUUUUUGGUAUCCAUAAAUUUGGAUCAUUCCUUUUCGUUUGAGCAAAAUAAAAAAUCUCCAUAGAUAAUCAAUUCUUAAUUCUUCAUAACAUAUUAUUUAAGGAAAGGACAUUAUGUACAAUAAUAUCUUGAAAAAUAAAUUCUCACUUGGUCAAAGCACAAUAAAAUCAAAUGGAAUAAAAUCCUUAAGUAUCUAAGAAUAUCUUGCAUAAUAAAUUAAUAUCUCGUAAAACAAAUUUCUACUUUGCAAAAUAUGACAAAAUUUGAGAGCAUAAAAUCAAACCAAAGAAAGUCAAUUGUCUCUAAGCAAAAUAUCAAAUCAAUCACACUUAUUAAAUCAAAUCUCAACUCACGAAUCAUAAAAACAAAUCACACGAUUCUUCCUUAAAUAAAACAAAUCAUAGAAUACGAUCAUAAUAAAAUCCGAAUAAACCAAGGAUAUAUCGAAUAUCAAGAACAAUGAGAAUUAUGUGCCUGAAUCAAAUUGAGAAAAAAAUUUACCUUCCUUACCAAAUUCUCUUUCUUCUUUUCCUUUAUUUCCUGCAAAAACAACUUAUCUUUUCUUUAACACCCAAAUUUUCUUGGGUCCUUGAGAGUUAGUAGAGUAUGCUAUUUUUACCCAAUCUUUUUUAACAAGUCUCCAGACUUUAGAAUAUUCUUUCUCAAAGUGUUAUGAAUUUUCAUAAUUUGAACACUUGAGGGCAUUUCGACCAAUGGAUUUUGUAAAGAUCCUUUGAAAAUAAUUCUUGUACACAAGUCUAGGAGGUCAAUGUCUAAGUUUCUCCUUGACAUUAGGAAAAUCUAUUAGAGAAUCACUUUCCUUAUUAAAACAAAGUCCUGACUUAUUAUAGUAAGGUCCUUCUAUGGAAAGAAUAUGCUAUAAUGUUUUUUUAACCCUUUGAAAAUUUUGUUGAAAUAUUUGAAAAUUCAUUUUUUAAAAAAUCAUGUUCUUUGACAAGUAAAUCUUGACUUUCUUUUGUUUGUAGAAAAUCUUUUUGCAAAUUUUCAAAAUUUUCUUUUCGAGAAAGAUCCAGUUGCCUAAGCCAUGAAUUCUUCUUUUUUAGUAUGAAAAUCCUUUUAAGAGAAGAUUUAAGAUUUGAGCAAAGCUCAUUUAUAUAUUUAAAAAAUUUAGUAGAAAUUUCUAAAUGACUUACCUCGAUUUCCUUGUCGGAUUUUGAGUCUAUGUUUGAGUCAAACUUUGAUUCUGAGUUUGAUUCUAAUUCCGAAUUUGAGUCUGAGUUUGAAUAUGCCAUUAAUCAUAUAUUUCCUUACUCAUCAUCUUCUUUCAUUGUUUUUUUUUUUUGUUGCCCAUUCUACUUAUAUUGUUUUCGUCCACUGAAUUUCCUUCAUUUUCUACUCAGUUUUUUAAAUUUCUUGAUCAUAAAAACAAGUUCUUCGUCAUCCAUGUCAUUUUCUGAGUUUGUAUCAUCAGCAUCAGCGUUAAAUUUUAAAGCAAUGGACUUCUUACCUUCAAGAUCUUCAUAAAUGAUUUGUUCCCCUUCGUAGGAUUGGAGAGUGCCAAUAAGUUCAUCAACAGAAAGUGGCAUAAUCCUAUAAGUCUCAUGGAUUGAGGUAUUAACAUGAUUUCAAUCUUUUGAGAGACCUCGCAGAAGUUUGUUGACCUUUAUUGGGGCAGAUAUUGACUGACCUUGAUACGCCAAACCAUUUACCAUUUCUAUAAAACGACUGAACAUAUCUCCAAUCAACUCUCCUGACAUCAUCUUGAAGAAUUCAUAUUGGCCAAGCAGGAAGUUUACUUUUGUCUUUUUUACACGAUCAGUCCCUUCAUAAGUAACAUGAAGUCUAUCCCAAACUUUUUUAGUUAUUUCACAUGAAGAAAUUUCAUUAUAUUCAGCAAGAGACAAGGCACAGAGUCACACCCCCACCCCAUUUCUGACAUGAGAGCAUGACCCGACGGGUUAACAUCAACGCCUUAGGCAACGUUGAAUGUCCCGAAAGUCUUUUAUUUUUAGUUAAGCACAUACCAAAGAGAUCAUAAAUAAUCUCGUACAAACAUACAUGGAAGCCGGGCAAGAUGCAUGCAAGCCAAGCAAAUAAAAGCAGCACAUGCACAUACAUAUUCACCCAUCAAAAGCUGUUUUGAUUACAUACCAAUCCUAGUCCUGAACUACUUAUUUUCAUUCCAUAUAUAAUCAAAAGGGCUGGGGUAGCCUAGCUCCUCUAUCGAGCUACUCCUAAACGCGCCCCUCAUGCUAGAUUCAUUCCCUACUUGGAUCCUGGCUCACCCAUCAUACACCUGGAAUGGUGAGAACAAUAAGAGUGAGUCGAUAACUCAAUAAGUAGAAAUUCCUUCUCCUAUAGGAAGACAUCUCGCCAUUGAUUGUCGGAUACAAGGUCACCAUCCAUUUGUCAAUGGCAAAUCAAUAGCAAGGUUCGUGCCUUGCCUUGCUUAUCCAUAUGAAAGGCUCUCAAUUUUCUAUGUCCUUUCAAGAAUCGAAGACAAUGAGUUAGUGCAUAUGAACAAACUUUCCAGGGAUCCGUGGCUUAUGAUCGUUUUGGUCAUAUAAAGGGAUGCUCGCAUCUCAUUAAACUCAUUCAAGCACUAAGUGACCCAAUUCAAAUAUAUGCUCAAAUUGAUACAAGUACUUAACAAUACAUAUCAAACAAACCCAUUUUUUGCAAGCAUCACACAUGUAUUAGUCAUGGACCACACGUGGAACUUCAUUUUCCUUUUUCAGUAUCAUAUUAGCCGAAAUUAAUCGGCUCUUCCAGUAACCACCGGGCAUUGGUCUCCCCCUUGGCAACCGACAUUGUCACGCCCCAAUACUUCGAGCACGUGCCCAUCCUUUUGCGGUCAAUUAAAACCUCAAGUAUAUAUAGAGGUAUCUCCGAUUCUGGUAUGGGGCCUUCUCUCUGACCAUUCCGAUCCUAACGGUACCAUGAUCUAUAUCGAUGGGGUAUCUUAUGGGGUAGACCCACAUUGACCCAAACCAUGGACCUCACGAGUUCGUACUCUCAUCCCCUAGGGCUCCCAUGAAGCGGAAUAUAGCAUCUUUGUUCAGUGACCUUCUUUGGUUGAUCAAAAAGCUCGUGAGGAGCUGCCAUUUGGGACCUUGAAAAUGUUAUCCCACAACGGGGUGAGAUGACGUCUUAGCAAGUUCACCCCCUAAGACUCGACUAGGAAGAAAAUAUGCCCCAAGGGCUACCUAAGCACAAGCACAAAUCAGAGGAUUUACCUUUGCCUCGGUUCCUUCCUGCAAGUCAGUAUAAUUAAUAAUCAUAACAAAUCAUUUCAACACAUCAAGGCAUCAAGUCAAAUCGAACCACUGAUCAAUUGACUUAGUCAAUUCUAUGUCAUCAAGACCAUCACUCAGUCAAUCCGUUCAAUACUAUUUAUAAAGUCCGAUCAUAUCAAGGACUGCUCACUCUAAGUUGAAAAUAAAUAGUAUAACUUGCACUAAGCUAAUAAAGUAGUCUACUCUUGCUAAGCUAACGUAUCAAAGCCCUAUGGCUGACAUAGUAUACUGAUAAUGCUCACUCUAAGUUGAUAAGGUAUACUGCUCGCACUAAGCUAAUAUAUCAAAGCCCUUAAGCCGAUAUAGUAUACCGAUAUAUUGCUCUCGCUUAGCUGACAUAUCAGAGCUCGUAGGCUGAUAUGAUAUACCAUCCUGACCAUCUAACAUUUUCACCAUUUUUAUCAUAUCUGAUAAAAAUAAUCGUGUGUGAGUACACGGUCGGUCUUAACCAAAAUUCAAUAUUUUCCCUUUUGAAAAUUCCAUUAAUUUUCCACAAUCCACAACCACAUUUUUGGCGUUGUAAACUGACGCCCGGUAUUUUCUAAUUAAUUACUGAAAUUAUUAAAUUUUGGGAUAAAUAUCCCAAAAUUGCAAUUCACACUCAAAUUGCACAAAAUAGCACUCAAUUAAUUAAACAAAUCACACCACUACAAUCAGCAUAAAAUUCCGAUCAUUGGUUAUCCUGAUCUAAUUUUCGGAAAAUAAUAAUUAAUUAAAUAAUUACGAAAAUUAAUUAAUAAAUGCUAAUAGCUAGCAAAAAUGCAAACUUAGGCUGGAAAAGCCUAAUUAAAAGCCGAGACGGGCUCGAAAAAUUUCCGAACCUGCCUAAUUAAAUACUACGGCCUAUCUACUUGUUAAUUGCACUAUUCUAACCACCUAACAUGUAUCAAGGAUUUAGUAAAUCACUAAUCCAUUCUAACUAACCACCUAAUAUUAGCUUAGCCUAAACUAAUUUAUCCCCUAAGCAUCAUUAGCUCUAUAAGUGAGGAUUAGUGAGUAAACUCACUUGAUUAGUGAUCCAAUGAGCUCACUUCGACGGGGAUGCAUAGAUGAUCAACAAUCUCCAAAGAGGGGACACCAAGUGGGGUCGGGAAGGGCUCAGAAGCGGGCCAAAUAGUGGCUACAGACCCACUAGCUUCGGCUUUUGUUCUUGGCCAAACAAGGUUGCUUCGGGGACUAAUUGAGCUAGAAAUGAGCAAGGUGAGACGGACGGGGCUGUUGUAGGCUUUUGAUGACUCGGUGGGCGUGUAGGAGACUCCGGCGACGGCAAGGGCAGUUCGAAUGGUUCGGAGGACGGCUUGGGGUCACAAUAAAGGUGGAACGGCGACUGGAAGGGCUGGACGACGCGCAGGGGACGCAUGGCUAGCAGGCAAGGCUCGCAAUGGUGCUGGACAGUGGCAGUGGCUCGGACUAGCAAGGGGCUUGGUUGGACAAUUACUGGCUGCUUUCCUCUGCAAUUUUUGAAGUCUUUUAGCUCUGAAAUGAAGGGGGGUCAACAAAUUUGGAGGGGGAAGAAAGAGGGGGAAUCGGCUGUUAAGGGGGGGCCACUUUGGUCUCCUCUCUAUCUCUUUGUCUCCUUGGAAGGCCCUACCAUGGAUGGGCUGGCUUCUGUAGCCACUUGCAGCAGCCAAUCUUCCUCUAGAAGUCUUGGAGAUGGUCCAAAAGUUAUGGACCAUGAGGGGCUACGAAUUUUGGUGGCCUUUGGCUCAAAUCCACCUCAAUUCCACUUCCAAUCUCUCUUGAACUAGUGUAAUUCAGCCUCUAUAAAUUUCAUCAUCAUAUCCUCGAUCAAAUUGGCAUUUUUCCUCGCCAAUAGAACCUACUUGCAUCCCAAUUUCGCGAUAAAAAACGGUCUUUUGUAUUUUUUGAACAAAAACAGUCCUAACCCGACUUUUCGCCAAAAAUCUCGGUUUGCAGAAAAAAUCUUUAGAAAAUGAAUUGACGUUCCUAAAAUGAUUUGUGACAUGAUAGAACUUUCAAUUUCUGAAAUAGGAUUUAAAUUCGCGAUUAAUUUCAAUCUGGCGCGAUUUUAGCAUGACCUUAGUUACCGGGUAGCUUUCAGAAAUGUUUAGUACAAAUGACCCGUGGUCGAUUUUCUUUGAGCCCCAAUGAACCUCUUCAAAACAUUGACGACUCUUGGUGGUUGUGAAAAUUUCAAGAUUUCAAAUAUGAACAUAGGGUACUAAAACGACAGAAAAAUUAAUCUAGUGUCGAUCGACGAAAAUUUUGCAAUUUAGUGGAAUCACCCACAUUUAGCCAUACACCUCAAUCAAACCGACCUAUCUUUGAUCUCUAAUUGAUUUUUAACUAUGCCGCAAUGAUCUCUACAGAUGAGCACGGUCGAGUAGUCAAUUCUUGGUCGAAUUCCUAAGUCUAUUGCAUUGAAAUUCCUUAAUGACUUCCCCAUAUAAUCUAGUUAUCUCAGGAGUGAUCAACUUUGAGAACAGCACUAUAAACGCGUUGAUGAAAUGCCUUAUUUAUCUAAUUGAAAAUAGAAUUGAAAAUUUUAAAUAGUCAUAGACAUCGUCCUAAUCUCAUUAUCUUGACAGCAUCCAAGGCGACCCCCAGGCAUAUUCCUCACCCGGGCCAGCAUCGUCCACAAUCUCAAUAUCGAGAUGGCAUCCAAUGCUUUACCCUUGGCAACGACCCGUCAUCCCCCAGCGUUGGCAUAUAAGUCCAUUGUGUCUCCAUGCAUUUCAAGUAUCAACUGAUUCAUGUUAUGUUUAAACUUUUAGCCAAAUGAAAGGCUCGAAGGUGUGCCAUACAAAGUGAACUAAUGAAUGACUUGUGUUUUAUUAAAUCAAACUCAUGCUGAAUGCGAUUCGGGCUUAUGACCUUGACUUUGAACCAUUCUGUUAGGCUUUAGCAUUGUCCAUAGUCAUCGAGACCUCUCCUCGUCAUCCGGGUGUGCUCGACACUCAUGCGGGAUCAUGAACUUACUUAAUGCAACAACAAGCAAUAGAAACACAACAAGCAUAACAAUACAAAGCCAACACAAGCAAACGAUGACAUGAUCCUAAAAUUGAUAAGCGUAGCAUAUCACCCUAUCGAAAAGUUAGGAAAAUCUACUUACUACUUUUUAGACCUAGCUCCAAGAUGCUUCUUUGGUGUCGGUUGAGGUCUAGGGCGGCUUGGAAGAGAAGGGCAUGAAAGAGAAAGGAGGAAGGGAGAGGAUAGAAGAAAAUGGUUAAGCCUCUAAAUGUGAGGAUGCCUUCUUCUAUUUAAAAGCCUCUUCUUCUUAGAUUUUUAUCCAAACUUAUGAUUAUGCCUAAAUGACGAGUUGGCCUACCAUCAUCUCGAGUUGGUGCUUAGGUCCUUUGGUGUUGGCUUGUGAUUGGUCCACAUAUAUGCUUACUCUCCAAAACUCAAUCUAGGCUCGUUAUUGUUUAUAGCGCCUAAGGGACACAUAAGCCCCUUUAAUGCUAAUGUCUUCUUCUAAUUGGUUGGUUUUUGCCUUACUUAUCAAGGCUAUAAUCUAGGCCAUCAUAUCCUAAGAUUUAUCUAAGAUUUGGUUAUCAAGAAACUUGGACUUUGGACAACUUGGUUUCCAAGUUAAACACAUGAGCAUGUGAUCAUUAAGCUCAUUAAUUUAGCUAGCCUCCAAAAGCAUUUAAUACAUUCUUAUCUUCAAGUCAAUAAAACUCUAGAUUGGCUUCUUCCUUUAGUAAGCGUGCAGCUGCCUUCCCCUCCAAGUUGGGCGUGUGGUUCUUCAUUCAAAGGAAAAACAAUUUUGAGCAACUUUCGAAAUCAGCACCAUUACCUUAUCAAAUGAACUAGAAACAUUAUAUAAUUUUAAUAAGUUGUAGAGAAGACCUUAGAAAAAAAUUCAUGAAGGAAUCCAAGAAAAUUCUUUCUGUGGAAAGAGUAGAAAAUCAUUAAACACAACCUAAAAUUUUAUCCAUCAAGCAAAUUUAACAAUUGGAGAGAGAGACUCAUUUCGAAAUUCAAAUCUUCAGAAAACUCUUUGAAAUUUUAGUAUGUUGUAAAUAUGGAUGUCAUUUAAAAUUUUUGUGAAGGAAGCAUGUCCAAAUUCAUAAGGGAAUAUUAUAUAAAAAAUUGGGAAAGCAACUUGGUUACCAUUUUUCACUAUACUGGGCAGGUUGUAUACGGUAAUUGAUUGGGCCUUCAUCCCAAUCAUUUCACCUUAGAAAAAUAUGAAAUUUAAUCAUGUUAUAUAACAAUAUUUUUUUAACAACUUUCAUGAAGAAAGCUUCUCCAAAUUCAUAACAUAAAAAGCUAUGUAAAAUUGGCAAACAACAAAGGUCUAGAAAUUUCGAACAUUAAAUAAGGUAAAUUCUAAUUGAAAAGAGAAGUGUUCCUACUUGGCCUUGAAUCAAUGGUCAUCUAUGAUCAUAAAAUCUUAUCUCCCAAGAUCCUAAGUAGGCUCUAUACUAGCUUGGACACUUAUCUCGAUUAUCUAUUGACUAACGCCCAAAAGAGAUAAGGUAGACCUAUCUUGGUUCAAAGUUGGAUUUGUCUUGGCCUUCUCAUCUCUCUCUCUCUCUACAUGUGACCUCUCUUUUGUAGGUUCCAAAGUCCACCAUUCACACUUAGAUCCUAGGAUAUUAAUGAGCCUAGGCCAUAGGGAUAUUUUUUUCCCCACUUUAUUUAAUACGUUCACAUUUGUUCACACUUGUUUUUCCAAGAAAUUUUGAUUAUCCAAGGCUGAGGUAUCCCAUUCAUUAAUGGCUUUAAAGCCAAAUAUAAUCUUAUCUUCUGAUGUAAAAUCUCAACGUGCCAGGUGUCCAUGCUCCUUUAUUUACUACAUGAUGAAUGCAUUAAAUACAAUUUGAAAAAUAUCUAAAUUCUGAAGGCCUUGUCAUCACUGACUAAUUGAAUUUGACCAUGAUCAACUAUCUUAUUUGGCUCGAGAUUCAUGCCUAAGACAUGAUCGGAGGAAGCAGAUACAACCUGGCUUAACCGGUGAAACCAAGUUCGGACUUCUCUUUUACCAUGUAAAGGGCUCGAAGUUGAGGAUGUUACAUAUAGUAUAAGGAAUUAAUGGCUUUUACAUCAAGAGCUUCUCUUUUGGAUAUCUUCUUCCGAGUCAUAGGAGCAGGUGGUUUGGUUUCUUUGUCUUUACCAUUCUUAUUUGAUGUAGACGCAGUAGUGGGAUUGAUUCAUUUUUCCACAACAUUCUAUUGCAAGGGAUCUUUGGAUCUUAAGAAUGCCUUCAUUUUGUUUUUCCAAACAUUGUAUUCCUUUCCAUUGAAAUAUGGUGGCCUGGUGUUGCUUCGCCCUUCAAUCAGCCCUGGUGCCAAUAUACUAGUCAUAGAAGAUCUUUAGCUCAGAAGUAAAAGCAUUUCAAUAAGACAAACACCACAACUCUAAUACCAAUUGAAAGUGCUAGUAUUACCACUUAGAGAGGGGUGAAUAGAUGUUUAAUAUAAGUAUUGGCAAUUAAAUGCGGAAUAAAAUAAGUUGUGAACAAAGUCUGAAUAAGGAUUAGAGUCUGAUAAACGAGUCACCAAAUUUCUAGUAGAUAUUCAAAAUUUGUUAUGCGAUGGAAUAGACUUCUGAAAUAACCUAUAAGUAUGCAACGGACUUAAAUAAGAAGAGUUAAGAGAAUAGAAGGUUGCACACGAAAUUUGUAGUGGUUCAGUUUAAAUCAAGCUUACAUCCACUCUCCCAUGCUAACAGCCUUCUAGCUAGAUUUCACUAUGUGAUCAACAAGAGAUUACAACUUUAAGUACAAACAUUUAGUGGUGGAUCACACUAUCUCAAUAAGUUACUCUUUUGAUAUUUCUCUCACGAUCACAAACAUUUAAGCUCACAAAAGAUAAGUGUAUAAUCGAAAUUCGCUCAGAUUUUGGAAUUAUAGAUUUCACGCUCCCUCUCUUACUUGCUCCUUUGUCCUUGGUGUCCUUAAAUAUUCCUCCACUUCCAAACUAGCCGUUGAACAAUGUCUAAAAGAUCGUCUUCCAAUCUACCCAUUAGACAGAUCUGUAUCAAGAAGAUUUAGUAGCCAUUAAGUGACAAAAGUAGAAUCCCAAAUUAAUUCUGAUUACCCAUACAAACAAAAUUUUAGUUUCCAUAAGUAAAGUUUCUUCGUUUAGAAAGUUCCUAUCUUCAAGGUCCAAUUAUCAAUCAAUUAGAUUGAGUCAAUCAAAUCUAUCUUGAUAUAAAAUCCAAACCAGAUCACAAGCCGUUAUAUGUUUGGGGCUUAUGUUACGUUCUAUCAAAUUGUCUCGUUCUGAAUAUGUUUCGUUAUGGACUUUCAUGUAUUGAAUUUGUGUCUCGUUCUAUAUAUAAGGUUUGAGUAUGUUCUGUCGAAAGUAGAAUCUAACUAUCUUCCAUCUGAAAUAGACUUUACAAUCUAGACAUAAGUUUAAACAUAUUAUGCUUUUGAACAUAUUUAGCCUUAGGUCUGAACACAGUAUGAAUAAGUUCAGGUUUAGCAUAGAAUCUAUUUUCCGGUUCUUUCAAGUAUAAACUUCGACAAUAUUAUUUACAUGUUCUAUUAUCUGCAUGGUCUAUUACUCAACCAUUAAACACGUUAGUAACUUUGAUUUAUUUUGUUAUCUUCAAAAUAUCAUAAAGAAUUUCCCUAAUAACAGUAAAAUAAAAGACAGUAAAUUAUAAAGACAACUAAAACCUGUGGAAAAGCUCCUAUGAGAAGGAGCAUCUCAAUAAUUGAUGAUGUUGCCUCAGAAUCAAGAGUCUUUGAGUUCUUCGCCUUUGGUAGAUUCAAAGUGUUCGCAUGAGAGGUAGUCAAUGGUCUAGUUUGGUUUGAACAAAUCAACGAUGAACAGUCAUCCGUGACAUAAUGCUGACAUGUCGAAUAAUGUCAGCAAAGCAGAAGUGAUGUAGUGGAUGACUCCAACAAAGUGGAGGCCCGUGACUCAUGUAGGCACAUGUCGCUAAGGAGGCGUGAUAUCCUUUUGGCGGUGUGCGGAGCCUUGUUCGUAGAUGGUUGGCGCUAAGACUUCCUGAGCUGCCUUGACGGAGGACGACAAGUCAUGGAUUGGUGUUUGUUUUUCAAUUAUGCGGUGGAAGGCUUCCAAAUUACCAUGGAAUAACGAUGGGCUCCUCAAGUCGAAGACGUGAUGGCGCGUGGUGGCGCUUGUAGAGGCAUCCAGCUUAUGUUGGUGACGAAAUUUUAGGGUUUUGCUUGUCUGAGGGCAGUGAGUGCGAUGGUGGUUCUGGCUUGUCGAAAUAAGCAUUGGAAGUAUGUCGAACAUCAACUAAAGGUUCUGGUCUUGGUGGAGAACAGGUAGCAGCAAUGCAACUAACAUCGUGGCGGCCAACAUGUAGCAAACUUGAUGGGUGCACCUCAAGUAACAAUGGCUCUAAUACCAAUUUGAGAAUUGUGAUAAUAAAAAAUCAUUAUAUUAUGUACAAUGUCAAAUUGAGUACACAAGCCAUUUAUUUGCUAUACACGAAGAUUAUCUAAAAUAACAAAAUAUUCAAUACCAUUCACGAAUCAUAAAAUAUCCUAAAUAUUUCUCUAACACUACCAAAUCUAUUAAAGCCAAAACUAGGAAAAUUGAACUGUCCAACUUUUGUAAGUUGUUGAUGGUCUAACGCUGAUUAAGCAUACUAAGUAUGAAGUGUUAAAGAGACAGAACAAAGAAGAGUAGAACAGAAGCUGAUAGAAGCAAAGAGGAGUAGAGCAAACUUGAAGAAAAGAUGAAAGAUGAGCUGGCCAACUAUAAAGAAGUUGAAGAAACAGAAGCUGACCUCGUGAUCCGUAGAAAAGCUGAGUUGGCAAUCCUUGUGAAGAAUCUGAAUAUACAAGCUGAUCAAAUGGAGCUGCACGUGUGUCACGUUUAAUCAUUCUGUUACUAAAGUUGUUAUUUCUGGUUUGCAUUUUUAGUAUAAAAGGAUUUGAAGAAAACUGUUGUACGAGUAUGAUUCAUUCUGCUGAAAACUUGAAUUACUCUGUUCUCUGAAUUUCCUCUGUUCUUCUCGAAGUUCUCUCGGUUCUAUAUGUAUCUUUGUUCUUCUUCAUAUAGCAAAACCUUGGAAGAUUGAAUGAGAAGAAAGGUUGAAGGAAAUAUUCAAUUGAUGUAUUGCAACUGAUUGUUCAGCAAUUACAGAAUACAUAAAUCUCUUGAAUACAGGUUCUUCUCUAGAUUCUGUUUCUUCUCAUGGUAUCAGAGCAUGUUUCCUGGGAGUUCUAGAUCUAAUAUGUGUUACUGAAAGCCUGUGUGAAAGAUCACAUGAGCAAGACAUUACGAAGAUCUUGUUGAUUUCUCAGUAAGCUGAUUUUCGCAGUUUACUUGAUUGUUCCUCGCAUCUUCAAAGUUUCCUAAAGAAAUAGUAUGGCAACGAGAGUGCAGAAGUAUCCUUUUCCUAUCCAUGUGAAUAUAGCCAACUUUGUUACAAUCAAGUUGAAUGAAGAGAAUUUUCUAUUAUGGCAAGCGCAAUUUAACAGGUUUAUGAAAAGUCAAGAUUUGAUUGGCUUUAUUAAUGGUGAAACAUUACCACCUGCUCAAAUGAUGCAAACUGAGAAUGGGGAAGUGAUGAAUCCUGAUCACCAGGUCAGCUUCUGUUUCUAUGGAUUCUCAGAUGCAAAUACCAUGAGAAGAAACAAAAUCUAGAGAAGAACCUAUAUUCAAGAGAUUUCUGUAUUCUGUAAUUGCUGAACAAUCAGUUGCGAUACAUCAAUUGAAUAUUUCCUUCAACCUUUCUUCUCAUUCAAUCUUCCAAGGUUCUGCUAUAUGAAGAAGAACAAAGAUACAGAUAGAACCGAGAGAACUUCGAGAAGAACAGAGGAAAUUCAGAGAACAGAGUAAUUCAAGUUUUCAGCAAAAUGAAUCAUACUCGUACAACAGUUUUCUUCAAAUCCUUUUAUACUAAAAUGCAAACCAGAAAUAACAACUUUAGUAACAUAAUGAUUAAACGUGACACACAUGCAGCUCCAUUUGAUCAGCUUUUAUAUUCAGAUUCUUCACAAGGAUUGCCAACUCAGCUUUUCUACGGAUCACGAGGUCAGCUUCUGUUUCUUCAACUUCUUUAUAGUUGGCCAGCUCAUCUUUCAUCUUUUCUUCAAGUUUGCUCUACUCCUCUUUGCUUCUAUCAGCUUCUGUUCUACUCUUCUUUGUUCUGUCUCUUUAACAUCCCCCCUCAAAUUGGGAAUGGGAAGAGUACAAAUUCCCAAUUUGACUCGUAGAUGAGAAUGUGCUAUUCUUGACAAAGGUUUUGUAAAUAUAUCAGCAAGUUGGUAAUUACUGGGAAUAUAUUUUACAUGUAAUGACCCAGAAGAUACCUUUUCUCGAACAAAGUGAAAAUCUACUUCAAUAUGUUUUGUUCGAGCAUGUAAGACAGGAUUAACAGUGAGUGAGAUAGCUGAUUUAUUGUAUAUAUGAAGGACAAUCACAAUCAUACAACAGUGAAGCUAGGAAGGAAAAUCAAGGGGCUGUAUCAAGUGGAAUCUAGAGGAACAGAAGCUUUCUUCACUCAGGCUCAAUAUGAAGUAGGAGAAGAUGUCUGGCAUCAAAGACUUGCUCAUACCAGCUUAAAAACAGUAAAGAUUCUGUAGAGUCAACAUCUAAUUCAAUAUAAGUCGAAUGCUCUAAGUAUGUGUAGCAGCUGUCAAAUUGCUAAGAGCUCAGCUUUGCCCUUUCCUAUCUCAGAACAUAUCUCUAAUGUUCCUCUAGAAAAGAUACAUUGUGAUGUAUGGGGACCAUCACCAAUUUCAUCUGUUCAGAAGUUUCAUUACUAUGUCAUCUUUGUGGAUGAUUUCUCUCGAUAUAGCUGGAUAUAUCCAAUGAGACAGAAGUCAGAAGUAUAUGAUGUGUUUGUUUUGUUUCAAAGACUAGUAGAGAAUCAACUCGAUCACAAGAUCAAAGUGUUUCAAAGUGAUGGAGGAGGAGAAUUCACAAACAUCAAAUUUCAGAAUCAUCUACAAUAGUGUGGGAUUAAACAUAACAUCUCUUGUCCUUAUACACCAGAACAAAAUGGUGUCUCCGAGAGGAAGCAUCGACAUGUGGUUGAAUUGGGUCUAGCAAUGCUGUAUCAUGCAAGAGUACCAUUGAAAUACUAGGUAGAUGCCUUCAUGACAGCAGUCUAUGUAAUCAAUAUGCUCCCCACAACAAAACUGAAUAUGAACUCACCUCACUAUAAGCUGUACAAACAGAGACCAAAUUAUGCUCAUCUACGGGUUUUUGGAUCAGCUUGUUAUCCUUGCCUCAGAUCCUAUACAAAGCAUAAAUUUGAUCCAAGGUCUCUCAUGUGUAUAUUUCUUGGAUACAGUGAGAAACAUAAAGGCUAUGGGUGUCUUUUGCCUACUAAUGGAUGUGUCUAUAUUAGUAGACAUGAAGUUUUUGAUGAAAAAGAAUUUCCCUUUACUUGAUAAACUACUUCUGAAUAUCGACAAGGAUCUGAACUAUACAAGCAUUGGAUAAGAAGUUCAGCAUCUACUACAUCCAAUACUACCAAACAGAUUCAGUCACAAGCCAAUAAAUCAAGUGAAUCUUUGCAGAGUACUAGAUCAAGUCAGAUUACUCCAGAAAUACAGAACAGUGAGAUCAGCAGUGUAAAUCAUGCAGUUAUGCCACAAAUGAAUAUAGUACCUGAUGCUGAGCUUCAGAUCACUCCUGAUAAUGCAUUCAAUAAUGUUGAAACACCUCAGAUAUCUCCAGAUAUUGAACAACAAGUGUCUAUCAGUCAGGAAUCUGACUUGACAUCUCCUGCUAACAUAGAACAACCACAAAUUAGUCCUAUAUAAGAAGUCACACAAGGUACAUUAUCUACUCAUCCUAUGCAGACUAGACUAAGAUCUGGGAUUAUUAAAGCAAAUCCCAAAUAUGCAUGUCUGGUUGAAUAUCAGGUUCCAAUUGAACCAAAGUCAGUAAAAUCUGCAUUAGCACACACAGGAUGGUGUCAAGCAAUGCAUGAAGAAAUGGAUGCUUUAUAUCAAAACAAAACCUGGGAGUUAGUCCCUAGAAAUGAUCAAAUGAAUGUUAUUGGCUGCAAAUGGGUGUUUAAAACUAAACUUGCACCAGAUGGCAGUUUAGAUAGACUAAAAGCUCGACUUGUAGCCAAAGGUUUUCAUCAAGAAGAAGGUAUUGAUUUCACAGAAACCUAUAGUCCUGUAGUAAAGCAUGCUACAAUCCGAAUAAUUCUCUCAGUAACAAUGGUAAAACAGUGGCCAAUUCAUCAGUUAGAUGUUAAAAAUGCCUUCUUACAUGGUAACUUGAGUGAAACAGUUUAUAUGGAACAGCCACCAGGUUUUAAAGAAUCACAGAGACCUCAUCAUGUUUGUCUUCUUAGAAAAUCCCUCUAUGGACUUCGACAAGCCCCUCGAGCUUGGUUUGACAAGUUCAGCAGUUUCUUACUAGAAUAUGGGUUCUUUUGUAGCUCAACUGAUCCUUCCUUGUUCAUUCUACAUGCUGGUAAAGAAACAAUCCUCUUACUACUAUAUGUUGAUGAUAUCCUUUUAACUGGAAGCUCAUCUCAAGUUCUCUCUGGUCUCAUUACUGCUCUAAGUCUUCAGUUUCAUAUGAAGGAUCUUGGUUCACUACACUAUUUCCUUGGCAUUGAAGUUAAGCGUACCCCUGACCAUUUGUUCCUUUGCCAAGCCAAAUAUGUUAUAGAUCUUCUCACCCGAGCCCAUAUGCUCGAGUCUAAACCAAUUUCAACUCCCCUUUCAUUAAGACCAACCAUUUUGAUCAAUGACACUAUGGCCUUGUCAAAUCUUGCUGAGUAUAGAAGCAUUGUUGGUGGCCUCCAAUACCUCACAUUAACUCGGCCAAACAUUGCCUAUGCCACUAAUCUACUCUGCCAGAAAAUGCAGAAACCUACCAUUGCAGAUCUCCAUAGAAUGAAAAGAGUACUGAGAUAUGUUAAAGGUACAAUCCGCUUUGGCUUAUUCAUUCAUUCACAAAGCACCAUGCAUCUCUAUGGAUUCUCAAAUGCAGACUGGGCUGGAUGUACUGAAACCAGAAGAUCAACAACUGGAUUUUGCACAUAUCUUGGCUCCAAUCUCAUCUCCUGGGCAGCAAAGAAACAGCCAACAGUUAGUAGGUCUUCUACAGAGGCUGAGUACCGUGCACUUGCAUCAACCACUGCUGAUCUCACUUGGAUCAGCUUUGUCUUACGAGACAUCGGUUGUUCUCUUACUCCUCCAAUUCAUCUAUACUGUGACAAUAAAUCAGCUAUCUCACUCACUGUUAAUCCUGUCUUACAUGCUCGAACAAAACAUAUUGAAGUAGAUUUUCACUUUGUUCGAGAAAAUGUAUCUUCUAGGUCGUUACAUGUAAAAUAUAUUCCCAGUAAUUACCAACUUGCUGAUAUCUUUACAAAACCUUUGUCAAGAAUAGCACAUUCUCAUCUACGAGUCAAAUUGGGAAUUUGUACUCUUCCCAUUCCCAAUUUGAGGGGGGAUGUUAAAGAGACAGAAUAAAGAAGAGUAGAACAGAAGCUGAUAGAAGCAAAGAGGAGUAGAGCAAACUUGAAGAAAAGAUGAAAGAUGAGCUGGCCAACUAUAAAGAAGUUGAAGAAACAGAAGCUGACCUCGUGAUCCGUAGAAAAGCUGAGUUGGCAAUCCUUGUGAAGAAUCUGAAUAUACAAGCUGAUCAAAUGGAGCUGCACGUGUGUCACGUUUAAUCAUUCUAUUACUAAAGUUGUUAUUUUUGGUUUGCAUUUUUAGUAUAAAAGGAUUUGAAGAAAACUGUUGUACAAGUAUGAUUCAUUCUGCUGAAAACUUGAAUUACUCUGUUCUCUGAAUUUCCUCUGUUCUUCUCGAAGUUCUCUCGGUUCUAUCUGUAUCUUUGUUCUUCUUCAUCUAGCAGAACCUUGGAAGAUUGAAUGAGAAGAAAGGUUGAAGGAAAUAUUCAAUUGAUGUAUUGCAACUGAUUGUUCAGCAAUUACAGAAUACAAAAAUCUCUUGAAUACAGGUUCUUCUCUCGAUUAUGUUUCUUCUCAUGAGGUGCCGGUCGAAGCGGUGCUCUCGCAGAUUAAGGUAUGCUAAGCUAGAUUCAGUUAAUAUGAACAACAUCUAGAAUGCGUCAAUAAAAGUCACUCAAGUUUGGCAACAAGACCGCCAAAAUAGAACCACUUGCAAGUUGCAGCAUCCAUCACAACAUAAUCCACUUGGUAAAGAUCUCAAUUGCAUACGAUCAAAAAAAAAAGAUCUCGGUUGCAAAGGUGGAGUAGGUCCCAGUUGCUAGGGAAAAUUGAUAGAUACAACAACUCCAUCAUCAAAUUCUGGUGCACGCUCUACAUUAAAUGUUGGUCAGAUCCAAAGUCACGGUGAUAGGGAUAAUAUCGUCAGAGUGAUAGAGAUAUGAUGUUUUUUGUACGUAUCUAGUAAUGUUAAGGUGCAACGACUUUUUUACAUAAAAAUCAUACACAAAAAUACUUAGUUUUUGCGAAUAUAGUUAGCCAAAUCUGUCUUUUUUUUCCUUCGCAUGUACAAGUCACUUGCCCUUUUGAAUACCCCCUAAUUAGAAACAUUAGGGUAAAAAAUUGAGCUGUAAGCAUAUUUUUCUUCAUGGAAUGGGAAAGUACUAUGAAUUUUCCCUUCGAACUUCUUAGACAUUUUUAGGGCCACAAAAAAAUGAAGGUAAGUGAAGUGAUAGGUGACAAUGGGAGAGUGAAAAUGAAAAUGGUUUGUGAUUCUCUCGACCUGACAUAUAAUGAAAUCUAGCAUAAUAGAAGCCCAUGAUGGCCCAUGAUGGAGUUUUGGGGGGAUAAGAACGCUUCAAGUGCCAAAAGUUGGCACAAAGGGACACUUAAGUACCAAAAGUUACGAAAGUGCCACUUAAGUGCCACUUUGUAAGAAAAGUGGGACACCUGAGUGCCACCUCCGGUGAAGGCAGCCGGAAAUCAUACGUGGCAAUUAAAUAUGAUUAUUUCUUGUCGAGGUGGCUCGCCAGAGAGCUGAGUCAGCUCUAAUUCACCCAAAACGACGUCGUCUCCUCAAGUUGGCCAAAAUGGAGCCCUUAAAUCAACCAAAACGACAUCGUCUCCCCCAUUGCCCCAAAUCUAAAACCCUAAAUCCGGCAAAUUGCCAUUGAAGCGUUGGAGCCUUAAUCCCGAACCCUAACUCGAUUUGCCUCAAAUUCUACGGUUGGAUAUUAAGAAUGGAGAGCAGGACUUUCAGCAGCGACUCAAAUUUCUCUCGCCAAAGCGAAGGAGAAGGCGAGCGUUUAUGUUUUUGUGGGUUACCAAGUCCAAGAAGAACAUCGUGGACGCGAAGGAAUCCUGGGAGAAGAUUCUAUGGAUGUGCCUGAUACAGAGAAGGGUCGAAGUGCAAAUAUUUCGAAUGGGUUGAUGCGAAAUUCUCUCACCGAGCCACAGAGGUGAUAUUGGACCUACUUGAUGGAUGUCAUCAACCUCCAUCUACACCUGUGGACGAUUUGGACGAGGUUGACUCAAUGCAAGCUCAAGCAUCUUCUGCUAACCAUUUGAAGAAUGAAGUUUCAAAGAUGAAUAUUAAACGAAAGUGUUACCGAGCGUUUAUUGUGUUGCUGUUUUUUUGUCUAUCCUAUUUUAUGAUGAAAUGUAAAGUAUUGGAAAAUGAAAAGAAGUUUCUCCCACUGCCAUAGUUGUCAAUGAGAUCAAGGAAAGGGAAUGAAUGAGAUGCUGUUUGAAUGAAUGAGAUGCUAUUUGUACUAUAUUUUUACUUAUUCUCGAAUAUAAAUCGGUGAUGAUGGAAUGUAUAUUGGGUGGAUGUGUUGUGGUGACUUCUUUUCUUCAACUGAAUGUAAACCAGUAGCAAUGAAUCGAAUGGAGUUGGCAUAAGUUGAACAUUCGUAUAUAUAAACCAGCAGCUUCUCUGGUUUGCUGCAAAUCACCAUUUACAUAGGACAAACAUGAGUGAUUACUCGAGUGCUAUAAGUUGUAUAUAGUGAUCACUUAAGUGCCAGUCGUGAUUAAAAAAAAGUCAUUUAAGUGUCAAGUUAGUAUCAAAAGUGAUCACUUAAGUGUCAUUUGUGAUUAAAAGUGAACACUUAAGUGCCGAGUUUUUUAGAAUGUGAUCAGUUAAGUGUCAAUUUUAUUUGUACGUUUCAUCUAUAAACUACACCAGCCAUCAGCUGCUAUCAGCCACCACGACCGCCCACCACUGGCCACCAUCGGCCUCUAGCCAUCACCACCAGCCACAUCAAGCAUUCCAGGCAUCCACUUGAGCCAUUACUAUGCUGCUGGUAUUCUGCAGUGCAGAAGUUCCUAGUGCCUUACAUCAGCUUGCACCAACACUACCUGGAGCAAGAUGUGUGCAAGAUGUGCAUAUUGCACACUUACAUCUUGCACCAAGUGCAGCACAAACCCCCAGCCCCCAACCCCUAUAAUAGACCCACCAGCCUAUCAGUAGGCAUCGGCACCAACAUCUUAGCUACCACACCAGCACGUAGCCACCACCAUAAACCCACCAUUAGCAGCCACUAUUGGUGGUGGGUGGUGGGUUUGUUGCAAAAGGGGUUCAUGCAAACUAUACUAGUUACAGCAAAAGGCCCCAACCCAAUCCACAUAGUGGACCCACCACCAUCAAGUUUCACCAACCGCCACCACCAGCCACACAAGCACCCUAGUCACCACCACAGAUCCACCACCAGAAGCAGAAAGCAAUAAGUAAAAGUAAAAACAAAAUACAAAAAAUGAAAAAGGCACCAAAGAUGACAAGCAACAAAAUCAUUUCAUUGAUAUUGAAAUGAAGUCUCACAAAGUCGAUGACAAACUAUUUAAAAGAAAACAUCCACAGUAAAACAAUUGACUCGUCAGCCCCACAAACCAUAUCCCAUCCCAUUUCAUUAAUCAAUAUGCACAAUGCCUCCUAUUUGUGCUCAUUUCACUUGAUUCAUAAUCCUUGUGCUUUUUCUAAUUGGACGUGAGGUUUCUUCUUCAACUGUCUCAGGAUGCGUUGAUUUUGAUGGAGGUGCAAUUGUCCUAGGCUGAGCUGAUUGAGAAGGAGCUGGAGCUGCAACUGUCAUAGGCCGAACUGAUUCAGAUGGACCUGUAACUGGGUUUUUCUUACUCUUCUUUCUUGUUGGCGCAACCAAUGUCUUCUUCUUUUUUUGUUGGUUCAGCCGUUGAUUCUUGAGUUUGGCCUUGAGAGAUAAGAACCUCUGAACUUCUCCCAGGCUUCAAAAAGAAAACUCAAUUAUUAACAAAAUUUUGCACCAUAAAUUAAAUUAAAUACAGCCUAGUAAGCUUAUAAAACUUACAUUAAGAAUAACUAUUCCAGAACGCUCAUCUGUAUAAAGCCCAUAACCAUACUGUUUUAGCCUCUUUCCAAGAGCUCCUCUUGUUCGAAGGGGAACGUUAGUUUCAGGUACUUGUGAUUGAUUAGCCCUUCUUCUCGCAUGUGAUUUCUUGGGCUCUUGUUGUGGCUGUUUAGCUGCAGCAGGGGCUUCUUCUAGGCAUUCGAAUGUUAGACGUCUUGUAGAUGGCCUUCUUGUAGGUGGCUCAUGAUUUGGCUUUCUUUUGGUUGUUUUUCUAUUUAGCCCUUCAGCUUCAAUGACACAUUCUGUUGGCUUUUGUGGUGGCCCUUGUGAUGACCCUUCUAGUGGCCUUUGUGGUGACCUUGGUGAUGGAUCUUGUGGUGACCUUUCAGUUGGGCCCUUUGUUGACAGCUGAGCUCUAGCUUGCCUUCUUCAAACCUGAGAAAAAGACAAAUGAUAUCAUAAAUAUAAACAUCAGGCCAUUGUAAAGGAAAACUAAACACAAAUUAUUUAAGUUACCGGGUAUUUUUUUCUCUGCUUCUGCUGAAGAACAGUCGACUUAACUGGCCCUCCAGUUGCUUUGGCCAAUCCUUGAGCUGGCUGUCUACCUGGCCUUGUUUGAACAGACCCUUCAGUUUCAGGUAUAGCAGGGGCUUCGACCAAUUCUUCACGUGUCAUUCUCCUGACCUGACAAAGACAAAAACAUUAUGUCAAUUAGUUGUACAUAUCUGUUUAUACAAACCAUAAAACAACAUAAACACAAUUGUCAUGACUUACUGGGUUUAUUGUUGUCGACUGAAGAACAGACGACUCACUUCGCAUUUCUGUUUGUCCUUCUCCAAUUGUUCCUUCACUAGGUCCUUCGACUGGCCUCAACUGUUCCUGCUGCUUCCUUAAUUGACAGCCUUUAGUAUUGUGCCCUGCUAUGUGGCAAAAAGAGCACUUCAUCUUUACACCUGUCCUACUCAUCCUACGCUGACUUGAGACCUCUCCUUCUGCCAUUCUUCGUUUUCGCUUUGGUCUUCCCAUUCUCUUCUUUAGUGGCAAAGGUUGAGGUGCUUCAUGAUCUGUUGGCUCCCAGAACUUGGUACCUCUGAUUGGCUGCAACAUGCAUUGGUACGAAGCAAGAUAUCUCAGUUUCUUGUACCAAUCAUCAAGGUAGUCUUCUGUGUUGUGGCCCUUCAAUUGAAUGGCACAUAUGGCAUGUGCACAAGGAAUUCCACUUACUUGCCAUGCUCCACAUGAACACUUCCUCGUCCAUUCAACAUACUUAUCAGAGCCCUUCAUUAUCUCAUAUCCUUCAUCCCCAUUCCAAAUGGGAUGACAAUACCUACUCGUAGCCAAGUUCUCAUCCAAUUUUUUAGCAAUCCUAGGACCACAUUGCCUAGUCCAGUUUGCAGCCUCAUCCCUUUGUUUGUGCAACCGAGUCAUAACCAUAACCCUUAUGUCUUCAAGCAUCGAGAUAAUUGGUUUGCAUCUUGCAUCUAUUAUCCUCCCAUUGAAUGAUUCGUAGAUGUUGUUAUUUAUGUUAUCGCACUUGAAUUCCUCAUUGAAGAACGCCCUACACCAAUACUUUGGUUCUGUUUGGAAUAGUGCAUCAUAACCUUCCCUUGUCAAUUGAAGCAGUUCUUCUUUGGCCAUCCUAAAAUCAGCCAUAUCCGUGCUUUUUGCUAGCUGCCAAAAUUUGAACUGCAGCUUAUCCCCUUUAUAGUUCUUUCCCCAAUUUGCAUAUAUGUGCCGCGCACACAUUCGAUGCUCGGCAUAAGGCAACAACUCAGCUAUUGCUGGAACCAGUCCCUGCAAUAAUUCAAAAAAAGAAAAGAAAUGUAAGCAAACGACAUGUUCAUAUCAACAAGCAAACAAUUGACCAAAUCUUUCAAAGAGUACCUUCUGUUGGUCACUCAUGAACGCCCACCCUGCACCAUUUGUUAUCUCCAAAUCAACCAUCAAAUUUUUUAGGAACCAGGACCAAUUGUCCUUGUUCUCUACCUUUACAACAGCCCAAGCCAGUGGAAACAUCUGGUUGUUUGCAUCUAUUCCAAUUGCAGCCAACAAUUCUCCCUUGCACAAGCCCUUCAAAAAACACCCGUCCAAUCCUAUAAUCCGUCUACAACCAGAUAAAAAUCCUCGUUUGCAUGCAUCGAAGCAAACAUAGAACUUAUCAAACUUGGUCCCAAUAUCAGGAAGUGGUCUCUCCACAACCUCUACAUACACUCUACUUGAAGGAUUUUGCAGCCUACACUCCCAAGCAUAAUCCCACACCUGUCCAUAUUCGAUGCUGUAUUGAUCAAUGAGUAUCUUCAUCACCUUUUGCUUCGUUCUUUUGCAUUGAUUCCUGCUUAUAUUGAUGCCAACCUGCUCCUUCACCAGCAACCUGAACUGAGUACUAUUCAUCUGAGGCAUCAUCUUAAUCAUAUUAAAGAAGUGCUUGCACAACCAUGCACUUGUUACCCUUUUAUUUUCAAAAUUAAUGGAACAAGUAUGUUCCUCUUCGUACGCUCUAAUCUGGAAAGAUCCACUUCUCCUAACAAAUGCACCAUAGAUCCUCCAUGGACAAUUUUCCUGCGAACACUUAGCUCUUACAAAGGCCUUAGUGUUUCUAAUGAAGUCAAUGUUCCUCUGUCCAGCAAUGGAGUUCUUCAGUAUAGCUUCCCUAAAUUGUUUUGCAUCUUGAAAUUUCAUACCUACCGAUAAAGUAGGAGAGGCAAUGGAUGGAUCAUAAGAAGGAAACUUACUUUUCCUUCUCCUUGUAUGCACAACUCCUUCAUCUUCUUCAAGCUCAUCCUAGGAAGUAACAUUCUCAAGGCUUUCUUCAUAAUCAGUCUCCUCACCAAUGGCAACAGCAUCUACAGGGCCUUCGGCUCUAUUUGGAACUUCAUCAGCUACAUGCAAAGCUGCAAAUUUAUUUGUCAAAAAAUCCCUUUGCCUUUUUCUUGAUUGUACAAGCUCCUCGUCGUCGUUAUCACUUGUGAAAUUUGUAGUAGGCAACCCUUCAUCAUCAUCAUCACUUGAUUCAGCUACUUCCCAAUCUAAUCCAGUGAUUGUGACAUCACCUAUGUCAUCAUCACUAUGGUGAACUGCAUCUGCGCUCCUCUCCUCUCCAUCAUGUCUAUCCUGCCUUUCUUCGACCCUAACCUCAGUACUACCUUGAAUACCAUUUCCUUCUUGUUCUAUUUGGGCACUUUCUUCAUCAUCAUCUUCAUCCUCACUUUCAUUGUACUCAACAUAUAUUUUUACCUCUUCACCAUGAAGAUAAUGGUAUAGAAUAUCCCUAAAGCCGUUAUCAUUUUCUAAGUUCGCAAACCAUCUCUUAAACCUUUCCCGGAAUACAAUACAACAACUUCUGACUUACAGGCAAAUAAGUAGUAUAUCCCUAACAAAUCCUAUNNNNNNNNNNNNNNNNNNNNNNNNNNNNNNNNNNNNNNNNNNNNNNNNNNNNNNNNNNNNNNNNNNNNNNNNNNNNNNNNNNNNNNNNNNNNNNNNNNNNNNNNNNNNNNNNNNNNNNNNNNNNNNNNNNNNNNNNNNNNNNNNNNNNNNNNNNNNNNNNNNNNNNNNNNNGACCACAUCCAUAUUCGCAUACUCAUAAUUACGCACAAGGGAGUCCCCCCACUCUCAUAGACUUUAUUAAACAGGUCCCCACACUGACAAUAUGCCCAUAUAUGACAGCCAAAAAAGAGGUCGACACUUUAAUAAUUUACCUUCCCUUCCUCUACAAUAUUAAUAAAAAACAGAGGCCCCCACACUAAGAAUAUGCCCCUUCAUGACAGCUAAGAGGUUGCCACUUUAAUUAUUUGCCUUGCCUUCCAUUCCCUUAAAAUAUAAACCAAAAACAGAGGUCCCCACAACAAGCACAGCCCAAGCAAUUUUGUCUACUAUCUUUUGCUGAACUAAACCUGCGAUAUGAGAAUGUACAUCCACUUAAUCAAAUCUAUUUUUCCUGUGAAAACACAUAGAAUUUCAUUAAAGCAAGCUUGAUGUAAAAUUAUAGGGUAAAAGUUAUGUUUCUCAUCCAACCAAGAGGAGAAAUCAUACCCUAAUCUAUAAUGUUUGGCCAUUAAUAUAUUGUGUCAAGAGGUCAUUACACAAUCCAAGCCCUAAAUUUAUCCAUUGCACAGUAGACUAAUACUACAUGUCAAAAGAGCUCAUAGUUUAUAAACUUUAAAAUGAGGUACUUACAUGUGGUUUCAAAUUUGUCCCUUACAAGUAAAUGAACUUAUAUAAAGUAUCAAAACAAAUUUUGCACUCCUCAAUGCCCUGCAUAUAUGUUGACUAUCUGAUUAGAAACAACUAUCAAGAAAGAAGACUAAAAGAACGAAAAGAUCGGAAUCAAAGGAACAAAAGCAGAUUGAUAGCAAAGUUGCGUGCUCUUUGCAGAGCACUUAAAGGCCAUUAUUCCAGCCACCUGAUUCAAUAACUUUUCACUCAAACACAUUAGUUCCUAGUUCCACAUUAGUCAAUAUUUUGUCUCACUCGAGCCUUGACUGCAUAAAUCAUCGACUGAGGCAAGCAUCUCCACACAAGGGAGUAACCAAACAGAGCGUGCGCAUUUCAAUAGCAUUUCCAUCGUAGCCUUAAUAAAAUAAUCGAGCGAGCCCUAAUAAAAUAAUCGAGCCCUAAUUUCAUCACGAGGGAGGGGGAAAAGGGGCCCAACCUAGAGGAGUGAUGAUGGUGAGCAGGGAUGACGACCAACGAUGCUGAGUGGCUACGACAACCAACAACGGCGACCGAUGACCACCUAUGGGCGUGAACGGCGACGGAGAGAAGAGCGGCGACGGCGUGAACGGCGACGGAGAGAAGAGCGGCGACGGCGUGAACGGCGAUGGAGAGAAGGGCGGCGACGACUGAGAUCUAAUGUGAACGCAGAUGGGAAGGAACAGCGACGGCUAGGUGUGCUUAAGCCAAAAUGACCUAAACGACGUCGUUUAACACCAACGAAAAACGACGUCGUUUAGGUCAGCUCACUCAGUGUGGGUGGACGACGUCGUUUUGUCGUCCACGUGGGUUUUUUUUCUUUAAACGUUUGCCACCUCAGUAAAAGAAGUCGCCGGGAAACGCCACGUAUGCAAUUUGGCCGGAUUUUAGCCGGAUUGGCACUCAAGUGAUCCAUUUUGCUCCGAUUUUGGCACUUAAGUGUACCUUUCGUAACUUUUGGCACUUAAGUGUCCCUUUGUGCCAACUUUUGGCACUCCAGGGGUCCGUGUCCCGAGUUUUGGGUGAUCAAGACCAAAAAAGAACAAAGUGUAUGGCGUUAACAUAGACAAAAUAAGUUACCACGGUUGAGUGAAAUAAUCUUGAAAGUGUAUAGGGAAAAUCUGAAUUAACCUAACUUAUUCUACAGGUUUUUUAUUUUUUAAAUCCACUAGUUUUUUUUUUCUUUUUUUGGUAAGGAAAAAAUCCACUAGUUUUUAAUAGCUAAAGAAACGUGAAAACAAUCUUUUAUGAAAAAUCAAUGAACUCAAUGUAAGACUUACUUAGUGUGUUUACUAAUAUAUUGAAUUAAAAAAAAUCAAAAAGUCACUAACCGUACGUUGAUAUUGCUAAUUUUGUUAGGUUGAAAGUAAUUUCCCCACAAAAAAUUAUUAGUCACUCAAAAAACUUACUAGUUAAUCAAAAUAUACAGGUUACUCAACCUAGAUUUGUCCAAAAACUUAAUGAAACCAAUACUUUUUUCACAUAAAAGUUACUAAUCAUCUACAGAAAAUUGUUGCUCACCCAUAAAUUGUUAUGAAAACUUGUUAGUCACGUUGUAAAAUUUACCAAAUUGUUACUUUUUUGAAAUGUUGAAGAGUGUAUUGUUAUGGAAAGUCACUAAUCACAUAAAAAAAUUAUUAGUGACUAUAGAUAGACAAGUAGAUGCUUACUUUCUUAGUUUGAAAAUCUUUAUACAUAUAUACAUAUUUAUAUAUUAAAUUGAUAGAGUCUAGAUAAGUUAUUCCAUUCUUAAAUACGACCCGCUCACUUGCUCAGACCAAACUCAUUUAGAUCAAUGAAUUUAAUGAGCAAAAGAUAAAAUACAGUAACCAUUUCAUUAUGAGGGAUCGUGGAUGAGAUCUUUCAGAAACUGAAAUAGAAUCGAUUAGCUUAUGCAUUGAGUUUUUAUUUAUUGAUUGAUUUUUUUUUAAUAUUAAAGCAAUAAUUGGCGAAAUGGGGUCGGCCCCUAGCGAGAGAGCCGACCGGGCCCCAGAAACAUGCGGGACUCCAUGGGCAAUGUCUGAAGUCUUGAGCCGUCCUUUUCGCACAGCAUGGUUCGUAUGUUCUCUCUCAUUGCCUGCUGAAACGGCAAUCCAUAAACCGUCCAAAACACGUCCUUUCGUUCCUCCCCGCCGUCCCCUCCGUCGUCUCGUACGAGAAGAUUGAGAGAGCUAGAAUUGCGGCGAUGUGAUCCCAGUGGAGACGACUUGACCCACAGCUCAAUCUUCGUCCCUCAGUCCCAUUUCACACAAUUCUCAUGCUGUAGCGAGUCACUGAAGGUGUGAUGCCUGGUCGUCGUCCUCAUCCUCCUCCACAGGUAAAGUGGUGAUUGGAAGUUGGCGUGGGAAUGACUUUCGUGACUCGCGUCGUCCGCAGCCUUCCGAGACCACGAAUCGGUGGAGAAAUUAGAGGAUCUUCGUGUCUCUUGAAGACAGUAAUUUGGUCUGAUGCAGUUCGGCCAUCAGAUGGCAAGACUGGUACCUUUGGAAGGGCACCUGGUUGAAAUGCCAGCAACGUACAACUUUCUUAAAUUUUUUUCUUAUUUAAUCUAAUAUACACUAAAUAAUUCUUUUGCCUUUUCGAUUGACAUUAAUUAAUGAUGCUUAAUAGAAACAAUCAGCCUUUGACGUGGUUAACUGAGAUUACGGGCAAUCGACUAAAGGAAGUGAACAUUGAUAUAAAAUAUUAAAUUUGGAUGCUUGGGGCCAUCAUUCUUUGAAUUGUGAUACUACAUGUGUUGGUGCAUCGUGAAAGUUUCAAAUAUUUUGAAUUUUAAGAAUGUAAAAAAGGAAAAAGUCGAGGGUGAAUUUUUUAAGGCCCAAUUUUUAUUUUUAUUGUUAUUUUCAUUUUUGUUAGUUCUAUUAUACUUCUACUCUUAUUCUAUUCUAUUCUACUUUUACUCUUAUUCUAACUCUCACUCUCAGACUUUUACUCUGCCUCUUUGCAAGACGUGAGAGUCGAAAUCAACUCUUGAAACUAAAUCAUCCCCUCGAAAAAAGUGAGAAUUCGAAUCCCCCACUUCCCUCUUCCCCCUUCCAUGCUGGAAUGAUGGCCAUUGGAACAAACCCCAGUAGUUCCAAUUUUAUUGAGUCACUAAUUAAUUGAGUGAAUGCGUGAGCUUUCUUUUUUAAAAUAAUUGGGAAAAAUCAUAUGAUUUGACAUGAGUUCAAAUGAUAAUAUUUAGAUACUAUAUGAAAUUGGAAGAUGCUAAGCAGAAAAUUAAUUUGACUGAAAAUAUCUUAAGAAUCUCAUGAUCAAGAACAGGAAGAUUGUGGAUAUGAAGAACAAGUGGUUUAAAUGAUGAGAGAUCCAAUAUGCAACGCAUAUGCGGAAUAGUAGAGAAAACAAUCUUGAACUCUGCGAAAAGCUGUGGGGCCAUUAGCUAGAAAAAUUAGAUCUGCCAUGCCGCUUUCUUCCUGAAGCUCCUUAACUCCAUUAGCCAGGGACUAUGCAAAUGAUAAUUAGGUCAUCUGGGUAUCUCUUGUAGUGGGAAACCGCCAUUAGGCCUUCCUCUGCAGAAUUCUGAUUUUCAUCUUCUGUCCUCAAAUUCACUUGCGGCUCGUGGCGUUUUUGUCCUCAACCAUUGGCAGUAGUGUUGCGGCAGCAUGCUGUGUUAUUGGUUGUUGCCGAGGAGGAAAGAUUGAAGUUGUCAUCAUGAUAUUUCUGGGAAAAGCAAGAUUGGUCUUUCUUUCUCUAGUGUCUCAUUAUGUUAUAAAAUUUUGCACUGGAGGAGAUGUCAUCACUGCAACAGAGUAUAUCCAAGACCCUGCAAGUAUAACAUCAAGUGGAGGUCUCUACAGUAUGGGAUUCUUUAGCCCUAAUGGUUCUGCAAAUCGCUAUGUAGGGAUUUGGUACAAUAAGGUUCCUACAUCUAAUGUUCUCUGGGUAGCGAACAGGGAGAAUCCAAUUUUUGACUCUUCUGGUGUUGUGAAGAUAUCCGGUGAUGGUAAUCUUGUGGUCAUGAAUGGAAAGAGGGAAUCAGUUUGGUCAUCAAAUGUUUCCAACUCUGUAACUGAUGCAAAAGCUCAGUUGUCAGAUUCUGGGAAUCUGGUCUUGCUCAAACAGACCUCUAACUCUAGUGCAAAUGAUUCAGAGACUCUCUGGGACAGUUUCCAGCACAUGACCGAUUCAUUCUUACAGAAAAUGAAGCUGACUACCAACUCAAGAACAAAUGAGACGCAGGCAUUAACGUCUUGGAAAAGCCCUUCUGAUCCAUCAAUUGGAAGCUUCUCAGCGAGUCUUGAUCUGCAUAACAUUCCUGAACUUUUCAUUCGGAAUGGCAGUUCUCUGUAUUGGCGAAGUGGUCCAUGGAAUGGUAAUAUAUUCAUUGGAGUACCGAAGAUGCAAUCAGUCUAUAUUAAUGGGUUUACCCUGGUGGACGAUCACGAAGGAACAGUCUAUCUGACUUACAGUUUUGCUGAGGCGUCUUACUUGUCAUAUUUGUUAUUGAAAUCAAAUGGGGAUUUGGUGCAACCAUACUUGGAUAAGAAUAGCAGUUCCUGGGGGAUUGUUUGGUCAUCUCGGGUGAGUGAUUGUGAUGUCUACGGCCAGUGUGGACCGUUCGGAAUCUGCAAUGCCAAGAAUUCACCAAUUUGUAGCUGUUUGAGAGGCUUUGAGCCAAAAAACUUCGAGGAAUGGGGCAGAGGAAAUUGGUCCGGUGGAUGCAUUCGGAAGUCAUUGCUGCAGUGCAAUGGAACUGCAAAUGGUAGCAGUACAGCCAGCAAAAAGGAUGGAUUUUUAAAGCUGGAAAUGAUGAAAGUGCCAAAUUCGGGAAUUUUUUAUUCUACACUGGAAAGUGAUUGCCCAGGAAAUUGCUCAAUUAAUUGUUCAUGUGUAGCAUAUGCAUUUGACCCUGGUGUUGGCUGCAUGUUCUGGAUACAAGACCUAAUUGACCUACAGAAGUUCUCCGUUGGAGGAACAACUCUUUACGUUCGGCUGGCCCACUCAGAACUCGGUAAAUUAACUUCACUCUUAGAUGAUGGUUCUCAUGAAUUUGGUAGUGCAGCUUAAGUUUAGAUGGAUAAAUACACUUGGCUUGACUCAUUCAUCAAGACUUGUCGAAUUUCAUUAGCAAACCAACACGCCUGCACAUCUGCACGCUCAAAUAUAGGCUCGAGUUUGGUAAGGAUAUCGAGCCCAUAUUUGAGCCCUGGUAAAGGAGCAGAUUUUGCAUAUCUUCUUGACUAUGACAAAGUCUCAUUGUUAGCUAUAAAACAAGGGUUCCAAAAUGAUUCGUUUAGUAAUUGCUUACUGGCAGCAUGAACAUAGUCUGAGGCGUCAAUUAAUGUCUCUGUUCUGAUCUCCAGAUGAAAAGGGACAUCUGAGAGAAAUCAUAGCAACUACAGUCAGCAUAGGAACACUCAUUGUUAUCAUCACAAUAUGGUUUGCCACAAGGAAGGUGAAAAAACGAGGUAAAGAGUAGUGCAGCUGUUGAAUUUUAGAAUUGCCAAUAAUCUCUGAGUUUGCAUGGAAUAAAUAACAAGCUCUAUUUUUCUGGAUCAGCAUUAAAGGAAAGUAAGGAAAAACAUUUGUCCAGUGGAGAAGCCCCUUCAGUUGUAAUGCUUGGAGAGAACUUGAGCAGAGUCGAGUUCCAGGAGUUUGUAAAAUAUAAAAUUGAAGAAUUGGCUUCCGCAACAGGAAACUUUGGUGAGGCCAAUAAGCUUGGGCGGGGUGGUUUCGGGCCAGUAUAUAAGGUAUAGCUAUUCACGUAGAGUAUUAUAUAUGUAAUUGUGUUCGUGUGUGCGCGUGUGUCAAUUUUCGGAGCUCAUUUAGUCCCUGUGUACAGGGGACUCUGCCAAACGGUCAGGAAAUAGCAGUCAAGAGGCUAUCGAGAGCCUCAGGACAAGGACAGCAGGAAUUUAUUAACGAAAUGGUGGUCAUUUGUAAGGUCCAACAUCGAAAUCUCGUGAGACUGCUUGGAUGCUGUGUUGAAGGAGAUGAGAAAAUGUUAAUCUAUGAAUUCAUGCCAAACAAGAGCCUAGACACAUUUCUUUUUGGUAAUAUUUCGCUUAUUUAAAUGUUGCCUCAAACUAUCUAUCAUGCCACAUAUCCAAGAAGCCUCAUUUGUAUAGUUAGCUGUUAGCCAUUCGAGAAUGAUUGGACAGUUGUUGCUACAAACGCUAUAGGUUUCCCGUUUGGCUUUAAACUUCUGUGCAUUUCACUCGUUUCCAAUUGCAACAAUGAAUUUUUCGCAUUAAACUUCUAUGUCCAUGCAGAUCCACUAAAACGAGUACAUUUGGAUUGGAGAACACGGUUCAACAUUGUUGAUGGAAUUUGUCGAGGUUUGCUUUAUCUUCAUAGGGAUUCUAGACUAAGGAUUAUACAUAGAGAUUUGAAGGCAGGCAAUAUCUUGCUGGAUGAAGAGCUCAAUCCAAAAAUUUCCGACUUUGGAAUGGCUCGGAUAUUUGGAGGAAAUGAAAAUCAAGCUAAUACACGAAGAGUUGUGGGAACCUAGUUAGUACCUCUUUAGUUUUGACGUUCCUAGUGAUUUUAUUCUCUACUCAGAUUAAGGAAAUUGAACCUCUUUAAUUGAAUGCAGUGGCUACAUGGCUCCUGAAUACGCAAUGGAUGGGCGAUUUUCAGAAAAAUCAGAUGUCUUUAGCUUCGGCAUAUUAUUACUGGAGAUCAUAAGUGGGAGACGGAACACGAGUUUUCAUGAUGAAGAUCAAUGCUUGAGCCUUCUAGGAUUGGUAAGCUCUCAUUGAUUUAGAAGUUGGAACUGCAUUCUAUUCUCAUAAACUGGACCUCCAAUAGUAAAUUGGUUUGAUUAAUUUGCAGGCAUGGAAGUUAUGGAAUGAAGACAAUGUUCUAGCACUAGUGGACCCAAACAUACCUGCUAAAUGCUUUGAGGUUCAGCUUUUAAGGUGCAUAAAUGUGGGGCUUCUCUGUACGCAAGAAAGGGCAAAAGAUAGGCCUUCCAUAUCAACUGUUAUUUCAAUGAUCAACAGUGAAGUGGAUCUUCCUCGUCCAAAGAAACCUGCAUUCACCCCGAGGAAAAUAACCCAAGACACAGAUUCCUCUGGACAAAGCCAAAAGACAUGUCUGCCAACNNNNNNNNNNNNNNNNNNNNNNNNNNNNNNNNNNNNNNNNNNNNNNNNNNNNNNNNNNNNNNNNNNNNNNNNNNNNNNNNNNNNNNNNNNNNNNNNNNNNUGCAUUAGCCCCCUCCUUCAAUAUUCGCAACUGCUCCUUAACGUUUCUAUUUGUUCCAAAUUAGAAUGCAAAUCUUGGCAACGCCAGAAAUACCCUCAAAUUUGCAAUAGCCUUAAGUGUUCACUAAUGUUCAUUUCACAUCAUAAAUUCAAUGACAUGGUUAGCUCAAAAAAUUCCACUAAUCCUAUUGAUGGGAGAAUGAUAUAGUUCAUUUUACUCAACAUUGCAGUCCUCGUCAAUUGAUUGUAAGAUUUCGAUCAAUAUAACCAGUUGUGAGCAACUGGAAACUAAAUGCCAACUCAUGGAAAGCAAUUGCGGCCACAUUCCUAAAUGAAUGCAAGAAUCUAAAAUUUCGGCGGCAUGCACUUUCAAGGGCUUAAAUGCUUUUUCUACAGUUGACUUCGUCAAUGGGGUAGAAAUCCUGAUGUAGACACUCAACCACUUAGUUAACUUCAUCAAUGGGGUACACUCUAGCAUUUAGCUAAUGCUCCCGCGGCGGUGCACUAGAUCAAGAUAAUUGACUCGUAAGGCAAGGUGAAGUGACUCUUCAAGGAAAGCAAUCAAUAUUACUAGUUGUAGUCAACUGAAAACUAAGUCCAUUAAAAUUUUCAUGAAUCCACAAGGUAUUGGGAAAGCUAUUGAGGCCACAAUGUUGAAUGAAGACAACAAUCUAAAUUUCCAUGGCUUGCUCUCUUUGACCCGUAAUCCUCCAAGACCUGAAUGCGUUUUGUACAGAUGCCCUCGUCAAUGGGGCAAAAAUCCUGAUGUAGAAACUCAACCACUUAGUUAAUGCUCUUAGAUUGGCUUGUUAGAUCAAUUGGGAGAAACUAAACCUUUUUAAUGGAAUAUAGUGGUUACAUGACUCCUGAAUAUGCAAUGAAAGGGCAACUUUUAAAAAAUCAGAUGUCUUUAAUUUUGGCAUAUUAUUAUUGGAGAUCGUAAGUGGAAGACAGAACACUAGUCUUCAUGAUGAAGAUCAAUGCUUGAGCCUUCUAGGAGUGUAAGCUCUCAUCGAUGUAGAAGUUGGAACUGCAUUCAAUUCUCAUAAACUGGAACUCCAAUAGUAAAUUGACUUGCUUUGAGGUUCGGCUUUCAAGGUGCAUUAAUGUGGGGCUUCUUUGUACGCAAGAAAUGGCAAAAGAUAGGCCUUCCAUAUCAACAGUUAUUUCAAUGAUCAACAGUGAAGUGGAUCUUCCUCGUCCAAAGAAACCUGCAUUCACUGCGAAGAAAAUAACCCAAGACACUGAUUCCUCUGGAAAAAACCCAAAGACAUGUUCUGCCAACGAUGUUGCUCUUACUGUUCUUCAAGGCAGAUGAUGUGAUCUGAAUUUUUGCAAGAUUCUCCCUACAUGUCCUGCCCUUACCUUUUCUAGUUACUAGUUUUAGUUUUACACAAUCUUGCUCGCAAAUGUACAGAAACGCAAAUCGUGAACUAUUUUUUCCACUUCAUAGUUCUUUACUACACAUAUUUGCGUGAUCAAAGGUUGGGGUAGGAGCCUUCUGGUGGGAAUAAUGCUUCUACUUCUCAUAUCGGGAGCCAGUGGGUUAGAUAAAUUCUGGAAAAUUGCAGACAACCCCCCUCCACUGUGAGGAGAAUUGCAAUUAGCCCCCUCCUUCAAAUGUUCGCAACUACUCCUUGACGUUUCUAUUUGUUCCAAUUAGAAUCCAAAUCUUAGCAACACUAGAAAUAGCCUCAAGUUUUCACCGAUGUUUAUUUCACAUCAUAAAUUUAAUGACAUGGCUAGCUCAAAAAAUUUCACUAAUCCUAUUGAUGUGAGAAUGAGAUAGUUCAUUUUACUCGGUAUCCGGUCCUUGUCGAUUGAUUGUAAAAUUUCAUUCGAGAGAGUGACACUAGAAGUGCCAUAAAUUGUGUAUGGUGCUCACUUAAGGUCCAAAAGUUCUUUUCGAAUCACUUAAAUGUCACUUAAAAAAAAAAUCAGUUAAGUGCCAAUUCCGAUAAGAGUCAUCAGAUAUUUGAUGUGGUAAUAUUUUAUUAAUUUCUUGAUCUUAUGUGGCUCGCCGACAUGCCCAGUCAGCAUAUAAUCACUAAAUGAUGUUAUGUAGUAAGUUAAAAAGUAAUCACUUUAGUGCCAAAAAAAAAAGUCACCUCAAAUAAAAAUUUAAUUAUAAAUGCUGCAUAAUUUUUUAGCCGAAAUUUCUUGUCGAAGGCAUUUAAGUAAUUGUUUUUUUUUUUUCUAAUUUUGAUAUUAAAGUAAGCGUCAUACACAACUUAUGACACUUCUAAUAUCCUUCUCCCGAUUUCAAUAAGUAUAACUAGUUGUGAGUGACUAGAAACUAAGGGCCUGCAUGGUAACGCUUCUGUUUUUUUUUUUUUUUGGUUAUUUUUGUUCCUCAAAAUAGGAAAAAAAAAUCUAUUUAAGAAUAUCAAUUAAAUUUUUUAUUCCCUGAAAUAGAAAAGUAGCCAUGGAAUAAAUUUAGAACAGAAAUAAAAAGUAAAAUAAAGUAGUUUCUUAUUUUUGAAAACAAUUUAUAGAAAUAAGUCUUCUUUUUUUUUUUGUUCUUUUCUUUUUCUUCCUCUUCUAACCAAUGGAGACUUGUCAUCUACCACUGCCCCGUCGGUCGUGAGUCGCCACCGUCCAUCAAUCACUAGUCAUCACUAGCGGUCGUCAUCUGCCACUGCCGGUCACCGAUCACUAUUGUUGCUAAUCACCACCUGUGCAGCAAUCAGCUAGAGGAGGAAGAAGAAAUAAAAAAGAAAAAUCUAAAAAAAAUUAUUGGAAAAUUAGAAGAAAUUUUACAUCAUAAAAAAGUUUGUAUGUUGCACAAAAUGCCUUUAUGUUCUUUUUUUAUUUUAUUUUAGGAAUCGAAAUUUUAUGUAAUUACCAAACACUUUUUACUCAAAAACUAUUUUAGGGAAUAAAAAUAAAAAAGAACUGUUUUUGAAAAAAAAAUUGUUAUUAGGAAGUGAUAUGUUAUCAAACAUACCCCGAACCGAAUGUCAACUUAUGGAAAGCAGCUGUGGAAAUGUGCAUGAAUCUACCAAGAAAGUGGCAAUUCAUGAAAAGCAAUUGCAGUUACUAUCCUGAAUGAAUGCAAGAGUCUAAAAUUUCGGUGGCAUGCACUUUCAAAGGCUUGAAUGCUUUUUCUAGAGUUGACUUGGUCAAUAAGGUAGAAAUCCUGAUGUGGAAAUUCUAGCAUUUAGCUAAUAAUCUCACGUCGGCGCACUAAAUCAAGAUACUUAACUCAUAAGUCAAGGUGAAGUGACUCUUCAGGGAAACUAAUCAAUAUGACUAGAAACUAAGUCCAUUGAAAUUUUCAUGAAUCCACAAGGUACGCGGAAAGCUAUUGGGGCCACAAUGCUGAAUGAAGGCAACGAUCUAAAAUUUCCAUGGCUUGCUCUCUCUGAUUGGUAAUCCUCCAAGAUUUGAAAUCUUUUUCUACGGUUACCCCCGUCAGUGGGGCAAAAAUCCUGAUGUAGAAACUCAACCACUUAGUUAAUGCUCUCACAUUGGCUCGCUAGAUCAAUAUUAUUGACUCGUAAGUCAAGGUGAAGUGACCCCUCAAGUAUGUCACUAUGAGAAAGAAUAACAAAUGUCCAUAAGAGAAAGAGGAAUUUGGUCUGAUUGGAGAAAAAUUAACAAUGUUCAUAAUAUCCAACAUGGACUUUCAAAGGCUUAAAUGUUUUUUUCUAGAGUUGACUUCGUCAAUGGGGUGGAAAUCCUGAUGUAGAAACUCCACCACUUAGAUGCUCCUACAUUGGCUCGCUAGAUCAAUAUUCUUGAGUCCAUCGGUCAAGGUGAAGUGACCCCUCGAGUAUGUCACUAUGAGAAAGAAUAACAAAUGUCCAUAAGAGCCAAAGCGGAAAGAGGUCUGAUUAGAGAAAAAUUAACAAUGUUCAUAAUAUCCAACGUGCACUUUCAAAGGCUUAAAUGUUUUUUUCUAGAGUUGACUUCGUCAAUGGUGUAGAAACUCAACCACUUAGUUAAUGUUUUUACAUUGGCUCGCUAGAUCAAUAUUCUUGAUUCAUAAGUCAAAGUGAAGUGACCCUUCAAGUAUGUCACUAUGAAAAAAAAUAACAAUGUCCAUAAGAACCAAAGAGGAAAGAGUUCUGAUUGGAGAAAAAUUAACAAUGUCCAUAAUAUCCACCAUGCGACUCAACAUCAAAGACCGCCGUGUGGAAAAUUUUUGAAAGACCCGUUUACUAGCCAGGAAAAAUCAGGACUUUGAGAGCAAUAGUUGACGAGGAAAUGUUCCCAUUCGAGCAAUAUAAAUUUCUUCACGGAGAUGCUUAAACCAUCUUUUCCAGUCGAAAAUUUACCUUUAUCUUUAACCACAAAGUUUUCUCUCUAUAAUUGUGAUUUCCACCUUCUGUUCUAAACUUCAGGUUGUGUCUUCUGCUGUUCUAAAGCUAGCAAAAUCAGUUGCUGCUGAGAAGAAAGGUUCAAGUAGUCAUGAUUCUUCUAAGAAAAGUAAGAGUAUUCUCUCUCUUUAUUUUGUCUCAUUAUGCUGUGAAAUUUUGCAUUGGGGGAGAUAUCAUUACAGCAUCUGAGUACAUCCAAGACCCUGGAAGUAUCAUAUCAAGUGGAGGUCUCUACAAACUGGGAUUCUUUAGCCCCAAUGGUACCACCAAUCGGUAUGUUGGAAUUUGGCAUAACAAGAUUCCUGCGCUUAACGUCUUUUGGGUUGCAAACAGGGAGAAGCCUGUUCUAGAUUCUUCUGGUGUCAUGACCAUAUCCAAUGAUGGUAAUCUCGUGAUAUUGAAUGGAAAGAAGGAAGUACUUUGGUCAUCAAACGUUUCCACCUCUGGAGCUAAUGCAAAAGCCCAUUUAUUAGAUACUGGAAAUCUUAUCUUGCAAAAACAAAGCUCUAAUAUGAGCACAAAUGAUACAACGGCAUGGGAAAGUUUCCAGACCAUGUGUGAUACAUUCAUCGCGAAAAUGAAGCUUAGCACCAACUUGAGAACAAAUGAGAAGAAGGUACUCACAUCUUGGAAAAGCCCUUCUGACCCAUCGAUUGGAAGUUUUUCAAUUAGUCUUGAACCACUAAAUAUUCCUGAAGUUUUCCUUUGGAACGGCACUACUCUAUAUUGGCGGAGUGGUCCAUGGAAUGGUAAGGUUUUCAUUGGAAUUCCCGAGAUGGAAUCAGUCUAUCUUGAUGGAUUUACCUUAGUGGAUGAUAAAGAAGGAUAUGUCUAUCUGACUUACAAUUUUGCAGAGGUGUCUUAUUUUUCAUACUUUUUUGUGAGGUCAAAUGGGGAGUUGUUGCAGCCAUUCUGGGAUGAAAAAUAUAAGAAGUGGCGGAUCGAUUGGUCAACCCAAGCAUCUGAUUGUGAUGUUUAUGGCAAGUGUGGUCCAUUUGGAUACUGUGAUGCCAAGAAAUCACCAAUUUGCAGCUGCUUGAGAGGCUAUGAGCCAAAAAAAGUUGAAGAAUGGAGCAGAGGGAAUUGGUCCAGCGGAUGCAUCCAGAAGUCAUUGCUGCAAUGCGCUAGGUUGAAAAAUGGUAGUACUAAAGCGGGAAAAAUUGAUGGAUUUGUAAAGCUUGAGAAUGUGAAAGUGCCGAAUUAUGCAAUCUGGUCAUCUCCUUUGGAAGACAAGUGCCAAGAGCAGUGCCUCAGUAAUUGUUCGUGCGCAGCAUAUGCUUAUGAUGCCGGCGUUGGUUGCAUGUACUGGAGUGGAGACCUAAUCGACGUACGGAAGUUCUCCUAUGCAGGAACAACUCUUUAUGUUCGAGUGGCCCAUACAGAACUCGGUAUGUUCAUUCCUAAAUUAAAUUUCUGAUCUAUCUGGUAAUACAACUUACUGCUAGAUUGGUUAGGGAAUUUCAAUCAAUGUGAUACGCCAGGUGGAGUUGCGAUCCCUGAAAGCUAGCUAAUCAGUUCUUUUCUUAUUUUUUAAUAUGUGCUUCAAUCUCAGACAUCAUUGUUUGUCCGUAUUUUGAUCUGCAGAAGGAAAAAGAGAUCUGAGAGCAAUUAUAGCGACUGCAGCAGUUGUGGCAACUGUAAUUUUCAGUAUUGGUACUUUCUUCGCCUGGCAGAAGUCGAAAAAACGAGGUGGUAAAGACGGAGAACAAUUUUCAAAGGCUUCUAGUGAGAACAUGCUCAGAGGGAGCUUGAGCAAAGUUAAUCUCCAGGAGCUUGUGCUAUAUAAAUUGGAAGAGCUGGCUGCAGCAACAAGCAACUUUAGUGAUGCAAACAAGCUCGGGGAGGGUGGUUUUGGGGCAGUAUAUAGGGUAAUACCGUGUCAUGUAGAGGACAGCAGCUCCAUUUCUGCUUCUUCUUUUUAACUUUAGCAGCUCAUUUACGUCCUUUUGUACAGGGGAGAUUGCUAAAUGGAAAAGAAAUAGCAGUCAAAAGACUAUCAGGGGCCUCUGGACAAGGAUUGCGGGAAUUUAUCAAUGAAAUGGAAGUGAUUUCCAAGGUCCAACAUCGAAAUCUCGUUCGACUCCUUGGAUGCUGUGCCGAGCAAGAUGAAAAACUAUUAAUCUAUGAGUUCAUGCCAAACAAGGGUCUAGAUGCAUUUCUUUUUGGUAAUAUUCCAUUUCUUGUAGUAUUCCGUCCAUCUAUCAUGGAAUACCAGUUUAUGGGGAAGUCAAGUUUUUAAUUUUACCUGUUUAAACCGACAUUGGCUGCACCUAUUGCACAUACUUUACAUUUUCAGUAUACAUGGGAGCCUCUUUCUGUGCAUUACACUCUUCUCCGGUCACAAAUUAACACGUAAUUUUAUGAAUUCCACUUCUGUUGUCUAUUUCAGAUCCUCUCAAACGAGAGCAACUGGAUUGGAGAAGACGGUUCAACAUCAUUGAUGGAAUUUGUCGAGGCCUACUAUACCUUCACCGUGACUCCAGACUACGGAUAAUUCAUAGAGAUCUUAAGACGAGUAAUAUCCUGUUGGAUGAAGAGCUCAAUCCAAGAAUUUCAGACUUUGGAACGGCUAGAAUAUUUGGGGGAAAAGAAGAUCAAGCAGAUACACUAAGAGUUAUGGGAACCUAGUAAGUAUUUUUAUAUGAUGAGUCUCGUACCAAUUUUAUCUUUCUACCUAGCAUGAGGAAUAUUAAAGUGUUUCAUGGAAUGCAGUGGUUACAUGGCUCCAGAAUAUGCAAUGGAAGGGCGGUUUUCGGAAAAAUCGGAUGUCUUUAGCUUUGGGGUAGUAUUGCUGGAGAUUGUAAGUGGAAGACAGAACAAUAGCUUCAAUGAGGAAGAUCAGUCCUUGAGCCUGUUAGGAUUGGUAAGCUGUCACAAACAGAGAGAUCACCCUAUUUCCAUCAGCUCAAGUUCCAAAAAUAAUUAGACUUGAAUUCUGUUUUUUGGCAGGCAUGGAAAUAUUGGGAGGAAGACAAUGUACUUGCGCUAGUGGACCCUAAAAUUUCUGUUGGAUGCUCCGAGAUUGAGAUCAUAAGGUGUAUAAAUGUGGGGCUGCUUUGUACACAAGAACUUGCAACUGAUAGGCCUACCAUUUCAACUGUCAUUUCAAUGAUUAGCAAUGAAAUUGUUGGUCUUCCUCGUCCGAACAAACCUGCAUUCACCGAGAGGCAAACAACUACAGACACAGGUUCCUCCAGACAAAGUCAGAAAAAAUACUCUGCCAACAAUGUCACUAUUACCGCUCUUGAAGGCAGAUAAAAUGAGGAUACCAAAACCAAUAAGCUCGAAAGUUCAGCUC